GUAGUUGAGGCUUCAAUUAUAGACGUACAACUGCCCAGAUUAGAUACAAAUGGUAAUUAUCCUCCUUCACUUCCUCUUGCUACUGACUGCUUCAGCAGUUGGUCUUGGUCCAGCCUCAGCAGAUCGAGAUGUCUGCGAGCCAAAACACUGCAAAAACCGCCAGCCAUCCGUCCGGUACCCCUUCCGAUUGAAAGGCCGCCAACCGGACCACUGCGGCUCAUCUGGGUUUGACCUGUCCUGCAACAACAAGAACCAGACGGUGCUGGAGCUGCCCCGUUCGGUCAAGUUAUUGGUGAAGCGUAUAGAUUAUGUACACCAGAGGAUUCACGUGUAUGAUGAAGAUGGUUGUGUCCAAAAGCAGCUUCAAAAUCUCACUUUAUCUGCAUCUCCUUUCAUGUACAGCUCAGGCUCAGAUCCCUACUAUUACAGCGAUUCUGGAAACUUCACCUUGUUUAAUUGUUCAAUUGAAGAUCAAUCCGACUAUUAUGAACGUUACAGCAGAAUCCCUUGCUUAAGUGGGUCUGGCUUCUAUGUUAAAUACGUGUAUUCUGAGUCUGAAAGAAGUGACCUGUUGAAUUGCAGAAAGACUACAGAUAUCUCUGAAGUUCCCUACGGGAUGAUGAAUGACAGGAAAAACAAAUUUGACUUUAACUGGACCAAACCGGCUUGUGGUUUAUGUGAAGUCAAAGGCCGAGGAUGUCGGCCCAAUACUGCUAACGCAUCGGGCAUAGAGUGCUAUUCCAUCCACAGGGAAGACAAAGGUACCACAUACAUAUGAGUAUUUAAGUAGCAUUGUUCUGAAAUCUGAAUUUAGUUUUUAAGUAGUAAGCCUUCUAAAGGGUCCAUGCUUCGAAAUCUACGUCGGGGUCAGUCAGCUUCAACCCUAUACAUAAUUUUUAUUAUUACUACUAAAAUAAUAAAAAUAUUUUUAUAUUAACACAUUAAUUUUUACAGUAUAUUAUAGAAUUUAAAACUUGCUGUCUAUUAAUUAGUAAUAAAAGAAUAAGCUCAUUCCGGAAAAAAAAACCCACAAACAAAAAGUAAAUGGAGAUUACAAAUAUGAGUCGUUUGGGUAUCUUCUGUUUAAUUAUUUUUGUGCUUUCUUGGCAAUUUUGGCAAUUUUAAAUUGAAAUAAAUGAAGCUUCUUCUUAAUUGGAAAUAAAAAAAUUGUCAUCAAGUGAAAAAAUCAUACUAAAUGAAAUAAAUAAUAAUGUGAAGUAAUAUAAUUCUAGAUGCAAAACUGAAAGUGCAGCUGAAAUUAUGUUGCUAAAACCCAUUUGUGUCGUAGUGCUCCUUAUAAUUUUAUAAAUUUUUAAAGGGUAACGUAAUAAUAUAAAAAAAGUUGAUGAAAUAUUUAUUAUUAUACAUUACAAUUAAUAUUUUUUUAAAGAAGUUUUGAUUUAUAAUUUUGUCUAAAAAUUCAGAUAAACCUCGUGCAAAAAUUAAAAUUUGUAUGUUUUGAGAUCUAAUUACCUUGUUUUUGCUCUCUUCUAUAAGCAAAAAUAAGUCAGGUAGAACUUUUUGAUGUAAAAUUAUUGACAUUAUGGGAUAAAUCAGGCUUCCCAAAUUAGGGUACUAAACAUCAAAACCAACUUCUUUAACUUACAGUUCCAGCAAGAAAUUGCUUGAUUCAUAUUGAAUCAAUACUUCUUUUUUACCUAUGAUUUAAUCUCAUUUAUUCAAAAUCUUAUGCACACAUCUUUGUCUCAAACUUGUAAUUAAGCAUUAAUUUUGCAGGGCCAAAAUCAAUUUUGAAUGUUUUAGAAACCUAAGGGAGACUGUAUAUAGAGUAAUGAUAUAGGAUUAUUUUACUGAUGUUGAGAAAUAUAGCAUGCUGAUCAUUUUUGAAUGUUUUCCAGGUGCAAGAAUGAAGCUAAUGAUUUCAGGUACAUGGUUGUUCCAUACAUUGAUUUUAUGUUGAGAAAAGAAAUGAUCUGAUGAAGCAUUGUAAUCUCUGACUAGGAUCAUGUUAUUUGCAGGUUUAACCAUAGGAUCACUUCUCCUUUUAUUGAGUGUCAUUGGACUCUGUUGGCUGCACCACUUGAAUAAAAAAGAGAAAGAUGGUCAACGCAAGAUCGAACAGUUUUUGGAGGAUUACAAAGCUCUUAAGCCCUCAAGAUAUUCCUAUGCUGAUAUUAAGAGGAUAACAAACCAAUUCAAGGAAAAACUUGGACAGGGUGGUUAUGGUACUGUGUUCAAAGGAACACUUUCCAAUGAUGUUUCAGUAGCUGUUAAGGUUCUGAAUAACUUCAAGGGAAAUGGUGAAGAGUUCGUUAACGAAGUUGGUUCAAUGGGAAGAAUCCACCAUGUCAAUGUUACUCGCUUAGUUGGUUUUUGUGCUGAUGGGUAUAACCGAGCCCUUGUUUAUGAGUACUUGCCAAAUGAGUCAUUAGAGAAAUUCAUAUUUGCAGCUAAGGGUGAGAAUCGUUUCCUUAGUUGGGAGAAGCUUCAUGAAAUUGCUUUAGGCAUAGCCAAAGGCAUUGAGUACCUUCACCAAGGUUGCGAGCAACGGAUCCUCCAUUUUGACAUCAAACCUCACAAUAUUUUACUGGAUCAGAACUUCACUCCUAAGAUCUCUGAUUUUGGUUUGGCUAAGUUAUGUUCCAAAGAGCAAAGUGCUGUUUCAAUGACAGCAGCAAGAGGAACCAUGGGCUAUAUUGCACCUGAAGUAUUGUCUAGGAACUUUGGAAACGUCUCAUACAAAUCAGACGUUUACAGUUUUGGAAUGCUCUUGCUUGAAAUGGUUGGAGGGAGAAAGAAUAUUGAUGUGACAUUGGCCAAUGAAAGCCAAGUGUACUUCCCGGAGUGGGUUUAUAAUCGUUUAGACAAAGGAGAAGAAUUAGGAAUUGAUAUCGAAGAUGAAGGGCAUCACAAGAUCGCAAAGAAACUUACAAUUGUUGGACUUCGGUGCAUUCAGUGGUAUCCAGUUGAUCGUCCUUCAAUGAAAUCUGUGGUUCAAAUGUUGGAAGGAGAAGCAGACAAUCUGACAAUGCCACGAAAUCCAUUUGCCUCUAAAGAUGAAAAGAAGCCUAAGAAGCCCAUUAACAGAGAGUUAGCAGCUAUUUCUGAAUAAGAAGAAAAGCAAUUUGCAGAAUGCAGCCUUACAAUCAAAAUGAGUAGAGUUUUUACUCUUAAUUUUGUUCUCUAUUAUUUUUAAAUGAUAAAUUUUAUGUAUAAUUAAUUUUUAUUAAUCUGGUAUCUACAAUAACAAGAGUUUAAAAUAUAAAAGCAUACGUGAUUCUUAAUACAUGAUUAAUUUGAUAGUGAAAAUAAUAUUGACUAAAUUAACUUUUAGACAUAUGUCCUUCAAAAUUAAUUUUAUUAUUUAUUUAUGAGAUAAAUAAAUUUCUGCGUCAAUUAUUGAUUUCAUACAUAUGAUAUUUUAAUGGAUAUUUAAUUAUUUAUGACAUAUAUGAUUUGAUCAGUUAUUUUUAAACAUGAAAUGAAGCCUAAAAAGCCCAUUAAUAGAGAACUAGUGGCUAUUUCUAAAUAAGAAUAAAAGCAAUUUGCAAACUACAACCUAAUCGAAAUGAGUAGAGUUUUUGCUUUUAAUUUUGUCUUGUGUAUAAUGUAAACGAUAAAAUUUAUAUAUAAUUAAUUUAUACUAAUUUUGUACUAUACUAGGAAUUUAGAAUACAAAAGUGUACAUAAUUUUUGAUAUAUGAUUUUAUAGCAAAAAUAAUACUGAUUAGAUUAAUUGUUGGGAUUUAGUAUACUUGGAUCUUCUUUUUCUUUUUUCUACGUAACUCUUCAAUAAGUGAGAUCUUAAUGUUUUUGUGUGAUGGGCCUAGCCAUAUCUUUAUAUAAUGAAUCCCUAAUCUCAUCCAUAAUAAGAUUUAGGGUUUCCUACACAUACUUACGCUUUUGAUCUCACAUUUGAUAUCGGAGUCUAGCCCACUUUAUUAAAUCAUAUUAUGGACUAUAAUAUUAUCACUUUAUAAAGGCCAAAAUAACUUAAUUUGGUUUUAAUAACAUACAAAAAAUAAAUAAUGUAACUCUACAUUUUGAUUUUACAAGAAAAUCUAACAAUCUCUCACUUAGUGUAAAACCCGACCCUAUAAACACAUGUCAUGACAUACAUGCACUGAGUAGCAUGUUAUUAUGCUAGGAAAGCACCUAAGAAUAGACGAAACCCGGUAUUGUACCUAACGGUACACUUGAGUUGAUUUAACCUCAAACUAAUUUAAAUAGGAAUCGUAGGAUGAAAUUUAAUAUUUUACAGUCCAGGAAUGACUAAAAAUGAUUGUUCGGAGUUCGAGGGUUCAUUUGGGGUAAAAUUGAAAAUUUUGAUGUUCAGGGGCAAAAUAGUAAUUUUUCCACCCGUGGAUAAAAUUUGAGAUUUUGAGAGAAUUUAGAUCACAUUUGACAAAUUGGAGAAUGGUAUGAGUAUAAGGGAUGAAAAUAUGUCUAUGGGCAAUUUUUUAGUUUUUGGGGUAAAAAUGUAAUUUUUGACUUUUACGGGGGCAAAAGUGUAAAUUUCAAAAAUUACUCCACCAAGACUUUGGAUAAGUCUGAGAAUUUUGUCUAAGCUAUGGAUAUGUGAGACAAGUGUAUGGUGAAAAUUUGGAAACAAAUGGAUGAAAUUUUAAAAACGGACAAAUGGGAAAAUGACACAUGGCAUUUUUUUAAUGGUUUAAUAUUAUUUUAAUGAAAAGUCAGCCCAUUUAAACCCCAUUUUAAGUGAUGGCCAGCCAUAAGGGAGAACAAGACAGAAAAUAGAGAGGAAAGGAAGAAAAAAAGAAAAACCAAAGAGAAACAAGAAAAUUCAAAGGGGAAUUCGCGUUUUUUGCUUGUUUACGCGUCUAACGGUAAGAUUUUUCGACUUUAGCUUGAUUUCUACCUUUCCUAUGCCUUUGUUUCCAUUUAGCAUGCUUGAGGAGAGAGAUCUAAAAGUGACAUCAAGGGCUGGCCGAGUUUCAAGGGGGGAGAAAUUGAAAUUUUUAGGUUUUAAUUUUUAGUUAAAUUGAUAGUUUUAGUUAGUUAAAUGUGUUUAGAAAUUAAAUUGGGCAAGAAAGCAUUAAAUUUUCACAAUACCUACCCUUGGCCGAAUCUGCAAUGAGAUACAAUGAUGAUAAUCUGAUUUUUAUUCUAANAAUACAAUGUCAUCCACAUAUAUUUGUACAACAAUUAAAUCAUGUAAGUAUCUUUUAAUAAACAAUGUAGUAUUAAUGUUGCCUCUAUCAUAACCUUUUUCAACCAGAAAUUUUGAAAGCCUCUCAUACCAAGCUCUAGGAGCUUGUUUCAAUCGAUACAAGGCUUUAUAGAGUUUGUAAACAUAGUUUGGUUUUUCAAAAUCUUCAAAACCUGGUGGCUGUUCAACAUACACUUCCUCUUGAAUGAAUCUAUUUAAAAAUGCACUUUUUACAUCCAAAUGGUACAAUUUGAAAUUCAUGAAGCAUGCAAAAGCUAACAACAACCUUAUGGAUUCAAUGCUAGCAAUGGGUGUAAAAGUUUCAUCAUAGUUUAUUCCUUCUCCUUGGUUGUAUCCUUGGGCUACUAACCUAGCUUUAUUUCUUACUACAUUUCCUUGCUCAUCUACCUUAUUUCUAAACACCCAUUUUAUGCCAACAAUAGGGUGAUUUAAAGGUCUAGGUACUAGUGACCAUACAUGAUUUCUUUUGAGUUGGUUAAGUUCCUCUUACAUGGCCAUUAUCCAACUUUCCUCAUUUUCAGCUUCUUCAAAGUUUUUAGGUUCAAUUUGUGAUAUGAAGGCUGAAAACUCACAAGUCUCUCUUGUUGCUCUCCUAGUUUUGACACCUUGAGAGAUAUCACCUAUGAUUUGCUCUUGUGGAUGCUCUCUUAUAAAUCUUCAACUUUUUGGAAGAUCACUAUGCUGAUUUUCUAUUCUUUGCAAAUCUUCUAGAGGUUGAGUUUCAUUUUUUCUUCUAAGUGAGCCUUAUUCAUUAUUCUUAUUGUUCUCUAAGCUCAUUUCUUCCAUUUGUUUUUCUAGGAUUUCGACAUCAUCAUCAUCAACAUGAAUUUCCUUUUGUAAAUCAUUUGACUCAUCAAAAACUACAUGGAUUGAUUUUUCAACAUUUAGAGUCCUUUUGUUGAAAACUCUAUAAGCCUUGGAGUUUAAUGCAUAUCCUAAAAAUAUUGCCUCAUCACUUUUUGCAUCAAACUUUCUUAGGGGCUGUUUUCCAUUGUUCAAUACAAAACAUUUACAGCCAAAACUCCUAAGGUGAGAAAUGUUUGGUUUCCUACCCUUGUAAAAUUCAUAUGGUGUCUUAGAUAUCAUGGGUCUUAUUGAGACUCUAUUAAGUAUAUAGGCUGCUGUGUUCAUAGCCUCAGCUCAAAAAUAUUUUGGUAGGUUAUUCUCACAUAACAUAGUCCUAGCCAUUUCUUUUAAGGUUUGAUUUUUCCUCUCUAGUACUCCAUUUUGCUGAGGUGUUCUAGGUGCAGAGAAAUUGUGAUCCAAUCCCUUUUCAUUGCAAAAUUUCUCAAAUUCAUCAUUUUCAAAUCUUCCUCCAUGAUCACUCCUUAUGCUAACUAUGGCUAGUCAUUUUUCAUUCUCUACUUUCCUACAAUGACUUACAAAAGCUGAUAUAACAUCAUUUUUAUGGGUAAGAAAAUAAACUCAAGUAUAUCUAGAAUAGUCAUCAACUAUUACAAAGCCAUAAGAUUUUCCUCCUAAACUAGUUGAACUUAUUAGACCAAAUAGAUCAAUGUGUAAUAAUUCAAGAGGUCUAGAUGUUGACUCAAUCUUCUUAGUCUUGAAAGAUGUUCUAACUUAUUUGCCUAGUUGGCAAGCAUCACAUAUUUUAUCAUUUUCAAGUUUAAAUCCGGCAGCCCAACAACUAAGUUCUUUCUAAUCAAUUUUGACAUAGUAUGCAAGCUUACAUGUCCUAAUUUCCUAUGCCAUAACCAGUUGUCAUUUUCAGCAUUUGCAACAAAACAUAAUUCAUUGUUUAUUUCAAGAUCCUAAAGAAAAACAACAUAUAUAUUCUUUAAUCUCUUUCCUAUAAAUGACACAUUGUUUGUACCUAUGUCUAUUACUUCACACUUAUUUGAAUCAAAACAUACUUUAAAUCCUUUGUCACAUAAUUGACUAAUACUCAAUAAAUUAUGCUUUAAGCCCUUAACUAUCAACACAUGACUAAUUUGAGUUUGGGAGUUCUUACCAACUGUGCCUAUCCCAUGGAUUCUACCUUUUGAAUCAUCACCAAAGGAUAUGGUACCUCCCUUUCUUUUGUCUAGCUGAGCAAAUAACAUUUCAUCUUCAGUCAUAUGUCUUGAGCAGCCACUAUCCAUGAACCAAGGCUGUUUUUUCUUGAGUUGAGCUCUUGAACAUGUCUCCUUUAAGUACAGCUCAACCUACAAAAUAGAAUUUUAGUUUUUCUUUAUAGGUACCCAUACUUUGAUGGGUCCUUGAGAGUUAGUUGCAAUAUAGGAUCCCUUAGGGACCUAAAUUCUUCUAACUUUCUGCAACUUACUUCUCUUAAAGCAAUCAUGUGAAACCUCGACUCUCAUAGAUGAAUACCUCGAGGUGGAACUUAUGUUUAAAGGUUUAAUUUGAGCUAAUGAUGCUAGUUUUACAUUACUUAUAAUUAUUUUAUGUUGUUAUAGGAGUAGGAUUCAAAAAUAGUUUCAAUUGGUGAAGAAAGGUGUAUAAUGGGCUAUUACUCUAUUUGCUUAUGUUAUGGUUUUUCAAGCAUAUCUCCCACUACAGAAGUCCAAAUGACAUAAUUUUUAAACUAUUGAAAAGCUAAGAGGUAGGGCUGCAACUUUGAUGUUUACCACUUUUCCCAGUUUUGAAGGGAAGGUGGUCAAAUCUUUGUUGAAGUGGAAGUACUACACCAGGAGAACAGAUUCGGACAAAACAUUUGAGCGUCGCAGUGCUGGAAAUUGAUAGCCGUGGCCCUCAUCGUAAUUUCCACAAAUAACAAGUUUAGGGGAUUUUUUAAGCUAAGACUUUUGAGGGCUACUUAAGGGACCUCUUUAAGAGGAUUUGAGACCUUUUCCAAUGUCAAAAGAGUAAAAGAUUACACAAGAAAAGGAGGAAGACAAGUGGCCUUGUUAAGGGCAUUAUUUUAAUUGCAUGAAGAUUUAGAUAAGUUUUAACUAUAAAAAUCUCAUUCUUUCAGCAGCUUCUUCACUUUUCCAACAACUUCUUCUUCUCCUUCCCCCAUCUCACGUUUCUCUCCUCUUCCAUGAAAACUUCUCUCAAGCUUCCAUCACUCUCUUAAACUAACCUCAAUUUUUAUGCUUUACACACCCUGUUGUAGGGUUUUUCAUACUUUUUUACUCCCUCGCCUUAAACAAACCCUUAAAAGUCUUUCUUCAAUACUUUCUCUCACCAGUUGAACUUUGUAGAGAGAGAAAAAGAGGUUUUAUGAUCGCUUGAGGACUCUUGGGAAGAAAUUUCAUUACAAUCCACCAAGGUGAGUGAUGGAUUAGGACUGGUUUUAAGUUGUUGAUAAAGGCUAAUAAUUAGAAUUAAGAAUUGUGUAUUACUGAAGUUGUUUAUCUAUUUCUAGUGUUGCUAAAGUAGAUAACUGAAUAACCAAUCAAAUGGUAAUGGAAGAUAAAUAGGAAGGGCUAGUGAAGCUUGAUUUGGGAAAAUAGCUUUGGAAUGGUAUUAAUGCCAAGUUGGGUUGAUUAUGAUGUUGUUGUGUAUAUAGGUUCCACCGAAACCCCACACCUCUAUUCGAAACAUUAGUCGAAGUUAGAGCCCAUUGAAACAUCAAUAAAGACUGGUGAGUGAACUUUCAUUUCAAAAUAUUUUGGGGAAAUGUUUACGUGUUUCAAUGAAUCAUUUGGGAAUUUUAUCGAUUUUUGCUUUAAAAUUACUUGGGAACAAGCCCUUGAAAAAAUGUUUGAUGUUGUGAAAUGUGAAAUGUGAAAUAUGUAAAAGGAUAGACAUCCACAUGUUUUUGUAUGAUGUUGAUAUAUAUAUAUAUAUAUAUAUAUAUAUGUAUACUAUGUCAUAAAUGGUACUGUUGUGUGACAAAUGCAACCGUGGCAUGUGCGGGGUGAGUGUGCACUUGGUGAGUGAUGACGGUGGUGAGGGAGAUGGAUGGUGAUACUAUCCGGCUAUGUGCACGAUGUGGUGGGAUGUACAUGACCUGGGUGAGAUGCACAUGAUGAAUCUUAAAAAUUUGUCAGUUAUUUGCAAAUUGAUUUUAUUGCAACGAGAAACACUCUGUUUAUACUGCCUUACUUGGAUAAUUGUUGGAAAUUUCCCUUUUUUCCAAUUUCAUGCUGAAUACGGUUCCUUCAUCAUUAAAUGGUUUAAUAACCAAGGGUUUAAAUGGAGGGAUUUUAAUAAGAACUUGAACUAAGUUGCAUUGUUUUCGAAUAAGUGCAUCAUGAUUAUCAACUUUCCUUGUUGUUGCUUGUUCCCUUCUUAUGUUCAUUCACUGAGUUUGUACUCACUAUUUUCAACUUCAUGUUUUCAGAUCAAGAGGCAGUUGGAACCUAGGUCGAGGUGUCCACAUAGUUUCGCCUUUGUUGGUAGGUAUAUUGGCAUUCAGUAGCCGUCCCUUCACCUUGGUCAUUCCGCUAGAAGUCAAGAAUCAUUUUGUUUGUGAAUACGUUCAUGUGAUGUAAAGUAUUAAGAUAUGUGUCUUAGACAAUGUACGUAUACUGUGACGGGUAAUGCCACCACUGGUUGGCAAUGGUUAACAUUAUUUGGGUAACGUGAAAUGCAGUUUUUGAUUGCUACAACAUAUUACUUAGGUACUUAUAAAUUGGAAGUAUGAAAGGUGACUUUAAGAAUAAUUGAUGGAAUGAUGAGUAGGAUUACGUAAAUAGGCUUGCUUGGGCUUAGUAGACUACGUCCAUUGAGUCCAUGCGCCGGUCACGUCUUGGAAAUCAGGUUGUGACAAUAAGAAUGAAGUUAGCAAACUUCUUUGGUGAGCUUAAGACAUGUUGAAAACUUCAGCCACGUGAUUGGAAACUACCUUGGAAACCCUUUUUAUAAAGGUCUUAAGUUGCUUAAGAGAAAAGAAAUGAGUAUGAAAUCGAAUGAUAUAGAAUUGGACUGAAAUAUUACAAACCAUGAAUGAAGUAUCAACACUUAUUGUCCAAAAUGCCUUGGGAAGCAUUCUAAAUAGAAAGUAUCAAUACCUAUAAAAGAAGUAUUAUUACCCAAUGGCCAGAAUGCCUUGGAAAUCAUUAUGUGUGGAAAGUAUCGAUACCUACAAGAGUAGUAGCAAUAACUAGUGGUCAUAAUGCCUCGGGAAACAUUUUGUGUAGAAAGUAUCAUUACCUAUAAGAGAGGCAUCAAUGCCUAGUGGUAAGAAUACAUUAGGAGCAUUCUUUGUGAAAGUAUCAAUACCUCAAAGAGAAGUAUCGAUACUCAGUGUCUUGAAUGCCUUGGGAAAAGUAUCCCACGUGAAAGGUUUCGAUAUCUGACUUACAAGUAUCGAUAUUUGAGGUAAAAAUAUAAAAAGAAGGCCUUGAUUUGGCCACCCAAUUCACACCUUUUUCUCAGUUACUUUAAAACCCUUUUUCUCCUGGUUCCAAAUCCUUUCAUAACCACCCAAACUUAACUUAUAUCAAAGCUUCUGAGUCAACUUAUAUCAAAGGUUUCCACCCUUUAAAAUGUUUUAAUCGAUCAACUUUCGAAUUAAUUUCUCUCUAAGAAAUUCUUCUUAUCUCUUAGGUGUUAGGGUUUCCAACUUGAGUCUCUUGAGGCAAGCUCACCAAUUGUUGUUGGAUUUACCACGCAAGUACAUGUAUUGUUAACAACUAAUUUAUUGAAGAGUUGAGUAUCAUUCCCAUAGAGAAUUGCAACAAAAAUCUUUUGCAAAGUACUAAAAUUAACACAAUUUAAUCUUAUAUAAAUAACCAAUUUUUAAAGUGAUUAAAAAUUAAAUAAAUUAAAAUUAAAAACAAGAAUCGCAAUUUAAAUAGAAUUAAUCAAUCAAACAAGACUUAGAAUUACAAUAUCCCCUCAACACUUCAUCUAAAUCUCUUUUACUUUCUCUUUACUUACUAAAUAAGCUUGAGUUGUUAACCUAGAAUUCUAAAAUAUUUAUAAGUCUCCGUCGAGUUUCUUAUAAAAAUAUCUCUCUUAACCAAUUCACUAUAUGUCUAUACAAAUUGCAAUGAAGAAAAACUCACUAAGAUUAUAUUCUAAUAUUGGCUACAUAUGUCAUGCAAGUGUAUGUUUACCUCACACACGAAUCAAAUCAAUCAUCUCAUGUAAUUGAUAUUGAACAUCUGCUAUUUCAUCUAAGGCUUACAUUAAACUCCCUUUCUCAGUUUUGUUUAGGUUAUCUUAUUUAUCUAAUUGGUGAUCAAAUAAUUAGACGCAUUAAGUGCAAGAUUGAAAUAAAGAACUCAAACACUAUCCAUCAUAAGCAAAGAGAGUAUUAAAAUUCAAAUUACAUGUUGGGUUCAAUUGCAAUUCUAGAUAAGAAAACUAGUUCCUCAUAGCUAUUAAAAAAAAAACAAUUUAACCAUCAACACCAAACAAAGAAAGUAUAAAAAGAACUAAAGAAGAAAAGAAAACUCAGAUUUGUUAGAUCUUCAAUCUUCAAUCUUCAAGAGUUUUUCCUUCACUUUCUUAAUUGCUUGACGACUCUUUUUGCUGAGAGAAAGCCUAGCUUAAUUGUUGUUCUCAAGUGCUUUGAAAGUGUCUUUAAAUAAGGCUCAAAAUCCUUGUCGAAAUAAACGUUCAAAUGUUGAAAAACUUGAGUUAUCGUGUCGGCACCGCAGCGCCGAGCUCUUUGCCUUGGCCCUUGUAUCCUCUUAUUCUUGGCAUCGCGACACCCAACAUUCUGUCUUGCCACAUAUGAUUUGAUGCACUACUUAGACUUGUGGUGCAUUUUUCUCCUUUUUUUAAGCUAAAUUUGGAAAAAUGUUAAACAUAAAAGUUAUAGCCCUAUCUCUUAACUUUCCAAAGGCUUAAGAAUCAUAUUAAUUAGACUUCUAGAAUGAUAUUUAUGCUCAAAAUACCAAAACAUGUGUAGAAAAAGCAUGGACCUUGUGUGCACUUUUUUUCAUUAAUUAAAGCCCUUUCAAUUGUACACCUAUAAGAACAACAAACUUAAACAAUAACUAAACUAAAGCAAAUUAUCAUAAAAUAACAUAAAAUAACUUAAAUUAAAUUGAUUUAACAAGAUUUAAUAAGAUAAAUAACUCAAACUUACUAAUUUAUGAAUUAAAUGUCAAGAACUUAGCCCAUUUAAAGCUCAAAAUGUGACAAAAUAAAUAUAAGAAAUAGAGUUAUCAUACCCCAAACUUGAGAUUUUGCUAGUCCUCGAGCAAAACAUAAAAGAAAACUUAAAGAAAACAAAAUUAUGUAAAUGAUGAAAAUAAUUUAAAUAAAGAAAACAACUAGCUAGCUAGAGAUGAAUUACGCCAAUCCAAUGAUCUAUCAUAAUUUCCUCGUAUGUUAUCUUAAAAUUUCAACUCAAGGUAAAACAUAGAUAUCAUUCAAGUUCAUGUUUCAAUUCAAAUGCAAGCUCAUUCUCAAAUGGAUUUCUGAGCGUGUAUGCAAUCUUUUACAAAGAACAUCAUGCAAUCCGGAUAAGUCUAUGCCAAUGCAAAAUUCAAAUUAGUACAAGAAUCCCAUAGGUUUGCUUUUCAUUUCUCUUUCCAUUAAUUUAAACUAAUACUAAGUCAAGGAUCAUUAGGUCUUUAUCAAGCUUGUAAUAAAUAACUAGGAUCAACAUAAGAUAAAGGAUAUUUAUAAGGCUCAAUUCGCCUAAGCACAUAAUCAUUAUAAGGCCUAUAUAGUUGUCACGACCCAAAUUUCGGGCCAUGAUCGACGCAUGGGCCCAAUGGGCAUAGCCCACUAAGCCUAAGCAAGCCUAUUUAUGUGACCUGUUCAUCAUUCCAUCAAAAGUUCCUAAAGUCACAUUUCAUAAUUCUAAUUCAAAAUAAUGCUAACCAUUGCCAACUCAUAGUGGCAUUUCCAAUCAAAAUAUACAUAUAUAGUCUAAAACAUACAUCUUAAUAAUUUACAUCGGGUUUGUCUAUACACAAAAAAAGGGAUACUUGACUUCCAGCGGAGAGACCCGAGUGAAAGUAGAGCUAUUGAAUGCCGAGAUACCUACCAAGGAGACGAAUCUACGAAGACACCUUGACCUAGUUACCAACUACCUCUUGAUCUGAAAACAUGAAGUUGAAAACAGUGAGUAUAAACCCAGUGAGUGAACAAAGUAAGGGAAUGAGCAAACGAUAAGAAAAGUUUAAAGAAAUCAUGAUGCACUUAUUUUCAAAAACAAUGCAAUUUAGUUUAGUUCUUAUUAAAACCCCUUAUUAAACCCUUAAUUGGUUAAUCACUUGAUGAUGAAGGAUCCAUGCACAACAAAGAAUUUGAAGAGUGAAAACUUUAGUAGCAUUCAAGCAAGUCAAGCAAAAUGAUUGAUCCUCGCUGUAGUAGAUAGGCAUUCUCGCUGCAGCAAAAUUUGGGCUUAAAUCAUCAGUUGGCCAAGGGUUUCUCACAAAAAUCCCUCAUUUCAAACUUAAUUAAUUAAUUCCUUGAUGUUGGAAGUCCAUGAUCAACUAUCAUGUUAAAGAAGUGGAAAAUAUGGCAAAAACCAAACAAGAUAGCAAGCACGACAAAGGUUUCUCGCUGCAGCAAAACCACCUGUAGACAUCUCACUGCAGCGAGAAUAGCGAGAAUGUAUUCUCACUGUAGCGAGCUACAGAACUGUAGCCAGCCUCCCAACCCGAGACUUUCUCGCUGUAGUGAGAAAUAGAACACCAAGAAGAAAGUUCUCAUUAUAUCAAGAAAAGGCCAUUCUGCUGCAAUGACAAAAUCAACUUGAAAAUACUUAGCAAUUUCCAAGGUUCAACAUGCAAGAUUUCACAUACAUUACAACCAUAUACCAUAUUCAUGAACUUUCUCUUGCAUAAAUGUGUAUAUAUAUAUAUAUAAACACCAAUACCACCACUGCCUCACCCAGCUCAUGUGCAACCCCAACAUCGUGCACAUAGCUGGAGUCAUCAUGUGCAUCCCCCACAUCAUGCACAGCUAAUACCGUCGUGUGCAUCCCCCACAUCACGCACAAGCAAUAUCAUCAUCCACAUUCCUGCACCCGUCAUCACCGGCAUAUGCAUCCCCCACAUUGCGCACACGCACAGUUAUAUUUAUUAUACAAUAUUAACUAUCGAUAUACAACAUAUAUAUAUAUAUAUAUAUCAGCAUCCUAUAGAAGCACAAGGAUUCAUCAUAUUGCACACUCACUACAUAAAACGUUUUAAUAAAGGCUUGUUCCCAUGCAUAUUUUAAAGAAAAACAAAUAAAAUAUUUCAAUGGAUUUAAUCAAACACAUAUGCCCUAAUCCCAAAACAUUUUAAUGCAAGUUCACUCACCUUGGUGGAUUUGUAAUUGAAUUUCUUUUCAAAAUUCUUCCAAGCUAAUAAGGGAAAUCACUCCCUUUCUCUCUACACGUCCAACUAGUGAGUGAAUGUACUUAAGAAAGACUUUUAAAGGUUGUUGAGGUGUAAAAGUUGAAGAGCAUGAAAAACCCUAUGAAAGGGUGUAGAAACACAUGAGAAAUAAAGCUAAUUUGAGGAAGUUUUAAAGGUUUCAAAGGAUAUUUCCAUGAAAGGUGCAAAGAAACAUGGAAUGCAAAGGAGGAUAGGAGAAAGAAUAAGAAGAGAAGCUACUGGAAAAACUGAAGAAAAGCUACUAGAGAUUAGAUAUUUAUAGUUAAAGUUCAUCCAAUUUUCAUGCAAUUUACAAUAAUGCCUUUAACAAGGCCACUUGUCUUCCUCCUUUCCUUUAUGCACUCUUUUUACUCCUUUAACACCAAGACAAAGUCUAUAAUAGUUUAAAAGUACUCGAGUUCACGAAAACUUAAAAAUUUAGGCUUGAGGUACAAAAUGACCAUUUUACCUUUAUCGUGGAAAUUAUUAAUAUUUAUAUCUUCUUCAUUUAUUUUACCCUCAUUCAUUUAUCCCUUAGGCCUACUUAGACCUUAAUAAUGUCUGAAAGCCUACUUCUAAGGGCUCACCAUGAGAAAUGAUAAAAUUACCCUUGGCUCGUGUUAUCGCGUCUACACCUAGUUACAGGCCUAUAGAAGUCGAGGUCUCACAAUAGUGCCCUAGUCAUAUUUCCAAGUAACACCUUUCUUUUGAUGCCAACUUUUCCUUUUGUUCAGUACUUUAUUCUUCUUCUUUUCUUUUUCUCUUUUUUUUCAUCACAAUUUUACAUCCCUAAACUUAUUUCUUUCUAUGACGGAUAGUGGGGUGAAUAUUGAGCAUUAUUGAACUUUUUCAACAACUUCACCCUCUAAACAUCAAGCUCAAUACACUUCCUAAAAUGAUUAACAUACUUAAGAGUGAAGGAUGCAAAAUUGGAAAUUUAAUUUAUAGGCCUAGGCUAAAUAAAAUAGGUGUUUAACAAAGAAAAGGUAAUAUUAGGCUUAAAGGGGUAUUCUAAGGAUAAACAUAUAAAAAGGUAGGCUCGAAAGGUUCAAAUGGUCCAAAGAUGGCCUAUUUCAUUUCCUUAACUAAGUAUUGCCUAGGAUUUGGCCUCGAGAGAGAAUCAAACAAAUUCUAGAAUUCAUGACAUAAUCAAAUUCACAUCAACAUAAACUGUCUCUAAAUAUGCACAACAAUUCUAAACAAAAGACAAUGUGCUUUAUUUAUUAAUAAUCUCAUUCUAACAAUGAUACUUAACAUAAGAACUUAUCAUAAACCAAAUAAUAUCCAUAUUUACCAAAAGCUAAAGAUAACAAGAUAACUAAAUUUUCAUCAUUGGAUAAGAAAAUCAUAAGAAAAUUGGCACAAUCUACUUUAGUUUAAAAUUCUUAAAAAAACACAUAAAGAAAAGUAAAUGAUAAGCUAAAAAGCCUUAAAAACAUAAUUGCAAAUAAAUAAAAUAAUACUCUAAAGAAAUAAAACCAUAGCAAAAAAAAUUUUAAACUACCCCAAAACUUAAUAUCAACAUUGUCCUCAAUGUUAUAAAUAGAUAAAGAAAAGGUAAAAAAAACUCCCCUAGUCUGUGGAGAGACUUUACUCUUCUUCCUCAUCUUUCUCAUUGUUGCCUAUGCUAGAAAGAUCCAGUAAGGUAGGAAAGUUGGUCAUAUCCAUCCCCAUGUAGUUUGCACUUCAUUGGAACAUCUGCUCCAUGCCUUGAUUGCAAUCCAUUUGAUAUGACAUUUGUUGUUUGUAUCAGAGCUUAAGACGUUCCAUUCUUUGAGGUAAUGUCAAGUUCUAGGCUCGAGGUUGAGUAGCUCUAGGUUGAGGUGCAGAGGAAAAACUACUGACAGUAGUUGAGGGAUCAUAGUAUCUCUGAAUAAGUCCCACAUCAAUACGAGCUUUUGGGUGCAGCAAUUCUACACUCUUGUUCCAUUGGACACUAGCUCUCCCACCUAAGGUGGUUAUCAAAGAGGGGAACUAUAAACCAUCACUUUUUGAAUAGGUUGUUUGUAAUAUGGCGUUGAAGACCACUUGGCCAAUGUUGAUGUAUUUUCCCGUAACAAUGGUGUAAAUAAGGAUUGCUCUUUCCCGUGUAACAUCACUAAUAUGUCUAGAUGGAAACAUCAUUGCUGGAUGGCCAACGUAUGGCCCUAUUACUAUUUGUACAAAAUUUAAGCCAGAGAUAUUGUAUUUUAUUCGAAUUUAUUAUGAAUAUUUGAUGAUUGAAUCCCUUGGCCUAUGUAUGUUUGAAUAUGAACUCUAAGGCUUGCUCGGGUUUAGUGGGCUUGCUUGUUGAGCUUGUGUACUGGUCAUGGCCCUCGGGUUUGGGUCAUGACAAUACACACAUCAUCAACAUAUCAAUCACAUCUUUUUCUUUAACUCAUAUUCAUGAAUAAUCUAAUCUCAAAGGGUAUGUGGUAAUGCAUCACAUAUUAUCCCAUAAAAUCAUGUCUCACAUGUUCCUUAAAUGAAAACAUAUCAUAAGUUUAAGGGUGGGAAUGUCUACCUCACCUAAGCUGUCACGACCCGGAACUCCCCAUCGGGCCCGUGACAACCGUUGCGAGGCCUCGACAAACAUUCUUCACCCCGAAUGUCGAUCGAAACUUUGCAAGGCUCUCGUAUCAGCUUUCGCACUUCCCCGGUGAGCAAUAGUUAUCAAAUAUCAAAAUCGAAGGAUUACAAAUCAUUUCCAAAUCAGAACAUAACAUAUUGUUUUCUGGCUCACAAGAGCAUUUUCGUCAUUUUUGUCAAAAAUUUUGAAACUUGCUAAAAAUGUAGUAGGUAAGCAGAAAAUAUAUAUUUAAUGAUUUAAAAACAAAUUAAGUAUCUAAAAUGUUCAUUUGAAGUGAAAAUUUGACCAUUUGAAUAUAAUAAAAAUAUUCAAUAAAAUAAACUAUUUUCUUGUAAAAUAAUUUUCAUAAAACUAUCGGUACAUAAUACUUAUAGCGUAAAAGUUAAUUAUAUUCAUAUAUACUAUAAAGCAAAUAACCAAAGCAUAAAAUUUCUUUUACAGUGACCGAGGGCCCACAUCUAACCAAAAUGCAUCGGAAGUUAGAAACCUAUAGCUUUUACCGAUUCGAGUCCAAAUGAAGGUNNNNNNNNNNNNNNNNNNNNNNNNNNNNNNNNNNNNNNNNNNNNNNNNNNNNNNNNNNNNNNNNNNNNNNNNNNNNNNNNNNNNNNNNNNNNNNNNNNNNNNNNNNNNNNNNNNNNNNNNNNNNNNNNNNNNNNNNNNNNNNNNNNNNNNNNNNNNNNNNNNNNNNNNNNNNNNNNNNNNNNNNNNNNNNNNNNNNNNNNNNNNNNNNNNNNNNNNNNNNNNNNNNNNNNNNNNNNNNNNNNNNNNNNNNNNNNNNNNNNNNNNNNNNNNNNNNNNNNNNNNNNNNNNNNNNNNNNNNNNNNNNNNNNNNNNNNNNNNNNNNNNNNNNNNNNNNNNNNNNNNNNNNNNNNNNNNNNNNNNNNNNNNNNNNNNNNNNNNNNNNNNNNNNNNNNNNNNNNNNNNNNNNNNNNNNNNNNNNNNNNNNNNNNNNNNNNNNNNNNNNNNNNNNNNNNNNNNNNNNNNNNNNNNNNNNNNNNNNNNNNNNNNNNNNNNNNNNNNNNNNNNNNNNNNNNNNNNNNNNNNNNNNNNNNNNNNNNNNNNNNNNNNNNNNNNNNNNNNNNNNNNNNNNNNNNNNNNNNNNNNNNNNNNNNNNNNNNNNNNNNNNNNNNNNNNNNNNNNNNNNNNNNNNNNNNNNNNNNNNNNNNNNNNNNNNNNNNNNNNNNNNNNNNNNNNNNNNNNNNNNNNNNNNNNNNNNNNNNNNNNNNNNNNNNNNNNNNNNNNNNNNNNNNNNNNNNNNNNNNNNNNNNNNNNNNNNNNNNNNNNNNNNNNNNNNNNNNNNNNNNNNNNNNNNNNNNNNNNNNNNNNNNNNNNNNNNNNNNNNNNNNNNNNNNNNNNNNNNNNNNNNNNNNNNNNNNNNNNNNNNNNNNNNNNNNNNNNNNNNNNNNNNNNNNNNNNNNNNNNNNNNNNNNNNNNNNNNNNNNNNNNNNNNNNNNNNNNNNNNNNNNNNNNNNNNNNNNNNNNNNNNNNNNNNNNNNNNNNNNNNNNNNNNNNNNNNNNNNNNNNNNNNNNNNNNNNNNNNNNNNNNNNNNNNNNNNNNNNNNNNNNNNNNNNNNNNNNNNNNNNNNNNNNNNNNNNNNNNNNNNNNNNNNNNNNNNNNNNNNNNNNNNNNNNNNNNNNNNNNNNNNNNNNNNNNNNNNNNNNNNNNNNNNNNNNNNNNNNNNNNNNNNNNNNNNNNNNNNNNNNNNNNNNNNNNNNNNNNNNNNNNNNNNNNNNNNNNNNNNNNNNNNNNNNNNNNNNNNNNNNNNNNNNNNNNNNNNNNNNNNNNNNNNNNNNNNNNNNNNNNNNNNNNNNNNNNNNNNNNNNNNNNNNNNNNNNNNNNNNNNNNNNNNNNNNNNNNNNNNNNNNNNNNNNNNNNNNNNNNNNNNNNNNNNNNNNNNNNNNNNNNNNNNNNNNNNNNNNNNNNNNNNNNNNNNNNNNNNNNNNNNNNNNNNNNNNNNNNNNNNNNNNNNNNNNNNNNNNNNNNNNNNNNNNNNNNNNNNNNNNNNNNNNNNNNUUUUUCACUUAAUUUCCUUGAAAAUUCACACUUUUUCUUUGAUUUUCUCUCUCUAGGGUUUUGUUUUUGUUUUCUCUCUCUUCUUGCUGGUUUGGCCGGCCAUGGGGUGGAAGAUGGGCUGAUUUUUGUGCCUUUUAAAAAGAAAAAUAAUAAAUUAAUAAAGGCAUGACGUGGGGCAUCAUGUCAUUGGCCUGUUUUUAAAACUUUAAAAAUUUUAAUCCUUUUUGUCUCCACCACACAAUUAGUAAAUGGUCAAAAUGAGGAUAAGAGAUGACCAUGUGCUGGAAAAAUGUCUUGGUGGUGGAAAAUUACUGUUUUGCCCCUAGGGUGGUAAAAUUACCAUUUUACCCCUAUACUCCAAAUUAUACCGAAAUUAAAAAUUUUCACUUCUAAACCUCAAAUCAUACUCCAAUAAGUCAAAUGGGGCCAAAAAUCGUUUCUAAAAAUUCCCAUUUUGUCCUUAGGUGGCAAAUGACCAUUUUGCCCCUAGAUAGCGAAAAUUUCAAUUUGACUCCAAAUUGAUCCUCGAACUCCGAAUCACCAUAUUAAACCAUUCCGAGACUUUAAAAUUCUUAAUUUCAUCAUAAAUUCUCUAUUUGAUCUAGUUCGAGGCUUAAAUCAACUUUGUUGUACCUCUAGGUACAAUAUCGACUUUUGUAAAUUUUUCAAGACUCUCCUAGCAUGCAAACAUGCUAUCCAUCACAUGUAUGUCAUGACAAAUAUUUUUAUAGAGUCGGGUUUGUCAUCUUCUCCCCCACUUGGAUCAACCAUAUGAUCCUUCUUAAUGACUGAUUUUGAUAUUCGACUAAAUAUUAAUAUUUUAAUAUUAUUUUAUUAAUAAAAUAUUAUUUUAUUUUAAAAAUUUUAUCUUGUCUCCUUGGUACCCAAAAUACCUUAUUAUGCCUCACUUGACUUCCGAAUUGCCUUUUAUCUCACAAAUUCUCCUUCGAUAAAAUUAUUAUUAUUUUAUUAUUAUUUUCUCACUUGCGGAAUAUUUUAUCCUAAACUACUCUUUUCGCCUUUUAUCACUUUUAAAUAUUUUAAUUGACCUCAAUUUGCAUUUGAUCAACUUUAUUUAUCACCAUAUCAAAGUAUGGGGUAUUUCAUAAGCAUUCAUUUCUUAUACUUUUCCAUAGCAACAAUGUAGGUACUAACUUAUCUGAAUCGUAUUUCUCCAAAAAUACUAAAUCAUUAUGCUCAUCAUCAAGUAUAAAGAUGGGAACUUACAUCUAUUUCUCAUCCAUAAAUCCAUACACAUUUUUUAUUUCCUAUUCAAAACAGAAUUGAAGUUUUUGAAGUAAAACAUGUGAAAGGGCUUAUCCCCCCUUAUUGAAAACUAUUACACAAUAGUGAUAUUUACGUAUAGAAUUAGAUUUUAAAACUUUUUGAAAACAUUUGGAUAAAAAUAAUUUGAUUUAAUUUUGUAAACCAAGUAUUCAAAUCAUGCAAAGUUAAACAACUCAAUCAAACAUGCUUAGCUUUAUUGUAUUAAUAUACUUAAAAGGGUGUAUCCACUCAUCUUCGAAAUGUUGACCGCUAUCAAUAAACAAGACUUGACUCCAACAAAUUCCUUGGAGCUUUGACAGCACCUAAAGUGUUCGACAAUUAUUACAAUCAGUACUCAAACUAUAAAUCACAUAAUAACCAUUCUAAACCUUUUAAAAACUAACCAAGUUCAUUCAAACUACUUUUCUAGACCAAAACCACUGUUGUUCACUAACUAAAGCUGGAAAUUCAUAAACUCAUUUUUCCUUACCUUGGGUGUGCUUUAAUCCAUGAGAAAAAUCACCAAAUCCUUAGCUUGAAAGACAAAUAAAAGUGUGGGACUUUGACCUUUAUUGAUUUAUAGAUAGAAGUAAACGCGAUAUCCCUGAUCAGGGGUAAUUUUGUCAUUUCUUUAGUAAAUCCCUAAAAGUAAGUUUUAAACAAUACUAAGGCCUAAGUAGGCCUAAGGCAUAAAUGAAUGAUGAAAAUAUGGUUAAAAUGAUGAUGAUUUCCACGGUAGGGGCAAAAUGGUCAUUUUUCACCUCUAGUUAAAAUUUUUAAGUUUUUGCAAACUCAAUCAUUUCUAGACCAAUAUGGACUUUGUUUCAGUGUCAAAAGAUAAAAAAGAUUGCAUAAAGGAUUAAAGGAGAACAAGUUAACUUGUGAGGGAAUUUUGGUAAUUUAAGUGGAAUGGAUAAGCUUGGGCUAUAAAUAUCUCUUUCUUCCAGUAGCUUCUUCUUCCUUCUUCUCUUUCACAUUGCUUCCAACCUCCAUGGAAGCUUGAUAUGAACCUCCAUAACCUUUCUCAAAAUAGCUCCACUUUUCAUGCUUUUGGUGCACCCUUUCAUAAAUCCUUGUGCUCUUCCACUCUCUCUCUUUAAAACCCUUGAAAAAUCUUAUUUCCAUACUCUCUCUCACUAGUUAGGUGUUUUAGAGAGAGAAAGAGGAAGCUUUAUUAAUAGCUUGAAAGUUUUUGAAAAGAAUUUCAAGCACAAAGCUACCAAGGUGACUAGUGAACUAGAAUUGAUUUUUAGUGUUGAAAAUGAUUAGUGUUUAGACUUGUGGGUGUUUUGGUAGUUGAGGUUGGAAAUUCACUUUUGAGUGAUUAGGAUAGUGAAAAUGGAUAGCCAUUUAAUGGCACUUGGAAACUAGUAGGUGAUAGCUUGUAGAACUUGUAAUUAUGAGAAUUGAGUUAAUUAUGAUCUUAAUGUGAUGAUAGGUUCCAACGAAGCCCCACAGUCCCAUUUGGACCAUUAGGGAAGUUAGAAUCGACUAAAGGUUCAACGAAAUACCGGUGAGUGGACUUGCAUUUCAAACUUGUUUUGGGAAUGCGAAUGUGUUUGCACAAGAUAUUUGAAUGACUUUAUCCAACUUUUCUUUGCAAAUGUGUGCCAAAGAACAAGCCUUGAUUAAAUGUUUUGAUAUUAUGAAAUGUGAGAUGUGUAUAAGGAUGAAUCCAUGUGAUUUAUAUUAUGUUGGUAAGUAUGUAUAUAUCAUAUGAAUAUGUGCCGUGUAUUGAAGAAUGAUGUUGGGUGAUGUUGAAGUGUGCGAGUAGGGAGUGCACACAUGAUGAUGAUGUAUGUAUAUGUAAAUGUGUGUGUUAUAAAAAGCUCAUGAAUGUGGUUUAUGGAUGUAAUGCAUGUGAAGUCUUACAUGUUGAACUUUGGAAAUUUCUAAGCAUGUUUAAGUUGAGCUUGUCUUUAUAGCUAAAUAGCUUAUCCUUGAGAGAAUCAAAAUUUGUUAUUGGUGUCCUGUUCUCGCUGCAGCGAGAUUCAGCGAAAAACUCUCGGGUUUGGAAGGUUGCAUUGGUUUGAUUCUCGUUGCAGCGAGAAUGCAUUUUCGCUACAGCGAGAAACUUUCUACCUUGCUUAUUAUCUUGUUCCCUUGUUGCCUUAUUUCCCAUUUCUUUGGCACCAUAGUUGAGUGUGGACUUCCAAAUUUAGGAAUUUAUUUAAUUAAGUUUGAAAUGAAGAGGUUUGUUGAGAAACCCUCGUUCCCUGAUAAUUUGAGCUCAAAUUUCGCUACAACGAAAAUUCAUUCUCACUGCAGCGUACCUUUCCGCUACAGCAAGGACUCGUCGUCUUACUUGACUUGACAUGCUUGAAUGCUAAUAAAGUUUUCACUCUUCAAAAUCCUUUGUUGUUCAUGGAACCGUUAUCAUCAAGUGAUUAACUCAUUAAGGGUUUAAUGAGGGGUUUUAUUAAAACUAAACUAAAUUGCAUUGUUUUGAAAAUAAAUGCAUAAUGAUUUCUUUAAACUUUCCUUAUUGUUCGCUUGUUCCCUUCCUAUUCACUCACUGGGUUUAUGCUCACCGUUUUCAACUUCAUGUUUUCAGAUCAAGAGGCAGUCGAUAGCUAGGUCGAGGUGUCCUUGUAGAUUCGUAUCUUUGGUAAGUAUCAAUGGUAUUCAGUAGCUACACCUUCAUUGUAGUCACUUCACUGGAAGCCCAGAGUCAUUUUAUUGUAAAUAUGUACAUGUGAUGUAAAUUAUUAAAUUUGCAUGUUUAGACAAUAUAUGUACAUUUUGAUUGGUAUGCCACUAUGAGUUGGAAAUGCUUAAUAUUAUUUUGAUUCAAAGUUAUGAAAUGUAACUUAGUAACUUUUGUUGGAAUGGUGAACAGGUCUUAUUAAUAGGCUUGCUUGGGCUUAGUGGACUACGUCCAUUAGGCCCAUGCACCGAUCAUGGCCUAGAAUUUGGGUCGUGACAAAAAGUUUGGACUUAAAAGUAGUAUUUUUUUUAGUUGGAAAACCAUAGAUUUAAAGAUUCAAAGUUGAAAAACAUCACCCUUGUUGAAAAACCCAAAACCUAAGCUUCAAUCCUCCAAGAAUGGUGAUUUAGGUGUAAAAGUGUGUUAAGAGAGCUUAGAGUUGAAAGAAAACUGAUGGAAAAUCGCUAGGAAUGAAAAAACAUAAAAGAAUAAGUCAUAUUUAUACUAUGGAGUGUGAAAAUACCCAUUUGUCCUCUUUUAUUUUUCAAAAAUCGACAUCAUCUAUCGAUAGACUUGGCCAUCUAUUGAGAGAUAGGAUUUAAAGUCCUUUUAAAAAGCUUUAGGGUUGCUAUCUAUUGAUAGAUAAGCCUGAUCUAUCGAUAGAUGUUUUCCAAUUCUCUUAAAAAGACUUUUUGGAUUCAAUCUAUCGAUAGAUGAUGAACAUCUAUCAAUUGAUUUUGUCCAGAAUGCACUCUAGAUGUCCUUAAUAGGCACUAAGCUUAUUUACAUUGAGUAAAUGUCCUCAUUUUUACUUCUUUCCUUUUUUCUUUCCAUUUACUUAAGAUAUUUAAUAUAAAUAAGCAAACACCCCUGAAUUUGUAUUCAAUAAAAAUAUAAAAAAAAUCAAAAUCCAAAAGAAUCAAAAUCAAAAUUUUGAUUUAAAGAACAAAAUCGGAAAAGUUCGAUUGAAAUUAAAUUUGCAUCUCCUAUUUACCAUAGCAAAUGUUUUCCAAAAAUUAAGAAAAAAAUCAUUUUUAAUUAUCUAAAUUUUAAGAGAACCAUUAUCGUUAUUUUUUAUUUCCAAUUGAUUGUUCUACAAAAAUUACAUAUCUUAACCUUUUCCAAACUUAGAAAUUUUCUGCUUUUACAAUGACAACCAACCAAGGUGACAGCCACAAAGGAUAAAAGAAUAUGUGGCAGGGACUAUAACCAAGAAACAAAAUCAAGUAUGAUAGAUAUCCAAAGCUCAUAUAAGGAUUUAUCCAACCACCUUUCUUAUAAAACUUAGGGGUUUAACAAAAGAAGAAAAGAAAAUUCAGAUUUUUUAGAUCUUUGAUCUUCGAUCUUCAUUCUUCAAGAGUUUUUCCUUCAUUGUCUUGCUUGCUUGAUGGCUCUUUUUUUUUAGAGAAAACCUAGCUUAAUUUUUGUUAUCAAGUGCUCUAAAAGUGUCUUUCAAUAAGGCUCAAAAUCUUUAUCGAAAUAAAAGUCCAGAGGUUGCAAAACUUGGGAUAUCGUGUCAAUGCUAUAGCGUCGCUCUCUGCCUUGCUCCAUGUAUCCUCUUCUUCAUGGCACCGUGGUGCCCAUUGAUUCAUGGCUAUGGUGCCUAACAUUUUCUCUUGCCACAUGUGCUCUACUGCAUUACUUCAACUUUUGACAUGAUUUUAUCCUUCUUCUAUGCUGAACUGGGCAAAAUUGUCAACAUAAUUAUUGUAGCCCUGUCUCCUAACUUUCUAAUGGCUUAAGCCGUACAUGAAUUUGACUUCGAGAAUGAAAGUUAUGCUCAAAAUACUAGAACAUAUGAAGAAGAAACAUGGACCUUUUUAUACACUUUUCUUCAUCAAUUAAAGCCUUUUCAAUUACACACCUAUAAGAACAUCAAACUAACUUAAAUAAUAACUAAAAUAAAGGAAAUUAUCAUAAAAUAGCAUAAAAUAACUUUGAUUAAUUGACCCAACAAGAUUUAAUAAGGUAAAUAACUAAAAAUAACUAAUUUCUAAAUUAAAUCUCAAGAACUUAGCCCAUUCAAACCAUAAAAUUUAACAAAAUAACUUUAUGAAAUAGAGUUAUUACCAAGGUAAGUGUAAGCUAGAAUUGAGUAAAAUUAUGUUGUGAAUUGUGAUUUGGAGGUAGUUGAUGAGCUAAAGAUUAAGUAUUUGUGGGUAAGGGUUGUAUGGAAGUUGGAGGAUGACAUCAUAGUUUUGGAAAGAGAUUGAAAAAAUGUUGUUAGAAAGCUAGUGUGAAUUCUAAAUUUGAAAAGAUACGUUAGAAUUUGAUUGUAUGAUUUGUUUGCCGUAGGUUCCAUUAAAGCAUUAAGGUCUAAUAACUAGGGGAACUUGGUCGGGUGGAUUUGAAGUAGCUGAGGUGACUUAUAGGUGAGUGGACUUGCACUAAAAUGUUUUGUUAAGAAAGGCAAGCAAAAUGUUUGUUUAAAAAUAAUAUGCCUAGAAAAUGUUUUGAUACAACUUGAUAAAUAAGGUUAGGCACACCUGUAUGCUGGAAUUCGACCUAAUGCUCAAACAUAAAAAUAAUCAAUAAAUGAAAAAUAAAAUGCAGUGAAAAAAUAAAAGAUGCAUUUAAUUAAAAAAAUAGUCGAAUCGCACAAGAUCAAUGUUUGUGUUUUUUCAUGUAAUUUUCAAAAUAAUUAUAAACAUUUGUAAAUUUAAGUAUUACAUACCUUGCUUUAGAUAUCGUAAUUAAGAGCUAAUUAAAUAAAAAAGGCUUGUGAUGAAGCAAGUAACCCAAAAAGAUAAUAAGAUGGCCGAAAAUCUUGCAAUCGAAAUUGUCACGACCCAAUUUUCGGACCAUGACCGGUGCAUGGACUCAAUGGACAUAGUCCACUAAGCCCAAGCAAGCCUAUUUAUAUAUAUUCCUGUUAAUCAUCCCGUCAACUAUUCUUACAUUUACAUCUCAUAGUCUCGACCCUUAGGUACUUAAAUAGUAAGUUAUAACAAUCAAAAGAUUGUAUUUGUUGUGGCCCAAACUAACAUUAAUCAUUACCACUCAUGGUGGCUUUACCAAUUAAAAUAUACAUAUACGGUCUAAGGCAUUCAUCUUAGUACUUUACAUCAUGUACAUAUUUACAAACAGAAUGACUCUGGGCUUCCAGCGAAGUGACUAAGGUGAAGGAACGGCUACAGAAUGCUAAGGUACCUACCAAAGAUACGAAAUUAUGAAGACACCUCGACCUAGUUACCGGCUACGUCCUGAUAUGAAAACAUGAAGUUGAAAACGGUGAGUAUAAACCCAGUGAGUGAACAUAAGAAGGGAAUAAGCGAACGAGAAGGAAAAUUUAAAGAAAUCAUGAUGCAUUUAUUUUCAAAACAAUGCAAUUUAGUUUCAUUUUUAUUAAAACCCUUCGUUAAACCCUUAAAUGGUUAAUCACUUGAUUAUAAUGAUUCCAUACAUAACAAAUAAUUUGAAGAAUGAGAGCUUCAGUGAUAUACAAGCAAGUCAAAGCUGAGUGGAAAGGCGUAGCUUCAGUGAGAAUGAAUUUUCGCUACAGUGAAAUUUGGGCUCAAGUUAUUAGCUGGACGAGGGUUUUUCUCUAAACUUCCUCUGUCACGACCCGGUACUCCCUUUGAGUCCGUGACAAUCGUCGCGACGUCCCGAUGGACAUUCAUUGCCCGGAAUGCUAACCGGAACCUCGCAAGGCUUUAAUAUCAAUUUUCGCACCUCCCCUGUGAGCAACAGUUAUUAAGUAUCAUGUUUUGAGAGAUUAUAAACUAUUUUCAAAUCAAAACAAUAGAAAAAUAAUAUUUUUUUUCACAUAGGGGCAUUUUGGUCAUUUUUCCUCAAAAAUCUCGAAACCAGCUAAAAAUGUAGUAUGCGAGUGGAAAACACAUAUUUCAUAAUCAAAAAUAACUUUAGAUGUCUAAAACAUUCAUUUAAAGUGAAACUAUACCUAUUUGAAUAUAAUAAAAAUAUUUAAUAAAAUAUUUUAUUUUUUUAUAAAACAAUAUUUAUAGAGUUACCGGUAAAUAAUUUUUGUAGCGUAAAAGCUAAAUUAAUUCAUACAUACUGUAAUACAGAUAACCAAAGCAUAAGAUUUAAUUUACAAUGACACAUGGGCCCACGAAUGACCAAAAGUAUCAAAAACGGUAAACCUACAAUUUUUGAGGAUGCAAGUCCAAAGGUAGCCCUCAAUGAAAUCAACUAUCUACAGCCUAUUCUGAGCCUGAAAUGGGUGGAAAGGAGGGUGGUGAGAUUAUAUAAUCCCAGUGAGUAAACAAAUAUCAUCUAAAAUAUCUAAAGCUGAGUAAAUGGAGACAACUAAAAUAGAUGAGUACAAAAAUGAUUCUCAGCAUUUCGAACUCAUUUUAAUAAGAUAAAAUAGAUUCAUUUCACCAAAAUAAACAACAAGGCUUAUGAUUUCCUGAAAAGUUUGGCUCGUGCCAAAAUUAUUCUCAUACUCAGUUAUAAGGAAUACCUUGGCCGAAGGCUAUCCCAACCGAGUCCGCCAAGGCUGUUAAAGAGUUAUGUACGCAUAAAUCAUGUUUUUAUUUUGAAAACAUAGUCGUUCCUUGGCAUUGGCUGAGUUCACCCUCACGUGGUGGUUUAGCGUGAAGUGAACUCUAAAGUGUUAACCUCAGGAGUUAUCCAUCCGCACCUCUCAUAUUGAGGUAUGAAUAUAAUAAGGUUACCAUGCCCCUCUAAUAGGCUGGUCCACGAAACCCAUCCACUGCAGCGACAUGGCAAUUAUUUUAUUUCACAGCCUCUCAAGGCAAAUCAACAGUUCAUACAUUUUCAGCACAUUUACCAAAUCCAACCAUUCAUGCCAAUAUUAUCAUAAACCAUUCAAUUCAAACCAUGAUUUAUAACACAGUAAACAGUCUCCAAUUACUCCAUUUUCCAAGACAUAAUUCAAUUUCAAGACAAUUUUAUAAAAUCAUUUCGUUUAAUCACAUUUUGAUUAUAAAACAUAAAGAUUUACCAUUUAAACUCAUUUUUCAUAAAAUCAAAAAAACGAAUUAAAAUUCACUUUAGAUAAUCAAGAUGAUGAUAAGGUUACUCACUAUAUCAGGAGUUUGAAAUACUCCUAUUCUCAGUCCUCUGACACAACGUCUUUACCCUUGUUAGAAGGCUCACCACCUAAAUACAAUACACGAUACACAAUUCAAUAUACUGUGUCAUACCAUUAUAAAUAUAUUUCAGGCUUUUUACUAAUGCAUGAAAUGGAAUGCAAAUCGUUCGGAUUAUCAUCUAAACACGGUGUUCUACACAAAUUCAAUUGUGCACAAAAAAAAAAUCGAUAUUGGCCUAAUUCGAUCUAUCACCCGAUUAAUUGGCCAAUAUGUCCAAUUCAACUCCAAUUAAUUCCAUUUUCUCCCAAUUCUGCAAAUCGCCAAACACAAGUCAAAUAACAUAAAAUUUAGCAAAACUAUCCUCACAUUUCUUCUUGAGAAUUUCAGCCAUGGUGAGUGCAUCAACACUAUGAUUUUUCCUACUUGAUUUUCUCACCAUAAUUCAUCAUUUCCUUACCAAUUCACUUGAAAUAAAAUCAAAUUCACCAUCAACACUCUACAAGGAUGAUUCGGCCAAUGAUGAACUCAUGAGGAAUAUGUGAAUUUCAAGCUUAAUUCUUACACUUAACACCAUAAACAACUAAAAACAUCCAUAUAUCUUAAAAAUCUAUCUAAAUCAUCAUCAAAUUCUCUCUCCUAGGGCUUGAUCAGCAAGAUACCUAUCAUGAAAUCAUGUGAUUCAACCAUGGAAAAUAAGAAAAAAUGCUUAAGAAAGAAAGAUCUCAAGCUUAAUUGAAAAAUCUUACCUUUUUUUCACUUGUUUUCUUGAAUUUUUAAACUUUUCCCUUGAAUUUUUUCACCUAGGAUUCUUGUUCUUUCUUUUCUUCCUUUGUUCUUCUUUGGCUGGCCAUAUGAAUGAGAAAUGGGCUGAUUUUGUGCUAAUUUAUAAGGAAAAUAAUAAAGAAUUAAAAGCUUGACACUUGUCACCUUACCAUUGGUCCAUUUUUAAAUUCUUAACUAUUAAGCUUUCUUUCUCCACCACAUAAAAUCUUUCAAUUAUCCAUGAUAAUAUUGGGUAAAAUUCAUGUGCUCGACAAGUUUUGGGUGGUGUAAAAUUACAAUUUUGCCCCUGGGUUUGCAAAAUGACUAUUUUACCCUUUAUGCUCGAAAAAUGUCGAAAUUAAAAUUCUUCACUUCCCAAACUCAAAUUAUGUUCUAAAUAGUCAAUCUUGAUCAAAAACUUCUUCCAGCAUUCCAAUUUUAACCUCGAGUGGCAAAAUGACCAUUUUGCCCCUAGAUCAUGAAAAUUCCAAUUUGACUCCAAAUCGGUCCUCGAACUCCGAAUCACCAUUUUAAGUCAUUCUGGGGAUUUAAAUUUCUCAAUUUCAUCUUAAAAUCUCUAUUUGGACUAGUUUGAGGCUUAAUUCAACUUAAUUGUACCAUUUGGUACAUUGCUGUCCUUUAACGAUUUUCGAGGUACCCAAGUAAGCAAACGUGCAUUCUUAUAUAAGAAUGGCAUAAUAAACUUAUUGUAGAGUCAGGCUUCACAUCUUCAUUUCAAACUUAAUUAAAUAAACCCCUAAAUGUUGGGAGUCCAUGAUCAACUAUGGUGUAAAUGAAAUGGAAAAAUAUGGCAAAAACCACCAAGAUAGCAUACCAGACAGAAAGUUUCUCGCUGUAGCGAGAUUCUUUCUCACUGUAGUGAGAUUCAAGCGGCCAAAACAAAAAGUUUCUCUCUUUUGCAAGAAGCUCCAGCGAAUUUCUCGCUGUAGCGAGAACCAGGUUAAUAAACCCCUCAAACUUGAGAGUUUCUCGCUGCAGCAGGAAUCAUUUUCACUGCAACGAGAGACAGGGCAUCAAAGAAAAGUUUCCAUUUUCUCAAGAAGAAAGCCAUUCUACUGAAAUGACAAAAUCAACGUGAAACAUUUAGAAAUUCCCAAAGUUCAACAUGCUAAAUUUUCACAUGCAUUACAACCAUAUAUCAUAUUCAUGAACUUUUAUUUCAUAAGCAUAUAUAUACAUAUAUACACAGAUAAACACCAAUACCACCAUCGUCUCACCCAACUCAUGUGUAUCCUCCCACAUCGUGCACAUAGCCGGAGUCAUUGUGUGCAUCCCCCCACAUCGUGCACAGUUAGUGCCAUCGUGUGCAUCCGCCCAUAUCGUGCACACGGGCACUAUCACUAUCCAUCUCCUUCACCUUCGUCAUCACCGGCAAGUGAACAUUCACCCCGCACAUGCACGGUUUCAUUUGUCACACAAUGGUAACAUUUAUGACAUAGUAUAUAUAUAUAGCAACAUUACACAGACACAUAUAGAUUCAUCACACUAUCCAUUUCAUAACAUAAAAACAUUUCAUAAGGGCUUGUUCCCGUGCGAGUUUUGAAGAUAAAACAAAUAAAACGUUUUAAGGAUUCAAUCAAACAUACUUGUAUACAUACCCCAAACCCUUUUUAAUGCAAGUUCAUUCACCGGUAUUUGUUGAACCUUUAGUCGACUCUAAUUUCCUUAAUGGUCCAAUUAGGGUUGAGGGCCUUGUUAGAACCUAUCACACACCAAAAACAUCACAGCCAAUCCAAUUUACAUUAAUAUUGCUCCAAAAGCUAAUUCCCAAAUCAAAUUUCAAAAGCCCUUCCUACCUACCUUCUAAUUACCAUUUGAUUGGCUAUUUAGUUUCUCUCUCUAGUAACACUAAAAAUAGAUAAACAACUUUAGCAAUAACACAACUCAUUUCUUCAAUUUGUAGCCAUUAUCAACAACUUAAAAUCACUCUUAAUUCAUCACUCACAUUGGUGGAUUAUAAUGAAAUUCCUUCUCAAAAUUCUUCCAAGCUAUUGUAGAAGUUCCCUUUUUCUUUCUCUAAAACACCUAGCUAGUGAGAGAGAAUAUGAAAGUAAGACUUUUCAAGGGUUUCAAAGUGAAAGAGUGAAAGAGCACAAGGUUCUAUGAAAGGGUACACAAAAUCAUGAAAAGUGGAGCUAGCUUGAGAGAGUUAUGGAAGUUUGAAGAGAACUCCCAUGGAGGAUGAAGAAACGUGAGAGGGAAGAAGAAAGAAGAAGAAGAAGCUACUGGAAAUGUGAGAAGAAACUGCUAGAAGAUGAUAUUUGUAGAUCAAGUUUAUCCAACUCCACUUAAAUUACAAAAAUACCCUUGACAACUUAGCUUGUUCUCCUCCAAUCCUUUAUGCUAUCUUUGUACUCUUUUUACAUUAGGACAAGGUCCAUAAUAGUCUAGAAAUACUUGGGUUCACAAAAACUUAAAAAUUUUGACCUCGAGAUGAAAAAUGACCAUUUUGCCCCUACAUUGAAAAUCAUCAUUAUUUUUAUUUCUUUCGUCAUUUUACCCUUAUUUUCAUCAUUCAUCUAUGCCUUAGGCCUACUCAGGCCUCAACAUUGUUUGAAAGUCUACUUCUAGGGGUUCACUAAGGAAAUGAUGAAAUUACCCCUAGCUCGUAUUAUCGCGUCUACACCUAGUCACGAGUCUAUAAAGAUCAAGGUCUCAUAGAAAUCUUUCCUUAUUAACCUUUAGGAUUUGUCAAAUCUUUAGCCACUCAAGUGUUUGGCCUCUAACAAUAAUCAACAAAAUGACCGAAUAAGACCUUCUCAAAGGUAGGAUUUUUAUUGUGCUAGCAAGUUUUGUCUCUAAAACAAAAAGACCAAAGUUUGUGCCGAAUUUUAUUUCUGUAAGACAAAGAAAACUAUUUUUCUUUUUUUAUUUUUUUGAAAUGGCUAAGAAGUGGUUGAAUUAGUUUAGCUCUUAUCAAAACCCCUCAUGUAAACCCUAAAUGAGUAAAUCACUUGAUAAAAAAGUCCAUGCUCAACAAAUGAUUUGAAGAGUGAAAACCUUAAUAGCCUUUAUGCAAAUUACGUCAAGUAAAUGACGGGUCUUUGUUGUAGCGGGAAGGCAUUCUCCCCAAACGAGGGUUAGUCGAGGAGGGUUUCGUAAUUGGCCGAGGGUUUCUCACCAAACCUCUUCAUAUCAAACUUAAUUAAUUAAUUUCUUAAUGUUAGAAGUCCAUGCUCAACUAUGGUACCAAAGAAGUGGAAAAUAAGACAGCAAUUGAACAAAAAUAAGGAGCAAAACAUAAAGUUUUUCGCUGCAGCGAGAAUGAUUCUCGUUACAGUGAAAUUUCAGCCAUAAAACAAAAAGUUUUUCUUUGCAGCGAGAAUCAUUUUUGUUGUAGCGAAAUACUACAGUAACGACUCGGUGCAGCGAGAUUUCGACUAGCGUUACCCCUCCAAACCCGAGAGUUUCUUGUUGCAGCGAGAAACAAAACAGCAAGAAAAAAAGGUUUCAUUUCUUUCAAGGAAAAGCCAUCCUACUAAAAUGACAAAAAUCAACAUGAAAGGCAUAAAAAUUCCCAAAGUUCAACAUGCAAGAUUCACAUGUGCAAAACCAUAUACCAUACUCAUGAACUUUCUAUAAUACACAUAUCUAUAUAUGUAUAUAUAUAUAUAAAUAUAUAUAUCAACCAUCAUGCACACCCUCCCAUCAUCAUCAGCUCAUAUGAGCUCCCACUAGCACAUGGCUGGGUCAGAAUCGGCUUAUGCUGUAAUGACCCUUCCUCGGUUGCUACCGGCGUCUGAGACCUCCGGAAUAUCCCAUCAAGUCCUAAACAAGCCUUAAUGAAAUUGCUCAAUAACUCAUUGUACACUUUUACUAAACCAUAUUAAUGUUUGAACCAUAUAUAUUCAUAAUGUGAAUUCAACAACAAGCAUAACCAUUAAAAUUUGACUUUAAGUCAUGAUAUCACAAUUAAAUACAUUGAGUUCAAAAAUCUCAAAUUUUUGUUUAUAUCAAAACUAAUAUUUGUUUACAUAGUAAAACCAAGUACUACAACUCAACCUAUAACAGCGGAGCGACUCGGGAUAAAAUGCUAUGAGAUGCCUUUACCUAUUUACAAUGGACUCUACGCGCUGAUGAUUACACAUUAGACCGAUCUCUAUUUGCAAAAAGGGGAAAAAGAGGGGUGUGAGUCUCACAGACUCAGUGAUCAUCGACUCUGUGAAUAGGGCGUAGAGGGGAAACAAGCAAAUAGCAGAUCAGUUGAAUAUUAAAAUGCAAGAUUAUAAAAACAAUUUAUUUCAAACAGAAGUUUGUGCCUUAUGUGAAAUACCAAGGAUUUCUUACACAUUGUACUACUUCAAUUGUAAAUCAACCAAGGUAGAUAAAAAUUUUCGCUACAAAACAGAUCAAUAACCUUAUUCAAGUCAAUCAUUUAAAAUAUUGAAUUAAAACAAUUUUACAUAAAGAAAAUUCCGUCGUGAAAAUCAAUUGACAUUUUUCUUAAAUCAAAUCAAUGUAUUCUGCAAGCUCCCUUAAAAUUGAAUGUUAAUCAAACUCAUACGUAAAUCACAAAUCACCUCGCACUCAAGGAGUUAAAAUUCAUUUCACCGCAAAAAUAAGAGAGUUGUAGAAAAAUCGUUAAAUUUCACUUUCACCAUGCAAAGUGAUGCCACUCUCGAGUAGGGAAUGAAAAUAAACCCGUGGUCCCACUACCACGUAAUAACAUCUGGGAGCAUUGCUUCCAUCGGAUUCCCAUGUGCCAUGGCAGUCUCACAAUGUUGGCUGACAUCGGAGAAUCAAGUGGUCGCAAUCACAUAAUCAUCUGGUGGCCUAGCCACACAUACAUAUAUCACAGGUCGUGGCCCCAACAACGCCUAAUCGUCUGUCGGUGACCUAGUGGUUCUGUAGCUAGAGCUCACUUGUGCAUGAGGGUCACACUUCACACUUAAUUGAUGUGACAUCCGACUUACUCUCGAUGCUCUCGGUUUGUAAAACCAUUUUGUAAUUGUGUUAUGUCUUUAAAAACUCGUCUCAAAAUUAUUUUCCAAAGCAUUCAUCACAAGGUAUGAUAAAAUCUAGAGGAAAUUGUGAGAAAAGGACCUCGUGAUAAGCUGAUUUCAGAAAUAAUCACCCAUAUAAAGUUAUCUGUUUCUAGCCAGAAAUAAGCAUGAGUAGACCAAAAUGCCCUUAAAAUCAUCGUUUCAAAUAGAUGCUCAACUGUUGAGGUAUCUGCCUCCCGCUAAAGAGAAAAUAGAAAAAAAUAAAAAUAAAUGCUCCCAGCUGUUUGGGCUGGGUCAUCAUUCUCUCUAAACUCUCUGAAUUGUCUUAACUCUGGCAAGUGUCAGUUGAGCACCAUCGUUGUCAGCUUUCUCAGAUCUAUGAACUGUAUGAGCUUUGUCAACUCUCUGUUGAGCACCAUUGUCAUCGGGCUAUGGUCUAUCUCUCGACAUCUGGCCAUAUUAUCGUAGAUUAACAAACCCUAUAGCAGAGAUGACAUCAAAAUACUUGUUAUUGGGUUUAUUUCUGCAACACACUUAAAUUUCUGAAACAUUUGAUGUAAAUUAGAAGAAGGAUUCAAAACAUUGCCCAGAGUUGUUACAUGCCAAAAACAUGUGUUAAGAGUUAUUUUAGCAUCUCACGGUUGUUCCUGGCAUGUUGUGGGUUAACUAGUUUUAUGGGUUUUUGGCGUGUCACCGCUGUUACUGGCGUGUCGUGGGUUAACUGAAUUUAUGGGUUUUUGACGUGUCACGGCUGUUACUGACGUGUCGUGGGUUAACUAGUUUUUUGGGUUUUUAACGUGUCACUGUUGUUGGUGUAACGAGUCAGUAAUUACAGUGAUUGGCGUGUCACAACAUUUGACUUGAUAUGCAUGGCGUGUUACAACAUUUUACAUUAUAUGCAUGGCGUGUAACAACACGACUGACAAAUUUUUGAUCACGGCAUGUAUUGUGUAAAAUGAUUGAGAAAAUUUUUUUUUUCAAAAUUUCAAUGGGGUUUCAAUUGUGCGACUUGUGCUAAGACACGGUGGUCAGUGGGUGGAUGGCAUUUACAAGGGUGGUGAGUCACGAAUGCAGGGGGUUAGGAGUGAUUUGUCGAUUGUGGGAUUGAUGAAGCUGGUUGAAGAUGUUGUUGAGGUAAACUCAAAAAUUGACGAGAUUGAGUUACAUGCAUUGAUCAGUACAUCGGCAGAGCUAUCACGGCCAAUUAUCAAUGACGAUGAAGAUGUUGCAUUAAUUUUGCUAGAACAGAGGAAUGUUCCGACUAUGUAUGUCAGCAUUAAGGGAUGCCAAACAAAUGUUAUGUCACAUGAGGAAGUUGGACAAUAUGGUAAUCAGCUCAAUCAAAAUGAGAUUUACAAGGCUUCACAAAUACCAAAGCAUUCGUUCCAUAACCCACAACAAUGGCAAUUGAGGUAUGCACAAGAGUUUGUGUAGCUUGGUAGACAGACGACAUUCAUAGAAUAGUUGGCUGCACAAUUCCAAUCAAGAUGUGCAUCAAACCAAUUUCUUCAUUCUCUUGAACAAAUGCAACGAUCGGGUGAAACUGUAGAGUGUGUAAUGCCAUUGUCAAAUGAGAAUACGACAGUUGAGGACAACAAUGUGAGGUUGGAGGGUGACACUACGACGCCGGAGGAUAGUACUACAUUUGAUGAGGGAAAUGAGGAUUUGUUCACUACUGGUGAAGAUAGAUUUGAUGACACUUCAGAUGAUGGGCUUGAACAAUCGCAAGAUGACAGUUUAAACAAUGACUGCCUUUAUGAUAGUGACAUUCCAAUUUGCAAUAAUGUUGAAGGCAAAGCGGAACCUAUUGGAGGUGUUGAUGUAAGAGAUGUUCAGUGUGAUGACCCCAUAUACAAUAACCCCAUCGCUGAUGAGAACUGGAUUUGUUCCCUUGAUAGAUUGCUCGAUGACAGUGAUCAGGAAAGGGGAAAUGCAGGGAUAUCUCGUACAUGGGUAAUUGCAGGUGCAGAAAGGUCUCCUUCCAAACAAUUACCACUGAGGAGUCGACAUGUACCGAAGAUCACUUAUACAAAGGAAGAAUGUUUUCAUCGAAGGCCAAGUUGAAAUGAGCUUUGAACAUGUUGGUUAUAAAAGAGAAGUUUACGAUUAGAGUAAAGAGGUCAUGUAAAGUUCGUUAUAAGGUUAGUUAUAAGGACAAGGCAUGCAAGUUUAGUGUUCGUGCAACGAAGUUACCUAAUAGAGGAGAAUAUUGGCAAGUUCGAACAUUCCAUAAAGUACAGACCUAUACCUUUGAUGGUUUGCAAGGGCGGUUUUCAACUACAAGUGCGAAGAUGAUUGGUGAACUUAUGUCACACAAGAUUCAGCCUAAUGGAGUAAAAUUGAGACCUAAGGACAUAAUUUGUGAGAUGAGGGUUUAGUGGGGAUUAGAAUGCUUGUAUGGUAAGGCUUGGCAAGUGAAGGAGUAUGCGGAGAAGCUUGUUUUCGGUCCACCAGAGGAGUCAUUUCAACUACUACCAUCGUAUUUUUAUAUGUUGGAACAAGAAAAUCCUGGCACAGUGACUGCAGUGGCAACUGAUAAGGAAGAAAGAUUCAAAUAUUGUUUCUGGUCAUACGGGGCUUGUAUUCGGGCGUUUAGGGAUGUAAUGCUUCCUACAGUUGCAAUUGAUGCUACACAUCUAAAAGGGCGAGCGAGUGUGUAUAUCCAGUUGCUUUUGGCAUCGGCCAUGUUGAGGAUGAAGACUCAUGGAUGUGGUUUCUUAGCAAGUUAAGUGAUGCAGUUGGUUGUCCUGAAAACACUAUGUUCAUUUCUGAUCAGCAUCUGGGCAUUAAGAAAGCAAUCCAAAAUGCAUACGCAGAAGUGCACCAUGGUUUAUGCGGUUACCACUUGAAAAAAAACUUUAAAAACAAGUUCAAGCGCGAUGAUGUUUGUAUGCUUUUCACCUUUGCUCGAGAUUACUAUAAGGUGGCCAAUUUCAAUAGACAUAUGAACCAGAUACAGCGGAUUCACCUUGGAACAAACGCGAACCUUAUGAGAAUAGGGCCUGAGAAAUGGGCACGUGCAUGUUCACCGGCAAGGCGAUACCAAAUGAUGACAUCCAACAUUGCCGAAUGUGUUAACUCAUGCUUGAAGCAUGCAAGACAAAUGCCAAUCACUGUUUUGAUCGAGUUCAUCAGAGACAUGUUCCAGCGUUGGUUCCAUGAACGGUACGAGGAGGCGUCAAGGUGACCAUGCCCCUCAGCCCUUGGGUUGCCAGGCAGUUGAGCAAAAGGUUCAAUGAUGCACAUCGCUUUCUAGUUAAGCCUAUCAAUCGAGUUGAGGUAGAAGUUAAAGACAGGAAGAUGGAUGGACUUGUAAACCUGUCCAGGAAGACGUGUACAUGUUGUGAGUUCCAAACAGAUUUACUGCCAUGCAGCCAUGCCAUUGCAGCAAUAAGGUCAGAAUAUCAUAAUUUCUUAUUUGAACCGUAAUUGACAUAGCAUUUACAUUGUGCUUGAAGAUUGAGUUUAUUGUGUUUUUAGUAAAUGCAAUCGUGAAGCCAUUGAAUUCUGCGCUGACUACUACAAGACAACUGUUUUGGUGGAGGGUUAUUCAGGAUCCAUUAGGCCGAUAGGGCAUCCUAGUGAGUGGGACAUUCAAGAGGGAAGACCUAGGAGGAGAAGGAUUCCAUCAGCUGGUGAAGGCAGUCAAGCACGGAGAUGUUCGCAAUGCUUAUCGUACGGGCAUAACAGACAAAACUGCCCAUUCCCAUUUGCAGUUCCAUCCACAAAUCUAGCACCAUCUCCAAGUCAAUCGACGCCUCCACAACUACGCUGACCCAAAGCAUGUUCAAGUUGCAGACAAACCGGUCACACAUGCAACAAUUGUCCAAUACGAAGGACAAUGUUUGAAAAUUGUAGUUGAAUUCGUUUUGCUUUACGGCUUUGUCUGCUCUGUCAUUCUAUGAGCCACUUUUAGUUACGGACUUUGUUGCCAAACAUUUCAGGCAGAUAAGCCUGUCAAGGCCUCUGUCUGAUCAAGAUCGUGUUAAAGUACAUUCUUACAUUGUUUGUAAAAAUGUUUUCAAUUAUAAUCUCCAUUAGACAGGAGCCUUGACCAAAUUAUUUGCCUGAAAUGUUUGGCAACAAAGUCUGUAACUAAAAGUGGCUCAUAGAAUGACCGAGCAGACAAAUCCAUAAAGCAAAACGAAUUGAACUAUAGUUUUUAGACACAUUAAGUACAGGUGGCUACACAAAUCUUCUAAAGGAACAGCAAGCAUGGAAUGGCUACCACUUGUAUCAAAUAAUUAAUGAUUAGAUUUAAUUCCUUUCUAUUUCAUUUGAUUUAACCGUUUAUGUUCUUACUGCAAGUUUUGUGGUGACACGCCACGUGCAUGCAGACUUGGCAUCAAUGUAGACUAACCUGAUAUUUUAAUGGCGGGGUUUAGGGCUCUCAUAUGCUUAUCCAUACUCAAUAUUAAAACCAACUGUAAGUGUUGGUAGCUGCAUUACAUCACAAAGACUCUCGAAGAGAUAGGGGAGUACAAUGCACUGAAGGCUAUGUGUUUCAAGAUGCUCUUGGAUGUCUAUCCAUAAGCUUGGUCUAUCAAACUUUGACCUUGCUUGCACGGUUGAGUUCAUUGUAGCUCGGUACAGUUGACCAUGUAUGCUUCCUUUGGGGUACUAGGAAAAUUGUAUCGGGCUACAAUCAACUCAACCGUGUAAGCAAGGUCAAAAUUUGAUAGACCAAGCUUGUGGACUGACCUCAAGGACCAUCCCAAAAAUGUACGCUUCAUUGCAUGAACUCCCCCAUCUCUUGGAGAGGCAAAAUGUCAAGAUCCUCAUGCGUGAUGCGUUGGAUCUGCAAAACAUGGCAUAGAUGCACUAGUGAGUUAACCCAUAAUGUGCAAUAAGGUAUACAAAAGAAAUAAAUAAGGAAUAAAUGUGAGAAAAGUCAUGCAAAACAAGUAAAAUGUUAUGACACGCCAUGCAUAACAAUUAAAUUUCACUGACCCGCCAUGCAUAACAAGUUAAACAUGGUGACACACCAUGCAUAACAAUUAAAUUUCACUGACCCGCGAUGCAUAACAAGUUAAACGUGGUGACACGCCAUGCAUAACAAUUAAAUUGUUCUGACCUACCAUGCAUAAGAAGUUAAUUGUUCUAACCCACCAUGCAUAAGAAGUUAAACGUGGUGACACGCCAUUCAUAAUAAUUAAAUUGUUCUAACCCGCCAUGCAUAAGAAGUUAAUUGUUCUAACCCGCCAUGCAUAAGAAGUUAAACGUGGUGACACGCCAUUCAUAACAAUUAAAUUGUUCGAAACAAUUAUUUUUUUUAACUUAAGUGGAAUUUGAAAUGGUUACCAUGGCGUGUCAGUUGUUCAAGCAAUGGCGUGUCACAAUCUUCUCACAUAUUCUAACCGUGGCGUGUCAUAAAUUCUUAACCUUGCUGUUUCACAGUCGUGACCCGCUGAGUGCAAGCAGCACCAUGGCUUGACACAUCACACGUCAAUUGUUCUGACACGUUGAGUGGAAGCAGAUUUAUGGGGUGACACGCUGAGUGCAACCAAAUGUAUGUGGGGACACGCUAAGUGGAAGCAGAUUUAUGGGGUGACAUGCUGACUUCUUGUGACUGAGUAUCAAAUUAAAUAUAUUGUAUACAUGGAUGGAAAAAAAUUCUUGGUAUCAAAUUAAUUGUGUAUAAAAUAAUUGUAUAAAGUAUAUUAUGUAUACACAAAGAAAUAAUUCUAUUUACAAUGAAUUGUAGAAAAUAAAUUAUGAAUACAAAAAAUUUGUGUAUAACAUUAAUUGUAAAAAAAAAAUUCUCUAUACAAAAAAAUUGUACUGACAAGAGCCGAUAUGUUCAGGGUUCGCUCUCACAAUUGUUGGAAAAAAGUUUCGGAGCGUAUUGUUGACGCAUUUUUGCAAUCAUAUUCUGCUUAACUCCGAUGUUUUUUUAUUGUAAAAUAUGGUCCAUGUACCUUAUCAUGAACAUACCGCAGCUGGCACUAUCAUUCUGUCGAUGCACUUUAGCUUUUGGCAAAUGAAUAUCUAAUGGCAUCGGCAUUAAAUCCCAUCUCUUCCGACGUAUGUUGUUGAAAUAACCGGCUUGGUGGCAGAUGAAUGGCAUCAUUGUCGUCAAGGGUGUCAUUUGACCCGCACGAACUCCGUUAUCCUUAGCAUUCAAAGUUCUUGCGAAGUCCACCACCUUGAUCGUCCAUCUCACCAAGUCAAUCUUCGCAACCACCCAAUGCCCACCAACGUUGCAAGGCGCGAUGAUGAAAUCCACAUCUUUCCAUUUUUUGUCGUAUGUUGGCCUUUCACCCUCCACAUACCCCCGCAACUCAUCUGGAAUUUGCAUUGUGGCCUGGGCAUCUUCUGUUGGAAAUUCUGUGUGUAGCAUACGGAUGGUGUCCUGUGAAACAUGUAAACAUUAGCUUACAAUUCAUGCAAUCAAAAACUUAGUAUUUAUAGAAUUGAACAAUUUUCAAAUAAACUUACGAAGAAUAUCAUGUCAACCACGAAUGCACGAGUAGUGUAGAGCUUCGACUUCGGCCCUGUCAUUCACUUGAAGAGUAGGCUGACGCAUGCGUCGAUAUGUUCACUUGUCAUUUCCUCAUUGGGAUCUUCUAAGGUUGUGAAAACUCAGCCCUUUGAUCCCUUAAGAUGCUGACGUUACACCUGCAUAAGCCACAUAAUGAAUUUCAUAAGUCUUGGUGGAUUAAUGUUUCAUUAAAAAAUAAUAUUUGCAAUGUUAUUUACGAGCUUACCUUGCCGACUCGUCUUUUUUGAAAACUUCAUAGUCUUCUACAAUUUUUUCCCUCACAUCUCGACGGGUCACUAAGGGGGCGACGAAUGGGCUUGCCAUGUAUUCGCUCGCCAUUUUCAGCAGUGCCCUCUCAGUUGGGUCUGAAAUUUCUGCUGCACCAUGAUGGACAGUAGGUGACUCUGGUGACGACGAUCGAAUCUUAACUGCAUCAGAGUGCUCCCACGAUAAAGAACGAUAGCUUCUGCUGCUGCGUCGACGAAUGCAUCGGUUGGAGGAAGAUGCUCUCCUUCAACCAUGAUUGAGUCAGGCUCCCUGUCCCCUCCAGCAGAUGCAUCAAAAAUUGACUCGGGCAGAGGAACAUGUUCUCCUUCAGCAUCAUCUGAUUGAAGGGUGACAUCCACUACCACAGCUUCAUCGACGACGUCAUCGACAUGAGUUACGUGCUCUCCAUCAGCACAAAGAAUGUCAUCGUCAAUGUCAACACCAGGUUCAUGAUGCUGUCCAUCACAGCAUCAUCGUGCUCCAGACCAGCACCGUCAGAUGGACCGCCCUACAAAAUGGGAAAAAUCGUUAGUUAGCUCAUAAAAUACCACAAACCUUAAAUAGUAAAAUGUUGUGACACGCCGUGCAUAUCAAGUAAAAUGUUGUCACACGCCAUCCAUAACAAGAUAAAGGUUGUGGCAUGCCAUCCAUAACAAGCAAAUUGUUAUCACACGCCAAGGAUAACAAGCAAAAUGUUGUGACACGCCAUGCAUCUCAAAUCAAACGUUGUGACACUCCAUGAAUAAAAAAUGUUGUAACACGCCAUGCAUAUCAAGUCAAAUGUUGUCACACGCUAAGGCUGACAUGGUAAUAACUAACUAUAAUACAAAUGUCCUAACCGUUAAUGACCAAAAACCAUUUAAACCACUACCACUAAACCCCAAAAACCAUCAAAAUAGCAAGAAAAUACAAUCUAAGCAGUUGCUAAACGUAAACCAUAUAAAAAUAAGCGAAGAUACAAUAACGUACUUGUGAUUUAAGGCCGUCAAUAAUCCGACCAACGAUACGGUCCUCAAGUGUUUGCAUUGCUACACUUAAUGACUGAAUUGAAGCCUUCAACUCCAACAUCUCUUUUGCAUGCUUACGCAUGAUCCGUCGGAGCUGACGGGUAAUGAUUGCUCCGUCAUUGACUAUUCUCAAUUGGGUCAACUACAAUAACAUAUAUAAUUGUGUUAUUCAAUAAUCAUAUAUGGAAUUGACGAACAUUAACUGUUACAACUUUAAUAUCCUAACCAGUGGCUCGUUAGUAGUUUGUGGUGGAGUCAAACCGAUCGGUGCUUGAGGACCUAUCGUCGCUUCCAUAAACUUCAAUUAUAGAAAUUACUGUGUUACUUGAUAAACAUAUGUGGGAAUGUAGAACACAAACCGUUAGAAUCGAUCUUACCAUCGAAUCGUUUCCAUUCUACAACUGAGGAAGACCGGUGAGUGGUUCUGGAGCUGUCGGUGCAUGGUCCAACUACAAACAUAGAAAUGUUUUUCGAUAAUCACAUAUGGAAUUGGAGAACACAAAACCGUUACAAUUGUCCUUAUUGGCUGUUCACUACCUUGACCAUGGUCGUCCCCUUCGUCCAUCAACUUAAGGCCGGAUAGCUCAUCAACUAAAGUAGUGGUGGUGCGCAUCCGUUUCGUGCCACCAGAGGCUCUUUUCUUCUUCAAGCUUAUCCUUUUUUGCCUCGCUCCCAAACCCCAAUCUGACCAAUCCUUCAUGUGCCCUAUUGGAAUGUACUCGUAGCUCUCUAAUAACGGGACAUCAAGGUCCACAAAAUACUCUCGGAGGGCCUCAUCCGCAGUGGGUUCCAACGUCUCUAGUGCCCACAACUGCAAAUAAACAAAUAAAAUGUUGUCAGUAUCGAAUAGAGAAAAUUAUUAUACAACUAUAACACAAAAAUAUGCAACUGUUCACUCACAUGGUCAGAUGACUUUAACUUCUGAAUUGCCUUAUAGAAGUUUUUUGGCUUCUGAUUGUAAUCCCAUUUGCACAUUCAUGGGUAGACGUUGUCCUUUAGACCAGAACUGCAUGUCAACUGUAACCAUUAUCAGACUGUAAAUCAUAAACGAGUGCACCAAUCAAUUUUUUUUUCAAAAGGAAAUUGAAAAAUAUUACGUCAUAGUACCUGUAUCACCCAUGCGAAUUUGUAAAUAUUGUAGCGUAACCGAGUUCCCUUUAUCACGCUUAAGUCAGGCACUUUGAACCCCUUCAAAAUGUAGUCCAAGGUCAGCUUCAAAACAUAGUGCCCCCAUGGGAAGACAUUCCAAGCGUCGAUGUCCUCCACCAAUGACAGCAACCAAGGCGUCUCCCAUCUAUGGUAGUCUUGACCAAAUAAAAUGUUAUUCGUAAUCAAGACGAGUGCCAUGUUGGUCGCAUCUCCUGCUCGUUGGAAGUUGCCCCUACAGAACGUAUCAAGCAAAGCCUGUAGCUUAACGUUCUCCUGCCCAUUCCAGUAUCGGGCAUGAAUUCUGUCUGUAGCAACCUCGUACUGUCGUUUGAACACAUCGGGCAUUGGACCAAACUUCAGCCCAGUGAUAAGGCAGAACUCCUGCUUUGAUAGCUGCGCCUUGCUCUUGCCAAUGGCAAACCAUAGCUCGUGGUCCAUUGACUGGCUCUCAGUGAUCUACCGAAUCAUGAUGUUGUGCAAGAGAUCGACACAAAAGUACCCCUAAGGAUACACGUUCAAGAGCAUUUCGAAGCGGGUACACUUAACUGCAUCAUACUCCCCCUUCUGUUGGAGAGUCUUUGUGAUGUAAUACAGUUGCAGCCACUUACAGUGGGUGUUAAUUAUGGCGUUGAAUGCCCAUUUCUCCCUCGGCACUAUCAGCAAACUGUCAAAAUCCUCAUACUGUCUGCGUUGGAUCUGCAAAACAUGGCACACAUACACCAAUGAGUUAAGCUGUCAUGUGCAACAAGGUACACUCAAGACAUAAAUAAGGGUAAAAUAUUGUGACACGCCAUGCAUAACAAGUAAAAUGUUGUGACACGCCAUGCAUAACAAGCAAAAUAUUAUGACACGCCAUUCAUAACAAGCAAAAUGUUGUGACACGCCAUGCUUAACAAGUAAAAUGUUGUGACACACCAUGCAUAACAAGUCAAACGUGGUGACACGCCAUGCAUAACACGUAAAAUGAUGUGACAUGACAUGCAUAAAAAGAAAAAUUCUAUCACACGCCAUGCAUAUCAACUAAAGUUCACACGCCAUGCAUAUCAAGUAAAGUGCUAUCACACGCCAUGCAUAUCAAGUAAAGUGUUGUCACACGCCAUGCAUAUCAAGUAAAGUGCUGUCACACGUCAAUAACUAACUAUAAUAAUAAUAGUGUCACAUGGUAAACAUCCAAAACCCCUUAAACCACUAUGACUUAACCCCAACAACCAUCAAACUAGCAAGAAAACACAGUCUAUACAUUUACAAAACAAAACAAAAACCCCGAACAUAUCAAACAAACCCAAGAAAAAACCAUAAAAUUAACGAACACAAGAAUAUUUUAAUUUGACACUCAUUGACCUCUUCAUUCAUGGACAACAUUGUUGCUAGUGCUGUGGUGUCGUUACGCUUGAAAAGAGCCUUCUCGAAUACUCCGGUACCGACGGGAAUGAUAAAUGAAUCACACAGACAUUACCAAUUCUUAAUAAUAACUAUUUAAAAUGAAAAAUGGCCUUCUAAUAUUCUUAUUUAUUCUGAAAAAGGGGAAUUAAUUUAGUGAAAGUCUAAACGAUUACCACGUUAACUGCCCACUUUUUUUUUCCUCUCUCUAUUUCAAACCGUGACGUGUCAACUGCUCAAGCAUUGCCGUGUCACACACUCUAAACCAUGACAAUGGCAUGUCAGCUUUACAAGCAAUGCCGUGUCACACACUAUAAACCACGACCAUGGCGUGUCACCAACUAUGAACUCUAGCAUGUCACAUCUUCCCUCCAUGGCGUGUCACCAACUUUUAACUUUGGUGUGACAUAGAUUCCCUCCACGGCAUACUAACUCUGAAGGCUGGCGUGUCACAGAUUCCCUCCAUGGCGUCUCACCAACUCUGAUCGCUAGCAUGUCCUAGAUUCCUUCCAUGGCAUGUCAUCAACUCUUAACUCUGGCGUGUCACAGAUUCCAUCCAUGGCAUCUUACCAACUCUGAAGGCUGGCAUGUCACAGAUUCCCACCAUGGCGUGUCACCAACUCUUAUCUCUAGCGUCUUACAGAUUCCCUCCAUGGUGUCUCACCAACUCUGAGCGGUGCCAUGUCACAGUCUUGUCACACAUCCCCAACAUGACAUUACACAAACUCUAAACCCUGCCUUGCUACAGCCGUCUAACAUAUAGCCUACUAUAACAAGACCAUUUCCUGCUUUGGAUUCACAUCUUUCUCCUUUCAAUUCACCACCGUAUCAAGGAUUUCUAGUUUCACAUCAUUAGCCAAGCUUUCCAUUCAUGACCACCGGUUCCUCGUUCGAUUUAAUAUCUCUCUUCUCCUAUUAUCUCAAUGCCAUGUCCCAAAUCUGUGAAAACCCAUCUCAUGCAACAUUAUUUUGUUUUGCACAACCUUCGAAAAAAAUUAAAUAAAUGGAUAUUUUGCACAACCAAUCUUUGCAUAUUUUUUUCUCCAGUUUUUCGCCUGUUUGAGAGUGCACGCUAACGAAGAUAGCUCAUUAAGGGUAUUUUUGUCCCAAAAUCUAUUCGGGUGGCUAAAAAUAGUUAAAAUUAUUUUGAGGGAUAUUUACAAAAAAACGUUAUCUUUAAGGGCUAAAAAAAAAUCCCCCUAAAAUCUAUCAUUUUCUCACAAUAUAUUUAUACAUGAAUUUCAGAAUAAUAAUUUGCAUGGUGAAUAAGCAAUAUAACCAUGAAUCCACUCUGCACAUAUGUAUAAGGCACAUUUUGAUGUAAAACAGUGUGAAGGGCUUGCUUCCUAAUUUUUAAAACACUUUACAUAUAAUUUAUACAUAUAUAUAUAUAUUCAAAACAAUUUCUAAACAUAAUUUGCAAUCACAAUUUCCUAAGAUUGCUACCAGAACAUGCUAUCCACAAUUUUCACGUUUAAAACAAAUCAUACAUAUAGGUAUAUAUUUAUGGAAAGUUUAAAAUUGACACCUUCUACUCACCUCAUAAUAGCGGGAUGUUACGUCGUUAUUAAUUCAAAGACCUAUCGAGCUACUCCUUCUUAACUAUUGUUCGUUAUUUCUUUCAGCCUUUCACCAUAGUGCACCACUUAUUUAUUUCUCCAAAAUAUUGAAACUCACUUAAUUGAUAUAUCUAUAUAUAUUAUUUUAUUAUAACAUCAUUAUUAUAUAUAUAUUUUUUCUUUUUUUUUCUUCUCUUUCCCCCCGGUCAACAGUACCUUGCUUGUCUUUCUUUUUCCUUUCUUACAUGCACAAGCUGUCCACAAUUUCCUCCUCUUUCUCCCUUUCACCGUCGGUAACAACUUCUUACUUCUUUCAACCAAAACUUUUCAGCAGCCAAAGCUGCUCAUAUCAACAUCAAAAUCAGAAGCUAAGCUGCUCUAUUUUUCCUCAAAAAUCAGCAGCUAAGCUGCUCUAUUCUCCCUCCAAAAAUCAGCAGCCAAGCUGCUCUUUCCUCCCUCAAAACUCGGCAGCCAAAGCUUCAAAGAUCAGCAGCCAAAACUGCACCUUUCAGCCUUCAAAAUCAGUAGCAAAAAUUACACCUUACAGCCUUCAAAAUCAGCAGCUAAAGCUGCUCCUCUCACCCUUAAAUUGAUAGAAAAAUAGCUAUCCUUUCCUCCCUAAAUGGCAACAAAACCGCCCCCUCAACUCAACUCAUUCUCCUCUCCUUUUCUUUCUCACCGCUCGGCUUUCUCUUCUUUUCUUUUUGCUCUUUUUGCUCUCAUUUUGCUCUCUUAUGCCCGACGCCUUCUUCUUGUUUCUUUUUCUUCUCUUCCACUAACUGACUUCUUUCUUUCUUCUUCUUUACUUUAUUUAUUUACUUAUAUAUAUAUAUUUCCAUUUGUUUUCCAAUUUGGACGGCCCCCCCAUCUUUCUUUCCAUCAUAUAAAAAUGUUUGUUGACCCUUUUAUUGACCACAUGGGCAGUUGCCCAUGUUGGUCUUCCUUUUUUUUUUUAUACUUGUAUUAUUUUAUUUCUUCCAUUUAAUUCGACUAUAUAAUCCUUCACCCUUUAUAUUUUAAAAUUCGAUCCUUUCGAUACGUCUAAAAAUUUCAAUUUUCAUCUAUCUUCCUUCCUUUGUACGUGUACCACCAAAAUAUCAAAAUUGCACUUCAAUGCUGUAUUACCAUAAUAUUUAAAUAUUUACUUAUUUGCGUUGGCUUGACUUAGCAAAACACGCGUAUUUCACUUUUGUCGCUCAUCUCCAAAAAUUUAUUUGUAUUCCUUCUCCACCACUUGGAUUAACCAUAUGAUCCUUCUUCAUGACUGAUUUCGACAUCCGGUUAAAUAUUAAUAUUUAAUAUUAUUUUAAUAAUAAAAUAUUAUUUUAUUUCAAAAUUUUCUCGUCUCCUUGGUACCCAAAAUACCUUAUUACGCCUCAAUUGACUUCCGAAUCACCUUUUAUCUCACAAAUUCUCCUCUGAUAAAAUAUUAUUAUUUUAUUGUUAUUUCUUCACGUGCGGAUCAUUUUAUCCUAAACUAUUCCUUUCAUCUUUCAUCAUUUUUAAACAUUAUAAUUGGCCUCAAUUUGCAUCCAAUAAGCUUUAUUAGUCACCAUAUCAAAGUAUGGGGUAUUACAUAUGCGCACUCCUACUCGCACAUAGCCAGGUCAGCAUCGGCUUAUGCACACUCCCACUCACACAUAGUCGAGUCAGCAUCAGCUUAUGCACACUUCUACUCGCACAUAGCUGGGUCAAUAUCAUUACACAACAUUAUUCGUAUACAUAUAUAUAUAUAUAUAUAUAUCAACACAGUAUAGGAACACAUAGGUCUGUCCUUUUUACACAUUUCACAUUUUCACAACAUCAACAUAUUUUAUCAAGGGCUUGUUCCCAAGGCACACGUUUUUAAGAAAAGUUGGAUAAAAUCAAUCAAUGUUUUGUGCAAAUAGAUUCACAUUCCCAAAACGGUUUUGAGAUGCAAAUUCACUCACUGAUAUUUUGUUGAGCCUUUAGCUGACUCUAACUCCCCUAAUGGUCCAAUUGAGGUUGUGGGACUUUGUUGGGACCUAUCAUGCACAACAACAUCACCAUUACCCUAACUUGGCAUUAAUACUAUUCCAAAACUAUUUUCUAAAUUGGGUUAUACUAGUCAUUUUUAAUUAGUUUCCAACUACCAUUAAAUGGCUAUUGUUUGCAAUACUCUAAUCACACUUAAAUGAAUAACAAUCCCAACAAAUAAACUCUCACAAAUCUAAUUACUAGAUAUUCUCAACACUUUAAACUCAACUCCAAUUUACUACUCACCUUGAUAGCUUUGUGCUUGAAAUUUUUUUCAAAAACUUUCAAGCUAUUAUUGAAGCUUCCUCUUUCUCUCUCUAAAACACUUAACUAGAGAGAGAGUAUGAAAAUCAAAUUUUUUUCAAGGGUUUUAAAGAGAGAGAGUGAAAGAGCAAAAGGGUUUAUGAAAGGGUGCACCAAAAGCAUGAAAAGUGGAGCUAUUUUAAGGGAGGUUAUGGAGGUUCAUAUCAAGCUUCCAUGGAGGUUGGAAGCAACGUGAAAGAGAAGAAGAAGCUGCUAAAAAAUGGGAGAAGAAGCUGCUGGAAGAAAGAGAUAUUUAUAGCCCAAGCUUAUCCCCUCCACUUAAAUUACCAAAAUGCCCUCACAAGUCAACUUGUUCUCCUCCAAUCCUUUAUGCAAUCUUUUUGCUCCUUUGACAUUGGUACAAAGUCCAUAAUGGUCUAGAAAUGCUCGGGUUCAUGAAAACUUAAAAAUUUUUACCCGAGAUGAAAAAUGACCAUUUUGCCCCUAUCGUGGAAAUCAUCAUCAUUUUUAUUUCCUUUGUCAUUUUACCAAUAUUUUCAUCAUUCAUUUAUGCCUUAGGCCUACUUAGGCCUUAAUGUUGUUUAAAACUUACUUUUAAGGGCUUACUAAAGAAAUGACGAAACUACCCUUAGCCCGUUUUAUUACGUCUAUGCCUAGUUACGAGCUUAUAGAGGUCGAAGUCUCACAGUAACCCUCGAUACAAUAGUUGCAUUUUAUUCAAUUAAGUCUUAAUGAACUUAAUUAAUUUCUCACUUUAUUUUGGUCUAUUCUAAUUAAGUCCAACUUAAUUGAUUAUCCUUAUUUAAUCUCAAUCAUGUCACUUAAUGUGUGUGACCUAUUAGGCUUCUAACAUGUUGGCAAUAAAUAUAAAUCCUAAUCAAAUAUCAGUUUGAUAAUUGAUUUAUAUUUAUAAAUCAUGAGCAACAUUUAGCAAUACAUCAUAACCACCCAAAUGUUAGAGAGUUAAUUAAAGAAUUUGACAAAACACUUUAGUGAUAAGCCUCUAAGUGAAAUACGAUCCUUUCAUCAAAUAUCCCGGAUGCGUCAAAAAGCAUGGCUCAAUGUCUACUUAUGACAUUCCAUAUUAGUUCUCAUAAUUCAUGAUUAACCUUAUGAAUUUAGGAAACUAACUUUCCUCAAAUUCAUCAUGCUUUGGCUGAAGACUUUAUACAAGUUAAUCAAGAAUCAAGAAUAAGUGAGAUACAUCCUUUCAUAUCACUUGGGGUGAUGAAUCCUUUCUUGACCACUCAUUCACCUUUAGAUGCUUCAUGACAUACCCAAAAACACCAUAUUUAGGCAUCUGGUCUCCUCUAGACCCGUAGAGGUGAAAUCAAAGUAUGUCAUUCCCCAUGUAAGAUAACUUGGUGUCUCAAGUCUGAAGACUAGUUGCACAACUAUCACAUGAGAACAUAAUCCAUAGACAAUUUAGUGAAAAACUAAAUGGAGUUCUCAUAACAGGUUAUGUUUAGUGAACUUGUUCUUUAACAAGCAUUUAUAUGUUAUUGUCAAGUAUCUCCUAUACUUCAAUUUAUAAGAUCGAUUGCUUACUUUUCAAGUAAGGAGGCUUAACAUGUACUAGUCUUUGAGCAUUGUCAAUGCCUUAUCUUGACAAUACAAUGACCAAGAAUAAUUUUAGGAAUAUGGCUUUGAUGCAUAGUGAUCUCAUAAUUAUAACAACUUUGCAGUUCUCUUGCAAGGGCUUUAUGUUACAUGGGCUUCAUCCAAUUAAUACUUAAUAACUCCCUAUUAUUGCACUAACAUGAAGGAAAACCUUUUGUGAGACCACAACCUUUAUAGGCUUAUAACUAAGUAUAGAUGUAAUAAUACGAGCUAGGGGCAGUUUCGUCAUUUUCCUUAAUAAGCUCCCAAAAGAAAGUUUUAUGAUAUUUUAAGGUCUAAAUAGCCAUAAGACUGCAUAUAUGUCGUGUAAAGAUGAAAGCACGAAGAAAACUUUUAAAAGUUUUGCAAACCCGAACAUGUCUAGACCAUUUGGAUGUAAUGGUGAUGUUAAUGUAAUGGUAGGUUCCAACGAAGUUCCAUCAUUCCGUUUGCACAAUUAGAGAAAUUAGAGUCGGUUAAAGGCUCAACAAAAUACCGGUGAGUGAACUACAUUCAAAACUUGUUUUGGGGAUAUAAUGUAUUUGCUAAACAUUUGAAUGAAUUAUCAAGCUUUUCAUAAAAACAAGUGCCUUGGGAACAAGCUUUUGAUAGAUUGUCUCCAUGUUGUGACAUGUGACUAUUAUUGAUUCAUGCACUGCCACAUUGUGUUGAUAUAUAUAUAUAUAUAUGCGUGUGUGUGUGUGUGUGAAUACAUUGUUGUGUAAUGAUAUUGAUUCGGCUAUGUGUGAGUAGGGAGUGCGCAUAAGCCGAUGAUGACCCAGUUAUGUGCGAGUAGGGAGUGCGCAUAACCCGGUGAUGACCUAGCCAUGUGCGAGUAGGGAGUGCGCAUGAGUUGGGAAUGAUGGGAUGGAGUGCAUGAUGAUGAUAGGUAUAUGUAUAUGUAUACAUACGUAAACAUGUGUGUUAUAAGAAAUUUAUGAGUUAUGUAUAUGGUUGUAUUGUAUGUGAAAUUCGGUAUGUUAAACUUUGGGACGUUUUUAUGUAUUUCUUAUUGGUUUUGAACAUUUCAGCAGGGUGGUUUUCUUUGGGAGAAAGGGAAAUUUUUCAUUGGUGCCUUGUAUCUCGCUGCAGCGAGAAACUCUCGGGUUUGAGAGCUUUCACCAGAACUGGUUCUCCCUGCAGCGAGAAAUCUUCUGUCCAUUUUGCUAUCUCGUGGGGUUUUGCCAUAUUUUUCCAUUUCAUUUAUACCCUAGUGGAACAUGGACUUCCAACAUGUUUGGGAUUAUCUAACUAAGUUUGAAAUGAGGAAAUUUUGAGAGAAACCCUCAGUCUGUUGAGAAACCCUCGUUCGACUAAUAACUUAAAUCCCAACAUCCCUGCAGCGAAAUUUCAUUCUCGCUACAGCCACGCUGCAACAAGAAUGCCUUCCCGUUGUAGCGAAGAUUCGUUGUCACAUUUGAAUUGUUGGUGUAUCACUGAAGCCUUCAUUUUUCAAAUUAUUGGUUAUGUAUGGGUUCCUCAAUACCGAGUGAUUAAUCAUAUAAGGGUUUAAUGAGGGGUUUUUAAUAGGAAUGAAAUUAAGUUGCAUUGUUUUAAAACAAGUGCAUCAUGAUUUUAAAUUAUUCCUUAUGGUAUGCUUGUUCCCCUCCUUGUUCACUCACUAGGUUUAUACUCACUGUUUUCAACUUCAUGUUUUCAUAUCACGAGGCAGCCGGUAACUAGGACGAGGUGUCCUUGUAGACUUGUGUCCAUCUUUUGGUAGUGUCUCAGCAUUCAGUAGCUGUACAUUCAUCUGAGUCUCUCCACUGGAAGUCGAGUAUUAUUUUGUUGUGUAUAGACGAACCUAAUGUAAAUUGUUAAGAUACAUGUUGUAGACAAUGUAUAUACACUUGUUUUGUAUGCCAAUAUGAGAUGGCAAUGUGUAGUAUUAUUUUGAUUCUAAGUGAUGAAAUGUGACUUAGCAGUUUAUGAGGGAAUGAUGAACAUGACAGAUUAAUAGGCUUGCUUGGGCUUAGUGGACUAUGUCCAUUGGGCCCAUGCACCGGGCAUGGCCCGAAAUUUGGGUCGUGACACCUUUAUCAUAUAUAGUUAGGCAAUUAAGUGUGCAUUAAAUGACAAUAUUUAUAUUCCUUGACCAAUCCAAUUGGUUCAAGAGCAUAUACCAAUAAUCUCCCACUUGCAUUUGAGUCAAUUGCUAGCGUAUCCAAUAUCAAACUCUUUCGCUUAGCGACUGUGUCUCUACUAGGACAAUUCAAAUUGCAAUAUUUGGGAAUAUGUUAAUUUAUAUGUUUGACAAUCUCCAUUGUCAUAAUCAAAAUAUUAAUUUAAUCACAACGAGACAUAUAUUCCAUUAUUAUGGCUUUUGUUGUUACUUUAACAACUUGGAAUCAUUUAUUAGUUUAUUAAUCCAAUGAUCCAAAAAUCUCUCCUUUCUUAGCCUAAACAAAAGGUUUGUAUCCGAUUAUAGAUAUAAUCAUGCAAUUAUCUCUUGUUUUGGAGCCAUCCCAAUACAACUGCUCAAUCAUGACUUUAUGUCACUUUUAGCAUUUAAGAUUGUCUCUAUGUUACACUCUUUUAACAUGUUAUCCUAAAUUUCUUUUAUUGAGUCCCAUGUUAGGAUGUAACUCUUUAGUCUUAAUUUGUUUUUCUUAGACUGGCAAAUGUAUCUUAUACACUUUUAAUGAGUAACUUAUCUUACUCCCAUUAACCUUAUGAUUUGCACAAAAUAUGUUUAUUUUAUUCAAUAUAUUCAAUUACUUUGAAUUUAUUACAUUGAAUAAAGAUUAUUAUCCAAUCAUUCAUGUUGGAUUAUUUAAUAAACUCUUCUUAUGAGAGUAGUACAUCAAUAUGCAUCCUACUAAUGGUUUGCAUUUAAUGGACGAAUUAGGCAUAUUUAUGCAUCCCAUUAAAUCAAUCUUUGUGCAUAGAUCUUAUCUAUUUGAUUUCAUAAUUUCAUGACCCUUGACCUUUAAAGUGUCAUUAGCUCCCACUAUUUCUAUCAUGUAUAGAAAUCUUACCAAGUAAACUUAUUUACUUUCCUUUGGGGCGUUAUAUCCUUAACUUUUAUGUAUACGUACAUAUCAUACGUCGUUCAGCAUGAAUGAAAUCCUCUCAAAGGUUACUUCAUGGGAUUAACUGGGUUAGUUCACAUAAUCAAUUAUUAUUUAGUUUUCAGCAUUCUUAAUUUAGAUAUUUUAUUUCAAUAAGAAUGUUCCUUAGCUAAAUGUGUUCAUUAUCAUAUUAUGAAUUCGUUGAGUUAGGACUUAAUUUUAUCUAAGUCAUCUCAUUAAUUUUUCUUUCUGAUUCAUAAUCAAAAGAAAAGUAAUCUCACAAUGAUCUUAUGACUUAGUAUUGAUUAUAAUAUAACCUAAAAAAAUGUGAUAUAUUUAUGAGCUAGGGUGUAAAAAUACAUUUUUACCCCUUUUAUUUUUUCUAAAAUCAACAAAAUGUAUCGAUACAUUGACCCAUGUAUCAAUACAUUUAGUUUUGAAAAAAAUGUAUCGAUACAUUAUGAACAUGUAUCGAUACAUGUUCAUCAAGAACACUUUUUGGGCUAAAUGUAUCGAUACAUAAUGAAUAUGUAUCAAUACAUUUGAGAUAGAAUGCAGUUUCUGAGACAGAUUGCCUAUAAAACCUGCUUAGCUUAUUUACAUUAAAUACCAUUAAAGUAAAUAUCCUUUUUACUUUUUGCUCUCCAUUUACUUAAGAUAUUUUAUAUAAAUAAGCCUAAACCCCCCAUUUGGAUUUGAUUAAAAUAUAAAAAAAAUCAAAAUCCAAAAGAAUCAAAAUCUAAAUUUUGGUUUCAAGAAUAAAAUUGAAAAAGUUCGAUUGAAAUUAAAUUUACGGCUCCCAUUUACCAUAGCAAAUAUACACCAAAAAUUAUGGAAGAAUAAUUUUUGGUCAUAUAAAAAUCAAGAGAAUCAUUAUCAUCAUUUUUAUUUUCAAAAGAUAAUUCUAUAAAAAUAACAUAUUUUGACCCCUCCUAAACAUAAAAGAUUUUCCUACAUCAAAAAUGACAGACAAUUAAAGGUGUUAAUGAAUUCUUUUGAAGGGUACGUCAUGACCCAAAUUCUGGGCCAUGACCGACACAUGGGCCUAGUGGACGUAGCCCACUAAGCCGAAGCAAGCCUCUUUACGUAAUCCCGUUCAUCAUCCCUUCAAUUUUUUAAUCACCAUUACUAGACCAACAUUUGUAAUUUGCAACUAGACGUAUUUUCAUAAUACAACAUCGAUACCAAAAAUUUACAUUUGUAUGAUCUCAAAAUAAGGUUAUUCAUAGCCAUCUUAUAAUGGCACCAUUAUUCCAAACUAUACAUGCAUCGUUGGCAAGUGGUUCCUAACAAUUUACAUUUAACGUACAUGUAUUCAUAUAAAAGACUUCUGAUGACCAGCGGAGUGACUUUUGUGAGGGUACUACUAUCGAAUGCCAUGAUACCUACCAGGAGUGAAUGCAAGUGAUGCCUUAGUCUCGGUCCCAACUAUCUAUGGAUCUAAAAACAUGCAAUUUAAAAGAGUGAGUAUAAACUUAGUGAGUGAACAUAAGAAGGGAACAAGCAACAAAAAGGAAUGUUUUAGAAAACAUGAUGCACUUACGAUAAAACCAUGCAAUUUAAUCAAAUUUUUGGUUAAAACCCCUUAUUCCAAACUUUGAAUGUUUAAUCCCUUAAUGUUACAAGAUCCACGAUAAACAAUGAAGUUGAAUAGAAUGAAAAUUUCAGCAAUGACCAAGCAAGACAAGCAACAGAGGGAUUAAACAUUCUAUUUAGUUAACCCUCCCAACCCGAGUGUUUCUCACUGUAGCGAAAAUGAAUAUCGCUGCAGCGAGAAACAGAGAAAUUUAGUUAAAAGGGGUCUUGUUAUAUCAAAAGCUAUUUUUUUGUUGAAAUGAAAAGCAAUUCAGGAGCAAUUAACAAUGCCAACAUACAACACAAUCACAAUUAUUUUCAUAAACUUUCUAUAACAUAUAUGUAUUUGGAUAUACAUACAUCUUCAUGCAUACCAUCCCUCUACACUCAACUCAUGUGCACUCCUUACAUGCACAAGGCAAUAUCAUCAUCAUGUGCACUCCCUACUCGCACAAGGUAAUAUCAUCAUCAUGUGCACUCCCUACUCACACAUUUCAAUAUCAUCACACGCACUCCUGCCCACAUCAUUACCGGCGUGUGCUCUCCCACACCACACACACAUGGUCAUACUUAUUACACAAUAUUAUCUAUUAAGGCACAUCACAUAUGUAUGUAUACCAAUGAAAUAAAGGAGUACGUGGACUCAUCAUAGUCACAUUUCACAAUGAAAUACGUUUCAUUAGAAGCUUGUUCCCAUAUACAUUUUAAAGAAAAAGACAAUUAAAACCUUUCAAGUAAUUCACUCAAACAUUUACACCUUUACCCCAAAUCAUUUUAAUACAAGUUCAUUCACUGGUAUUUGUUAAAUCUUUACACAACUCCAAUUUCCUCUAACGGUCCAAAUGGGACAGUGGGGCUUAGUUGGAACCUAUCAUCACAUUAGCAUCACAAUUAACUCAAUUCACAUAACCAUAAUUCUAAAAGCUAUCUCCUAAAUCAUGUUCUACUAGUUAUCCCUAACUAGCUUCCAAUUGCCAUUAAGUGGCUAUUUACUUUCACUAUUCUAAUCACACUAAAGAUAAAUAAAUAUCCUCAACUACAAAACAUUCAUAAAUCUAUCCACCAGCCAUUUUCAACAGCUUAAAAAAAUCAACUUUAAUUCACUAUUCACCUUGGUAGCUUUGUAAUUGAAUUUCUUUCCAAAAAUUUUCAAGCUAUUAUAGAAGCUCCCUCUUUCUCUCUUUAAAACACCUAACUAGUGAGAGGAAGUAUGGAAGUAAGACUUUUCAAGGGUUUGAAAGUGAAAUAGUGAAAGAGCACAAAAGGUUCUAUGAAAAGGUGCAUAAAAGCAUGAAAAUUGGAGCUAACUUGAGAGAAGUUAUGGAGGUUUCAAAACAAGCUUCCAUGGAGGAUGAAAGAAACGUGAGACGGAAGGAAGAAGAAGAAGAAGUUGUUGGAAAAAUGAGAAGAAGCUGCUAGAAUAUGAUAUUUAUAGCUAAAGCUUAUCCAACUCCACUUAAAUUAUGAAAAUACCCUUGACAAGUUGGCUUUGUCUUCCUCCAAUCCUUUGUGCAAUCUUUUACUCUUUUGGCACUGAGACAAAGUCCAUAAUCGUCUAGAAUACUCGGGUUCAUGAAAACUUAAAUUUUUGACCCAAGGUGAAAAAUAACCAUUUUGCCCUUACCUUGAAAAUCAUCAUUAUUUAUAUUUCUUUUGUCAUUUUAUCCUUAUUGUUAUCAUUCAUUUAUGCCUUAGGCCUACUUAGGCCUUAAUAUUGUUUGAAAGCAUACUUCUAGGGGCUCACUAAAGAAUUGACGAAACUACCCCUAGUCCGUGAUAUCGCGUUUACUUCUAGCUACAAGUCUAUAAAGAUCAAGGUCUCACACUCUCUCCCACUAAAACAAAUUGGGUCCUCGAAUUUAAAUUUAACUAUAAGGUAGCAUACCUCUAAGCAUUAAAGAGGUGUGGAUAUUUUGUCUGCAUCUCCUCCUCGGCUUCCCACGUUACCUCUGCACUCGUGUGGUUUCGCCAUAACACUUUCACUAAGGAUACAUAUUUUGAACGGAGCUUUUUGACUUGCCUAUCAAGGAUAGCUAUCGGUUGCUCUUUAUAGGUCAAAUCAUCUUUUAGUGGGAUGGUUUCAUACCGUAUUACAUGAGAUGGGUCUAAGUUAUACUUCCUAAGCAUUGACACAUGAAAUAUGGGGUGGAUAUUCGAAAGGUCCGGUGGUAGCGCCAAACGAUAUGCCGCUGCUCCAAUCCUUUCUAAAAUCUCGAAGGGUUCUAUAUAUCGAGGGCUUAAUUUUCCCUUCUUGCCAAACCUCAUUAACCCUUUUAUUUGUGAAACCUUCAAAAAUACAUAGUCCCCCACUUGAAAUUCCAAGUCUCUCAGUCUAUUAUCAGCAUAUGACUUUUGUCUAGUUUGUUCUGAUAACAUCCUUUGACGAAUCAUGCAUAUUUUGUCGAUGGCAUCCUGUACCAAUUCUGACCCCAAGAGUUUCCUUUCUCCCACCUCUAGCCAUCCAAUAAGUGUCCUGCACCUCCGUCCAUAUAAUGCUACAAAUGUCGCCAUCUGGGUGCUAGCUUGGAAACUAUUGUUGUAAGUAAACUCCACUAAGGGUAGAUACUGAUCCCAUUUGACCUCAAGGUCUAUUACACAUGCCCUUAGCAUGUCUUCCAAUGUCUGUAUUGUUCGUUCAUACUGUCCAUCAGUUUGGGGGUGGAAAGCUGUUUUAAAAUCCAACUUAGUGCCUAACGCUUCUUGUAACUUUUCCUAAAACCUACUAGUGAACUGUGCUCCUCUGUCAGAUACUAUAGUAAUGGGGAUACCAUCCAGUCAUACUUUCUCGUCCACAUAAACUCGAGCAUAUUGGGCAGCCCCAUAAGUAGUUUUAACCGAAAAAAAUGAGAUGACUUCGUCAAUAAGCUUGCUAUAAUCCAAAUCGAGUCGUAGCCCCCACUAGUUCGUGGCAAGCCUGUUACAAAGUCCAUUACAAUAUGCUCCCACUUCCAUUCGGGCACUAGUAAUGGCUAUAGUAACCUUACGGGCCUUUGGUGCUUUGCCUUAACUUGCUGACAAACUAGGCACUUAGAAACAAACUCAGCUACAUAUUUCUUGAGUCUUUCCCACCAGCACACCUCCCUCAAGUCUUGAUACACCUUUGUAGCUCCAGGAUGUAUCAUGUAGGCUGCCAUAUGUGCCUCUUCCAAUAUUUCUCUCCUCAAUCCAUCAUUAUCAGGCACAUAAAGUCUGGUUCAAUUCUCAAUACUCCAUCCGUGCCUUAGUAAAUAUCUUUCCUUUCCUUCCUUGAGGGUCUUCUAAGGCCUUAGCUACGAACUCAUCUUGACUUUGUGCUUCUUUAAUCUGGUCCAUUAAGAUAGGCCUCACUCUAAAAUGUGCUAGCAAUGCAUUUACCUCCAAAACUUCCAAAUGCAUAUCCAUGUCUCCCAAGCUAUGCAUCUCCCUAAUCAAGGAUUUUUUGUCUGUAGAGAUAUGUGCCAGACUCCCCAUCAAUUUUCGACUCAAGGCAUCCGCCACCACAUUUACCUUACCGGGAUGGUAAAGAAUAGUACAAUCAUAAUCUUUUAGCAACUCCAUUCACCUACGUUGCUGCAAGUUAAGAUCCCUCCGCUGACAUAUAUACUUUAAGCUUUUGUGGUCCAUAUAUAUCUCGCAAGUCUCACCAUACAAGUAAUGUCUCCAAAUCUUUAAGGCAAACACGAUUGCUGCCAUCUCCAAAUCGUGUGUGGGGUAAUUUUGCUCAUGCCUUUUAAGUUGCCUUGAUGCAUAUGCAAUCACCUUCCCAUGCUGCAUUAAUACACAUCCUAAACCAACCCGCCAUGCAUCACAAAAUACCAUAUAACCUUUUGUGCCUUGUGGUAGGCUUAAUACUAGAGUUGUGGUGAGACAUGCCUUAAGCUUCUCAAAGUUAUCCUCACAAGCAUCUGACCACUCAAAUUUUGUAUCUUUACGGGUCAGCUUAGUCAAAGGGGUGACUAUUUUGGAGAAGUCUUUCACAAAACAACGAUAAUAGCCAGCCAAACCCAAAAAGCUUCUAAUCUCCAUAACUGAUGUUGUCCUUGGCCAUUUUUCCACUGCCUUUACUUUCUUUGGAUCAACUUGUACCCCAUCCUUGGAUACCACAUGUCCCAAGCAUGUAAUGCUUUUAAGCCUGAACUCACACUUGGAGAACUUGGCAUACAAUCAAUGUUCUCUCAAAGUUUAGAGCACUAUCUUAAGAUGCUGCUUGUGCUCUUCUCGGCUCUUCGAGUUGAUCAAGAUGUCAUCAAUAAACACCACCACGAACUUGUCCAAAUAGGGCUUGAACACUUGGUUUAUCAAAUCCAUAAAGGCUGUAGGGGCAUUCGUAAGCCCAAAUGACAUCACCAAGAACUCAUAGUGCCCAUAUCUUGUUCGAAAUGCGGUCUUUGGUAUAUCUUCAUUCCGGAUCCUCAACUGAUGGUACCCAGAUUGUAGAUCUAUCUUAGAGAAACAUUGUGCUCCUUGUAGUUGAUCAAAUAAAUCAUCUAUUCUUGGAAGGGGGUACUUAUUCUUCACCGUUACCUUAUUAAGUUGUUGGUAGUCAAUGCACAAUCUAAACGACCCGUCUUUCUUCUUUAUAAAUAGCACUGGUGCUCUUUGUGGUGAGACGUUACGACGGAUGAAGCCUUUAUCCAACAAAUCUUCCAACUGAUCCUUAAGCUCUUUAAGCUCUGUAAGUGCCAUUCUAUAUGGGGGUAUGGAUAUAGGUUUAGUGUCGGGAAUCAAAUCUAUGCAAAAUUCAAACUCUCGCUCUAGAGGCAAACCUAGUAGUUCCUUGGGAAAUACAUCCAUGAACUCAUUCACUACCGACACUUGGCUUAUGUCUCCAACCUUCGCUUGGGUAUCCCUCACAACAGCCAAGUAGCCCUGACAAACUUGUCUUAAUAGCCUUCUAGUAGACAUAAUAGAUAUCAAAUCGGUUGGAGCAUUGUUCCUAUCCCCCUUAAUACUAAAGGAUGGUUCACUGGGAAAAUCAAAUCUAACCAAUUUAUGAUAACAGUCCACGCUAGCAUGGCAAGGCGAUAACCAAUCCAUUCCCAAGAUCACGUCAAAAUCUAAGGUGUCUAAUACAACUAGAUUUACCAAGGUUUCUUUAUCCUUGACCCAAACUACACAGGACUUAUAUUCCCAUUCUGCCACAAAUACCUCUUUUAAAGGGGUAGACACCACUAAUUGUUCUUCUUUUGUAACACGAUCUUUACCCAAACGAGAUGCAAAACAUGGAGAAAUAAAAGAGUGGGUAGCACCAAGAUCAAACAAUACCCGAGCAUUCAUAUUACAAACUGAGAGAAUACUUGAUACCACUGCGUUGGAUGUCUGGGCUUCUUGUAGUGUUAAAACAAAUACCCUGGCAUGACCCCUACCACCAGAACUUUAUCGUUCAGAGCCAGAUAGCCUGCCCUGAGAGGAAGUAAUGGCUCCUCUACCUCUCAAUCCGCUAGCCUCCUAAUUAGAUGAAAUGGCUACUGAAGGAGCAGAUGAAGCUGGCUGAGUGGAACCACGAGCAAAACCUUGCGAUUGAUGAGCUAUCAGGCAAUUCUUCCUAAUAUGUCUAGCUUGGUCACACAAGAAACAAACUCUUGUAGCAAGACAACAUCGUCCUUUAUGCCGUACUCGGCAAAAAUUGCAACGAUCUAUAGCUUGACUACCCUACCUUGAAUCUUGCUACCUUCCCUCACUAAAAGUUUUAGGCCAUGAUCCAACGUUGGCACUAGUCAAGUCACUCCCUUGUUUGGGUAAUUGUGAGUCCUUCUAUGGGCCUUGAUGACUAAAAGAUGAAACACCACUACUGAAGUCUCUGCGACCUUGAUAGCCCUCUGUCUUGGCGCUUUUUGCUCUAUCCCUUGCAGCCCUACUCUCAUUGGUCCUUAUCUCAAUCCGCUGAGCACAAUCCACUACUUCGGAGUAGGUAUUGAAAUCUCGAGAUGCCACGACCCUAAACAAUGGCUCCACUACCCCAUCCAUAAACCUCUGAAUCUUUAUUUCUUCAGUAGAAAUUAGAUAGGGCACAAAUCAAGCCAGCUGCAUGAAUUUGAUGUCGUAUUAUAACACCGUCAUACUUGAGGUCUGUACUAAUGCCUCAAACUCCCUAGCUCGUGCAUUACGUACACUAAGUGGUAAGAAUCGAUCUAAGAAGGCUAUACUAAACUCCUUCCAAGUCAAUGGCGUUGCAUUUGUGAGCCUACCUGUACGUAAGGAGCCAUACCACUCUUGCGCCACGUUCUCUAAUAGGAAGGCGGCUAGCUCGACUGAUCUAGUACUAAAGCAUCCCAAGGCCUCACAAAUUUUCUCCAUCUUAUUUAAGAAAAUCUGGGGCUUCUCUGAUGCAUCAGACCCUGAAAAUGAUGGAGGCUUAAGCUUCAGGAAAUCAAGAAGGGAAAUCUCUAAAUGACCCCUCUCAACCUCAAGAUGUUGGUGAUCGACCUGCUUUUGGGAACUAGGGGAUUCUUGUACUACAAUUCUCCCCUCCACUAUCCUCUGUAUAUCAUCCAUAUGGGUUGCCAUCAUCUCUACAAUCUGAUUAACUCCCUGUAGGCCUCCCACCAAAACCUCGAUGGCGAUGCCCCCAGUUGGUUGUCUACCUGCAUUGUCCGAAGACUGUCCCUCCUUUCAUCUACUCAUAGGCAUAUUUACCCUCACCGGCCUAUUAGCCUUGCCACUUCUACCUCGCCCCCUAAGGGUGGAUGCCCGUGGCCUAUCUGUCAUCUCAGUAAGAGCAUCUUGCUCCCUCAUCCGUCUUGAGGCGGCUCGUGUCUUAGGUGGCAUUCUUACCUAGACAAGAGCAAACACUUGUUAUUAAACACAUUUUGCAAUUAUAAUCGUAUCUAACGAAAAAGGUGCUUUCCAAGAUACGAAAUCUAUGCAGUCCCUUGGUUGUAAAAUGUGUCACGAUUCACACUUCACAACUGAAGUUUCCACAUAAAGACUCGACACUCCGCUGGACCAACAAAAAGAAGUCUUAAAACCUAAGCAAUCUAUGGCUCUAAUACUAAGUCUUUCACGACCCAAAUUUUGGGCCAUGACCCUUGCAUGGGCAUAGUGGACAUAGCCCACUAAGCCCAAGCAAGCCUCUUUACGUAAUCCCGUUAAUCAUCCCUUCCAUUUUUUCAUCAUCAUUACUAGACCAACAUUUGUAAUUUGCAACUAGACGUAUUUUCAUAAUACAACAUCGAUACCAAAAAUGUAUAUUUGUAUGAUCUCAAAAUAAGGUUAUUCAUAGCCAUCUCAUAAUGGCACCAUCAUUCCAAACUAUACAUGCAUCGUUGGCAAGUGAUUGCUAGCAAUUUACAUUUAACGUUCAUGUACUCAUAUAAAAGACUUCUGACAACCAACGAAGUGACUUUAGUGAAGGUACUGCUAUCGAAUGCCAUGAUACCUACCAAGAGUGAAUGCAAGUGGAUGCCUUAGUUUCAGUCCCAACUAUCUACAGAUCUGAAAACAUUCAAUUUAAAAGAGUGAGUAUAAACUCAGUGAGUGAACAUAAAAAGGGAACGAGCAACGAUAAGAAAUGUUUUAGAAAACAUGAUGCACUUACAAUAAAACCAUGCAAUUUAGUCAAAUUUUUGGUUAAAAGCCCUCAUUCCAAACUUUGAAUGUUUAAUCCCUUAAUGUUACAAGAUCCAUGAUAAACCAUGAAGUUGAAUAGAAUGAAAAUUUCAGCAAUGACCAAGCAAGACAAGCAAUAGAGGUUUUUCUCGCUGCAGCAAAGAGGUAGUCUUAGUUUGCAUAUACUUUGAUUUUUCAAGCAUAACUCCCACUACAGAAGUUCAAUUGAUACUAUUUUUUGGUCAUUAGAAAUCUAAGAGGCUGGGCUACAACUUUGAUGUUUACCACUGUGCCCAUUUCUGAUUGGAAGGUGGUUAAAAUCUUUGUCAAAGUGACAGCACUGCAACAGAAUCUUAGAACCACCAAAGAGUUUCUCGUUAUAGCGAGAACCAGGCCAUUGUAAUCCCCGCCAACCCGAGAGUUUCUCACUGUAGUGAAAAUGAAUCUCGCUACAGCGAGAAACAAAGGAAUUUAGUUAAAAGCCAUUUUCUUGUUGAAAUGAAAAGUAAUUUGAGAGCAAUUAACAAUGCUAAUAUACAACACAAUCAGAAUUAUUUUCAUAAACUUUCUAUAACAUAUAUGUAUAUUUGUAUAUACAUAUAUCUUCAUGCAUACCAUCCUGCCACACACAGCUCAUAUGCACUCCCUACACGCAUAAGGCAAUAUCAUCAUCAUGUGCACUCCCUACAUGCACAAGGCAAUAUCAUCAUCAUGUGCACUCCCUACUCGCACAAGGCAAUAUCAUUAUCAUGUGCACUUCCUACUUGCACAUUUCACUAUCAUCACAUGCACUCCUACCACAUCAUUACUGGCAUGUGCUCUCCCGCACCACAAACGCUUGGUCAUACUUAUUACACGAUAUUAUCUAUCAAGGCACAGCACAUAUGUAUGUAUACCAAUGAAAUAAAGGAGUACAUGGACUCAUCACAGUCACAUUUCAUAAUGCAAAACAUUUCAUUAAAAGCUUGUUCCCGUAUACAUUUUAAAGAAAAAGACAAUUAAAACCUUUCAAGUAAUUCACUCAAACAUUUACACCUUUACCCUAAAUCAUUUUAAUGCAAGUUUACUCAUUGGUAUUUGUUAAAUCUUUACCCAACUCCAACUUCCUCUAAUGGUCCAAACAGGACGGUGGGGCUUCGUUGGAACCUAUCAUCACAUUAGCAUCACAAUUAACUCAAUUCACAUAACCAUAAUUCUAAAAGCUAUCUCCUAAAUCAUGUUCUACUAGUUAUCCCUAAGUAGCUUCCAAUUGCCAUUAAGCGACUAUUUACUUUCACUAUUCUAAUCACACUAAAGAUGAAUAAAUAUCCUCAACUACAAAACAUUUACAAAUCUAUCCACUAGCCAUUUUCAACAACUUAAAAAAAUAAACUCUAAUUCACUACUCACCUUGGUUGCUUUGUAAUCGAAUUUCUUUCGAAAAAUUUUCAAGCUAUUAUAAAAGCUCCCUCUUUCUUUCUUUAAAAUACCUAGCUAGUGAGAGGAAGUAUGGAAGUAAGAAUUUUCAAAGGUUUUUAAGUGAGAGAGUGAAAGAGCACAAAAGGUUCUAUGAAAAGGUGUACAAAAGCAUGAAAAUUAGAGCUAACUUGAGAGAAGUUAUGGAGGUUUCAAAACAAGCUUUCGUGGAGGAUAAAAGAAGCGUGAGAUGGGAGGACGAAGAAGAAAAAGCUAUUGGAAAAAUGAGAAGAAGCUACUAGAAUAUGAUAUUUAUAGUUGAAGCUUAUGCAACUCCACUUAAAUUACGAAAAUGCCCUUAACAAGUUGGCUUUGUCUUCCUCCAAUCCUUUGUGCAAUCUUUUUACUGUUUUGACACUAAGACAAAGUCCAUAAUAGUCUAGAAAUACUUGAGUCCACAAAAACUUGAAAAUUUUGACCCGAAGUGAAAAAUGACCAUUUUGCCCCUACCUUAGAAAUCAUCAUUAUUUCUAUUUCCUUUGUCAUUUUAUCCUUAUUUUCAUCAUUCAUUUAUGCCUUAGGCCUACUUAGGACUUAAUAUUGUUUGAAAGCAUACUUCUAAAGGGUCACUAAGAAAUUGAUGAAAUUACCCCUAGUCCGUGAUAUCGCAUUUACUUCUAGCUACGAGUUUAUAAAGAUCAAGGUCUCACGGGUAAAACUAAUUUUCAUAGUCAAAAUAUGUAAUCUAUAUGCUCACUUAAGGAUUUCCUUAACUUAUCCUCUCACUCAAGGUGGGAUUUUACACUCUAAAUAACCUAAAUCCUGUCCAAAUUUUAUUUUUGAAAAAUUCUCUAGCCCCUCAGCCUUGGGUUCAUUGCCGUCACGGCACUGCCCCGUUUACUAUAGUGGCACUGCGACGCUUUAGCCUCGAAAUUUUUAUGAUGCCAUUCAUUCCACUAGUGUUGUGGCCUUGCUCUCCUCAGCGCUACAACCUUAGCUUCCUUGGCACUACAGCCUUGAACAACUCCAGGCCGCAACCUUCAGUCAACAUGUUGCUUUGUAUAGAACUAUAACAGUCUGGCAUCUUCCAACGCGAUUUUCACCUUGAUCUGAUCUGAACUAGGUAAAGUGGUAAACAUAAAAGAUGUAUCCCUAUCUCUUAUCUUUCCCAUGAGUUAAGAAUCGCAUCAAUUGGACUUCUGUACCUCAUGAUAUUCUAGAAAUAUUGCAUCAUGUAUGAUUGAAGCCAUAACCAUACUUGUGUAAAUUUUCAUCAAAUGAACCUUUUUCAUCAAAUAUCCUAUAGAAGAAAUAAGAGAAAUCAACAAUAACUAUUCUUAAAUUAAAUUAAAGCAAAAAUAAAGUAAAAUUAAACUAAAAUAAUUUUAUUUAACUACUCAACAUGUAAUCAAACUUAAACUAGACAAACACCUAAAAUACUAAGAUUCGAACCAAAAAUCUCAAAGACCUAGCUACUUAAGCACCAAAAUGUGACAAAAUAACUCUAUAUAAUAGAGUUAUUACAUCCCUAAACUUAAGAUUUUGCUAGUCCUCGAGCAAAACAUGAAAUAAAAUGCAAUAACUUAAACGAAGAAAACACUUAACUAGAAAUCAAUUGUACCAAUUCAAUAAUCUCCUUUAAUAUCUUCAAAGCUUAAUUCAAAUUCUCAACUCUAAACAACACACAAAUAUUAUUCAAGUUCAUGCUUCAAUUCAAAUGCAAGCUUAUGAUUUAGUGGAUUUUGGUGUGUGUGUGCAAUCUUUUCACCUUGAACAUUGUACAAUCCGGAUAAGUUUACAGUCAUGCAAAAUUCAAAUUAAUAAUAAAAUUCCAUAAGUUUGUUUUUCAUCUCUCUCUCCACUAAAUAGACUAAUGCGAAGUUAAAGAUCAAUAUGACUUUAAUUAGCUUGUAAUGUAUGGCUAGGGUCAAGGUAGGAUAUAGAAUAAUAUGUAGCUCAAAUCACCCUAAGUACAUAGUCAAUUUAAGUCCUAUUCAGAGCUGUAUUUUCUUUCACCUAGUAUACCCCUUUUUCAUCAAAAUUUUCUUUUGUUUAACAAUUCAUUCUUUUUCUUCUUUUUAUACCUCUUUUACUUCUUUUUCUCAAUACUACACUCCCAAACUUAUUUCUUUUAUUUGGUAGUGAGAUGAAUACAAUCAUAUUUUUGAAGUUUUCAUCACUUUUCAUCCUUAUUGCCUCUUUUAAUAUUUAGCUCAUAACACUUCCUAAAUUGACUUAUUCAUUUAGGAAUGACGGAUACAAAAGUUGGCAAUAUUAAUAUAAGGGUCUAGGCUAAAAAUUAACUAUUUAAACAAAAAAAAAGGUUAUAUUAAGCUCAAAAAGGGUAAACUAAGGAUAAAUUAUGUAAAUGAAGGCUAAAAAGGCUCAAUCACUACAAAGAUGGCUUGAAUCAUAAAGUAUAUCUUAGGAUUUCACCUUUAGAGAGAAUUAAACAAAUUCUAGAACUCAAUGCACAAUUCAAAAAUUCACAUUCACACAAACCUUAUCUAAGUACAUAUAAUGAAUGCAAGCAAAAGACAUAGUGCUCAAAAUGGAGAAAUCUCAUCCUAACAAUGAAGUUUAUCAUAAGAAUUUGCAUAACACUAAAAAAAUAUUCACAUUUGCAAACAAUUAAGAUAGAAUAUAACUAGGUUCUGAUCAUUAGAUAGGUAAAUUAAAAGAAAUUAACACAACAACUUCUAGCUCAAAAUCUUAAAAUAUGCAUAAAAUUAAAUAAAAUUUAACAAAAAUAUAACAAAAACUAAUAACAAUAAAACCUCCCCCAAAUUUAAAUUGCACAUUGUCCUCAAUUUGAAAAGCUAGAAAGAAUAAGGAAAAUAAACUUCAUUAUCAUGGUGACAUGCAUUGACAUCUAUAAUUUUCUUUCUCUUCAUCUUCAUGCUUUCCAAACCUGCACUCUCAAAAACAAGCUAGGGAGAGGUUAAAACCACUUAUUUAAAUAGAAAAACAAAAAUUAACUAAAAUAAUAACUAAAUCUAAAAGGAUAUGACUUGGGUUGCCUCCCAAACAACACUUUUUUAUAGUUACUAGCUUGACUAUGAUACCUUUUUUUCACUUCUUCAUCAUCGCACUAAAUCUUGCGGCCUUGUUUCAUUACCUUGAAUGCUCCGGUAUGUGUACCAAAAUCUUAAUAUAGCCAUAAGACAGAACUUUUACCACUUUAAAGGUUCUCCGCAAAUAUGGUUGAAGUUACUAUGGUAAAAUAUGGAUGCGUGAACUAGAGAGUACUACUUGCUGUCCAACCUUAAAAUCAAGGUCACUAAAAAGUGGUGGGUUAUGCUCAUCAUAACACCACUUAGAUUUGAGAUGUGGUGGUGAUGGCUCUUAGUCAAAACUUGAUGCUUUCUUACUUGUAGGUGGUGGAGUAGGAUUACCUUUACCUUCAUCAACUGAGUCUAGUUUGUAGCAAUAAUCUGUGGUUGAAGGAUAUUUAGGUGCAUUGAAAAUAGUAAAUUCAACUACUUCUUCUCCAACUCUAAAAAUUAUUCUACCUUUUUUUACAUUGAUGAGUAUGCCUAUAGUGGCCAAGAAUGGACGUCCUAAUAUGAUUGAAAUCUUUUGAUCCUCCUUCAUCCCAAGUACAAGGGAGUCCAUUGGAAUGUACAAUUUCUCUACUCUAAGCAAGGCAUCCUCUAUAAUCCAAAAGGGUUACAUUAUUCUCCUGUCUGCUAGCUGUAAUUUGACUGUAGUAGGUUAAAUCUCUUUUAGUCUAAGUCUCUUAGAAAUAGAUAAAGGAAUAAUUAAGACAUUAUCACCCAAAUUACACAAAGCUUUCAAAAAAUUAAUAUUACCAAUUGAGUAAAGGGUUAGAAAACUCUCUAGGUCAUUAAGCUUUAAGGGAAGCUUGUUUUGGAUUAUUACGUUGCACUCUUUAAUGAGUGCAACUGUCUCGAAAUCCUCUAAUUUCCUCUUUUUCAUUAAGAUGUCAUUUAGAAACUUUGUAUAUAAUAGCAUUUGCUCUAAAGCUUUUGUGAAAAGGAUGUUGAUGUAAAGCUUUUCAAAUACGUCAAAAAACUUUUUGAAGUACCUAUCAAGCUUUUGUUUAUGAAGGCACUAAAAGAAAGGUGGUGGUGGUAGCUUUGCCUUUUCUCUUUUCUCUUGAAUUUGCUUGUCAGCUAUCUAAAUCACUAUUUCAUUCUCAAUAGGCUUACUUGAAGUCUAUCACACUUAACAUGACUUUCAACCUCUUUUCCACUCCUCAAGGUGAUUCCCAUAACUUGUUCCUUACCUUCUUUCUUAGGAUUCACGUUUGUAUCACUAGGUAGUGUUCCUUGAGCUCUGUUGUUGAAUAAAUUGGCAACUUGACCAACCUAAGUCUUAAGGUUUCGAAGUGAUGCUGCUUGACUCUGAAUGACAGUCGCUUAACUUUGGAUGAUGUUAUCAUUUUGUGUCAUGUACUACCUCAGCAAAACCUCCACAACUGGCUUCUUAUCUAGGAUAGGCAUUGUUGAUUACUGUUGGAAUCUUGAAGGUGUAUUCGGCCUUGAAGAUAAAGAUGAUCCUUGAUUAUUGGUCCAAGAUAAGUUUGGAUAGUUCCUCUACCUUAGGUUGUAAGUGUUGGAGCAAAGGUUAUUUUGUUGUCUAUUUCUCACAAAUUGCACUGUUUCUAUCAUACUUGGACAUUGAUGGCUUGCAUGAUAAUCUUCACAACACGCACAAGCUACAAAAGGACUUUGAAUAGAGUUAGUACUAAAAGAUUCAAGUGUCUUAGUUAGAAUUGCUACAUGUGCAAAUAGUGUCGAAAUCGCAUCUACAUCAUGAACUAUAGCUACUCUCCUAUGUAUUGAUCAUUCUGUUGGCCACUAGUUGUUGUUUAUAGCCAUCUCUUGCAACAAAUCGUAUGCCUCAUCAAUUGAAUUAGCCAUUAAAACUCCUCUAGUAGCGGCAUCAAUGGUAGUUCGAAUAUGACCACUCAAACCAUUAUAGAAUGUCUACUCCUAAAGCUAUUUUGGAAGAUUGUGAUAAGGACAACAACGAAAUAAUUCUUUGUAUUUUUCCCAAGCCUCAUACAACAAUUCAAAAUCUUGCAGCAUGAAUAAUGUGAUAUCAUUCCUCAUUUUCGCUAUCUUGGCCAGAGGAAUGAACUUAGCAUGGAACUUUUGAGAAAUAUCAUCCUAUGCUGCUAUUGAUCCAGUAAGGAGUGCAUUCAACCAUGCUUUAGCUUUAUCCUUUAAUGAAAAAAGGAAAAGCCUCAAACGAAUUGCAUCUUGUGUGGCAUCAUUGUGUUUAAAAGUAUCACAUAUCUCUAAAAAGUUUGAAAUAUGGCCAUUUUGAUCAUCAUUUGGAAGGCUUCCAAAUUGGAAUAAGGUUUGAAUCAUGGUGAUAAUAUCUAGCUUGAUCUCGAAAUUGUUUACUUGAAUAGCCGAUCUUCGAAUGCUCGAUGGAAUUCCUUAUAUCAAAGGAACAACAUAAUCCCUUAAGCAACGAUUAGAGUAAAACCUUAUUGAUUUUCUUGUCAAAGUUUUCAGAAUGUUCUCUUAAUUUCUAGAUCACACGAUAUAAUCUUUAAGCUUUUUGCUCUUCUUAUACUAUGACACAACAAACCUGAAAAACAAAGGAGAAAAACUUAAAUUAAGACUAACUUGUUGAAUUUUAAAAUUGGCAAAUAAAUAGUAAAACAGAUCCCUGAUAAUGGUGCCAAAAACUUGUUGAGUUUUCAUCCAAGUGCACACCAUCACAAACAAGUAAUAUAGUGGUGAAGUAGAGUAUCAUUCUCACAAAGAUUUGUUCCUAAAUCUUUACUAAGUACUAAAAUUUAUGACAAAUCAAUCUUAUUUAAGUAACUAAAAUUUUCAAAAAAUUAAUUAAAACAAAAUCAAAACAAGCACUAAAUUAACUAACAUAAAUUAAAAUUACUUGGAAAAGGCAAUAGACUAAAACUUAGGACUAUGGGUUCAUUUAACACUUCAUUUAAUACUAUCUUCUCCUAUUAUUUAUAUUCUUGGGAGGUUUUACUAACCUAGAAUCCAAAAUUACAUACAAGUCUCCAUCGAGAUGCUUGAAUAAAUACUUAACUUAAUUUAGUCAUUAUAUGUUUAUAGGAAUCAAUUAAAUAAGGUUCAUUAAGCUAGCAUUCUAAUUUGGCUAUGUAUGGCAAUUGGCGUAUGUCUACCCGAAUUGCGAAUCAUAUCACCUAAGUGAUGUGAACAUAUACUAUUCAAACCUUAGUCCAAUCUAGAAUCUCUUUGUUGAGUCUUAAUUAGAUUCACAAAUCAGUCAACUGCUGGUCAGACAAUCAAAGGCAUUAAUAACAUAUUUGAAUAAGUAAAACUAUACCCAUUCAUAGUAAAUAAAGGAGAAACAAAUAUUCAGAUUACAUGUUGAAAUCCAUCACAAUCCUAGAUAAGCAAAUUAGUUCAUAAUAUUUAAAUAAAACAUCAUCCGAAAAAUAUUAGCCAUUAAUCCAAGUCAAAGAAAAUAAGAGAAACACAAAAAUAGAGAAAGAAACUAAUGAUUAAAGCUUUUGAACUUGAAUCUUUCUCAAAUUCUCCUAUUUUCUUGUUAUGUUCUUGGCUCUUUUUCUCCAGAACAGUUGCUUGCCUCCCUACUUUCCAGACCUCUAAAAGUAUUCCCUUAAAUAGGCUCAAAAUAACCUAAUAUCUCAAAUCCCAUCAAAUUUUUAUUUUUGAAAAAUUUUCUAGCGCUGUGGCCUUGGGCUCCUUUGAGUCCCGGCUUUGCCUCGUUUGCUAUAGUGGCACCACGAUGCUCUAGCCUCAGGAAUUUGUAUGAUGCCAUUCAUUCCAUCAACAUUACAGCCUUGCUCUCCUUAGUGCUAUAGGUUUGACUUCCUCGGCGUUGUAGCCUUAAGCAACUUAAGGCUGUGGCCUUUACUCAACAUGCUACCUUGUGCAGAACUACAGUAGUCUAGCAUUUUCCAAUGCAUUUUUCACCUCGAUCUAAUCUGAACUAGGAGAAGUGGUAAACAUAAAUGAUGUAUCCCUAUCUCUUAUCUUUCCAAUGGAUUAAGAAUCGCAUCAAUUAGACUUUUGUAGCUCAAGUUAUUUUGGAUAUACUGCAGCAUGUAUAAUUGAAGCCAUAACCACACUUGUGCGAUUUUUCAUCAAAUGAACCUUUUUUAGCAAUUAUCCGACAAAAAAUUGUUGAGAGAGUGUUGAGAGAGCUUGUGUCACAACCCAAUUUUUCGGGCCAUGACCAGCGCAUGAGCUCAAUGAGCAUAGCUCACUAAGCCCAAGCAAGCCUAGCCAUUUACCUUUGCUUAACAAAUUUAUCAUAUCAUGCAUACACACACACACCUUUUCUCGGGUGUGAACAUAGCCAAAACACAAUGGCAUUAUCGAUAAUAAUAUACAUGUACUAUACCAGUCAUGUAUUUAGCAAUUUACAUUGCAUACACAUAUUCACAUUGUUAGAUUGUAUUCACAAUACAAAAGGACCCAUGACUUCUAGCGGAGACAUUUACAAUAAAAGGGAUUACUAUCGAAUGCCAGACACAUACCCAGGAGAUGCACUACGGGGACUCCUCAAUCUAGGGUCCAACAGUCACCUGAUCUAAAAACAUGAAUUUUUAUAACACGUGAGUACAAUACUCAGUGAGUGAACAAGAAAGGAACAAGCAUACCAUAAGGAAUGUUUAUCGAAAUCAUGAUGCAUUCAUUUUCUCAAAACCAUGCAAUUGUUUUAGCUCCUUUAAACCCCUCAUGUAAACCCCCAAUAAGUAAAUCACUUUACAAAAAUCCAUGCUCAACUAUGGUACCAAAGAAAUGGGAAAUAUGGCAAAAACCCACAAGUUAGCAAAAUGGACAGAAAGUUUCUCUCUGUAGCGAAACAGAGCAACAAGACAAAAGUUUCCCUUCACUCAACAAAAAGGCCAACCUACUAAACCAACAAAAUCAAUAUAAAACUCAUGAAAAUUCCCAAAGUGCAAAGUAUCAAAUUUCACAUAUAUGUCAACCAUAUAUCACAUUCAUGAGCUUUCAUUUCAUAAGUCUAUAUAUGCAUAAUUAGAUAGACAAACAUCAAUAUCAUCAUAAUCACACCCGGCUCAUAUACAUCCCCCCACAUCGUGCACAUAGUCGGCACCAUCGUGUGCAUCCCCCCACAUUGUGCACAAUUAGUGCCAUCGUGUACAUCCCCCCGCAUCUUGCACUGAGCACUAUCAUCAUCCACCUCUCACGCCACCAUAAAAUGGGGCUCUGAUACCAAGUGUGUCGUUAGGGAGGGACAUACCACUCAACCCCUUCACUACAGAGGUGACAGACGGUACCUAUCAGAGCACUCAUACGGCGACUCCACCUCUUUAGGUAGCCCUUUCCUCUAUAAGCCCCUGGGCGGAAAGCCACGCUUCACCCCUGUUCAUGCGUUAGAGUUCCCAGGGAUCAGGUAAAACCCUUUGCUCUUAUACCAACUUAAUUCUUCCCACAUCGUGCACACACACGGUUACAGUCAUUAUACACAAUAUCAUUCAUCCUGCACAACACACAUAUAUAUAUAUCAUCAUAUUACAAUAAUGCAUGAAUCCAUAGCAAUCACAUAUCAUAACAUCAAACCAUUUAACAAAAGCUUGUUCCCAAGAUACAUUUUCUAAGACAAGUUGGAUAGAAUCUUUCAUAUUCCCCAAAACAAGUUUGAAAUGCAAGUCCACUCACCGAUAUCGAAAAUCCGAAUUUCGGGUGCACUCGGACUAAUAGUCCUCAAGCGCAAUUCCUUUACCUUUUUCGGACGUCUCACUACCUUGACAAAUAACAAAGUCAAAGAAUUUACUAUAUUGUCCCUAAAUUGAUAUAAACUAAUUUAAAUUACUAAUGCUUGAUAUGUAAAUGCAAAAAUACGUCCGAUUAUCGCUUAAUCGCGGUAUCGAUUAAAUUCGAUCGAUCACCGAUUAAUUAGUGAUUGUGUCCAAAUCACCCCCAAAUUAAUCCAUUUCUCCUCUAAUACCUUAAUUUACCACAUACCAUUUAAAUAAAGCCAAAUUCAACAUUAGAACCCUCACAGUUCCUUAUAAAAAAAUUCAGUCAUUUGGUGCACUAGCACCGAAAUUUUUUCUACAUAACCAUUUCACCUUAAUUCAUCAUUUUCCAAGCCAUUUUCCUUGAAAUAAAAACAAUCCCCCAUUGAUAUUCAGCCCUCAUGGUUCAACCAACAAGGAACCCUAGAGAAAUUGAAUAUUUCUUUUGUGUUUUUGUUCAUAACCAUGCUUAACUAUCCCUAAACACUAACAUAGUCUAAAAUCAAAUUAUUUCAACAACAAUUCCUCUUCCAUACCCAUUUUUAAGAAUUGAAUUCAUCAUGAUAACUCAAUAUUCAACCAUGGAAAUCAAGAACAAAAGCAUGGGUAAGCUAGGUAUCAAGGAGAAUUAAAAAAAUUCUAACUUACCUACCUUGUUUCCUUGAUUUCUUCACUUUUUCUUUGAAUUUCCACCUAGAUUUUCUGGUUUUUCCCUUUGUUCUUCCUUUGUUCUUGUUGCUGGUUGCCUAGGCUGAAUAUGAUGAGAGAAUUGGGGAUUUAAUGGGCUGAUUUCUAUAGAAAAUAAUAAAAGAAUCAAGCAUGCCAUGUGUCGCAUGCUUAUUAGCCCAAUUUUUUUAACUUUUUGACUUUUUCUUCUUAAUUUUCUACCACAAAUAUUUUGAUAUUUAUCCAAUCCUACCACAAUUAAAAUCCCUUGGUCUUGACAAGUGUUGGGACGAAAAAUUUUAUCGAUUUACCCCCGGGGCAAAAAAAUUACGAUUUUGCCCUCCGAAAUGUACCGGAAUCACAUUAUUUCUAUUUUUCAAACUCAAAUAACACUAAUAUUGAUCAAUAUUAACCAAAUGGGGCAAAAAUUAUUUUAUAAAAAUUUUCGUUUAGUCCUCUAGUGGCAAAAUUACCAUUUUGCCCUUGUGCUCUAAAAAUAUUGGGAAUCACAAUUUUUCACUACUAAACAUCAUUUUAUACUCCAAUAAUCAUAAUUAUAUUUCAUAUAAUUAUUCUUGGUCAAAUGUGAUCAAAUCUUGGCUAAAAAUCUCCAUUUUAUCAUCAAAUGGUAAAAUGAUCGUUUUGUCCCUAAUCGGUCAAUUUUCCUAGUGGACUCCAAACUAAACCUUGAACUCCGAAUCACUAUUCCAAGCCAUUUUGUGGGUUUCAAAAUUUUGAAAUUCCUCUUAGAAUUUCUAUUUGAACUAGUUCAAGGCUCGAUUUAACUUAGUUGUACCACUCGGUACAAUACCGUCUUUUAAUCGAGCUUGAUAGGGUUUUACAGCUUAGCUUUUCCUUUUUUCCUCAAAUGGGUGGACAGCUUGAGGCUUUAUAUUUUUUUGCAAAUCUGCAUGCAUGUAUCGAUACAUUUGGAAAUGUAUGGAUACAUUUCUAUGGGUUAACUUUAAAUCUAUCGAUACAUGAGGCAAUAUAUCGAUACUCUUUCCAUGGGUUGCUCUCGAUUUCAAAUCUAUUGAUACAUUUGGACAAUGUAUCGAUACAUUUCCCUUGGAUUGCUUUCUGCUUCAAAUCUAUCGAUACAUUAUGAGAAUGUAUCGAUACUUUUUCAUAAUACCCCUCUCAUGUGCUUACUGUUUUGAAUGUAUCGAUGCAUGGUGCCCAUGUAUUGAUACUUUUCAUCUAGAUUGCAUUUUCUUCAACACUUAGAGCUUUUAGCUCCAUUUUCUAACUUACAUUCUCAUCCCAUUUCCUCAUAAUCUCUUAACAUCAAUCACAUAAACUCAUCAUAUGCUUCAAUUAUUCAUCCAUGCUCUAUGUCACAUAGCAUAUAAAUCAAACAUAACAUAUUUGGUUUUCAUAGCAUACUCAUUUAAGUGCCAACAUGUGCACUAUUUCAUUUAGGUGCCUAACAUAUGCACAACAUCAUUUAAGUCUUUAAAUACUCAUACAUUCUCAUAAUCCUCACUUUAUGGACAUAGGCAUUCCUUACAUCCAUAAACAUAAACAUCAAAAUAUCAUUAGCUCAUUCCAACAGCUUAACAUACACUAGACACCAUUACCAUAAGGUCAGGAGUGUUACAUCCUCCCUUCCUUAUAAAAAUUCAUCCUUGAAUUUUUAGCUAAUCAUUGUUACAUCAUUUUCCAUGCCUUAAUUCUCAAAGAGGUAGGGAUACUUGGCUUUCAUCUCACCUUCAAGCUCCCAUGUCUCAUUUUCCAUCAUAUGACUUUGCCACAAUGCUUUCAUUAAGGCAACAUCUUUGGAGCGAAGCUAUUUCACUUGUUGAUCUAAUAUGGCUACUGGUUUCUCCUCGUAAAUUAGUCCAUCUUGCAAUUGGACUUCGUCGUAAUGAAUCACAUGCGAAGGAUCAAGGACAUAUUUCCUAAGAAUGGACACGUGAAAUAUUGGGUGUACAUCGAACAUACUCAGUAGUAAUACCAAUUGGUAGGCCACUGUGCUUACGUGUUCUAAAAUCUCAAAAGCCUCGAUGUAUCUAGGGCUUAAUUUUCUUUUCUUGCCAAAUCUUUUAAGUCCUUUGGUUGGUGAAAUCUUUAAAAACACAUGGUCUUCUACUUCAAAUUUCGGGGGCUUCUUUCUAUUAUCAGUGUAUGAUUUCUAUCUACUUUAAGCUGUUUGCAUCCUCUCUUUUAUUAUAUAGAUACCUCGCUUUGCUUAUUGGACCAUCUCUGGCCCCAGAAGUUUUCUUUCCCCAAUUUCAAGCCAUCCAAUAGGCGAUUUGCAUCUUUGCCUAUACAAUGGCUCAAAUGGUGCCAUUCUGAUAAUGGCUUGAUAGCUAUUAUUGUAAGCAAAUUCAACCAAAGGCAAAUAGAGAUUCCAUGCAUCCCCAAAAUCUAGCACAAUGGCUUUCAACAUGUCUUGGAGCAUUUGUAUCAUUUGCUCAAAUUGACUAUCAAUCUACGAAUGGUAUGCUUUGCUAAAAUCAAGCCUAGUGCCCAAGGUACUUUGUAAUUUCUUCCAAAACUAGUUGGCAAAUCGUGGUCAUCUGUCAGACAUUAUAGUCACUAGCACACCAUGUAAUCUAAUAAUUUUAUCAACGUAAAUACGGGCAUACCUUGCUACUCUGUAUGUAGUCUUAACAGGGCAAAAAAUGGCCUACCUUCGUUAAUCAAUUGAAUAUUACCAAUAUAGCAUCAUAGCCUCAUCUAGCUCGAGGCAAACUCGUCACAAUAUCCAUCAUUACAUGUUCCCACUUCCAAUCAAGAAUCGGUAAUAGUAGUAACAAUCAAAAAGGCUUUUAAUGUUCAGCCUUUAGUUGCUGACAUGUUAAACAUUUGGAGACAUAUUCUGCUAUGUCUCUUUUCAUUCCUGGCCACCAAUAAGUAGACUUUACAUCAUGGUACAUUUUCGUGGCUCUAGGAUUAACAACAUAAGCCGCAACAUGUGCCUCUUUCAAUAUCUCAUUUCUUAAACCAUUAACAUUUAGCACAUAAACUCGUGAUCGAUACCUCAUUAAGCCAUCUAUGCUAUAAAAGAAAUCUUGAGCUCUAUCUUCAGUAAUGUCUCCAAAGAUCUUCAUCAUAAAUUCAUCCCAAUCUUGGGCAUCUUUAAUUCGACUUAAAAUCAUCAGUUGAACCUUGAAAUGUCAUACCAAGGGGUCCAAACCAUUAUCCUCAAAUUGAACUCCCCUGUUGCCUAGAUCAUAAAGACUUUGUACAAUUUAUCGUAUCUUCGUAAUCACAUGCACCAAACUCCCCAUCGACUUAUCGCUUAGGGCAUCUACCAUAGCAUUUACCUUGCCUGGAUGGCAGAGGAUGGUACAAUCAUAGUCUUUUAACAAUUCCAGCCACCUACACUACCUCAAAUUUAACUUUGCCAAAAUAUAUACUUCAAACUUUUGUGGUCAGUACAUAUUUCACAAGUUUCUCUAGAGAGAUAGUGUCAUCAUAUUUUUGGGGCGAAAACAAUUGCAGUCAUCUCUAGGUCAUGCAUAGGGUAGCUCUGUUCAUACUUCUUUAGCUGAAGGGAUGCAUAUGCUAUGACUUUCCUAUUUUGCAUUAAUACACAGCCCAAACCAAUCUUUGACAGAUCGCAAUAUACUGUAUAACCUUCAGUUCCACAUGGUAGGCUCAACAUGGCCACUAAAGGGAGACAAGCCUUAAGCCUUUGAAAACUUGUCUCACAGGUAUCUGACCAUUCAAAUUUAACUCAAUUCUGAGUUAAUUUUGUUAGGGGAAAUGCUAUCUUUGAGAAAUCUUACACAAAGCAUCUGUAAUAAUCGGCCAUGCCCAGAAAACUUCAUACUUAUAUAACAUUCAUGGGCCUUGGCCAUUUCUCAAUUGCCUCAAUUUUACGAGGAUCUACUUACACUCCUGGUUCAGAUACGACAUUCCCUAAAAAGCUAACUUCAUUUUGCCAAAAUUCAUAUUUCUCAAGCUUUGCAUAUAUCUGAUGCUCUCUAAGGGUUUACAGCAUAUUUCUCAAGUGUUGUACAUGUUCUUCCGGACUCUUAGAGUACACCAAUAUGUCAUCGAUAAACACCACCACAAAUCUAUUCAAAUAGGCCCAAAAUACUUUAUUCAUCAAAUCCAUGAAAGUUGUAGGGGCAUUAGUGAGUUUAAAUGACAUCAUUAAAAACUCGUAAUGUCCAUAAUGUGUGCGAAAGGUGGUCUUGGGUAUGUCACUUUCUCUUAUUCUCAACUGGUAAUACCUAGAGGGUAAAUCAAUCUUUGAAAAGCACACUGCCCUUUACAAUUGAUCAAACAAAUCAUCUAUUCUCGGAAGUAGGUACUUAUUCUUUAUUGUAACUUAAUUAAGGUCUCGAUAGUCUAUGCAUAAUCUUAAGCUCACAUCUUUCUUUUUCACAAAUAACACCAAAGCUCCCCAAGGUGAUCCACUCAAGUGAAUAAAGCCCUUAUUUAGUAAACCAUUCAAUUGCUCCUAGAGUUCCCUCAGCUCAACCAAUGCCAUGCGAUACAGACUUAUCGAAAUAGGUCUCAUAUCUGGAGCUAAAUGAAUAUAGAAUUCAAUCUCCCUCGUAAGUGGUAGUCCAAGUAACUCACCUGAAGAUACAUCAGCAUACUCACCGACUAUCAAUGUAGAUUCCAUAGUCCCUACAUUCACCUAUAUGUCUUCCAUCAUUGUUUAGUACUCUUGGAAAUCUUGCCCUGAUGCUCAUUUUACGGUUAGAGUUGCCAUAAAUUCAUUUGGUACUAAGCCAUUAUGCUCGUCGAUUACAAAUGACAAUUCCCUUGGAAACUUGAAUUUUACUAACUUACGAUAGCAAUCUACAUUAGCAAAGCAGGAUGUUAACCAAACCAUCCCCAAUAUCACAUCAAAAUCUGAUGUCAUUAGUAGCACCAAGAUGGCCAAAGUUUCCUUGUCCUUGAUACUAACUGCAUAGGACUUAUACAUAUAUUCUGCCAUGAACACUUCCUCUGAGGGGGUGGUCACAAUUAAAGGUUCUUCCAUUUCAUAACAACAUUGAUUAAAUCUGAACACAAACUAAGGUGAUACAAAUGAAUGUGUUGAUCUGAGGUUAAACAAUACUAGAGCUUCAGUACCACAAACAUAACGUACUUGCGAUCACUUUAUUAAAGGCUUGAGCAUCAUGCGUUGUCAAAGUAAAUACUCUUACCGAACCACUUCCUACGCUACCUUGUUGCUCUGUUCUGCCUUGAGAUGACAUGGUUAUCCCUUGCCCUUAUCUUUCUUGGCAUAUCUUGUAGAAGGAACCGCCUUAGGCAGUGUAGUUUCCAUCGAUUGCAUAUAACCACGGUUAUCUUCCAUGAGCUGUCUGGGCCUUGGAUAAUUUUUUAUCAUAUGUCCUGACUGCCCACAUUUGAAACAUAACCCUAUUGAUCUAAGACACGGUCUACCAUGUGCCUUGCCACAAUUAUUACAUAGGACACCUCUUUGUCUAGGGCCCAAAUUCGAUGCUCCACUAAAUAGCUCUCGCCUUCUAAAAGGGCUAAAAGAAUCACUAUUUUAGGGUGGCCUAUGUGUAGGAGUAGUUCCCUCUCGACCCCGACAGCCCAUAAUAAUUGGAAUCCAUGUUUAACUAGAAUCCUUCUAGCCUCGUUAACUUUCCAUUCUAACUUUUUAACCCUUAUUUCUUUCUGUCAAAGUCCCCAUUCUACGGCUCCCAAUCAAUCUGACCACAUCUACCACUAUAGAGUAAGUGACAAACCUCUAGGUGGCAAUAUCUCAAAAUAAUAACUCUAUCAAGCCUCUAACAAACCUCUUCAUCCUUUUUUCUUCAAUCAGGACUAAGUUAGGAGCAUAAUGAGACAAUUGAGUGAACUAGAUAUCAUAUUCUGUCACCGACAUAUCUAGGGUUUGCAUUAAGAUCUCAAAUCCCUGUGCCUCAGUGUCACUCACGUUGUUAAGCAAAAAUCGAUGCAGAAAUACUUGGACAAAUUCUUCUUAUGUAAGUGGAGCCGAUCUUCCUUUCUUGAGGGUCAUAAACCAACAUUGAGCUACAUCUUUCAACCUGAAUCCUACUAAUUCAACUGAUCGUUGACUGGAACAUCCCAGUGUCGAGCAUAUACAUUCCAUAUCCUCUAGGAAUCUCUGCCAAUCUUCUUCAGCAUCUGAGCUGGUAAACAAAAGGGGCUUAAGUUUCAUGAAAUCUAUUAGUGUCACCAUAAUUGCCCUACAACUAGAUUCUGCUACUAGCAUAUAAUCCGAGUCCUCAAAAUUGGAAUCUAUCCAUUCCUUUAGCUGUACCUUAGCCCUGCUAUGUAACUCAACAAACUCAUGUUUCAAACUCUGCAACCCUAUUGCUAUAUCCUCUAGAGUGACACCUCCUCUCGUCGGGUGAUCAUCUCUAGCUUCCUCAUACUCAUCACUAGUAUGUACAUCACUAGGGUCUACAUGUUGAGCACGUUUCACAACUCUAACUCUUCCAUGACUCUUUGAUGAGGAAGUUUGUGGUUUAACCAUAGCUUCAUUAGGGGUGUCAUGUCCUGCCGUAGCUUUUAAGGCAACUCUCGUCUUAGGUGGCAUCUUUACCUAGACAAAUCAAAGCCAUGUUCAAAUCCGUAUUUCAAAAUCAUAGGUGGCAUAUUACAUAACUUAGGGGUUUGUGUAGCUUCCCGCUCAUGAAUUGUGUUGCAGCAACAAAGCAUGAAUAAGACUCUACACUAUACCCUACUUACUCUGCGGAUGACAUAAACUGACCUAGGACUUUCUAGAAGCUAGGUGCUCUGAUACCAAGUCUAUCACGACCCAAACCCGGGGUUCCAUGAUUGGCACACACGAGCCUGUCAGGCAAGCUUGCGAGAGUUGAGGAAGUCUUCAUAAUUAAGUCUUGUCCAACAUAUCUCAUUUAUCAUAAGGUCUCAUGGCCAACAUCAUUUCAUUCAGACUUAAAAUAUUAAUAUUUAACAUUAGCCCCUCGACUCAUAAUAACAUCCAAGACUUACGGAUAACAUACACGUAGCCAUACAUUGGCUAAUUCAUCAAGUUAUUAUAUAUCUCAUUUACAUAUCACAAACCACUCUGUGCCAACAUAUUUUUCAUUAUGAUAUACUUUAACAACAUUCUGCGGAAGCGUAAAAACUCAUCAGCAUGUUCGUCUAAGAGACAAUGCUUGCCACCAAUCUAAGAGUCUAUUUAUUUGCACAAUACAAUUGAAAUGGGUGAGUCACACUAGUACUCAGUGAGUGGAAAGAUAAAACAAUUGUAAAUGCGCAGCAAUAGUCGCUACACGUAUCCUCUAAUCAUACAUGCAUAUCAUACAUCCCAACCAUGUGCAUAAUAGGAUAGGACAAUCGCCACCUGCCAAACAUAGUUUGUCAUAAUCAUGGUAGUCAUGCUACGUUGUGUACUUUCAUCUAAUAACAUGUUAAGGUGGCGUAAUCAUCAUCACCUUAUUCAUUUACUAACAUCAUCAACAUAACCGUCUAUUAAUUCAAUCCACCAUAUGAAUUGGCCCACCUUAUGGCCAUUUACAUACGUAACUUAUCAUACGUACCUUAUAACACUUGCCUCAAUGCUAGGUUAUAGGUUCCUUAAGCUUUCAGCAUAUUGAUUUACAUAUAACAUUUCCGUAUGGCUCUUACCUUAAGCUUUUACAUUAAUCAUAAAGUCAUAACAUAGCAUAUUAUGGUGCUCAACACAUAUACAUCCUACGACAUGCCUUUACAUAUUAAUAACAUCAGAGCACAUCGUGGAAUGGUCUUCCCUAGACGUUUUCAUAGUCACGUAUGAUAACCUAUAAACGGACAACAUAUAGCAUCAUAUUACGCCCCAUUGCCAUAACAAACAAUGGAGUCAUGUCACAUCACAUUGCUAAAAUAAACGACAGAGUCAAUAAUUAUCAUACGAUACCAUGUUUGGCCCCAUUGCCAUGACAAACGACGGAGUCUAGUCACGCUCUAUGGUCGAGCAAACAACAGAGUUUGUGGUCAUCAUCCGGAUUAACCUUAACGGAUGGCAUCAUAUCGCUACAAAUGGGAAUCACAGGUGGGACAAAACCACCAUCCCUGUAGGCAUCAUACAUCAUCGUAGAAAAACUAAAGACACUUAAUCCUCAAAGUAUACAUUGUUUAGAAAUCCUCCACAGACGUAACAUGCUUAUUCUACAACAAACAUUAUUUGAAAAUCCUCCAUGAACAGUUCACAUUCAUCAUUCUCAUAUUAUCUCAUCAUCACAUUGAUCUAGGUACUAUCCUUCUAGGCAUUUCAUAUAGUUCUCAUGAUCAUAUCAACAUUAUCAUACUUAACCUAAAUAUAAUCCAUCUAAGCAACUCACAUCAUUCAUAACAUUACUAGUCUGGGUGUGUCACCUCUAGACGUACUUAUAAGGCAUACAUCACAUAUAUCAUGCAUAUUUAUUCUACAAACAUACAUGCACCUUACUCAUUAUGCUCUUUUGUAUAAAAUUUCCCACUCACCAUGACACUUCAGUGUCUCUUUGCUAGCACUUGUUUAGCUUGGCUUAUCACUCUUAGCCUCAAUUCACAUAACUCAAUAUUCGGGUAGCAUUCAUUCUCCCAUUGUACAUCUAGCAAUCAACAGUGGAUAAACAUUAACAUUUACAUCAUAAUUCUCAAUUUCAUAGCCAAAUCUUGGCUUUUAGAUCAUUUUUAGCAUUUCAAUAUAACAUAUUCUAUAACCAAUUUAUCAUACAAGCUCAACUUCCUCAUAUUCAUCAUCAAUGUAUGAAAUCCCUUACCUUAAACAUGACUUGGCUCACUUAAACUUCAAAUCUCCAACCACAUUCAAAUCCAAUAGCCACCAAAAUUGAAACAUCACAUUUCUACAUUAUUAAGAUUUUGCUUGUCCUUGAGCAAAAGAAAAAUUAACAUAAAAAUCCUCGAACAAGAGACAGAAGUACCAAACAAUGAUUUCCCAAUUUUUCCUCAAAAAUUAACUCAAAUUCCAACUUAAGGUCACAUACAGUUAAUCCUUAAAUUAAUGCAUCAAUUCAAGUGAAAACUUACUUUUCGAAUGGACUUCUUGUGUGUGUGUGAAUACUCUCUUACAAAGAAUAUCAUGCAAUUCGGAUUAGUUUAUUCUAAAUCUAAGUAUAUAUUAGUGCUAGGAUCCCAUAAGUUUACUUUUCAUCUAUUUUUCCGCUAAUGCAGAUUAACACUUAUUCAAGGAUCAAUUAGUCUUUAUGAACCUUAUAAUGUAAGGCUAGGGUCAAGGUAUGAUAAAAGAUAUAUUUAUGCUCAAAUUCACCCUAAGCACUUAAUCAAUCUAAGACAUAUAAAGAGUUUAAUUUUUUUACAGUACCCCCAAACUUGAAGUAAACUUUCCUUUGUACAACACUGUAACACCCUGUACCCCCAUAUAGUAGUCAACAUAACCGUAUCAAUAAGAUCAAGGGCUAAUUGAUGUGGAUUUAAAUGUCAAAUAGCAAUGACGGGUGAAAGGAAUAUUCUAGAGUAAAAUAUUCUGCACACGAGAAAAUAAUAAUUAAAUAAUAAUAUUUUUAUUAAGGAUGAAUUAGCAAGAUGAAAAGUGAUUCGAAAGUGAAUCGAGGCAUCAUAAGACAUUUUGGGUUCUAAGGAAACAAGUGAAAAAUCUUGGAAUAAAAUAAUAUUUUAUUAAUAAAAUGAUAUUAAAAUAUUAAUAUUUUAUUUGAUGUCGAAAUUAGUCAUGAAGGAGGAGUAUAUGGUCAAUCUAAGUGGGGGAGAAAAAGAAUGAGAGAAAUUCAGAGAAAAACAAUGUUAGUGAGGCCUGCGUGUCUUUAUUAAAUAAAGCUAGUAGGGGUAAGUAUAUAUUUAAAUAUUAUCGUGAUACCAUGUUGAAGUGCAAACUUUAUAUUUUAUUUGUACAAGUGUAAAGAAAGAAAAAUAGAAGAAAUUGGACUUAAAAGAUUGUUGGGAGGACUAAAUUAAAAAGGAAAGAAACAUUGAGGGCUAAAUGGUAAUUUUUCUAUUAACUUGGUCAAAGCUUCCAAAGGAAGCUUUGACUCUUUUCUUCUUUUUCCAUGGCUGAUCCUUAUCUGCCCAAAAGGCGUUUUUCUUCUUCAUCUUCUUCAAUGCCAUUUUUCUCUCUUCACCAUGAAAAUCAAAUUUUUUCAUUUUCUUUUUUUUUCCUUUCUUUUCUUACUUCUUCUUUCUUUUAUCUCCUUGUGCACCAAACUCACAACUUUCAACCACAUUUUUCAGCACAACCAAACCCUAGGAAAGAGAAACUCUUCAAACUAGCUUGAAAGCUCUUGAAGGAAUUCUUCCCAUUUUAAUCCUCACCAAGGAAAAUUAACUACGAGUCCACCAAGGUGAGUAAUGGGUUAAGGUUAAUUUUUAAGUUUGUUAAUGAUAGCUAAUAAUUAGAUCUAUGGGUUGUUUUAUUGUUGAUGGUUAUAUUGUGGUGAAAAUGUGAUUAUUUAUUACUAGUGUAAUUAGAAUAGUGCAAAUAAAUGGCUAUCUAAUGACUGGAAUGUUAGCUUUGUAAAUUUACAAGUAAAUUAAUACUUGGAAUGGGAAUUAGGGGCUGUUUUGAUGGGGUGAGAUUGUUGGAGGGAGAAAUGAUUAAUAAUUAUGGUAAUUCAUAGUUUAACUAGUGGUGUGGAUGACUAAUUUAAUAAAGGGCAUUGUGUUGGUGUAAGAUGUCACUAAGGGAAUUAAUUAAGUUUGGAAUUAUGAAUUUUAAGGAUGAUAUAGGUGCUGGAAAAUGGAAGUAAUAAAUAAAGUGUUAUGAAAUUAUUGGAGUUAGUACUAGGUUGACUAGCUAAAUGGUAAUUGAAAACUAGUUAGGAAGAACUAGUAAAGCUUAAUUAAGGAAAUAGAAUUUGGAUUUAUAUUCAAGCGAAUUAGGUUGGUUGUGAUACUAAUUGUGUGUUAUUGGUUCCAACGAGACCCCACAUUUCCACUUGAAGCACUAGUGGAGGUUCGAAGUCCAUCAAAAAAAGAAACUGGUGAGUGAACUUGCAUUAAAAAUGUUUUGAACAAAUACGCAUGUGUUUGACAAAAGUACUUGAAUAUCCUCGGUUGACUCUUUUAAAAAUUAUGCACAGGAACAACCCUUUCACGAGUGAUAUUUCUAUGUUUUUAAAAGUAUAAUGUGACGAAUCACAUGUUUGAAAUAUUAUGUUGAAUUGUCAAUUGAAUUAUAGUGUGUGAUACAUUGGAAAUCUUGUGAUGUUUUACACUAGUGGCAUAGCAGUUAAUAUUAUUUUCCUUGAAUGUCGGACUAUGCAACUAUGUGUACGACCAAUACAAUAAUGAACGUUGUGGAAUAUAUUAUUAUGCAAAGAUUCUUGUCAUAUGUUGUUAUGUGUGCUAUGUUUUAAAAGAUAAUAUUGAAUGAUAAUUUUAACCAUGCGUGUGUUGUGUGGGAGUGCACAUGAUGGUGAGGGUGGUGUGCGGUGUGGGAGUGCACACGAUGAUAUUGCCAUGUACGGUGUGGGAGCGCACAUGAUGAGGACGUGGUCUGAGAUGUGGGAGUGCACACGAUAAUGAUGAUAUUUGCCAUGUGCGGUGUGGAAGUGCACAUGAUGAUACCAGCUAUGUAUAGUGUGGGAGUACACAUGAGCUGAGUUGUGGAUGGUGGUUGUGUGCGUUGAGCCUUAUUGACUAGUUGGGAAUGACCUUGAUGUGUUAGAUGUAUGUUUGAAAUAUAUAUAUAUAUAUAUAUAUAUAUAUAUAUAUAUUAUUAUUAUAUAUAUAUAUAUANUGUUAGUAAUAUAUAUAUAUAUAUAUAUAUAUAUAUAUAUAUACUUAUAUUUAUGUAAUAUAUAUAUACAGGAAUUCUUAUGCGCAUGUGCGCCCGUCUCGUAGAAUAGAGAUGAUUGGAAAAUGAAACGUGAUUGCAUUGAAUGUUGAAAGUUGAAUUUCCUAAAUGUUUUAAAAUGAGUUAAAAGUCAACAUGGCAUCGAGUUUGUUUAUGAUAUAUAAAUUGCAUUGUUUUAAUACAAGUGCAUCGUGUUUCCUAAAAAUCUUUCGUAUAGUUUCCUUGUUCCCUUCCUAUGUUCACUCACUGGGUUUAUACUCAUUCUUUUCAACUUCAUGUUUUAGUUUUUAGAUCCGAAGGUAGUUGGAUUCCUAGGUUGAGGGACUUCCUCAUAUUCACCCUUCGGUAGGUUUACUAUGUCACUCAAUGAUAGUACCCACGUUCAGAGUCACUCCACUGAUGGUUAGGGUCUUUGUAUGUGUACGUGCAUACUUGAUGUGAAUUGCCAAGAUUUAUUUGGCAAACUAUCUCUAUGUAUAUUUUGAUUGAUGAUGCCAUUAUGAGUGUAUACUUGGGUGUCCUAAAUUGUUUCCGAAGAAAUUAUCAUUUGAACUAUAUGAAUUAUAGAUCUUAAAUAAAAAUGGAUGGUAGAUCGACUGAUGUACAGGUUCACAUAAAAAGGCUUGCUUGGGCCUAGUGAGUUGUGCCUAUUGGGCCCUUUCGCCUGUGAAACCUCGACCUUCAUAGACAUGUAGUAGAGGUAGACACGAUGAUGUGGAUUACGGAUAGUUUUGUCAUUUUCUUGGUGAGCUCUUAGAAGUGGGUUUUCUAAUAUUAUUAAGGUUUAAGUAGGCCUAAGGAAUAAAUAAAUGAGGUAUAUAAUAAUAGAAUAAACGAAGAAAAUAGAAAUAAUGAUAAUUUCCAUAGUUGGGGUAAAAUAAUCAUUUUGGGUCUCAGGUCUAAAUUUUUAAGUUUUCAUGAACUUGAGUACCUCUAAUCUAUUGGGGACCUUUUCUUAGUGUCAAAAGAGUAAAAAUUUUGAACCAAAGGAAAGAAGAAGGCAAAGUCAAGUAUGCAAUGACAUUUUUGUAAAUGGUGGCACUUUAGUCAACUCUAGGAAUAAAUAUCUAAUUUUUCCAGCAGCUUUCUCCUCACUUCAUGCAGCUUUUUCUUCUUCUUCCCAUUUCUCCUCCCCAUUUCUCCUCCCCAUUUCCAACUUUCCAUCUUCCAUGGAAGCCAUCCUUGAAAUCUCCAUGAAUUUCUCAUAAGAACUCCAAACCUCAUGUUGUUAUACACUUUUUCAUAGAAUUUUUCAUGUUCUUUCACUCUGUCACCUCAAGAGCCCUCAAUUGUCUUUCCUUAGCACUUUCUCUCACUAGUUGGACAUUUUAGAGAGAGAGAGACUUUCCAUAAUAGCUUGAAAAAAACUCUUGAAAAGGAAUUCAAUUACAAAACCACCAAGGUGAGUAGCGAGUUAGGGUUGAUUUUUAAGUUGUUAAUGAUGGCCAAUAAUUAGAGUUGUGGACUGUUUAUUGUUGAAGGUUGUUUAUUUAUUUCUAGUGUGACUAAAUUAGUGCAAACUAAUGACUAGUCAAAUGGUAAAUGGGAAACUAGCUAGGAAUAACUACUAAAGUUUGAUUUAGAAAAAUAGCUUUUGGAAUAAUGUUCAUGUCAAUUGAGUUGGUUGCGAUGCUAUUCUAUGUGAUAAGUUCCAACAAGACCCCAUAUCUCCACUUGGAGCAUUAGUGGAAGUUGGAAUCGAUUAAAGAAUCAACAAAGACAAGUGAGUGAACUUGCAUUAUCUUGUUUUGGGAUAAAUGCAUAAGUGUUUGAUUGAAUCACUUGAAAUAUUUUAUUGGUCUUUUCUUUAAAAAAAUAUGCAUGGGAACAAGCCCUUCAUGAAACGUUUUUAUGUUGUGAAAUGUGAAAUGUGAUGAAUUCAUGUGUUUUGAUAUUAUGACAAUAUGUAAGUUAUGCCUUGAACGAUAAUGUUGUGUGUUAAUUACAACUGAGCAUGUGUAGUGCGGGAGUGCACAUGCCGGUGAUGAUGUGGUGCAGGAGUGUACAUGAUGAUAUUUGCCAUGUUCAGUGUGGAUGUAGUACCUCGUACUUUGAGGUGGUGGCUAAUAAUGCUUACCGGCUACUAAUUGAGGUUGAUUACUAAGUAAAAAGGGUAAUUCAGAAGUGAGCCUGAAACUUCAACCUCUAUAGAUACGUAACUAGAAGUAGACGCAAUAACACUUACUAGGGGCAAUUUCAUCAUUUCUCUUGGUGAGCUCCUACGAGUGGGUUUUCUAACGUUAUUAAGGCCUAAGUAGGCCUAAGGUAUAAAUGAAUGAUGAAAAUAAGGAUAAAAUAACGAAAGAAAUAGAAAUGUGAUGACUUCUGUAGUAGGGGCAAAAUGGUAAUUUUGCACCGCCUCGAGUCAAAAUUUUUAAGUUUUUAUAAACUCGAGUACUUUUAGACCAUUAUGGACUUUGUCUCAGUGUCUGAAGAGUAAAAAGUUGAACCAAAGGAAAGAAUAAGACAAAGUCACCUUAUGGAGAGCAUUUUGGUAAAUUGCAUGAGAAAUUGGAUAAACUUUAGAUAUAAAUAUCUAAAGCUCCAGCAAUUUCCAACAACUUCCUACCAUUUCUUCUUCCUUUCCCAUCUCACGUUUCUCUAUCUCCAUGGGAGCCUCCCUUAAAGCUUCCAUAACUUUCUCUCUCUAGCUUCAAUUUUCGUGCUUUUGAGCACUUUUUCAUUGAACCUUCUGUGCUCUUUCACUCUCUCACCUUAAAACCCUUAAAAAGUCUUACUUCCAUCUUCCUCUCACUAGCUGGACAUAUAAAGAGAGAGAGAGAGUGAUUUCCCUUAUUAGCUUGAAGAAUUUGAAAGAGAAUUCAACUACAAAGACCAUCAAGGUGAGUAUAAGUUAGGGUUAAAUUCUUUAAUUGUUGAUAAUGGCUAACAAUGGGGAUUGUGAGUGUUUAUCGUUGAGGUUGCUUAUUCACUCUUAGGGUGACUAGAGUGGGGUAAAUAACUAUCCACUUAACGGCAAUUAGAAGCUACUUAGGAAUAACUAGUAGAACUUGAUUUAGGAAAGAGCUUUUGGAAUUAUAUUAAUGUCAAUUUGGGUUGAUUGUGAUGUUGUGUGUGUAAAGGUUCCAACAAGGCCUCACAUGUCCAUUUAGAGCAUUAGUUGAGGUUAGAGUCAAGCAAAAGAAUCAACAAGAUCGGUGAGUGAACUUGCAUCAAAAUGUUUUUGGGAAAUACAUAUGUGUUGGGAUGAAGCGUUUCAAUGAUUUUACUUGGUUUUCAUUAAAUUAUGCAUGGGAACAAGCCCUUGAUAAAAUGUUUUGAUGUUGUGAAAAUGUGAAAUGUGUAAAAAGAUUAAUCCAUGUGCCCUUACAUUAUGUUGGUAUGUAUAUAUGUGAAUAUGUGUUGUGCAUUGAUGAAUAAUGUUGUGUGUUGAUGAUGACCUGGCUAUGUUCGAGUAGGGACUGUGCAUAAGUUGAUGAUGACCUAGCUAUGUGCGAGUAAGGAGUGCGCAUAAGUCGAUGAUGACCUGGCUAUGUGCGAGUAAGGAGAGCACAUAAGCCGAUGAUGAUGAUCUGACUAUGACGACGAAUGAAGUGGGGUGGUGUAUGUGUUUAUAUAUGUUUCUAUACGUAUAUGUGAUAGAAAGUUUAUGAUUAUAAUAUGUGAUUGAAAUGAAUAAUGAGAAACUUUGAUUAUUGUCAAUGUGUUCACUUUGAUGUGCAAUAUCGUAGGAAUGGAUUUGGUGGCAUGUGAAAAUCCCUUAAUUGUCAUUUGCCCCAAAUCUCGCUGCAGCAAGAAACUCUCAGGUGGUGGGGGCACAAACCAGCCCUGUUUCUCAUUGCAUCAAAAAAGAAUUCUCACUGCAUCGAAAAAGAAUUCUCGCUACAACGAAAGAUUUCACUGCAGUGAAAAUGGAUUCUCACUAUAGCGAGAAAUUCUCUGGUGGACCCAAAAUUCUAGUGUAGUACUUCCACUUUGACAAUGAUUUUGACCACCAUCAAAUCAGAACUGGGCAAAAUGAUAAACAUAAAAGUUGUAUCCCAGCCUCUUAGCUUUCUAAUGGUCUAGAAAUCAGGUCAAUUGGACUUCUUUAGUGGGAGAUUUGCUGGAAAACCCAAAAUAUAUGCAAACUAAGACUGUUUCUCUCUACCACGAGAAACUUGCUGUCUUGCUUGCUACCUUACUUGAUUUUGACAUAUUUUUCACCCAUUUAACUUCAUGGAUUGAUCAUGGGGUUUUGCAACACUAUGAGGUUAUUAAUCAAAGUUUGAAAUGAGGGGUUUUUAGUAAGAAAUUAAAUCAAUUGCAUUGUUUUUGAAACAAGUGCAUCAUGAGUUCUAAGUUCUCCUUAUCGAUUGCUUGUUCACUUCUUAUGUUCACUCACUGAGUUUUAUACUCACAUUUUUAAACUUCAUGUUUUUAGAUUCGGAGGCAAUUGGGACCUAUAUUGAGUUGUCCACGUAUGCUCGCUUUCUUGGUAGGUACUAUAGCAUCUCAGUAGUUGUGCCUUCACCCACAGUCACUCCGUUGAUGGUCAAGAGUCAGUUAUCUGUGAACACGUAUAUGUAAUGUAAUCUACUAGGAUCCAUAUCAUAAGUCAAUUAUGUAUAUUUGAUUAUUGAUGCCACUAUGAGUUGGCAAACGAGUGACAUUAUUUUGACAUAAUAAAAUUGUGAGUUUUUGGUCACUAUAAAAUAUUACUGAAAUAUUUUUAGUUCAGAAUUUCAAUAUGUGGUUUUAGAAAUGAUGGUUAAGAAUGAUGAUUGGGUUUGCAUAAAAAGGCUUGCUUGGGCUUUGUGGGCUAUGCCCAUUGGGCCAAUGCGCCGAUCAUGGCCUGGUAUUUGGGCUGUGACAAAGGUGGUAUCAGAGCUCUAGGUUUAGUCGAGUCCUAAUAAUCCUUGUGUUUGUCAGCGAAGUUGUCAGAGUUAAUGUAGAGUCCUGUCUAUAGUUUGUAACUGCAGCACAAGUCAUAGACAGGAAGUUAUUUGAACUCCUACUCCUAGUAACCUACCCUUUUGCUAUCAUCAUGUAAAGGGCAUAAAUGGUAUUGUUGCUCGGGUUUGAGAUGCCACCCGAGACACAAAUCAUUAUUGGAAAGAUUUUUAAGCAAAUGCUCCUAAUGAAAGGUCAAUAAAAUGAUAUAUUCCUCCGACUAAGGAUGGAGGAAGGUGGAGCUAGACUAUUAGGUCCAUAAUAAUUUAUUCAUUUGGUGGAAUUAUGAUUUGAACCCAUGGUUAUCAAGGAAAAAAAUUAAUUAAAAAUUUAGAAACUAUGGAUUGUAUUUGAGGUCAAUAUAGGGAGGAUGUACGAUAAUGGUAAUAAAAGUUGUAUUUUGACAGGGAUGAAUAGUGACUAUUGUGACUUGCUUGAGGUUUAUAAAUUUAAGUAUCGAAAAAAAGUGUAAACUAACGUUUAUAUGUACGAAGGUAAGUGCGCUAUGUUAAAUGAGCUUGUCAUGCCGCUAUAGAAAUGGUGUGGACUUUUGAGAUAUUUUAUAAGCGUAAAAGUGUUGAAUAUGUGUAUAGUAGCUCAAAUGGAGUUGGUUUUGAUUUCAACUAAGUGAUGCGAGAUCCCAAGGUUUAAUUUGAACUAUUAUGGUUCAUAGUUAUAAGUACGUGAAUUAGCUUAAAGGUGAAAUUUAGUGACUAUUAUAAUUGAUGUGUGGUCAUCAAGUGAGAGGUUGGUAAACAAAUUUUCUCUAAGGAGGAGCAUGAACUUUGUUAUGCUAUGCGUGAGGUCAAAGGAUUAAAGAACUAGUUGUGGAUUUGAUAGCUUGAAGUUAAAUGAUUGAGAGAUGUCGAAUUUAGUCUAAAUGCCAUAUGGAGUUCUAUAUUUGAGUUUGAUAUUCGAAUUGCUUUAACGAUCAAUUUAAAAGUUUAUUGGGUUCAGUAUGUAAUCUAUGAUAAAGAUGAUCAGUUUUGAAUGUGAUCUUCCCAAAGGUAAAGGAUUUGGGAAAUAUUGAUUAUUGGAUAAGUUCUAAGAGGGAGUUUCUACAUCCUAAGUUUAAAAAAUGUUAAUUUUAUAGCCGUAAAGGCGAGAUGCAACAAUUAAGUAAAUUAUUCACUUGAUAAAUGUAAUUGGUUAAAGAUUGGUGAGUAAAGUUAAGAUCUUAACAUUAAAUGGUGUACAACUCGAUAUUUAUGUAUUUAAGAGUUAUUUGGAAACACUUGCUUAACCAAGUUGCACUAAAAUGUUAUGAUAAAGGUAUACAAUUGUUAGUAGUGAAAUAUGCCCAAAGGAUAAUCAUGGCAUACCCCAAAAGGGUGAAAUGUGUAAUGGAUAUGUCAAAAUAGAGGAAAGUAAGAAGGGGUUCGUACACGUGGUAAUGGAUGUUGACAUUUAAAGGGACGUAUAUAUGUAUAUGUGAAGUUACUCAUGUCAUCGGUGGAAAUAAAGAAUUAUUCUUAGCGAUUUGAGAGUUGAACACCAUAUGCUUGAUGGGUUGCAUAGAUGGUACUAAAAUAUACUAAUUGACCUAAUGUACGCUAUUGGAAAUAAUUAUGAAAAUGGAGGAAGAACAAGUUCUAAAAUUUCAAAGUAAUAACGUGAGCAUAAGUAGAAUGAUCAAGGUACCAACCUUAAAUGUAGACGAAAAGCGUUGAUUGAGUAAACUCCAAUAGCCAUCGUGCCACAGUGCUAAGAGCACCCCAUGUCUAAGACUCAUGAAUAAUAUGUGAAAGGCGUGAAGUUGAAAUUACGAGCUAAAUUAUGAUCAUUGGACUUGAUGUUAUGCUUCGUUAAUUGGAGCUUUAAGGUUGUGGAAAAAUAUUUAUAUGGAUGAAUUGGAAAGUUUCUCUAUUGCCUUAUAUAUUGGCAUGUAAGUCAAUGAAACAAGGGAUUAAGCCUUGUUAAGGCUAAGGAAAGAGUGAAUGAAAAGUAAGAUAAAUGAUGGGAGAAGUAUGGAGGUUGUUAUGAUGAACAUAAGAAACUUAAGGAUAAUCAAUGCAAAGAUACCAAGUAGGUUGUGUGGUCCGAAAUAAGGACAAUGAUACCUUAGGAGAUUUGAAAAUAAUGUCCAUUGGAACUGACGAGGUGGAAUGUCAUUGAGCAUACAGUGAAUUGUUAAAGUUUUAAGGGGCUUUAAAGGUAAGCUUUUGAUUGUUUAAAUCCUCAACUGAAUUCCACCAAAGGAUGUGUUUAAGUGUUUUGGAAGGCAUUGAAGAGCAUAAGAGAAAAUACCAGUUAAAUUGCUGUAAGAGGUUGAAAUGGCAUGGCCAUGAGAGGCUCAUGAGCAACCAAGCAAUGUAUAGGUAAAUGUGCAAGGGAACUAUGAUAGGUAGAUAAGGGUAGAACUUUAAUGAUGGGAUAAUGUUCACUCUUUAGGCAUUGAACCAUAAGUUAUGGGCUUGUAUCUACUUUGCGAACACCUUGGUGGGAUAAUUCGAAGGAGUUUUCACAAUGUGAAAACAUUAAAGCUCGAGGAGAUAAUAGUUAUAUAGCGAUGUUGGAGCUCGUUACUGAUAUGUCACGUAGUACCAAGGUACGCUGCAAGUCUAAGAAUGCUUGGAAACGUUGGUUUGAGGUAAUGACUAUCUUGCCAUUAUGUAGACCCGAUAAUGAUACGGUCUCGAUAUGUUUGUGGAGGCAGAGCAUACAAUGGUAAAAAGUGCUUCCCUCACAUGUUUCAUUUCAUUUUGAGUAAUUAUCAAGGUAGAAUACCAGAUAAAGGUAAGCGAAGAUUGAACUGUGAUUUAAACGCUUAGUGAAUAAUGGCGAUAUGCUUUAGUUAAUUGAUAUUACCCUUGGUGAGGGAAUAAAAGUAUACAACUAGAUUCGUAGAGAUCUACUUCGGAAAAGAGAUGAUGAUUUGAGAAUUCAAGUACUCGUAUACGAAUAAAGAUUUGGUAAGAAGACAUGACCUAGAGAUGGAAUACUACAACAUGAAUUUUUGCUAAAAAAAUCGACUUAUAAAACAAGUGGUGUUUAGGGAUCGUGCUAAUCAGUGGUUGACUCUCGUAUGAGAAUAGAAUAUUGAAAUCAACUUUGUGUAUUCACCACAAAUGGUGAGCAUGAUCUAACCAACUAUAAGAAGAAAUGAUUUUAAACUUGAUUGUCCAUCAUUUUGGUUUUACAGAUGGCUUAUUGAGCUUGAUAUGCCUAAGGCCACUUAAAGUUAAAAUUUUUGAAAAUAUAUGUAUGGAUAUAUAUGUUGCAAAUUGGUAAAAAAAAACUCAUACGGAGUUGAUUGUAAUUUGAUUUGGUGAUGAUAUCCUAUCAGCGGUUAUAACACGAAAUAAUGACUAAGAUAAUCCAUUGGUGAUUUUGGCAGUGAACAAGUUGAUUAUAAUGCUAUCAAUGUAAGGGUAAGUGUUUAUACUUCUGGUAUUAGUUCAUAAAUUUCUAUCAUAUCAUGAUCAAACUUACUGUUUUUGAUAUAGCUUGAGAGGUUUGGCAUAUGAACUAGCUUAAUUGUAAGCUAGAAAUUGAUAAGCUAUUAUAAAGUACACAAAUAGAUAAGUAUGCCAUGGAUUUAAUUCCCUAAAGGCUAAUGGAAUAAAACGUACUAGUACUGGUAUAGCCCCAAUAUAAAGUUUUAACUUAUGAAGAUUUGGAAAAAAAAAAUUAGCUUAUGCAUGAAGAUGGUGCAUUUCAGUUUAUGCAAGAAAAGUUUAAAAUCUGCCUUGUUUGGCAUAAGGCCCAUGAUUGAGAAUGAAUGAUUAUAGAUUUAAUUUUCUAAGGUAAAAAAGGCCAAAAGGGAGUUAAUAUCAAAAAGGUCUUAAUAGAUGAUUCUUUGAUUUUAAAGUACACUUAAGGAGAGACAAGUGUCUAAUUUCAUCCUCGGAUGGAUGAACUAAUGAGGCCGUGAGAUUUGGCAUUUGAAGUAAAUUUGAGGAAUCUCAAGUUAAAUAUGUUUGUAUGUGACAUAUAACUAACAAGUUGGUUAUGACCUAGGAAUUAUAAAGAUUGGUUAAGUCCAUAAGGAUGCAUCCAAAGGUAUCGUUAUUUAUUGAAAUGUAUUGUGGUAAGAGUCGAGAUUUACUUAGUAAGUACUCGAUCAUGAAGGUACUGGAGUUUUGUUUUUAGGAAUAUGGUUGCUAAUGGUUACCGGAUUUGAAUCAUCCAUGAUGUUAAACAUAUAUGAAUAAAUAAAGAGUGUUUGAUCCUUAUGUAUUAUGAAAUGCUUGAAUGGAAUUUGUAUGGAGAUAUGUAAAACGAAAUAGAUGUUGGUUGACCAUUUAGACCCAUAGUCAAUGGUGGAAUAAAUGCUUGAAUGUUGGAAGGUUUGAUAAAAGAUCAAUGUAGAGGAAUUGUGGAUGGUUAAGUAAAUAUGCAUAAUUGAUGAUUUAAGAAUGAUUUGAUUGAUAGGUGACCAGAAUUAAUAGCAUAUUUGAAUUCUCUUCAUAAGAUGAAGAAUGGUAUCGUUUUGAUCUAACAAGAGUAGUACACAUAAUUAUGUAUCUUAUGUUAAUCAUGGCCAACAGAAGUGAUGUAAAAGAAUUUUAGAAUUUUGAUUGUUCACCCCACACCGAUUCGAAUUCGAGGAUGAAUUCAUUUUAGGUAAGGGAGACUGUAGUACCUCAUACUUUGAGGUUGUGGCUAAUAAUGCUUACUGGCUACUAAUUGAGGUUGAUAACUGAGUAAAAAGGGUAAUUCAGAAGUGAGCCUGUGAAACUUUGACCUCCAUAGACAUGUAACUAGAAGUAGACGCGAUAACACUAACUAGGGCCAAUUUCGUCAUUUCUCUUGGUGAGCUCCUACGAGUGGGUUUUCUGAUGUUGUUAAGGCCUAAGUAGGCCUAAGGCAUAAAUGAAUGAUGAAAAUAAGGAUAUAAUAACGAAGGAAAUAGAAAUAGUGAUGACUUCUGUAGUAGAGGCAAAAUGGUGAUUUUGCACCUCGAGUCAAAAUUUUUAAGUUUUUGUGAACUCGAGUACUUCUAGACCACUAUGGACUUUGUCUCAAUGUCUAAAGAGUAAAAAGUUAAACCAAAGGAAAGAAGAAGACAAAGUCACCUUAUGGAAGGCAUUUUGGUAAAUUACAUGAAAAUUUGGAUAAACUUUAUAUAUAAAUAUCUAAAGCUUUAGCAAUUUCCAGCAGCUUCCAACCAUUUCUUCUUCCUUUCCCAUCUCACGUUUCUUCAUCUCCAUGGGAGCCUUCCUUAAAGCUUCCAUAACUUUCUCUCUCUAGCUUCAAUUUUCAUGCUUUUGAGCACUUUUUCAUAGAACCUUUUGUGCUCUUUCACUCUCUCACGUUAAAACCCUUAAAAAGUCUUACUUCCAUCUUCCUCUCACUAGCUGGACAUAUAAAGAGAGAGAUAGUGAUUCCCCUUAUUAGCUUGAAGAAUUUUGAAAGAGAAUUCAACUACAAAGACCAUCAAGGUGAGUAUAAGUUAGGGUUAAAUUUCUUUAAUUUUUGAUAAUGGCUAACAAUGGGGUUUGUGGGUGCUUGUCGUUGAGGUUGUUUAUUCUCUCUUAGGGUGACUACAGUGGGGUAAAUAACUAGCCACUUAAUGGCAAUUGGAAGCCACUUAGGAAUAACUAGUAGAACUUGAUUUAGGAAAGAGCUUUUGGAAUUAUAUUAAUGCCAAUUUGGGUUGGUUGUGAUAUUAUGUGUGUAAAGGUUCUAACAAGGCCUCACAUGUCCAUUUAGAGCAUUAGUUGAGGUUAGAGUCAAGCAAAAGAAUCAACAAGACCGGUGAGUGAACUUGCAUCAAAAUGUUUUUGGGAAAUACAUAUGUCUUGCAAUGAAGCAUUUAAAUGAUUUUACUUGGUUUUCAUUAAAUUAUGCAUGGGAACAAGCCCUUGAUAAAAUGUUUUGAUGUUGUGAAAAUGUAAAAUGUGUAAAAAGAUGAAUCCAUGUGCUCCUAUAUUAUGUUGGCAUGUAUAUAUGUGAAUAUGUGUUGUGCAUUGAUGAAUAACGUUGUGUGUUGAUGAUGACCCGGCUAUGUGCGUGUAGGGAGUGUGCAUAAGCCAUUGAUGACCCGGCUAUGUGCGAGUAAGAAGUGCGCGUAAGCCGGUGAUGACCUAGCUAUGUGCGAGUAAGGAGUGCACAUAAGCUAAUAAUGAUGAUCCGGCUAUGACGAUGAAUGAAGUGAGGUGGUGUAUGUGUUUAUAUAUGUUUAUAUAUGUAUAUGUGAUAGAAAGUUUAUAAUUAUAAUAUGUGAUUUAAAUGAAUAAUGAGAAACUUGAUUAUUGUCAAUGUGUUCACUUUGAUGUGAAAUAUGGUAGGAAUGGAUUUGGUGCCAUGUGAAAAUCCCUUAAUUGUCAUCUGCUCUGAAUCUCACAACAGUGAGAAACUCUCAAAUGGUGGGGGCAUAAACCAGCCAUGUUUCUCAUUGUAGUGAAAAAGAAUACUCACUACAACGAGGAAUUUCACUUCAGUGAAAAUGGAUUCUCGCUGUAGCGAGAGACUCUCGGGUAGACCCAAAAUUCUAGUGUAGUACUUGAAAUUUGACAAUGAUUUUGACAACUAUCCAAUCAGAAAUGGGCAAGGUGGUAAACAUAAAAGUUGUAUCCUAGCCUCUUAGCUUUCUAAUGGUCUAAAAAUCAGAUCAAUUGGAUUUCUGUAGUGGGAGAUAUGCUGGAAAAACCAAAACAUAUGCAAACUGAGACUGUUUCUCGCUGCAACGAGAAACUUGAUGUCCUACUUGCUACCUUGCUUUAUUUUGAUAUAUUUUUCACCCAUUUAACUUCAUGGAUGGAUCAUGGGUUUUUUCAACACUAUGAGGUUAUUAAUAAAAGUUUGAAAUGAGGGGUUUUUAGUAAGAAAUUAAAUCAAUUGCAUUGUUUUUGAAACAAGUGCAUAAUGAGUUACAAGUUCUCCUUAUCGAUUGCUUGUUCCCUUCUUAUAUUCACUCACUAAGUUUUAUACUCACAUUUUUAAACUUCAUAUUUCAUAUUCAGAGGCAGUUAGGACCUAGAUUGAGUUGUCCACGUAUGCUCACCUUCUUGGUCACUCAGCUGACGGUCAAGAGUCUGUUACCUGUGAAUACAUAUAUGUAAUGUAAUCUGCUAGGAUCCAUAUUAUAAGUCAAUUAUGUAUAUUUGAUUACUGAUGCCACUAUGAGUUGGCAACGGGUGACAUUAUUUUGACAUAAUAAAAUUAUGAGUUUUGGGUCACUAUAAAAUAUUACUGAAAUAUUUUUAGUUCAGAAUUUUAAUAUGUGGUUUUAGAAAUGAUGGUUGAGAAUAAUGAUUGGGUUUGCAUAAAAAGGCUUGCUUGGGCUGAAUGGGCUAUGCCCAUUAAGCCCAUGCGCCGGUCAUGGCUCGGUAUUUGGGCUGUGACAGUGGGAGUGCACAUGACAGUAUUAGCUAUGUGCGGUGUGGGAAUGCACAUGAGCUGGUGAGCUAAUAGUUGUAUACAUGUUUACACAUACCAUAGAGAGGUUAGGGAAAAUAUUAUGUGAUUACAUUGAAUGUUGAAUGUUGAAAUUGUUAAAUGCUUCCAAAUUGAUUUUCAUUGCAGCAAGAAUGGAUUUUUGUUGCAACAAGAAUUCUUCUAACUUAAUUGCCUUGUUUCUUGCUGCAGCAAAAUUUCAUUCUCACUGCAGCGAGAAACUCUCGGGUGCUUGGAAGCUUGACCCAGCCUUGGUUUUCACUAUAGUGAGAAACUCUUGACCUUACUUGGAUAUUUGCUGUAGUUUUCACUCUUUAACUCCAUUGUUCAUUAUGGACCUUUCAACACUAAGGGAUUAAGUAAUCAAGGGUUGAAAUGAGGGGUUUUAACAAGAAAUUAAGCUAAAUUAUAUCGUUUUUAACAUAAGUGCAUCAUGUUUUCUCAAACUUUCCUUAUCGUUUGCUUGUUCCCUUUUUAUGUUCACUCACUAGGUUUAUACUCACUCUUUUCAACUGCAUGUUUUUAGAUUCGGAGGUAGUUGGGAUCUAGAUUGAGGUGUCCACGUAUAUUCGUCUUUUUAGUAGAUACCAUGGCAUUCAGUAGCUGUACCUUCACCCAAGGUCACUCUGCUGGUAGUUAACAGUCUUUUGCUUGUGUAUACGCACAUGUGAUGUAAAUCUUUAAGAUUCAUGUUAUGAACAACACAUGUAUAUUUUGAUUGAUGAUGCCACUAUGAGUUGGCAAUGGGUGACAUUAUUUUGGGUUAAUAUAAAUGUAAAUAUUUGGGUGUCAUAGUAUAUUAUGGAAAUACUUAUAGUUAAGAAUUACGAAAUGUGACUGUGGGAAUGAGUGAUGAAAUAGGACUACAUAAAGAGGCUUGCUUGGGCUUAGUGGGCUGUGCCCAAUGGGUCCAUGUGCUGGUCAUGGCUCGAAACUGGGCUGUGACAACACCGAUCAUGGCCCAGAACUGGGCUGUGACAAGCACAUUUUAUUUCUUUUCUUUUCUUUUCUUUUCUUUUUUCAACCUGCAAACUUAUUUUUGACAAUUAUAAACUAGGGGUCAUUUUUCUAACAACCAUCACUUCUUCUUUUUUUCUUUUCACCUUCCUCAAUUUAUUCUUAGGCUCAAAUCAUUCCUUAGAAAGAUUAAAAUACUUAGAGGAUGAAAGGUUCAAAUCGCUGAAUUUAAAUAAACAGGCCAAGGCUAACAUAAUUGUGUAAUUACAAAGAAAAGGUAAAUUAGGCUAAAAAAGGGUGACAAAGGAUAUACAUAACAAGGUAGGCUCAAAAAGGCUCAAACGAUCCAAAGAUGGCCUAAAUCACUUCCUAUUCUAAGUGUUAUCUAAAAUUUCGCCUUGAGAGAGAAUCAAACAAAUUCUAGAUUUCUUGACUUCACUAUACUUUUUCAUCAACAUAACAUUUCCCUAGAUCACACAAAAACUCUAAGUAAAAGAGUAUAGUCCUUAAAUUAUUGGAAGUUACAUUCUAAAAUAAAGCUAACACAAUAAUAUCACAAAAAAUUAAAUCAUAACUAUAUACUUCCCAAAAGCUAAGAAUCAGAAGAUAAUUAAAAUAUCAUCCUCGGAUUGGGACAAUUAUGAAUGAGGAGCAACUAUCUCAAAAAUUUUUUUUUGAAACACAAUAAAACAUGCACAACAUAAAUAUGCAAAACAUAUCUUAAAAUAAAGCUAACUAAAAAUAAAUAAAUAAACUAAAAAAAUUCUAAACCACUCCCUUAAACUGGGAACAAACAUUGUCCUCAAUGUGAUAAAAGAAAAUAAAAGUCAAAAGACAAAGAUACUCCCCUAACUCCGAAGCUACAGUCUACAUGUGUUCCGUAUCGUCACCACCCAUCAUCUACUCUCAACAACAAAGCAUUCAUUAAUUAUAUAUGCAGUAAACAAAAAGUCUGUGAAUCCAUUAUAUGGGUAACAAGAAAUUAGCACUAAUCUUCAAAAUUUUCGACACUCUAAGCAUUAAUCAUGAGGAAGUAUGAAAAACCCAUUAACAAACAUGUAAAAUGGACCCAUUGAAGGUGCAAAAAUUAUAAAAUUUACCAUUAACACCAACCUCGUCCUUUCUUUACACAAAAUAAUAGAAAACCAAGUGUUAGGAGGAGUACUUACCUUAGAAGUGCAAUGAAUGCAAGAUUUCAAAGGGAAAAUACAAAAAAUCCAAGUAGAAAUAAUAUGCAAAAAAGUUAGAGUGAAAAAGAGAGAGGAAGACAAGAGAUUGGCAAGAGAAGGAAGAAUGGGAGUGGGGUUGGCGGCUGGAGAAGAAGAAGAAUGAAAGAAGAUAAAGAAAAGAAAAAAAAAUUGAGUUCUCAACGUUUUCCACCCGAAACAUUACGCUUUGGGUUUGAACACCGCGACUCUCAAGGUUGAGCAUCGUGGCACUCAACCUUUCUGUUUUUUUUUUCUUUGUUCAGCAUCGUGGGUCUCACUUAGAAGGCGCGGUGCUGAAACGUUCUGUUUUAGUCGUGUGGUAGCCUCAUUUUAGGGCCGCGGCUCCCACUUUGAGGGUCACAUUUUUUUGAAUUUUUUUCUUUUUUUCUUUUUUUUUUGAAUUUUUUUAACCAAUUACCUGCAAAAAGGAAACAUAAAAAAAUUAGUUUAAAAGAAAUAAAUUAUAACUAAAAAAAUUAAAUAAAAUAAAGGCUAAAACAAGUAAAGUUUAAGAACUUGGGUUGCCUCCCAAGAAACGCUCGUUUAUAGUCACUAGCUUGACUAUAAUACCCCCUUUUUCAAUUCGUUACCUCGAAAUAUGGUAUGAGGCUUAGCCCAUUAACCAUGAAUGUGCUCGUAUCCUCACUAUCAAUCUUAAUUAUUCUACAAGGAUAAGCCUUUAUUACUUUGAAAGGACCCCACCAUCUUUCUUUACGUUACCAUGGAAAAAGCUUAAAGUAUGAUCGAGAAAGCAUCAUUACUUGUUGUCCAAUCUCGAAAGGACAAUUAGAUGGUGGUGGAGGAUGCUCUGUUGGUGACUGCUUGGGGCUUACAGGAAAAGGUGGUGGUUCAAACUCAAAGAUUAGUACUUGCUCAAUUGUAGGUGGAGAAAUAGGUUCACCUUUUCUUUCAUCAAUUUACUCCACUCUAUAGCAACAAUUUGUAGAGCUAGGAUGUUUAUGUGCAUUGAAAAUAUUAAACUCAACUACCUCUUCUCUAACUUUAAAAGUUAUCUCGCCUUCCCUCACAUCAAUGAUUAUGCUUGCAGUAGCCAAGAAUGGUCGUCCCAAGAUUAAAGGAAUUUCUAGAUCUUUUUCCAUCUGAAGCACAAUGAAGUCCACUGAAAUGUAAAGAUGCCUAACUUUAACCAAUACAUCCUCGAUAAUCCCAACAGGGUACCUGAUUGUUCUAUCUACUAAUUGCAAAGAAACUAUAGUAGGUUGUAUCUCAUUAAGUCCAAGUUUCUCAGCAAUUGACAAUGGCAUAAUUGAAGCACUUGCACUCAAAUCACAUAAAGCUUUAGUAAAUUGAAAUCUACCAAUAGUACAAGGGAUAGAAAAACUCCUUGGAUCCUUAAGUUUUGGUGGAAGCUUGUUUUGAAUUAGUGCGCUACACUCCUUAGUAAGUGCCACUGUUUCAAAAUCUUUCAGUUUCCUCUUCUUGGUUAAGAUGUCUUUCAAGAAUUUAACAUAACUUGGCAUGUUUUCCAAAACUUCAGUAAAAGGGAUAUUGAUGUGGAGCUUCUUGAAGACAAUGAGAAACUUCUCAAACUAUUUAUCAAGCUUUUGCUUUUGCAACCUUUGUGGGAAUGGUGGUGGAGGAUAAUUUGCUUAAGAAUUCCGUUGGUUUUUAGCUUGCCCAUUAUCUGUCUUGUCCACUUCAACUUCUUUCUCAAUAAUUGCCUUGUCAUCAUCUACAUGCUCCUUUAAAGAUUCAACUGAUUUUUCACUCACCCCUUUAACUUCUUUUCCACUCCUAAGUGUAACUACAAUACAAUGUCCCUUACCUUUGGGACUGACUUGUGUAUCACUUGGUAGGGUACCUUGAGGUCUAUUGUUGAUGGAGUUUGCAAGUUGUCCCACUUGUGUCUCAAGAUUUCUCAAGAAAGCUCCAUAGCUUUGAAUUAAAGAAUCAGUCUUAGACAUAUAUUGCAAGAGAAGUUCUUCCAAUUAGGACUUCUUUUCAGGAAUUUAUGGUCUAGCUUGUUGCUGAAAACCAAAAGGCAUUAUGGGUUUUCGAUUGGAAGGCCCUGCAUUGUUGUUCCAUGAAAAGUUAGGAUGGUUUCUCCAACUCGGAUUAUAGGUAUUGGUGUAUGGGUUAUUCUACUAUCUAUUAAAGUUUCCCACAAAUUGGACUGAUUCAAAGUUGUAUGGGCAUUGAUCAUACGAAUGGCCAUCUCCACACAUCUCACAAACUACUAAUGAAUUUUGAACUGCAUGAACUCUCAGUGUGUCAAACUGCUUGGACAAUGCAGCUACUUGAGCAAUUAAGUUGCCAAGUGCAUCAAUUUAAUAGGAUCCAAUAGCUUUUCUCGAACUCGACCUUUCUAAAGGCUAUUCAUAAUUAUUUGAAGCGAUCUCUUCCAACAAAUUAUAAGCAUCUGCAGCAUUCUUACUCAUUAAUGCCUCACCAGCAACAACUUCAAUUGUGGUUUUUAUUGACCAAACCAACCCAUUGUAAAAUGUCUGAACUUGAAUCCCAUGAUGUGGACAUAUUUUUUGUAGUUCUUUAAACCUCUCCCAAGCUCUAUACAAGGACUCACCAUCAAAUUGUGUGAAUGAGGUGAUAUCGUUCCUCAUCUUUGCAGUCUUGGCAAGUGGAAAAAAUUUUGCUAGAAACUUUUGUGCCAAGUCUUCCCAUAUAGUGAUAGACCCAUUGGGUAAUGAAUUAAGCCAGCUUUUUGCUUUAUCCCUCAGAGAAAACAAAAACAACCUUAAUCUAAUAGCAUCAUUAGUUACUCCAUUGUAUUUAAAGGUAUCGCAGAUCUCCAAGAAAUUUACUAAAUGAGAAUUAGGAUCAUCACUAGGUAACCCACUAAACUGGACUAAAGACUGAAUCAUCUGAAUGUAAGCUGGUUUAAUUUCAAAAUUAUUUGCAUUGAUGGGAGGUCUCCUAGUGCUUUGGUGCAAACCUUGCAAAAGAGGAACAACAUAAUCGCCGCAGUGCUCUAUUUGCUUCAGGAACCAAAUUAAUGGCAUUGUUGCCAUUAUUAUUGUUAUCCUCAGCCAUUGUUUAACAUAAAGCUGCAACUUGUAAGUUCUCCCUUAGACGUCUUUUGAAAGGAACAAGAUUCAAGCUAUUUCUUCUUUGCAUAAAAUGACCAAAGAUAUCUGCAAACAAACAAAAUCUAAUAUUAAAACAAGAAAAUUAAAAUUUGAAGUAAGACUAAAUUGCUUGGUAUUAGUAUUAGUAAAUAUUCUAAAAACAAUUCCCUGGCAAUGGCACCAAAAACUUGUCAGUUAAAAUUCUAUUGCGCAUGUAUAUGUAUCGAAUAGAUAGUAUAUAAGCAAGCAGAAUAUUGAUCUCAUAGAGAAUUGAUUUAAAAUUUUACUAAGUACUAAAAUUAGAACAAUUUAAUCUUAUCCAAAUACUCAAAAUUAAUUGAUUAACUAAAACUAAUUAACUAAAAUUUUAAUCAAGAAAAAAUCAAAACAAUAAUAACUUAAGAAAAUAUCAAAUCAAACAAGCCUAGGAUUACAAUAUCCCUCACACUUCAUCUAAAUCUUACCUUUCUUCCUUAACUUAUUUCAAUGGGUUGAAUUGCUAACCUAGUGUAUUAAAUUAUUUAUAAAGGUCUCUCGACUCAUCUUAUAAAAAUAUCUAUUUUAACUAAACCACUAUAUCUCUAUGUGAAUUGAAAUUAAAAUAGACUCAUUAAGUUCAUGCACUAAUCUGGUUACAUAUGGCCUAUAAGUAUAUCUAUAUCCUAUACGCAAAUCAAUUAAUGUGAUCAUAUGCUAUUUCAAUUUUAGUAUACUCUAAACUCCCUUUCCCAAGUUUUCUUAGGUUCUUAAACCAAUUUAAUUGGUGGCAUGGCAAUUAAAAGUAUUAAGAACAAAUUGGAAUAAACAAUUCAAUUCCAAUUGAAGAUAAGUAAAAAGAGAUUAAAAAUCUAGAUUACAUGUGAGUUCAAUUGUAAUCCUAGAAAAAGAAAAUUAGCUACUCAUAAUCACAAAAACAAAUAACAUUAUAAUAAAUUCAGCCAUUGAGAGUAACAAGAAAAAUAAAAACCAAGGAAGAAAAUAAAACAAUAUUCGCCGCCUUGAUCUCCAAGUUUCAGCCUCAACUCCUAGCUUCUUGAAUCUCCCAAAAGUUGUCUCCCCUAAUAUUCUUCAAACUAUCCUAUUUAUGCUAAUAACUUAACCUAUUCUUCCUUAAGUUGACCUAGGGUUUAAUUGGGCUUAAAAGUGUAAUGAGAGGCCUAAAAAUAAAUUGUUAGUCUUUACAAAUUUCCAUUUCCAUUGUAGUACGUCAAGCCAUUUUCCAACGUGAUUUUCUCUAUCUUCAAAGCAGAACUGCAUAAAGUAAUCUUCACGAAAGUUGUAGCUCUGUCUCUUAGCUUUCCAAUGGUCUAAUAAUUACAUCAUUUGGAGUACUGUAGCACGAAUUAUGGCCAAAACACUGAAGUAUAUGCAAGCAGACUCUAGGUCUUUCAACACCUUACUUUCCAAAAUUAAGCCCAAUUCUUUUAGUUCCUAUGAAAAAUAUAAAAACUAAUAAAUAAUAACCAAAUUAAAAAGAAUAACAUAAAAUUAAAAUAACUCAAUAAAAUAUAAUUAUAAAAACAAUUAGAAAUAAAUAAAUUAUAAUUAAAAAUUGAGGACUUAGCUAAUAUUUAAUAACAAAAUUGGACUAAAAUGAUUCUAUAAAAUAGAAUUAUCAACCGUUUAAUUCAAAAACCAUUUAGUGGAAAGAUUUAAUCUUACCUCUUGAUUAGUUUUCUAGCCUCUGAACACCUUUUUGAAGCCUCAAAUCACUAGGGGAGACAAUGGUUUUGAGAGUGUUGAGAGAGCUUGGUUUUUCCUUUUUGCCUCAAAUGGGCAGAUAGCCCAAGGCUUUAUAUUUUUUUGCAAAUAUGCAUCAAUGUAUCAUGACAUUUGGAAAUGUAUCGAUACAUUUUCAUGGGUUAACUUUAAAUAUAUCGAUACAUGAGGCAAUGUGUAGAUACGUUUUCCUUAAUGUGACACCUAAUACCCUCGUAUAGAAGUCAAUAUGACCUUAUAAAUGAGACAAAGGGUCAAUGGAUGUUGAUUUAAGUGACAAAGGAUGGAGACGAGUGAAAAGAGUAUUUUAAGAUAAAAUAUUUCACACGCGAAGAAAUAAUAAUAAAAUAAUAAUAUUUUUGUCAAGGAAGAAUUUACGAGAUAAAAGGUGCUUCGGAUGUGAAUCGGGGCAAAGUAAGAUUUUUGGAGCCCUAGAAGGCUAGUGAAAAAUUUUGGAAUAAAAUAAUAUUUUAUUAAUAAAAUAAUAUUAAAAUAUUAAUAUUUUAUUCGAUGUCGAAACUUUUCAUGAAGGAGAAAUAUAUGGUCAAUCUAAGUGGGGGAGAAAAAGGAUAAGGAAAUUUUAAAGAAAAAUGACGUUAAUGGGGCUCGCAUGUCUUUAUUAAAUAAGCUAGCGCAGGUAAGUAAAUAUUUAAAUAUUACGGUGUUACCGCAUUGAAUCAUAAAUUUGAUAUUUUAUUGGUACAAGUGCUAAGGAAGAAAAAUGGAAAGAAAUUGAAAUUAAAAGAUUGUGGAAUGAUACAAUUAAAAAGGGUGAAACCUUAGAAGGUAAAACGGUAAUUUUUCAUAAAGUUUGGUCAAAGCUUCCAAAUGAAGCUUUGACUCUCCAUCCUUAUCCAUGGCUGGCCAUUGUGUCCAAGGCAUCAUCUUCCUCCUUCAUCUCCUCCCAACACCAUUUUUGUUCCUUCCCCAUAAAAUUCAAGAUUUUCAUUUUCUUUUCUUUGUUUUCUUUCUUUCUUUUUCUUUUCUUACUCCUUCCUUUUCCUAACUUCUUGGGUAUCAAACUUGCAACUUCUAACCCCAAUUUUCAAAACAUCUAAACCCUAGGAGAGAGAAAGAAAAUCUCUCUUCCUUUCUUUUGUUUUCUAUUUCUACUCCACUUUCAACAACACUUGGAUUUUUGGCUUCAAAUCUUCAUUUUUAAGGCUAAAAGGUAUAUAUUUUUAACCCUUGAAUUUUUGAAUUUAUGGGUUUGUAAUUUUUUGACUUUGUUUUCUAAGUUUCUUCAAAUUUUCUUUCCUUGAAAUUUGCUAGGUUUGGUUGAUCUUUAUACCUUCAAGCACCAAGGUCAAGAAACUUAAAACUUGAACAAUUAGUUUAAAGGGUUUGCGAAUUAGGCUAGAAUUCUAGGUUAAAAGUUAGGUUAGAGUGUAGAUUGUAUAGUGUAUAUUUAUUAGAAUUAUUAAAUUCAAAUUAUGACUUGAUAGAGGUUGUUAUGGCUUAUUGGUAAAUAUAGGUUUUAACGGUAUUUUGGGACUACCUAGAUUGAGACUUUGUGGGCACUAGUUUUGUAAGGUGGCAUUAAGGUGAGUGAACUUGCUUAAAAUGUUUUGGAAUAAAUGAUUAUAUGCUUAAUUCAACCACUUGAAAUAUUUUGUUGGUUUGUCUUCAAAAUUUGCAUGGGAACAAGCCCUUGAUAAAACAUUUUAUGUUGUGUAAUAUGAAAGUGAUGAAUUCAUGUGUUUCUACAUUAUGUUAACGUGUAUGUUAUGCGUUGAAUGGCACUAUUGGGUGACAAUUGUAAUCAUGCAUGUGCGGUGCGGGAGUGCACAUGACGGUGAUAGUGGCGUGCUGUGUGAAUGCACACAAUGAUGAUAUAUGCCAUGUGCGUGAUAGUGGCAUGCUGUGUGAGUGCACAUACUAAUGAUAUAUGCAAUGUGCAUGAUAGUGGUGUGUUGUGUGAGUGCACACACUGAUGAUAUUUGCCAUGUGCGUCAUAGUGGUGUGUUGUGUGAGUGCAAACACUGAUGAUAUAUGCCAUCUGUGAGGGGGAGUGCACAUGAUGAUAUUGCCUUGUGCGAUGUGGAAGUGCACAGGAUGCUUCUAGCUAUGUGCAGUGUGGAAAUGCACAUGAGCUACUAAGAUGGAAGUUGUAUACAUGUAUACACAUACCAUAUAGAUGUUAAAGAAAUAAAAUGUGAUUGUAUUGCAUAUUGAAUGUUGAAAUUUGACAAAUGUUUUCCAAUCAAUUUUUCAUUGCAGCAAAAAUGGAUUUUCAUUGUGACAAGAAUUCUUUAACUUGAUCCUUGGUUUUCGCUGCAGCAAAAUUCAUUCUCGCUACAGCAAGAAACUCUCGAGUGGAUGGCCUUAACCCUUGCUUUGGGAUUUUUGCUGCAACAAAAAUGCAUUCUCGCUGCAGCGAGAAACUUUAAGGUUGUUGGUUCAAAAUUUUGCCCCGAAGUUCGCUGCAGCGAGAUUCACUCUGCUAUGCUUGCCUUGCUUGAACUUCCUAAAUGUUUUAAAAUGAGUUGAAAAAUAGCAGGGCAUCGAGUUUUGUUCAUAAUAUAUAAAAUUGCAUUAUUUUUAAACAAGUGCAUCAUGUUUUUGAAAAGCUCUCCGUAUCGUUAGCUUGUUCCUUUCCUAUGUUCACUCACUAGGUUUAUACUCACUUUUUUUAACUUCAUGUUUUCAUAUUCGAAAAUAGUUGGAUCUUAGGUAGAGGCGUUUCCUCCUGUUCAUCUUACGGUAGGUUUGCCAAAACACUCCAUAAUAUUAUCUACGCUAGAGUCACUCCAUUGAUAGUCAAGGUAUUUUGUAUAAGUAUAUGGUUAAUUAAAUGUAAUUCAUGAGAUUUGUUGUAAACAUUGUAUGUUUGGUUUGCAUGAUAAUGUCGCCACAAGUUAGCAUAUGGUAAUAUUAUUUUGUGAAUGGUAUUGUUCAGUUGCCAUGAUUUAUUUUCGAAAGGAAAUUAUUUUUGAAAAACAAUGAAUUAAAAACCUUAAAGGUAAAAGAGGGAGAGGUGGUCUAAUAAACAAGUUUCAUAGAAAGGCUUGCUUGGGCCUAGUGGGCCUUGCCUAUUGGGUCCUUGAGCGAAUCAUGGCCCGGGAAUUGGGCUGUGACAUUUAAGGUGCUCUCAGUUUCAAAUCUAUCGAUCAUUUGGACAACGUAUCAAUACUUUUUCAUAAUACCCCUUUUAUGUGUUUACUGUCUGGAAUGUAUUGAUACAUGGGCACCAUGUAUCGAUACUUUUCGUCCAGAUUGCAUUUUUUUCAACACUCAAAGCUUUUAGCUCCAUUUUCUAACUUACAUUCUCAUCUCAUUUCUUCAUAAUCUCUUAACAUCAAUCAUAUAAACUCAUCAUAUGCUUCAAUUAUUCAUCUAUGCUCUAUGUCACAUAACAUAUAAAUCAAACAUAGCUAUUUGCUUUUCAUAGCAUACUCAUUUAAGUUCCAACAUAUGCACUAUUUCAAUGCUCAUACAUUGGCAAACAUAGCUCAUACUUAUUUGCUUUUAGGUGGCAAACGUAUGCACAACAUCAAAAUGCUCAUACAUUCUCAUAAUCAUCACUUUAUGGACAUAGGCAGUCCUUACAUCCAUAAACAUAAACAUCAAAAUAUGAUUAUCUCGUUCAAACAACUUAACAUAAAUUAGACACCAUUACCAUCAAGGUCGAGGGUGUUACAUUCAUUUUGUAUGGUUAUCUAUUGAUAGAUUCCAUGGAUCUAUCGAUGAGUUGUGUUGUAGUCACAAACCAUGAACAAGACUCUACACUAUUCUUGACACUCUGCUAACACACAUAAGAGGACCUAGGACACUCUAAAACCUUGGUGCUUUAAUACCAACUUUGUCAUGAUCCAGACUCGAGGGUCCGUGACUAACGCACAAGCUUAACAAGCUAAACCCACGAGGCCCAAGCAAACCUCAAAAUUCCAAAUCGUACACAUACAUCUAAAGGUUUCCAAUGCCACAAUUUCAUAUAAUACUUCAAUUCCAAUACUUAAAUGUUACCCUUAGAACAUAGUUCAUCCUCAAUAUCCAUAAAGCCAUACAUUGGCCAUCAAAGCAUGUUCAUGCUUGACAACCUUUAAUACAAAUUCAAAUGGCACAUCGUGCCUACAUACAUAACUAAACCAAAUACAGAGCAGAAGCUCAUGACAGACUUACAGGAGUGGACGUGUCAGAUGGGAACCUACCGGAUGCCAAAAUUGAUUUGUCAAUGGAUGACCCUUUCCAUGCACUCCUAUGGCCUAUUUAUCUACACAUGGUACAACAAAUGGAUGAGUCAUUUAAUACUCAAUGAAAGGUGGAGAUAAAUCAACAUAUAUAAUUAACAAUAUAUAUAUAGUGCACUAUCAGUGCAACAAAACAAUUUAACAAGUAUCUUCAAGAUUAGGGGCAUAUCAAUCAUCCCUAAGAUGUCUCCAUAAAUAACACACACAACACUAGGCUUAUCCUUAAAGACAUUCAAGGUUAUUCUCCAUGGCUUACUUUAGUCACUAGAGUAUCAUAUCAGGUUUGAAUCAAACUUACCUAAGCCUAUCCGAGGCUAUGUCACAUCACCCAUAAUCCAUUUGAUAAUCAUAGAGUGGUCCUCCCUCAAACAUCAUCAAAUCAUGCACGGUGGCCAACCGAACGACCCAAAUUUCAGGCUAUGACCGGCGCAUGGGCCCAAUAGACGUAGUCCAUUAAGCCCAAGCAAGCCUAUUAAUCUGUCAUGUUCAUCAUUCCAUCAUAAACUGCUAAGUCAUAUUUCAUAACUUAGGAUCAAAAUAAUAUUGAACAUUUCCAUCUCGUACUGGCAUACCAAACAAGUAUGUAUACAUUGUCUACAACAUGUAUCUUAAUAAUUUACAUUAAACUUGUCUAUACAAAACAAAAGAAUACACAACUUCCAGCGGAGAGACUCGAACGAAUGUACAGCUACUGAAUGCCAAGACACCUACCAAAAGAUGGACACAAGUCUACAAGGACAUCUCGUCUUAGUUACUAACUGCCUUGUGAUCUGAAAACAUGAAGUUGAAAACGGUGAGUAUAAACCCAGUGAGUGAACAAGGAAGGGAACAAGCAACCAUAAGGGAGAAUUUAAAAUUAUGAUGCACUAGUUUUAAAACAAUGCAAUUUAAUUUCAUUCAUAUUGAAAACUCCUCAUUAAACCCUUAAAUAUUAAUCACUUGGUAAUGAAGAACCCAUACAUAACAAAUAAUUUGAAAAAUGAAGGCUUCAGUGAUACAUAAGCAAGUCAAAUGCGACAACGAAUCUUCGCUGCAGCGGAAAGGCGCUACAGCUAGAAUGAAUUUUUACUGCAGCGACGUUGGGAUUAAGUUAUUAGCCAAACGAGGGUUCUUUAACUGGCCGAGGGUUUCUCACCAAACUUACUCAUUUUAAACUUAAUUCACUUAUUCCUUAAUAUUGGAAGUCCAAGCUCAACUAUGGUACCAAAGAAAUGGAAAAUGGAGCAGCAACCCAACCAAAAAGGAAACAAAAUAGAGAGUUUUUCACUGUAGCGAAAUUUUGAUCCCAAAACAGAAUGUUUCUAGCUGCAACGAGAAGCUACAGUACCUUUCUCGCUGCAGCGAGAAUGUAUUUUUGCUACAGCGAAAACCAAAUUGGUGAGGCUCUCGAAAACCCGAGAGUUUCUCGCUGCAGCGAAAUUCAAUCUUGCUGCAGCGAAAAACAGGGGACAAGCAAAAAUCCCUCUUUCCCUCAAACAAAAGCCACCCUGUUCACAUGACCAACACAACAUGAAUCUCAUAUAAUUUCCCCAAAGUUUAACAUGUCAAAUUUCACAUGCAAUUCAACCAUAUACCAUAAUAUGAACUUUCUAUAACUCACACAUUUACAUAUACAUACAUCAUCAUCAUGUACACCAUCCCAUCAUUCCCAGCUCAUGCGCACUCCCUACUCGAACAUGGCUAGGUCAUCACCGGGUUAUGCGCACUCCCUACUCGCACAUAACUGAGUUAAUAUCAUUAUACAACAAUGUAUUCACAUAUAUAUAUCAACACAAUGUGGUAGUACAUGAAUCAAUAAUAGUCACAUGUCACAACAUGGAGACAAUCUAUCAAAAGCUUGUUCCCAAGGCACUUGUUUUCAUAAAAAAAAAAAACUUGAUAAUUCAUUCAAAUGAGUGGCAAGUACAUUAUAUUUCCCAAAACAAGUUUUGAAGGCAAUCCACUCACCGGUAUAUUGUUGAGCCUUGAACCGACUCUAAUUUCUCUAAUUGCCCAAAUGGAAUGAUGGAACUUUGUUGGAACCUACCAUUACAUUAACAUCACUAUUUUAUUAAUUCACAUAAUAUAAACCCUAAAGCUAUCUUUUAGCUAGCUUUCAAUUGCCACUUUAAAUGGCUAUCUAUGUUCAUUAUCUUAAUUACUAUAAAAUGAAUGAACAUCCUUAACAAUAAACAGCUCAUAAUCCCAAUUACUAGCCAUUUUCUACAACUAAAAAUUGAAUUUAGUUCAUCACUCACCCUUGGGUUUCUUUGUAGUUGAAUUCUCUUCCAAUAGCUUCUAAAUAAAUGGGGUAAUUCUCUUUUUCUCUCUCUAAAAUGCCUAACUAGUGAGAGAAAGUAUGGAAAUAAGAUUUUUUUAGGGUUUUAAAGUGAGAGGAUGAAAUAGCACAAGGGUUUAUGGAAAGGUGCACCAAAAGCAUGAAAAUUGGAGCUAGAGAGAGAAAGUUAUGGAAGCUUGAAGAAAACUCCCCUGGACGAAUUGAAGAAACGUGAGAGGGAAGAAGGAAGAAGAGGACAAGCUGCUAGAAAUUUCAAGAAGCUGCUGGAAAUUAAAAAUAUUUAUAGCCAAGCUUAUCCACUCCACUUAAAUUACCAAAAUGCCCCUUCACAAAUUAACUUAUUCUCCUCUAAUCUUUUACGCAAUCUUUUUGCUCUUUUAACACUGGGACAAGGUCCAUAAUGGUCUAGACAUGUUCGGGUUCAUAAAAACUUAAACUUUUGACUCAAGAUAAAAAAUGACCGUUUUGCCCCUAUUAUGAAAAUUGUUGAAACUUCUAGUUUUCUUUGUUUUUUCAUCAUUACACAUCGUUUAUGUAGUCUUAUACCUAUUUAGACCUUAAAAUAUCAUAAAACUUUCUUCUAAGAGCUUAUUAGAGAAAAUGACGAAACUACCCCUAGCUCAUAUUAUUACAUCUAUGCUUAGUUACAAGCCUAUAGAGGUUGAGGUCUCACAAAUCAUGUUCAGGGUUAACUCGCUAAUGGAAAAUCAAAUCACACGAGUGCUGAAGCAACGGGUGAAAAGUCAGAGUCAUCGUCUAGAGUAAUCUCCCAACGAAUGACAACAACUACAAAAAUCUCAAACAAGUGGCAUUAUAAACAAAGUCAUCAUCCGAAGUAAUCUCAACGGAUGGCAUCAAAGAAUUGCAGGCAGGACUAAUACCACCAUCCCUGCAUGCACAAAGCAAAGUCACAGCGCGUUCAACUCCACUUCGUCCUCAAAUCAAAUCAACAUUCGGAAUUCAUCGAUCGAAUAGAGUACACAUCCAUAAUUAUGGCCAUCAUGCCUUGGGUACCACAUGUACCACAAUUUACAUCAGAGAGCACUCUUAAUGAGCUUAAGAUAUUUCUAGCUCAAUAUCUCAUAUAGGUGCCUUUAAUUCUCUAAGGCAUUAAAUACUCAUAAUCCACCGAGGGGUCAAUUGUCUAGAGUAAUCUACUCUUAGAUGUUUAUCAUAUCCUCAAGACUUCCUAAUCUAGGCUCACACAACAUAGGCCACUAUGUGGCUUACACUAAGGCACACAACACAACACAUAUAUUUCGUUCUCUAGCCUAGGCACAUUCAUUUAGGCAAAUAUAUAUAUAAUUUCUAUUUUAGUACCAUGGAGGUGCCUUUAACAAAGCAUCAUGCAUCACAUGCACUUUAACUAAACUCACUCAUAGUGACAGUCAAAGGUACAUUCCAACACCAAGCUCCAAUCCUUAGCCUCCAACCAGCUUUUACCUCACUAAUGAGUUAGGUAGCUUUAACUUUCCUUUAAACACAUCAAAACAUUCAAAUAAUAUUUAUUCCUAACUUUUGAAACUAUUCACCUAGUCAAAAAUAAUCCAAUUCAAUAUAUAAGCUCAAAUCCUUCAACAAUGAACUAAAUCCUUACCUUAGUAGCUGGGUUGCCCAAGUCUGAGCUUUAAAUUCCUAGCAAACUUAAGGGAGAAAAUCUCACCCAAGCUAGACCAAAUUGAUUCUAAGUUAUUAACUAAUUAAAUUGAAAAUCAAUUGGUAAAAAGGCAUAAUCCUAUGUCCAGAAACAUUUCCCAAGCUCUAAUCUACUUCAAAUAGCUCUAAAAUUUCAUUUGGAAAGUUAGGGUUCUUAACGGUUUGAAAGAAAAGCGUUUUCCUAUUUUAUUUUAAGGUAAAUGAUGCUUUCAACCCUUUUUAUUUUUACAUUUACUGGGUCAUCUGUUGAUAGAUGGAAGGCAUCUCUCGAUAGAUCCCUCUAAAAUUUAGGCAUUGACUUUCAUCUAUCAUCUAUUGAUAGAUUCCUCGAAUCUAUCGAUAGUAUAUACCCUAACCCCAUUUUUAUUUUUCCCUAUUUGGCCAUCUAUCGAUAAAUGUUUCUCACUUUGAUUUCCAUUCAUUUCAUAUGGCUAUCUAUCGAUAGUUUCCACAAAUCUAUCAAUAGAUUCCAUCACAUAUACUUCACUUAGUUUGCAAGUGGUCAUCUAUCAAUAGAUAUCGUGGAUUUAUUGGUAGAUAUUUGUCUAACUUGGUUUCCCCGUGCUUCCUAUAGUGCAUCUAUCCGUAAAUGUAGAAUAUCUAUUAAUAGAUUAUGCCCAGAUUUCAUAUUUUCACUUCCUUAAAUCCCCAAACUCAUUCCUAAGGCCCCCAAUUCACUUUCCUUCCAUUAAAAUGCCUCAAAUCAUUCAUUUUACGUGAAAUCCUUCAUAUAUAUACUCAAUUUUAUGAUCAAAUCCUGAUCAAAGUAUCAAACUUCAAAAUUUACCAAAUUUCUUCCUAAAUAUUUGUCAAUAGCCAUACCUCUAUCUACUUAACACAUUUAACACAUCAUUAAGGUCCUCAAAUCUAUUUACAAAUUCAAAUUCAUUAUCCAUAAUUUAUAUUGAAAAAUUAGGGGUGUUACAAUUAGUGCAUGGCUAGGUAAAAGCCUACAUGGAUGAAUACAUUCCUACCCAAUUAUAUGUGAAUGUGAAAUGUUAGAGAACCCACUAUGGCGUAUAUGCCAAUGUGGAUGAAUUGAGGUGCCUCUACAAGGAGUUGAAUUUGGAUGGUAGAAUGCCCACAAAUAUAGAUUAUGAGAGUGGAUGAAUAAGUCUCCACCACUUAAGGAUUUUAUGUGGAUGUAUAGAUGCCCACGAAUGAAAUUAUACUAUGAAUGGAAAUGAUACAAUGUGAAUAUCAUGAUUCUAGUUACAGUAUUUUAUGUGAAUGAUAAUGCAUUACAUUAAGGUUGCGUUUGGUAUAAGGGAUGUAAAGUCACAUUCCCUGCAAUGUGUCCAAUUAAAUUACAGUGCAGUGUUUGUUUUGUAACAAACCAUUGCAAUGUAAGAUUGCAAUGCAAUCACAUUGCACCUAAUGGAUGUAAUGUGAUUGCAGUCCAAAACCAAUGCAAUCACAUUACAUUGCACUCUGUAAUGUCUUUAAGGAAAUUUUUACCCAUCAUCUUUUAAAAAAAUUACUCACAAUUUGAAGCAAAACAUCGUUUUUGGGGUUGAGGGUCUGCUGCUUUUUCUCCAUUAUGCUAAAGGUGCUCCUCCUUCUUCUAGCUCUGCUUUUUCAUCAUUUGAAAUUGUGGGUCGAAAUCUCCAUUCUUCUUUUUCUUUCUCCUUUUUUUAUCUUCUUCUUGUAUUCUUUAAUCUAACUUUUGGUUGCACCCUAUCACAAUUUGUUUAGUUGGUUGUGUGGUUAAUUGCUUAGUGACGCUUGCAUUAUUGGUCUCGGGUUUGAGUCCUGCUUCUUGCAGUGCAAUCUUUUUUUUUUUUUGCCUUUGAUUGCUACCAUUAAAUCGCUCUCUAGUAUCAAUUGAACUUACAUUAAAUUUUUCCAACAUAUUCCCUACAUAUAAAAAAUGGAUCCUUCUAUAUGCUGUUUUUAAAUUGAAUAUUUGUAAUGUGGACAUGAAAAGUUAACUUUGUGCUUACUAUAUGCUGUUUUUAUAUAAUGUUUAUAUUUCAUUAUUUUAAUUACUUUUUUAUAUUGUUAGUUCACACAAUGGAGGGUUUUCUCAAGUGUAAACUGCAUCGAUCGUGUCUGCUAUUGUAUUAGCCAUUGAGCUAUUCAACAUGAUACUUUUAGCUAAUACUUUGGUUUAAGAAUGUUAUCAUAUUUUAAUUUAUAAUUUUAGCUUGAAAUUUUGUUUUAACUUGAUAGCAAGUUAUUUUGAAUUUAUGAUAUUUUUAGAAGAAAUUAAUUGGAGAUUAAGAAUUAUGGGUAUUUUGUUGCCAAUUUGCUAUUGAUUACAAGAGAGGAAGCUAUCACAUUAAUGUAUACAUAUAAAACGUAUUAAGAAAUAAAAUAAAAUAUUAUCUUCUAAAGAAAAAAUUUAAAAUAAAAUAUACAAUAUAAGAAAUUAUAUUAAAAAUAAAAAUAAAAUAUAUUUAAAAAUGACAUUAUAUAAAAUUUAACAAUAAAAAAUACAUGUUCAACUUGUAUUUUAAUAUAUAAGGGUAGUUUUGGAAAUUAACAUUACAUACCCUGUAAAGUACUUGUAAAACAAACACUGCAAUGUUAUCUUCGCUGCAUUUUAAUAAUUACAUUACUUAUAUACCAAACACUGCAAUGUUAUCUUCCCUGCAAUCACAUUGCUUGCAAUCACAUUACCUGUAAUCACAUUAUAUUGUAAAGUACCAAACGCUACCUAAGUAUGAUUGCUAUAUGAGUAUAAAGGGCAAAUGUGGGGUGUUGUACCAUAUGUGAAAAGGCCAGAUGUGGGGUGUUGUACCACAUGAGUAUUUGGGACCACGUGGGGUUUCAUACCACACAUGAUUAGGUCCAGAAGUGAGGAGUGGUACCACACACCUAUGUAGCCGUGAGAUUGAGGUAGAUGUACCAAUUUUUAAUAAAAAUUAAUGACAUGAUGAUUUCUACAUUUCAUCAAGAAUUUGUUGUGGUAAUUUCAACGUUUGUAUUGAGUUAAUGAUUUGCACUUAUAUAAAAUGAUGACAUGUUUGAUUGCCAAAUUAUAUAUUCAUGUAUUGAAUGAUUGAUAUAGAACUAUUGAGUUGAAGACUUGAAUAAUUCUUCUAGAUUUCUAAAUAAAAGGUAAUUGCCUGAUCUACAAGUUGUAUGAAGAUUGAUACUACUACCCACAGUAAAGGCACAAGUAUCCUUAAUGUGAACUCUUUUGUUUUCUCCUUGCAAAUAUUUGUACUUUGGAGCUAUAAAUUGUUAUCAACUCUUUCAUGUAUCAUCGCUUUCAAAUGCAUUUAUGUAAAAUGUUCGAAACAAGGUUAUUGAACAUUUCAGAGGAAAUUUUAUGGAUGUUAUGAAUAGCAUGUUCUUCUUGAAAAGUAUGGUUUGCUGCAAAAACUCUUUCCCUUGGCUUGUCCCUUUCCCAUAUCCAAUCACAGUCUUUGUGACUCACUCGCUAUUUUCCCUUAUUUGGUUUAUAGAUCAAUAGCUCGUUUAGCUAGGCACCUUAUGGAGUAGUAGCUCAGCCCAUAUUUGGUAGGUGUGAUAAUGCCUUAUUUCCAACAACAAGUUUUUAAAUGUUUAUAUUUACAAUGAUACUUGAUUAUGUAGAAAAGUAUGAAUAUACUCAUAUUUGCUUUGUGAAUUGUGUAUAUUAUGUUGAGCCUCGAAAUAGGUGCAUAUGAAUGAUGUUCUUAUAGUGAAAAAUACCAUUAAUGAUAAAGGCAUAAAAUGUGUGCCGCAACACAGAAUUAUAUGUUAUGUGAAUAUUUAUAAUGAAUUAAAGCAAUUCCACACUUUAUGUUGAGAAGUUCUAUAAUUGUGUGAUGGUGCUUAUAUGGUUGAUGAAUAAAUGGAAUUCCACACAUUAUGUCAAAGAGUUCCAUAAUGAUGUGACAAUGUUUAUUUAUUUGUGAAUUUUAUUGCAGUAUAUGGAUGUUGUAUGAUUACAGUGGAUGACAAGCCCACGCAUGUUGAUUAAGGCUUGCUUGGAUCUAAUGUGCCAUACACACAUAGGUUCAUUCGUCGAUCAUGGCCCUUUAGAAAAUGGAUUGUGAUAACAUAUGGCAUUAACAACUAUGGUAAAAGUUUUACCACAUUAAAACUGACACAUUAAUGAUUGAUCUGGUCAUUAAUAUGGCAAAUGGUAUUUAAGAUGGGUAAUAGCCAACUGGGUAGUAAGUUCACCUUUGACUUUGGGAUUGGCGACGAGGAAGGCUCAAGUGGUUAGCAAUGAGGGCUUAGGCUAAAAUAAUAUUUUCAUUUUUUUCUUAGGAUUAAUUAUGUUUAUAAAUCUAUUUUUCAAUAUUUUAAAUCUUACCAUGUCUGUUUUUUUUCCCCUAUGAAUGACCUUAUUAUUUUUAUUUUAAGAAUGUUUUAGUUUGGACAACUAUGAACAUGAAAUUGAGUGAUGGUAUUAAGGGCUUUGUUAGUCCCACCACACACUAAUUGGCAAACUGCAGGCGUAGAGGCGAUUGAGAGACAAAUGGUGGUGCUAAUUUUGUCAUCUCCCUUUUUGUUUGAAUAAGGGAAUUCCGUCUCAGCUUUUCGAGUAGGAGUACAAGUGCAUCAAUAAAUGAGUAUGGUAAUGGUAUAUAUACAAACUGUUUUAUAUCGCAUACUUGCAACAAUAUUGUCGCAAUCAGGAGUUUUACUAAUAAAAUAUUUUUAUUUUGGUUAGAAGAUUGCCCCGCGUCAUAUACAUUAGACUCACUAAUAUCAUAUAAUUUUUCAAAAGAAAAAAUCUAAUACCGUAUAAAUUAACUUAUUUGCUUAUUGAUUGAUUUUACAUAUUGAAUGUAAUACUAAAGUCAUAUUUAUUAAGAAUUAUUUACUCAUAAUGAAAAUUUGAUUUGUGAGUGUAAUUUCGUAAAAUGAUAAUUUUGAUUUUUGGUUUUGCAUGUUUUUAACGAAUAUACAAAGUUUAUUAAUUUACUUUUCUGAGUUUAUAUAUAUUGCCUUUUUUAUGAAUUUUAAUUAAAAUUAAUAAAUUUUAAUGGAUACAUUUUAAUUUGUAUAAAUCAAUUUGUGGAGUUAAAAAAACUCCACUACCGAUGUAUAAACUGAAAAUUCAAUUAAUGAAAGAAAUACAAUUACUUGGAAUUAUUGUUCUAUAUAUCGCAGCAGUAUACCUUCUAAACUUUACAAAUGGGAUUAAGGAGUUGAUGUGUGUCAAUUUAUUAGUUAAUUAGUACUUGUUGUCAUAUGUGAAUAUUAAUCUAUAGAAUAAUAUAUGAAUUUUUUUUAAUUAUUUUAUAUAACAAUUAUGUAGAAAUACAAAUGUUUCUGAAUGUAAAGGUUAAAGUAUAAAUCAUUGGAUUUUGUAAUAUUAAUCUGUAAAUUAUUCAAUUUGUAAUGUUAAUCUAUAUAUAAAUUAUUCUAUUCAAUACUAUUAAAUUAAGAACAUAUUUUUUUUAUGAAAGCUAUUUAAUACAAUUUUUUUUAAUGAAAAAAAGGGAAAAAAAGCUUCAUUAAAAAGGAAGAAAGAAAGAGCACAAUAGUUCUCCAGGAACAACAAAACAUGAAAAGAAAAGCUAGAAAAGCAGCAAAAGAGAGAAGAAAAUGAGAAUCGCACAAAGCAAAGAAUUAGAUAAAUCUCAUUAAUAUUUAUAAUAAAAUAUUUUCAAUAAAAAUCAUUAAUACAAUUAGAAUUCUUAUUUACAAAUUAAUUGAUCUUAUUAAUAAUUUAUAGUAAAAUAUGUUUAAAUUGGUAAUAUAGAAAUAUAAUAAACAAAUAUAUGUGUUUGCUAAUUAAAAAUUUUAAUAACAUCAAUAUGUGACUGACAAUAAUUUGCCAAUCUACAUACAAUUGUCAAUAUUAUUUAUACGCUAAAUUAUGUAAUUAGUCUCUAUAUUAUAGAUUUAGUCUCUAUACAAUAAUUUAUGUGAAUUGGCAAGAGUGGCCCAAUAAGCUUAAAGGCUUAAAGCGACUAUCAUAUAUUUUUUAAAUGACUAAUAUAAAUCAUCAAUCAAAUUUUUUAAUUCAAAUAAAUCAACUAUUACAUAAAAUAAAGAUAAUAUAAUAAUAUGAUAUAAACUCCAAAUUAAAAUAAAAAAAUCCAUAAAUAUUAGAAUAAUAGUACUUAAUUGUUGAAUACUUAUUACAAACCGUAAAUAAGGCUCACGAUUUUAUAAAAGUAAUAACAUAACAGACUUUUUAUUUAUUCUUUGAAGGAAAAUUGAAAUUAAAAAGAAGAAGGAAGAAAAAGCAAAUGAGAAAAGAAAAAUUCCAAAGUAUAUAUUAUACAUUGAAAAAAAUAAUUGAUUUUAUAUAAAAGAAAAAAAUAGUUGUUGAAAUUUAUUGAACAUGUUAAUUGGAAACAGGAGAAAUAAGUAAAAAGAAAACUGUUGGAGAUGAUUAAAUACAUAUGACUGUUAGUUGAUUGGAAAUAAGAGAAGUAAUUGAGAAUUAAUAGCAUUCUAGAAAUUAAGAAAUGAUAGAAAAUUAAAAUUUAUUAAGCACAUAAUUAGAAAAAUGAGAAAAUAGAUAUUUUUAUUAAUUAUUAAUUAUUUUUAUAUAUUUUUAAAUGUUUAUAUAUUUUUAAUAUAAUUAAUUAUUUUAUAAAAUUAUAAAACUUUUUCAAAUUUGGGGCCUCUCUAAAUUGGGGGCCUAAAGCCCUUGCUUGGGUGGCUUUACCCAAGGGCCAGUCUUGUGAAUUGGAUCCCUAUACUUUGUUAAUUUGUUAAUUUUAAUCUUUAACUUAAACACUGUUAAAUUUAACUAUUAAUAUGCUGACGUAACAUUUUGACCAAAUUGACAUGACACCGAUAGAGAUAACAUGAUGUUGACUAUGUGCUGACAUGACAAUUGUUGGCAUGUAUGCUAAUGUGGCAAAAAUGCUGACACGGCAAAAGGUUUACAUGGUAAAAAAAAUGCUAAUGUCUCCCCAUGAGAUUAACAAAGAAAUUAAAAAAAAAGCACCAUAACCCUAAAUUAAAAAUUAACAAAAAAAAAAGAUUAAAAAUUUCAAAAAAAUUUAAAAGAGAAAAAAAAAACCUACAAUCGAAGAAGGAGAAUCAAAAGAGAGAGAAUCAACUAGUUUUGAAUUUGGAAUUAAAGGUAGAGAAAACAAUGGGUUUUCAUUCUAAAGAUUCAACUAGUUUUGACUCAGAAAUUUUUCAUUGAAAAUUUAACUGGUUAAUAAAAACCUUUGCUCCAAUCUCAUCUAUAUUUGUUUCUUUUGGCAAGAUAUUGCAUUUUAAAGGUUAAUGGACUCUCUUUUAGCAGGCAAAGAUUGACACGAUUCUGGCAACUUGUGUCUUGCAAAAACACUGCGACCAUAGUCAUCCACUAAAACGAAAAAUCCUAAUAAGUUGCCUGAGUUCAAGAUCUCCUUCUCAAUCAUUAUCCCAUCACAACCCUCACAAAAACAAAAGCUAUCUACACAUACUCAGAAUUGAAACUGUACACAACAAUAACAACCGCCACACACUUCCACUCAAGGGACUUCCGACUCUUGUCCAUUCCAGAAAACUCUAAGCGUCAAUUUCAAACCAUCAUACCAGACCCAGGUAGACAAUCAUCAAAAUAGAAGACAAACCGGAAAACCCCUUCUUCGAGCACACUAUCAACCCAGGUUCAAUCAUAGGGAACCAUUCACAAACUAGAAACUUAGAACCUAUCCCAAUUCACUGACGUUACCUCCCACAACAGAAUUCCAACAGAACUUCCUCCCUAUUUACCCAUACAUGAAGCCCCAAGAACACAAAUCACAUACACAAACGCAAAUUUGGAGAUAAUCAACCAAAAAAAUUCCUUCCAGACUUGCUAUGAAUGUCAAGAAAACAUUUACAACCACAAUGAAAGAGUUUGAGAUCUAUGUUUGAAUUGCUUAAGGAAAGGGGAAAUUUGUUUGAGAUUUCUCCAAAAAAAAAAGCUAUGUCAGCAAUAUGUUACGUUAUUCCUAUUAAUGUCAUGUCAACUUGAUCAAAAUGUCACAUCAGUAUAUUUAAGUAUCAAAUUUAAUAAUGUUAGAAUUAGAGGAUUAAAAUUCAUAAAUUCACAAAGUAUAAGGAUCCAAUUCACACAAAUUAUUAUAUAGAGACUAAAUUUAUACUUUUUGUAUAAUACAAGGAUUAAUUGCAUAAUUUAACCUUAUUAAUAUAAUUAUUAAGAAUUAUUUAAAAUGACAAAUAGUAAUUCAUAAAUAUAUUUGAAUAAAAAUGUUUGUUUUCAUCAUAAAAUUUUCUGAUUUAUGUCAUUAAAAAUAGCAAAAAAACUAAAAUAUAAAUUUCAUCAUAAUGUUUAUCACUUCAUCUGCAUCUCCUUUCAUGUACAGCUAAGACUCAAAUCCCUUCUAUUCCAGUAAUCCAGGAAAGUUCACCUUGUUUAAUUGUUCAAUUGAAGAUCAAUCCUACUAUUAUGAUACUUACAUGAGCAUCCCUUGCUUAAGUGGGUCUGGCUUCUAUGUUAAAUAUGUGGAUUCUUAUUCUGGAAGCAAUCAACCGUUGAAGUGCAGAAAGACUCUAGAUAUAUCUGAAGUUCCUGAAGAGAAGUUGUCUGACAGGAAAAACAAAUUUGACUUUAAAUGGCCAGGAAUGUCGACCUAAUACUACUAAGACAUCGGGCAUAGAGUGCUAUUCCAUCCACAGGGAAGAUAAAGGUACCACAUACAUAUGACUUUUUAAGUAGUAUUGUUCUAAUAUCUGAAUUUAGUGUUGAUUACCAGUACCACAUUUUUCAUUAAGCCUUUUACAGGGUCGAUGCUUUGAAAUCUAAGUCGAGUCAGUCAGGUUUAAUUAUCCUAUACAUAUUCUUUUUAUUACUAUUAAAAUAAUAAAAUUAUUUUAUAUUAAUAUUUUAAUUUUUAAAGUGUAUUUUAGAGUUUAAAAAAUUUACUAUCUGUUAAUUAAUAAUAAAAUAGCAAGCUAAUUUUGGAAAAAAACCACAAAAUAAAAUUAUAAUAAGCUCAUUAUGAUUUCAUAAAUUAUUAAAGGGUAACGUAAUAAUACAAAAAAUUUCAUCAAAUAUUUGUUAUUAUUCAUUAAAAUUAAUACUUUUUAAAAAGUUUUGAUUUAUAAUUUUGUCUAAAAAUUCAAAUAUACCUCAUGCAUAAAUUAAAAUUUUUAAAUUUUGAGAUCUAAAUACCUCGCUUUUGCUCUCUUCUAUAAUAAGUUAGGUAAAAUUUUUUAUUGUAAAAUUAUAGAAAUUAUCGGAUAAAUUAGGCUUCCCAAAAUUAACGUACUUAGCAUCCAAACCAAAUUCUUUUACUUCCAGUUCAAGUAAGAAAUAGCUUAAUUCAUAUUAAAUCAAUGCUACUUUUCUAAAUAUGAUUUAAUCUACUUAUGUGGACAUAAUUUUGUCUCAAACUUAUAAUUAAACAUUAAUUUGUAGGGCAAUCAAUUUUGAAUGUUUUAGAAACCUAAGGGAGACUAUAUAUAGAGUAAUGAUAUAGGAUUAUUGUACUGAUGUUGAGAAAUAUAGAAUGUUGUUUGUAGAUACUUGAUUUUGGUUAAUACCUAUUCUCUAAAGAAUUAUGUUAUAACAUAAUAUUGUAUAGAAAAUAACUAGAACAAGUAAAACAGUACUUCACAUAGAACAACUAGAAUAAGUAGAGCAUUACUCCAUAUGGAACAACUAAUACAAGUAGAACAGCUAUUUCGAAUAGAAUAACCACUUCACUUGGAUGACAGUGAAAACAACUAGGAAUAAGUGACAAGGUUCAUGGGUUACUUUCUUCUUAAGAAUUAUGUUACAACAUAAUAUGGUACAGAGAACAACUAAAACAAGUGAAGCGCUAUUUCAUGCAUAACAAUUAGAACAAGUGAAGUACUACUUCACGCAAAACAACUAGAAUAAGUAGAGUAUUACUCUAUAUGGACAACUAAUACAAGUAGAACAGCUACUUCGAAUAGAAUAACCNCUACUUCACGCAAAACAACUAGAAUAAGUAGAGUAUUACUCUAUAUGGAACAACUAAUACAAGUAGAACAGCUACUUCGAAUAGAAUAACCAUUUUACUUGGAUGACAGUGAAAGUAACUCGGAAUAAGUGGGAGGGUUCAUGGGUUACUUUCAUCUUAAGAAUUAUGUUACAACAUAAUAUUGUAUAGAAAACAACUAAAACAAGUGAAGCGCUACUUCAUGUAGAACAACUAGAACAAGUGAAGCACUACUUCAUGCAGAACAACUAGAAUAAGUAGAGCAAUACUCCAUAUGGAAUAACUAAUACUAGUAGAAUAGCUACUUCAAAUAGAAUAACCACUUCACUUGGAUGAUAAUGAAAGUAACUUGGAAUAAGUGACAGGGUUCAUGGAUUACUUUCAUCUUGGAAUGUUUCAGAGAGUUUAGCUUUGUGGCUUAUAUAUGGAGGUAGUUAAGAGGUCUUCCUCUUAACCUUUUGCUGAAGUACAAGUGUUUCACCAUCCUACCUUGUUCUCGUAUACCUGUUCACAUGCACCUUCUUCUCUUGUACCUAUUCAUGUAUAGGUUUUUCUCUUGUACCUAUUCUCGUAUAGCUUCUUCUCUUGUACUUGUUCACGUACAGCUUCUUCUCUUGUACCUUUACACGUGUACCGCUUUUCUAUUACCUUUUACUCAAGAACAAGUCUUAUUACACCAAAUUACGAUAACGGUUACUAACAUUAGUGUUCUUCAUAAUAAUGUCAUUUAUUAAGGGCAAUAAAGUCUAUUAUUGAGUAAUUGCCUUUUUGAGCACUAUAUAUAGAGCCUCACAAUUCAUUUAAAGGGGCUUUCCCUCUCGGAGUUAACACAUUCUCCUCUAGAAAGCUUCUCUCUCUAAAUUAUCUCUCUAAUUCUCUUCCAUUCCCUAAUUCUCUUCUUGUUCUCUUCCACCCGCCACUACACUUAGUAUCUCAAGAACUACUCCAAUCUUCCUUUCUGCCACCUUUCGCGCAUCCAUUUACUUGUUUACAACAUUUCCUCUCCUUAUCACAAGAACCCCAUUUACAUUUUGGCAACCCCAUUGGGGAAAAGUGAUUGCAUAAAGUAAAAGCUUACUAGAAAAACUUUACGUUACUAGAAGAGAUGGAUAGUUCCUCUAGUAACCAAGAUGCACCCAUUCCAACCUACAUCCAGGAGCUUAUGAAAAUGAUUGAAGCUUCUUGAGAGAGAAUGUAAAUGUUGGAAGACAACAACAAGCGGAUGUUGGAGACCAUAUCUCAACUUGCAUCCUCCACUCCCACCAUUUUUCAAGCUCAACCUAUACACCUUAACGGCGAUGAGGAUGCAAUUGAUGGAUCCACUCCUCUAGUUGUAAACACAAAUGUGAAUGGAGGAAACAGAGAAAAUGUAGUUGAUGUGGUAAGUGUUGAAAAUCCCAAUUUGAACAACUCUUCUGUGGUAGUUAGGCCAACAAUUACCUCUAUUGCAACAAUCUCGGCAACCACUACUCAAGGCUUUAUGACAAUGAAAGAGCUCCAAAAGUUACUAGAUCAAAAGAAUAAGAGAUUCAACUUUUUGGAAUUUGAUUUUAAAUUUCCUUACCCAGCAAGUAUAACGGUUAAGCCAUAUGAUAAGGACUACAUUAGUCCUUAAUUCAAGAAAUUCAAUGGUAAAACCAAUAAUGCACGAGAGCAUGUUAUGAAGUUUAUGAAAACACUCGGAGUAGUAGGAUUGGAUGAUGACUUGAAAUUGAAGGAAUUCUCUAAAUCUCUCAUUGAAAAGGCUUAUCCAUGGUAUGUUAAUCUCACCCCUAGCUUUGUUGAAUCUUGGAAUCAAAUGUAUAGGAUGUUUGGGAAAAAGUUCUUCUUCUUUACUUAAGAGAAGGUUAAUCUCGUUGAUUUGGGAGGAGAAUAUCAAAAGUCUAGAGAAUACCUCAUGGAAUACAUCUGUAAUACCCCGUAAUUUGCCAUGGUGGCUAAUGAAACUUAUCUGAUGCGAAAUAAGGUUAAUUAUAAUGUUUAAAGGUGAGGAAAGGUGAAAAGAGUAUUUUAAGAUAAAAUAUUUCGCACGCGAGGGAAUAAUAAAAUAAUAAUAAAAUAUUUAUUAGGAAAGAAUUUGAGAGAUAAAAAGUGAUUGGGAAGUGAAUUGAGGCAUAAUAAGGCAUUUUGGGUACCAAGGAGACAAGUAAAAAAUUUUGAAAAAAAUAAUAUUUUAUUAAUAAAAUAAUAUUAAAAUAUUAAUAUUUUAUUCAGUGUCAAAAUUUUUCAUGAAGAAGGAGUAUACGGUUAAUCUAAGUGGGGGAUAGGAAGAACGAGAAAAUUUCAGAGAAAAAUGAAGCUAGUGGGACCCGCGCUUUAUUAAAUAAAACUAACACGAGAAAAAAAUAUAUUUUAAAUAUUAUGGAGAUGCCGCGUUGGAGUACAAGCUUUAUAUUUCGUUUGUAUAUGUGUAAAAGAAGAUAAUAAAAGGAAAUUGGAGUUAAAAGAGUGCUGAGAAGACUAAAUUAAAAAGGGAAGAAACUUGGAGGGUAAAACGAUAAUUUUACGUAAAGUUUGGUCAUAGCUUCCAAAGGAAGCUUUGACUCUCAUCUUUAUCAGCCAUGACCGUCCUUAUCUCCUUGUAGACACCUCUUAUAUAUAUAUAUAUAGUAUAAAAAUAAUAUAAUAAUAAAAUAUAAUAAAAAAACCAAAAAAUAAAAAUAAGAAAUAAAUUGAAAAAAAUAAAAAAAUGGAUGAACAGGAAAAGACUGAGAGUGUGCUCAGCCCCUUCCCCAGUCCAUCAUUACAGGGCAUGAAUGCCCUUGAAAGGCAGUCGGAUUUGGGGGAGAAGUGGUCACCUCCGGCAACCAACCCCUCCUGUUUGCUAGAGCAUUGUGAAGUCAUGCUUAGAAGAGCAUGAUUUCACCUAUGGAUUGUCCAAAAUUUUGGACAAUCUAGUUCUUAAAAGGGGGGUUUCAAAUCGAUGAGAGGGGAGGGAAAAAUAAUUUUUUUCAGAACAAAAAAACGAGAGAGGAUUCGACAACCAAAAAACCCUAAAAAAGCCUAGCCACCUGCAAAUAAAAAAAUCCCUAGUCUCUAGCAACCAGAAACCUCAAUCCAUAAAUAAAAAAGAUACCCAAAAAAUACAAAAAAUACCAAAAAUCAAUCAUAAAUACAUAAUGGGAAGAGGAGAGUAAAAGGGGUUUUUGAGGGAUUUUUUUGGUAAUUUUUAGAGGGAUUUUAGGGUUUUUGUAUGACUGUUUUGGAGAGAGCUUCAGCUUUUUUUGGGUCAGCAUGGGUUGCCACCAGCUAGCUUAAAGGAGAAAGGAUUUGGGUUUUCUGCUAUCGUCAGCUAGGGAGUGUAGGAGUUAGAGUAUUUGCUGCCAGGUAAAAGAGAGGUGAAGAGGGAGAUUUCGCCAUCGCGAAGGGAGAAUGAGGGAGAAAGACGAUCGGCAGCUACCGGUUAGAGGAGAGAGAGAGGGUCUUUCGGGUAGUCGGCGGCGCUGCCAGUUUUGGGUGGUGGCUGAUGAGAAGGGAAGUUGUUAAGAGAGGGUGGAAGCUUUUAGAGAGAAGGUAGAGAGUUUGGUUUUAGAGAGAGAAGUUGAAAGGAGAAAAUGAAGAAAGGGUGAAGAAAAAGCCUUUUUAUACUUAGGGUUAGGGCAUCAAAAUGGCGUAGUUUUGGCACCCGAAGGCUGUUGGGCAGGAGACUGGACAGUGGGCCUUGGAGCGAAUCACAGGUCAGGCCAAUUAUUUGUGCCAGUUUAGCCCAAUCAGGUAAAAACUUUAACUUUUUUUUAUGGAAAUAUUUGUGUCUUAGGUAGGCCCACUUUAUAUGUUUUUAGGAAUAUUAGGCAGAAUUAAUUCUAAAUUAUUAUAGUGUAAUGUUCUAAAUUUUUUAGAUGAUAUUUUAGACUUAAGAGAUUAAUACAAAUAGAAGAACAUAGAAAUAAUAAAGCAUAAAAAUAAUAAUAUCUUAGAAAAUGUUUAGUUACACAAAUAACUUAAGCUUAGGAAAAUAUUUACUACAAAUAUAUAAGUAACUCUUAAAAAUAUAUAAAAAUAAAAAAUAUAAAUUAAAAAAAUAUAAAUAAUAAUAUGCCGUGACACUAACUACAAGUAUAAUAUCUCGAUGAUAGGAUUUUUCGAAGAUAUUGCGAAGGCGAGUUUCUCUCGAAAAGCUCCCUAGGUGAAAGGAUGUCCCCUAGUCCCACCAGUAUGAUGGGAAGGCUCGGGAAAUAUCUUUAAUAAAAAGGCUUUUGCUCGGAAUAGGUUCAUGUUCAUGAAUACAUUAUUUUUUUUAAGAAAAAAAGUAUGAUAACCCCGAUGAUGGGAUUUACUCGUUAAGCUUACAAAGGCGAGUCUUUCGAGUAAUUCUCUAGGUGAGAGGAUAUCUCCGGAUCCCACUAGCAUGAUGGGCGGAUUCGAAAAAUAUCCUCAAUAAAAGAUAUUCGUUUGGCAUUAUCUCGAUUCUACGCCAUGCAUUACACAAUCGCAUCACAUGCGCGUCAAAUUCGUGAAAAUCAAAUAAAAUAUUUUAAUAAAUAAUAAUUAAGGGAACAUAAAAACAAAUCAAUGGGUUAGGAUAACACAUGAUUAAAUGGUACCAUUCGUGGAACGGGCGUCAUAGGGGUGCUAACCCUUCCCUGUGCGUAACCGUACUCCCGAACCCAACUUUGACCAAAAAACGUAGACUAGUUUAUCGUUCUUUCGACAGACCUAAAAUCAAUUUAGGAUUUCGUCGAAUAGAACAAAUUUCAUAGGUGACCAAUCACAUCGAAAUAAAAAAGAUUGGUGGCGACUCCUAGUUACUCGAUUUUUGCCUGCGUCUGGCGAUCGGGUUCCCAGACCUGGCACGUUGCGACACGCCUCCAGCAAGAUAUUUUUUUCUUCUUCUUGAAGCUUCCAAUGCCAUUUUCAUUUCAAGUUCAUGAAAAUCAAAUUUUUUCAUGUGAUUUCCCUUGUUUCUUUUCAUUUCCUUUCUUUUCUUACUUCUUUCUUCUCCAAACUUCUUGGGCACUAAACCUCCAACUUCUAACCCCAAUUUUCAGCACAUCUAAACCCUAGGAGAAGAAGAAAGAAAAAGAAUGAAAGGAAGAAAAGCUUGGUUUUGUAAUUCAAGCAAGCUAAGGUAAGGAUUUUUGUGUUUUAAGCUCAUCUUUGGUUAAAUGUUUGGAGAAAUAAUGUGUGAAUCAUUUUGGUAGCUUGAUGAUUAAUGUUUUGAAGGAAUAUUGAAGUGCAAGUACGAGUCAAGCAACCAUAAAGGUAAAGACAAAUGAUGUUUUAAGUGUAGUUGAGGAAUCUUGAGAAAAUGGGUAUUGUUGUGUAGUUGACAUUUUAAGUGGCAUAUUGUGAGAAAUUGUGGUUGUUGUGGAAAGGAUGGUUGAACUUGAUAAAUAUCCUUAGAAAAGAUUAAUAUAGUGUUAGUGUCAUAAACAAGUUACUGGUAAUCAUAAUUUAAAGAAUUACGUAAGUAAAAGAUGAAUGCAACUUUGGUAAAAAUUGUGUCAAGAUAAGUUAAGUUGAAUAAGGACUCGUGAUUGAAUGAAAAAGGGAAGUAUAAACGAUGUAUGCUAAAGAUAUUGAAUUGGGAUUGUUGCUAGGAAAUGCAACAGUAAAGGUAGCGUACUGUGGUGAUGUGCCGGGGGAAAUAACGAGCGACCGGCAAGUAGAAAUAGCUAGAUACGCCUCCGAACAAAUAGCGAUGUACUAUCCCACUAUAGUAAGGUGAGUGACCUUGCAUUGAAAAUAUUUUGGAAAAAUGUAUUGGUAUUUAGACGAAGUGUGUGAAUGAUUUUUAUUUGAUUUUUCCUUAAAAAUUAUGCAUGGGAACAAGCCUUUAUUAAAACGUUUUAUAUUGUGAGUGUGCAAUAUGAUGAAUCCUUGUGCCUUAUAUGAUGUUGAUAUAAAUAUAUAUGUUGUGUAUUGAUAGUUAAUAUUGUGUAAUAAAUAUAACCGUGCGUGUGCGCGAUGUGGGGGAUGCACAUGCCGGUGAUGACGGGGUGUGGAAGUGUGGAUAAUGAUGUUGAAGUGUGCGAGUAGGGAGUGCACACGAUGAUGUUGAAGUGUGCGAGUAGGGUGUGCACACGAUGAUGUUGAGGUGUGCGAGUAGGGAAUGCACACAAUGAUAUAGAAAUCUGCAAGUAGGGAGUGCACAUGAUGAUAUAUAGUGUGCACAAUGUGGGGGUGCACACGAUGACUCCAGCUAUGUGCACGAUGUAGGGGUUGCACAUGAGCUGGUAAGGCGGUGGUGAUAUUCAUGUUAUAUAUAUUUAUAUAUACAUAUGUAAUAGAAAGUUUAUGAGUAUAAUGUGUGGUUUGUAAUGUAUGUUGCAUCUUGCAUGUUGAACCUUGAAAUCUUGCUAAUUAUCUUCAAAUUGAAUUGUAUUGCAACGAGUUACUCACGAUGGUUUUCGCUGCCAUGAGAAUGAAUCUCGCUGUAGCGAGAAACUCUCAGGUUUGUUUUAGAAACUUGUGCUCUGAAUUUCGCUGCAGCAAGAAUGCCUCUUCGCUGUAACGAGAAUCCUUCGGUCAUGUUUACUUUGUUUAUAUCCUGCUAUGGUUUUCACUCAUUUAUCUUCAUGGAUGAUCUUGGGUUUUUCAACACUAAGAGAUGACUAAUCAAAGUUUUGAAAUAAGGGGUUUUAACAAGAAAUUAAGUUAAAUUGCAUGGUUUUAGCAAAAGUGCAUCAUGAUUUUAAAACUUUCCAUAUCAUAUGCUUGUUUCCUUCAUAUGUUCACUCACUGAGUUUUAUACUCACUCUUUUAAACUUCAUGUUUUUAGAUUCAGAGGCAAUUGGGAUCUAAAUUGAGUUGUCCACGUAUGCUCGCCUUUUUGGUAGGUAUUAUGGCAUCUAAGUAGCUGUACCUUCACCCAUGGUCACUCCGCUGACGGUCAAGAGUCUUAUGCUUGUGUAUACGUAUAAGUAAUGUAGACCACUAAGAUUCAUGUUAAAAAUCAAAUAUGUAUAUUCGAUUACUGAUGCUAUUAUAGGUUGGCAAACAUGUGACAUUAUUUUAAAAUAAUACGAAUGUGAAUAUUGGGUUGCUAUAAAAUGUUACUGAAAUAUUUAUAGUUGAGAAUUACAAUAUGUGGUUUUAGAAAUGAUGGUUGGGAAUGAUGAUCGAGAUUACAUAAAAAGGCUUGCUUGGGCUUAGUGGGAUAUGUCCGUUGGGCCCAUGCGUCAUUCAUGGCCUGGAUUUGGGUUGUGACAACAUCCAACACUUUAGGUAACGGGUGUUACAUAUACAAGAGUCUCAUGAUGAGAAAGAGUUAGUGAAGGUUUGCAUUCAAAGAAUGUUUGACGAGUGUAGGCUGCAUUUGGAGAAUUUACCCCUUCCAACUUUUGCUACCUUGGUGGAAGCAUCACGAAAAACCAAUAAUAUGGUUCUCAAACAAAGGGAAGCUACUCGUUUCGAUAAAAGGAAUACUCUAACAGUGAAUGCAAUUCAAGGAAGAGGAAGAGAAAGAAUAGGCUCUUUUCAAAAGGGAAUAUUCCACAAGAAGAUGCAAGUAAGAGAGUUAUUGAUUGAGAGCAAUAGGGUCCAGAACAACUCGCUUCCCGCUCAUUUAUGAUAUUUCUAUGACUUUGACUCUUCAUUGCUUUAUGAAUUGCAAUUUAACAUUAAAAAAAAUCAUAUUCAGCCGCUAACUUUAUCGCUUAUAUUUUAGCUGUAAUUAUAUUAUAGUAUUGGUCGCAAGCUUUAUCGCUCAUUCCUUGACCAUAGUUCAUCACUCUUACUUUAGCCGCAAGCUUUACUACUCAUAUUUUGGUUGCAAGGAUAUUUUUCUAUUGGUCACAAGCUUUAUCGAUCAUUUUUUUAUCAUAAUUUAUCAUUCAUAUCCUAGCCACUAGCUUUAGUGCUCAUAAUUUGGCUGUAAUGAUGUUAUGCUAUUAGUCGUAAGUGUUAUCGCUCAUUUCUUGGCCAUAGCAUAUUACUCACAAAUUGGCUACAACUCUUACGCUUACUUAUUUUAAGGGUUGAAUUAAUCUCCUUUGCAUCAGGUUAGAGUUAAUCUCCUUGAUGUAAAGUUAAGAGUUCCUUUUGGCCGCAUACAUUGUGAAAUAUGAAUACGUACGCAACAGGAGUAUAACAUUAUUAUUAUUAUUGCAAGAAGAAAAUAGAUAUGAUACCGUAACAACAAAGUACUAGCUCAAAUGAGGUUUGAAAAGAUUAGUCAAUUACAUAUUCCAUAGAAAAGAUCUAUUAUUGACAAAGAUAUCUAAUCGUUCUCGUACUUCAACUUCACGCUUUCUCAGUUAAGCUAUAUUUGUUGCAAUGUUUUCUAAUUCUUUUUCCAAGAAAGAUUUGUUGAGAAAAGCUUUGGCUCUAGAUCUACAAUCAUUAAGGCAUUCAAGUUUGAAUCCAACAUUACAAGCAUCAUCAAAAUCCCGUAACAUUUGUUGCAAUUCUCUGGUGAAGUACUUAUUAAUGGAGCAUGGGAAAUGGCUAGAGCUCUACCCAACACUUCCAUCAUUAAACAAAUGACAUCCAUGUUUUUCAACAAAAAGUUGACUUUCCUAUCACUCUGCUCAGUAUGUGCUACUUGAGUACCAAAAACACUAUUACCAUCUUUGUGUGCUAGAAUUGGGGAGGAAGAACUCUAUCAUAAUCAGUAACAGCUCCAACAUCAUGAACAAUCUCAAUAUUAGGAGUUGCUCCAAAUUAUCGAUGACAACAUCAAGAAUAGCUCUAGCAUCAACUCCAACUUCAGAUACAACCUCAACAGUAGGAAUAACCUCAAUGUUGGGAACAACCUCAGUAUUAGGUAUAGCCUCAUCUCAAAUAACCUAAGGAGUAAGAAUGAUAUUAAUUUCAAAAAACAAAAUGGAUCAACAUCCAUUGGAGUAAAAUAGUAAUAUGUUUAUACCUGGUUCAUAAUGGAGCUCUAAACAUGAGAAGGAAAUAGAACAUACAAAUCAAUAAAAUCAUCAAAAGGGGCUAGCUCACCCUCAACUUCAACUUUAUCAACAUCAAAGACUCAUCAUCAAAUUCAUCACUACGUUUAGAGUCACAUGAUUUUUCCUCAGUCUCAGCUUUAAAAGUCUCUUCCUCUUCGACCGAGUUAAGUUCUACUCUUGCAGUUGUUUCUCUAUAAAAAAAAUAAUGAGGAAAUGAAUUUUAAAAAAAAAAGGUUGAAGAAUAAGUAAAAGAUGAACUUACUUUUUGAUCCACAUGUUUUGUUUGAUGAGUAAGAGUCUGAGGAGCAUCAUCUUCUUCUUCAUUUACAUUUCUUUUCUUUUUGAGAGAAAUCAAGCGCAAGCAUACAUUAGUGUUAUUUACAAGAGGAGUGUAGAGACAAGCUUUAGGAUCAAUUAAAGGCACAACAAAAAAUCUCCAUUCUUCAACACACUCCCUUCAAUAAGCAAACCAUCCAGAAGUGUGGAUACCAACUCUAUCAAAAGCUGGGACAGUACUGUCACGACCCAAUUUUUCGAGCCAUGACCGGCGCAUGAGCUCAAUGAGCAUAGCUCACUAAGCCCAAGCAAGCCUAUCCAUUUACCUUUGCUUAACAAAUUUAUCAUAUCAUGCAUACACACACCUUUUCCCGGGUGUGAACAUAGCCAAAACACAAUGGCAUUAUCGAUAAUAAUAUACAUGCAUUAUACCAGUCAUGUAUUUAGCAAUUUACAUUGCAUACACAUAUUCAUAUUGUUAGAUUGUAUUCACAAUACAAAAGGACCCAUGACUUCCAGCGGAGACAUUUACAAUAAAAGGGAUUACUAUCGAAUGCCAGACACAUACCCAGGAGAUGCACUACGGGGACUCCUCGUUCUAGGGUCCAACAGUCACUUGAUCUGAAAACAUGAAUUUUUAUAAAACGUGAGUACAAUACUCAGUGAGUGAACAAGAAGGGAACAAGCAUACAAUAAGGAAUGUUUCUCGAAAUCAUGAUGCAUUCGUUUUCUCAAAACCAUGCAAUUGUUUUAGCUCCUUUAAACCCCUCAUGUAAACCCCACAUGAGUAAAUCACUUUACAAAAAUCCAUGCUCAACUAUGAUACCAAAGAAAUGGGAAAUAUGGCAAAAACNNNNNNNNNNNNNNNNNNNNNNNNNNNNNNNNNNNNNNNNNNNNNNNNNNNNNNNNNNNNNNNNNNNNNNNNNNNNNNNNNNNNNNNNNNNNNNNNNNNNNNNNNNNNNNNNNNNNNNNNNNNNNNNNNNNNNNNNNNNNNNNNNNNNNNNNNNNNNNNNNNNNNNNNNNNNNNNNNNNNNNNNNNNNNNNNNNNNNNNNNNNNNNNNNNNNNNNNNNNNNNNNNNNNNNNNNNNNNNNNNNNNNNNNNNNNNNNNNNNNNNNNNNNNNNNNNNNNNNNNNNNNNNNNNNNNNNNNNNNNNNNNNNNNNNNNNNNNNNNNNNNNNNNNNNNNNNNNNNNNNNNNNNNNNNNNNNNNNNNNNNNNNNNNNNNNNNNNNNNNNNNNNNNNNNNNNNNNNNNNNNNNNNNNNNNNNNNNNNNNNNNNNNNNNNNNNNNNNNNNNNNNNNNNNNNNNNNNNNNNNNNNNNNNNNNNNNNNNNNNNNNNNNNNNNNNNNNNNNNNNNNNNNNNNNNNNNNNNNNNNNNNNNNNNNNNNNNNNNNNNNNNNNNNNNNNNNNNNNNNNNNNNNNNNNNNNNNNNNNNNNNNNNNNNNNNNNNNNNNNNNNNNNNNNNNNNNNNNNNNNNNNNNNNNNNNNNNNNNNNNNNNNNNNNNNNNNNNNNNNNNNNNNNNNNNNNNNNNNNNNNNNNNNNNNNNNNNNNNNNNNNNNNNNNNNNNNNNNNNNNNNNNNNNNNNNNNNNNNNNNNNNNNNNNNNNNNNNNNNNNNNNNNNNNNNNNNNNNNNNNNNNNNNNNNNNNNNNNNNNNNNNNNNNNNNNNNNNNNNNNNNNNNNNNNNNNNNNNNNNNNNNNNNNNNNNNNNNNNNNNNNNNNNNNNNNNNNNNNNNNNNNNNNNNNNNNNNNNNNNNNNNNNNNNNNNNNNNNNNNNNNNNNNNNNNNNNNNNNNNNNNNNNNNNNNNNNNNNNNNNNNNNNNNNNNNNNNNNNNNNNNNNNNNNNNNNNNNNNNNNNNNNNNNNNNNNNNNNNNNNNNNNNNNNNNNNNNNNNNNNNNNNNNNNNNNNNNNNNNNNNNNNNNNNNNNNNNNNNNNNNNNNNNNNNNNNNNNNNNNNNNNNNNNNNNNNNNNNNNNNNNNNNNNNNNNNNNNNNNNNNNNNNNNNNNNNNNNNNNNNNNNNNNNNNNNNNNNNNNNNNNNNNNNNNNNNNNNNNNNNNNNNNNNNNNNNNNNNNNNNNNNNNNNNNNNNNNNNNNNNNNNNNNNNNNNNNNNNNNNNNNNNNNNNNNNNNNNNNNNNNNNNNNNNNNNNNNNNNNNNNNNNNNNNNNNNNNNNNNNNNNNNNNNNNNNNNNNNNNNNNNNNNNNNNNNNNNNNNNNNNNNNNNNNNNNNNNNNNNNNNNNNNNNNNNNNNNNNNNNNNNNNNNNNNNNNNNNNNNNNNNNNNNNNNNNNNNNNNNNNNNNNNNNNNNNNNNNNNNNNNNNNNNNNNNNNNNNNNNNNNNNNNNNNNNNNNNNNNNNNNNNNNNNNNNNNNNNNNNNNNNNNNNNNNNNNNNNNNNNNNNNNNNNNNNNNNNNNNNNNNNNNNNNNNNNNNNNNNNNNNNNNNNNNNNNNNNNNNNNNNNNNNNNNNNNNNNNNNNNNNNNNNNNNNNNNNNNNNNNNNNNNNNNNNNNNNNNNNNNNNNNNNNNNNNNNNNNNNNNNNNNNNNNNNNNNNCUUGAUCAAAUCCUUGAAUUCCAACAUUUUCUCUUUGAUUUUUCUCACCUAGGGUUUGUUCUUCCCUGGUUUCUCUUCUCUUCUGGUUUGGCUGAUCACUAUGGGAGAAAUGGGCUGAUUUUUAUGCCUUUUAUAAAGAAAUAAUGAAUGGAUGAGAUUUUUGACACAUGUCACCAUUCCAUUGGUCCAAGUGUCAUACUUAGCCAUUAAGCAAUCUCUCUCCACCACACAUUUCUCAUGUUUAUCCAUUUACAGAAUGAAUAAAAUCCCUUGGCCUUGACAAGUGCUAAGCGAAAAAUUUAUCGAUUUGCCCGCGAGGCAAAAAAAUUACGAUUUUGCCCUUUAUACUCCGAAAUGUACCGGAAUCAAAUUAUUUCUACUUUUCAACCUCCAAUAACACUAACAUUGAUCAAUAUUAACCAAAUUGGGCAAAAACUUGUUUUAUAAAAAUUUCCGUUUAGUCCUCUAAUGGCAAAAUUACCAUUUUGGCCUUGUGCUCCAAAAAUACCAGGAAUCAUAAUUUUUUUUCACUACUAAACAUCAUUUUAUACCCCAAUAAUCAUAAUUAUAUUUCAUAUAACUACUCUUGGUCAAAUGUGAUCAAAGCUUGGCUAAAAAUCUCCAUUUUAUCAUCAAAUGGUAAAUGAUCGUUUUGUCCCUAAUCGGUCAAAUUUCCUUAUGGACUCCAAAUUAGACCUUGAACUCCGAAUCACUAUUCUAAGCCAUUAUGUGGGUUUCAAAAUUUUCAAAUUCCUCUUAGAAUUUCUAUUUGAAAUAGUUCAAGGCUCGAUUUAACUUAGUUGUACCACUUGGUAUAAUACCGUCUUUUAAUCCGAGCUUGAUAGGGUCUCACAAGUACAACUCUUAAAUUUAUCUAAACGGAGUUGAAGUCCUACCAUGAGAAAUGAAAAAACGCAAGAAGAAAAACUGAUAGAUGAAGAAAAGUCAAGCGGAGCUGGUUGAUCAAACACAAAUUGGCGUGCCACUCUGUAAGGGGAAUAUACCUUGACAGAAAGAAAAUCUAUAUCUCCACCUGAACUCGAAUUCUCAAUCAUAGAUGGAAUUGGGAACUGUGAACACAUACACAAAAGUUAAUACCAUGUGCACUCAUUCUUCUAGACUGUAAAGGGUGGUGAUCAUAAUAAAUUCUAAAAUCACCAAAUCCAUUUAUGGAUUGCACAUAAGGUUUGGGAUUGAAUUUUUUUGCCACAUCCAUCACUUCAAGAACAUUACCUCUCGGGAGUCGAUCAUGCCAUACCUAAGCUCUAUAGUUGUUCCUAGAUAAAGGGCUAUUCAUAGAAAAAGAUGCAAAAAGACAUGCAUUAGGCACGGGAGUGCAAGUACCAAGCCUUUACCAUAAGCACAUCUGAAUGAAAAAAGCAUCCACAUUAGUCACAACUUUGUAACGCCCAGCUGACUCGACGAUUUUGAGUUGGUACAAGUCUAGCCUCUUAUAUAUAGAUCCUAAAUACAAUGGAGCAAGAGGAAAAUGUAUUCCCUUAAUAAUUUUUAUUGCUAAAGGAACAACUGCUGAAAAGAUACCAUCAUCUGGACACCCUGCUAGUAUGUGUCGUGCCAACCAAAAGAUUAUUAAAGCCACUAAAUCAUGCUUAUGGUCUGGAUACUCAAGAAGGGCAAUCUCAAUUCCCUUAGCAUUGAACUUCUUAUUAGAUACCCCUAUCCCACUAGAGAACCGUGCAACCUUUGAAGUUUUACUCAAACUCUUGAGUAGAUCAAAGAAAAAGUCUCAAAUACACAUCUUUUCUUCAGAAAGUUUAAUAGAGUGAAAAUCUUGCUUCCCUAUACAAAGAAAGUUUUACUCAAACCUUUCCCAUAGGCACAUCUGAAUGAAAAAAGCAUCCACAUUAGUCAAAACUUUGUAACGCCCAACUGACUCGACGGUUUUGAGUUGGUACAAGUCUAGCCUCUUAUAUAUAGAUCCUAAAUACAAUGGAGCAAGAGGAAAACGUAUUCCCUUAACAAUUUUUAUUGCUAAAGGAACAACUGCUGAAACGAUACCAUCAUCUGGACACCCUGGUAGUAUGUGUCGUGCCAACCAAAAGAUUAUUAAAGCCACUAAGUCAUGCUUAUGGUCUGGAUACUCAAGAAGGGCAAUCUCAAUUCCCUUAGCAUUGAACUUCUUAUUAGAUACCCCUAUCCCACUAGAGAACCGUGCAACCUUUGAAGUUUUGCUCAAACUCUUGAGUAGAUCAAAGCAAAAGUCUCAAAUACACAUAUUUUCUUCAGAAAGUUUAAUAUAGUGAAAAUCAUGCUUCCCUAUACAAAGAAGUUCUAAGAGAAUACACACAUCUUAUAAAGUGAAAGUAAAUUCCCCCCAUGCUAUAAUCAUAGUAUGAGAAAAAAUGCUCUAUCUUGUAAGAAUAGCACGCCAUACAUCCAUUCUUUUCUAUCUACGAAUAUUGAGCUUGGAAGUGACACGUACAACAUCAAGUAUUCCAACAGAUGAGGGAAGUUUAACAGAAGUUGGAUUCUUCAACAACUUAUUUACCCACUCUUCCCAACCAUGAAUAAAUUGAAAAUUGGAACCUAGCUUAGUAGUAGAAAGUGGAAACUCACCACGGUCAAACCUUAGAAUGGAUAGUCCUCGAAUACCACUUCUUUUAUGAGAAGGUGCUUCUGAGCAUAGACGAUUCCAAUCAUAUCCAACAAGCUCAGAGGGAUGUUGGUCAACUUGUCUAGCACGAACCUCUUCCCAAAAAUGAUCUUCUCCUCUUUCUCUAAUAAUUUCAUCUUCCCAGUUUUCAGGGACAAAAGGAACUUCACCACUCUUUCCUACUUUUCUUUAGAGAAAUUACUUCAGAAUCAUUACUCUUCCUUUUAUGCGCAUUGGUCUUUUUCCUUGUUGUAACCCUUCCAAGCUCACCAUAAUGGAUCUUUGAGAGGAUAUGCGUCCUAGGCAUAGAGGAAGAUGGAAAAAGAAGCCUACAAACAUGAUCAUGGAAAAAGGGAUAAGUAUACGUAUGCAAUAAUUUUUUUAUUUACUUAUUUAUUAAGCAUAAAACAACAAAACUUAUCAAAAUUAUAGAUUUUGAUAUUAUUAUUAUUUAAAUAAUAUAUAUAAAAUAAAAAAGUUAUAUAUAUGCAAUAUAAAAAUAUAUAUAAUAAAUAAAUAAAACUUAAAAAAAAAUUACAGUUUCAAAUAAAAAUAACAUAAUAAUUAAAAAAUUAUAAUUACAAAAAUAAAAUAUAACUCGUGGCAUAUAUGCCACGAGCUUAAAAGAAAUAGCUCGCUGUAUAUGCUAUGAGCUCCAAAAGAAAGCUCCAUAAUAAAAUUAUAAACAAGUGCCACACAUGGUACAAGCUUCAGCACAAAAGCCAAGUAAAAAAAAAAAAGGGAAACCUAUGUUGUGUCUUAAGACUAAAACAAAAGCAUUGUUUCCAAAGUUCUCUUUUACACUUUUGCUUGUGAUGUGAGCUUCAAACCAAACUUCAAUCUAAUAUAAAUACAAAAAAGACAAGAGAAAAAUUAUGGCUUGUGUUGUAAGCAAUUAAAAAACUAAAGACAAAAUUGCUUUUAAGAAGGGUAAAAAGACAAAAUAAGGUUAAAAUAUCAAAAGCUCUAAAGACAUAGUAAAAGAAGAGAAUGGAAUCCAUGCACUACUCUUCAAAGAAAAAUAUAUAUAUAAUAAUUAUUAUUAUUGACAUCUUCUUCUUAUAAAAUCAAAUAAUUUAUUUAUCUACUUGAAUAUAUAUAUAUAUAAAAUUCUUUCAAUAAAAAAUUUAAUCUCAUGCAUAAAAAUUUUCUUAUUUCAUAUUUUAACUUAGAAAUAUGAAAAAAAAAAUUUCAUGCAAGGGGCAACAAACAUGUAAGCAAAAGAAAUUCAAUUUUUUUUUUGAAAAGCAAGAAAUAUACUAAUAAAAAUAGAGAGAGAACAAACAAGAAAUUAUAAGAAGAAGAAAAACUUACGUGUUCAAAAAGAUUUACAAAAGAACAGACCUUACUCUGAAUUUUGUUUUGCUUAGAAUCUAAAUAAAGAAAAUUGUUCAUAGUAGCUUCAUAAUUAUAGAGCAUAUAGAAUCAAGGUUUUUUAUAAAAAAAAUUAACUCUCUUUUUACUAUUUGCAUCUUGAAAAUAUUAUUCUAUGAAAAUAUAUUGUUAUAUAAUCAAUGAAAUAUUACACUAGACAGUAAUAUGUUAUUACCUAAAACAUUACUGCUUAAGGUGUUACUAUCCAAAACAGUACUACUUAAGACGUUACUGCCUAAGAUGUUAUAGUAUAAUAUGUUAUAGUACAAAAUAAAACUUUUCCCUAAAGUAAUGCAUAAGAAUUAUUCUUAAGUAAGAAUUCUUAUGCAAGGGGAAAAACGUAGAUACUUGAUUUUGGUUAAUACCUAUUCUCUAAAGAAUUAUGUUACAAUAUAAUAUUGUACAGAGAACAACUAAAACAAGGGAAGCGUUACUUCACGCAUAACAAUUAGAACAAGUGAAGCACUACUUCACGCAAAACAACUAGAAUAAGUAGAGCAUUACUCCAUAUGGAACAACUAAUACAAGUAGAACAACUAUUUUGAAUAGAAUAACCACUUCACUUGAAUUACAGCGAAAGCAACUUGGAAUAAGUGGAAAAGUUCAUGGGUUACUUUCAUCUUGAGAUGUUCUGGAGAGUUUGACUUGGUGGCUCAAAUAUGGAGGUAGUUAAGAGGUCUUCUUCUUAACCUUUUCCUGAAAUACAAGUGUUUUAUCCUCUUACCUUGUUCUCGUAUACCUAUUCACAUACACCUUCUUUUGUUGUAUCUAUUCAUGUACAGCUACUUCUCUUGUACCUAUUUUCAUAUAGCUUCUUCUCUUAUACUUGUUCAUGUACAGCUUCUUCUCUUAUAUCUUUUCAUGUGUACCUUUUUUUUAUUACCUUUUUACUUGAGAACAAGUCUGAUUACACACAAUUACAGUAAUGGUUACUCACAUUAAUUUUCUUCAUAAUAAUGUCAUUCAUUAAGAGUAUUAAAGCUUAUUCUUGAGUAACAGUCACUUUUAGCACUAUAUAUAAAGCCUCACAAUUCAUUUAGAGGGUUUUCCCCCUUGGAGUUAACACAUUCUCCUCUAGAAAGCUUUUCUCUCUAAUUCUCUUUUAUUCCUUAAUUCUUUUCUUGUUCUCUUUCACCUAUCACUACACUCAGUACAUCAGGAACUGCUCCGAUCUUCUUUUCUGCCACCUUCGGUGCAUCCUUUUACUUGUUUAUAACAUUUCUUAUCCUUAUCACAAGAAUCCCAUUGACACUGAUCAUUUUUGAAUGCUUUCUAGGUGCAAGAAUGAAGCUAAUGAUUUCAAGUACAAGGCAAUUAUGGAGCUGUGUCCAGAGGAACACUUUCCAAUGAUGUUUCAAUAGCUGUUAAGGUUCUGAAUAACUUCAAGGAAACUGGUGAAGAGUUCAUUAACGAAGUUGGUUCGAUGGGAAGAAUCCACCAUGUCAAUGGAAAGUUAGUUGUUGCACAAUUCUGAUAGGCAAAUGUGCUUAGCUUGCUUGUAUUGAAUAACCAAAUGCUCAAAGAGCUUUGAAAUACAUCAAAUAUCAAGUGUCUAUAGUAAACAAAAUUGAAAACAAUGGUGGCUCUCUAAGAGCUUGAACAAAUAGCUAUGAUACUUAAGAAUUAAAAAGAAAAUGUUAAGGGUUUGAAGAUUUGAAUUUGAGUUUUUAUGUUGAGCUUUAUGUUGUUGAGUUGUAUUGUGCAUUUCUUGAAUUGGAUGAUGCCUUUUCUAUUUAUGGGUACUUUUGCCAAUGGUAAGUUCUUUUCCAUAACAAUUAACAACUUGAUUUUGGUGCAAAAGGGUUUCCCGUCCUUUCCUUUCUCAAAUGUCUUUUGUUAUAGAUCAAUAAAAAGUCUCAAAAACAAUAUUUUGACCACCUACUCUUAAUCUUUUAAUGUACAACAAAAACAACAAUAAAACAUUCUUACAACUUACAAAUCAAAUUUUCUGUUUCAAUGGUUUUAGAAUAAAAGCAAACCCAAACAUAAAAAAAAAAAAAAAGAAAGAAAUAUGAAACCUUUCCCUAUCGAUACUUAUAAUUACUUCAUCUAAUUUUCCUUUUCUAUAUAUGUCAAUUAAGAACCACAGUAUAAAGUUGUGUGUGAAGCUAAAACGUACAUUGCUACGUGAGUGUAACAAAAUGUAUGUUGAACAAACAAUACUACAAGGUAAUAAUAGAUAAUUUUUUUAUGGGCUUGUCUACUAAUUCUUAUUAACAUAAUCUUCUGACAUUUUGAGAGAAAAGAGAAAAUGUUUGGAAGGCAUUUUGAGGAGACCAAUUUCACUUUGAAGCAUCUCAAGGGCAUUGCUCAUUGAAGGGUGACAAAUGGGCUUCAUUUGUAUGCACUAAAAUGCAACUAUUACCAUUUUCCUCACAAUUUUCUUUUCAUCAUCUAUAACGUCUCCCAAGUCUACUUCUCCACCUUGAUCAAAUUGAUCAGAAAUCCAAGAAGGGAAGUAUAUCUGACUUGAUUGUUCAACUGAAACAUUCAAAUUUUUCCUUUUUCCCACAAUUUCCAUCAACAACAUUCCAAAAUUAUAAACAUCAGCUUUAUAUGAGAUGCCACCUAGAUAUUUGUAGAAUAAUUUUGGAGCAAUAUAUCCUAAUGUACCUCGAGCUAUAGUAAGAGACACAAUACUCUCAUCUAUAGGAUAUAAUUUUGCCAGUCCAAAAUCUAAAACUUUUUGGACAAAUUUUUUAUCUAAAAGAAUGUUGUGUGGCUUGAUAUCAAAAUGUAAAAUUUGCAUUUCUCAUCUUUGAUGCAAGUAUUUGAUUGCACGAGCCACUCCAAGAGCAAUCUUUAACAUUUGUUCCCAAUUUAAAGAAAUAUUAUUGUCUCUUACAAAUAUAAUUUUAUCCAAAGAUCCAUGGCAUCAAGUUAUAUACCAGAGCUUGUUUUGAUCCUUCCACACAAAAUCCAACAAGUUGUACCACAUUAACAUGAUGAAUCCUUCCAAAUGGUAGCUACUUCAUUAAUGAAAUCUUGGCCCUUAGCUUUUAACUUUCCCAAUAAUUUUAUUGCAACAAGGUGACCACUUUGAAGUUUUCCUUUGAACACUGACCUAUAACCUCCUUGACCAAGUUUAUCUUUAAAUCCUUAAGUCUUUUUUUUUUAAUUUUAGAAUAAGAGUAUCUAAUUGGCAUGAAAUUGUUUUGACUUUGAAGGAAUUCUUCAAUCAAAUCAUCCAUGGAUAUAUGUUUCCUUUGCAAUUUGUGCGUAACAAGUGCAGCCAAACAUGAUAUUCCCAACAAAAAUCUUAGCAAGAUAAUUCCUCCAAAAAAAUAUAUUAUAAAAAAAAGAGAACAUCAAAAACAAAAAGGGGAAGGGCAUCAAGAAUAGUGCACGUGAUAGUCGUGUGCUUAAUAGAAUUAGUUAGUUAGUUAGUUGGUUAGUUAGUCAACUAAUUAUGAUUUUAGUUAAUUAAAUUAAGUUUAAAUGCUAAUAGUCUUAUAAUCAAAUUUUCUGGUUUCUUUUGAAAAGUUUAUAUAUAAACUAUCUUGUAAUCAUUUAAUGAAAUAACAAGAAUCAAUUUAGUUUUUUUUAUUCCUCAACCGUUUACAUGGUAUCAGAGCAAUUCGAUUAAAGUUCUUGCUGCGAGUCUUCCAAUUUUUUAGCCUUUAUCCUUCAUUCAAAAUUGAAUUCACAAUCCCAUAAUUCCAUCAUUAAUAUUGUUCAUACUCAACUUACAACUUCAAUCAAACAAGUUAAGUCAGAUAAUGGCCCAAAGUUUAAUCUUUUUGAAUUUAUUUUUCCUAAAAUCAUUUUGAAUUAUCUAUUUUGCAUACGCACUCCUCAAUAAAAUGAUGUUAUUGAGAGAAAAUACCAACAUUUAUUGAUUAUGGUUAGAUCUUUUAUUUUUAGUCUUUUUUUUCUACAAAAUUUUUGAGAAAUUUUGUAUCAAUGGCAGCCUACAUUAUUAAUAAAACACAACAUGAAAAGUUGUUUCACAAAACCCAUUUUAUUAAUUACUUCUUAGAGUCUUUAGUUGUUUAUGCUUAACACCAACCCUAUCUCAUAACAAAAAGAUAUGUUAUCCUAUGGGAAAAUUGUCCAUUCAUAGGGUAUCUUAUUAGCAUAAAAAAGGUCUAGACUCUAUGAUUUGACUACACAGAAGUCCUUCAUUUCUAGGGAUGUUAUGUUUCAUAAAAGUAAUUUUCCAUUUCAACACUUGAAACAUGAUUCUAAUAAUCUUAUUACUAUCUUUACAAUACUUAAUUUUAGUUUUAAUGAUUGUAUUUAUGAACGUCCUAUUUUUACAAUACUUGUUUCUCAUAAUUGUAGCUACACUGGUCGAGUAAGGCACCUUAAGAUCAAACUAGAAAAAUUCAAGCUCUUGUUCUUCUAAUCUAAUAGCCUUUGGAGCUCUUCCAUUGUCACAAAUCCCUAGGUAGGAGUAGGUGGGAUUACUGUAUUAGAGGCAGUUACUAGUGUAACUACAGUAAUAGAGUUGGUUGGAUUGGGGUUUGUAGCAACUAUUGCAUCACUUGCAUUUUCUCCAUUUCCUUCAUUCCCCUUAGUUUUGUAACUAGAUAAGUGACUUCGUUAGGUGCACUCUCAUUAUGGUGCACAAGUUGGGUUUAAGAAGUGGUAGUAGAAUAUGCGAGUUGGGAUAUAGUCUUAAUCAUUCACCUAUUAUUGUUCUCCAAUGUUUGCAUCCUCUCUUGAAAAGCUUGGAUCUUUCUCAUCAAAUCUUGAAUGUAUGAAGGAACAAAUGUGUCAAGCCCUACUCUAUUAUAUACUUGUCAUGUCAUUCAUGUACUUGAUAGCAUAUCUACAUACUGGGAUGCUUCGGAGAAUCGUUAAAAGUUGAUAUCGUACCUAGCGGUACAAUUAAGUCAAUUAAAACCUCGAACUAGUUUGAAUAGAGAUUUUAGGAUGUAUUUGAGAGUUAUUGAACUUUAGAAUGUUUUAAUAUGGUGAUUCGGAGUUCGAGGAUUGAUUUGGAGUUAAUUCGAGAAUUUUCAUAAGGUAGGGGCAAAAUGGUCAUUUUGCCACCAAAGGGCAAAAUUGGAAUGUUGGAUGAUAUUUUGACUAAAUUUGAUUAAUUAGAGCAUUAUUUGAAUUUGAAAAGUGAAAAAUUUCAAUUUCGACAUAUUUUCAAACAUAAGGGCAAAACAAUCAUUUUAUGUGUCCACAAGGACGUAAUUGGAAUUUUUAGAAUUUUACACCACCAUGAAACUUGUCAAACCCAUGAAUUUCACCCAUUAUUUUUUUUAAGUGAGAGAUUAUAUGUGGUGGGAAUGAAAUGCUUAAUUGUUAAGUUUUAUGCAUGGACCAAUUACAUGGUGACACGUGGUAAAUUUUAAUCCUUUUAUAAUUCCCUUUAAAAAACCAGCACACACUCCUCCCAAAUCACUCUUACGGCUAGCCAAGCAAGGGAACAAAGAGAAAAAGAGAAGAACAAACCCUAGGAAGGAAAAAUCCAAGAGAAAUUGUUGGAUUUCAAGGAAUCAAGCAAGUAAAGGUAAGAUUUUUUAAUUUUAGCUUGUGAUCUACCUUUCCCAUGCAUUCUUUUUCAUUCUCCAUGGCUGAAAUUCAAGUUUUCAAGAGGGAACCUUUGCUAGCCGAAUCUAGAGAAAGAAGUUUCGGUGAUGAAUUUUGCUAGAUUUCAUAAUAUCCUAGUGUUUUUAGUCAUUUUGUGAUGUUUGGAAGGAAAAACAAGCAUGAAAAUCACAUGUUCUUCAAUAACCCUCAUUUGGUCGAAUUUUCUAUAGGGCAUGUUGAUGAUGGAUUUAGUUGUAAUUCCUGUUAUUUAGCUAGGAAUUGAUGAAUUAUGAUGUUGGAUAUCGAAAUCGAAAUGAAUUUCGAUUACGGUGAAUUAAGUCAUAAUUAAGCUCAUUGAGGUGCUUUGGUGUAUUUGGAAUAUUGGAAGUGUAAUGAAGAUAUUUGGAGUUGAAUUAGAUGUUUUGGCUAAUUAAACAAGGCAUAGUGUGAGUUAGGUCAAAUGCCAAUUCAGUCCGAUCAUAAUUGAACCCACGUAAAACACCGUCUUUAAGUGAUUAUUCGAACAAUUCUCAUUCAAUGUCAUGCAUUCAUAUAGAGCCUGAAAUAGUUUUAUAAUAGUUUGGCACAAAUAUAUUGAAUUACGUGUCGUGUAUUAUGUAUAGGUGGUGAGCCCUCUGAUAAGGGUAAAGAUAUUGUAUCCGAGGAUCGAGAAUAGGAGUACUCCUACCACUCCAAACUCUCGCUAUUGUGAGUAAUCAAAUGUUCAUCUUAGUUAUCUAAAGUGGUUUAUACUUGUUUUAAGAUUUUAAAGAAUAAGGCACUUAAUUUGCAAAUUAUUAUGUUUUACAUUUUAAAUGUUGGUUAAAUGAAUGAGAUUUAUAAAUUAUUCUGAAACUAAAUGUUGAUUUUCGAAAUAGAGUAAGUGGAGGCUAUACAUUAGUAUUAUAUAUAUAUACAUGAUUUGAAUUGAUGGCUUAUGAAAUUGUGGUAGCAUGAAUGACUGAAAUUGUGGUUUUGUGAAUUAUAUAAAUUGUUUUGUCUUACAUUGACAGGUUGGAUAGUNGUAGCAUGAAUGGCUGAAAUUGUGGUUUUGUGAAUUAUAUAAAUUGUUUUGUCUUAUAUUGACAGGUUGGAUAGUACUAUAUUAGCCAUGUUAUGCUACCGAAAUUUUAUUGAUUUGCUGGGUUAUGUAUUUAGCUUACUGUAGUGGGCGGGUUUCCGUGGACCAGUCUAUUAGAGGGGCACGGUUAACCCCGUUAUAGUUUACCUUAGUAUGAGAGGCGCGGAGGGUAUCUCCUAAGGUAAGUUUAGAGUUCACUUCACGCCGAACCAACACGUGAGGGUGAAACUCAGCCAACGCCAAGGAACGGCUACGUUUUUAAACAUAAAAACAUGUUUUAUGUGUAUAUGUUAUUUUAACAGCCUUGGUAAACUCGGUUGGAUGCCCGGGCCAAGGUGUCACCGAGUACGAGUUUUGGCACGAGCCAAGUUUUAAGAGAGUCAUAAGCCUUGCUGAUUAUUUUUGAUGAAAUGUAAUUAUUUUAUAUGAUUUGAAAUGAGUUGUGAAUGUUAUGAAUUAUAUUAUGAUGGGAUGAUUGAAUUGUCUCCAUUUACUCGACUUUAGAUGUUAUAGAUGAAUUUUGCUUAGUCACUGGGUUUGCAAAAACUCACCCCUUCUUUUUAUCCAUUUCAGGCUCAGGACAAUCUGUAGACAACCGAUUUUGUCGAGGGUUGCUUUAAGAUUUACAUCCUUAGAAAUCGAAGGUCUACAGUCUUAUAUAUUUACAAUUAUUGUGGGGUCCACAUGUCAUUGUAGAAUAUUUUGUAUACCUGGCUACGUGUGCCACUGUAUGUAUGAAUUUAUUUUGCUUUUAAGCUACAAAAAUCAUUUAUGCAGAGUUCUAUAAAUAUUGUUUUAUAAGAAAAUAGAAUAUUUUAUUUAAUAUUUUUAUUUAGUUUGAUUAGCCAAAAUUUUAUUUUAAUUGGAUGAUUUAGAUUACUACAAUUAUUUUUAGAUAAGAAAUGUAUAUUUUUCGAUCGUAUGUUGUAUUUUCACCAAGUUUCAAAAUUUUUGGGUAAAAAUGACCAAAAUACCCCUGUGUGGCAUAAAUUACUUUUGUUUGUUUUUUAUCUAAAAAUAGUUUAUAUUCUCUUAAAACAUGACAUUUAGUAACUGUUGCUCACAAGGGAGACGUAAAAUUGAUACAAGAGCCUUGCGAGGUUUCAGUUGACAUUUUGGGUAAUGAAUGUCUAUCGAGACAUCGCGGCGGUUGUCAUGGGCUCGAAGGGAGUAUCGGGUCAUGACAAAAUGCAUCUUGGUUGCUAGUAAACUCUUUAUCUUUUCCAAUAACACAAAGUUAUUAUAAUAAGAGUUUUACUUAAUGCAAUCACUCCUCCUUAGUGGAGUUGCCAAAAUGUAAAGGGGGUUCUUGUACUAGGGAGACGAAGCAUUGCAAACAAGUAAAAGGAUGUACCGAAGGUGGCGAAGAGGAAGAUCAAGGUAGUUCCUAAAGUACCAAGUGUCAUGGCAAGUGGUAGAGAACAAAAAGAGAAUAGGUAGAGAAUGUAUAAGAGGGCUUGAGAGAAAAGCUUUAAGUGAGAAUAAGGUAGUUCUCAAAAAAGUCCCCAAAUGAAUUAUGGAGGCUCUAUAUAUAGUGCCAAAAAUGACAAUUACUCAAGAAUGGGCUUUAAUGCAUGUAAUGAUUAAUGACUUUAAUAUUAGGUGACCGUUACUAAGUUUUUAAUGUUGAGUAAUGGUUAAAAGUCCAUUAUGUGACUAUUAAAGUAAUGGAUUUUAUGACCGUUAAUAACAUAAUGAGAUAUAUUAUUGAAUAGAGAGUAAAUGGAAGAUGUACCUAAGAAAAGCUAUACAAGAACAAGUUAAGGGAAAAAGGUGUAUGUGAACAAGAAUAAGAGAAUAAGGUAAAAGAGAGAAACACUUGUACUUUAGAAAAAAGUUAAGAGAAGACAUGUUAACUACCUCUAUUUUGAGCUAUGAAGCCAAACUCUCUAGAACAUCCCAAGAUGAAAGUAACCCGUGAACCCUACCAUUCGUUCUAAGUUAUUUUCAUUGCAAUCCUUAUGAAAUGGUUAUUCCAUGAAUGCUUGAUUUGUUCUAGUUGUUCUGUGUGUUGGUUCCAUUAGUUUUUGAUGAUAAUAAAACAUUUCCAUACAUUUGUGUCUAAUGCCUUUCCUUAAGUGUGCAAGAAAAUUAAUGUAUGAAAUUAAUAAAUCAAUCUUGCAAAAGUGUAUAUCAAAAGAAAAAGAAAGAUAAAAAUGAUAAGACAUGACUGCCUAACAAGGAGGAAGCUCAUUACUUGAAUAAGGAAGAAUGUUGGUUGGCCAAGAUUCAAAUUGGAGAAAUGACGGGCUGAAGAUUAUUGAGAAACAGAACCAACUUAAUCGACCAAGAAAUGAGCUAGUCGACUAAAUGCUUACUUCCAAAACUGCUAGAGACAAGGAGCAGAAAACAAAGACAACUUAGUCGACUAAAAGCAUUCUAUCUGCAAGUUUGAAAACUGCACCAAAAAACAGAGUAACGGCUAGAACCGACUCCCAACAGUCUCCAAUGGCUAGAAAAUUGUCAAACUGCCAUCAGGGAUUUUUCUCCAAGUAUAAAAGGGUCUUCCAACAGUUAAAAAGUAGUUCUUGGAAGUAUUAGAAAGAUUUGAACCACAUAAGAGUUGAAAAACCAAAAAAUUUCUCUUGUACCCUGUCGCACCUUAACGCCCAUUCUUUGUACUUGUAUUAUGCACUCAACCUUGUGUCAUUUAGAUGAACUUGUGAUCAUAGGUACUUUCUUUUACUUCUUUUCUUGUAUUCUUAGAGUGAGGAAGUCACUCUAAGGAGUUAUUCAAGCUUGGGAUAGCUUGAUUGUUAUAGGUUGUGGUUGAGCUUUGGAAAAACCACUUUGGGUUACAGUUGAGCCCGGGGAAAAAUAGUGUAAAAGGUUUUGGCUAAGCCUUGUAAAAGCCAUUGUAAAGCUUGGUGAAAGCUUGUGAAUUUCACUAGUUCUUAGUGGAUUGUUUGGAAAAUCCUUGGUUGGAUAAUUAAGAUAGUGGAUGUAGGUCCUAGACCGAACCACUCUAAAUUCUGCUGUCUUGUUUACUCUAUUUUUGUUUUAUUUUCUUUCCUUCAUUUGUCUCACUUUGUUUACACUUAGAGACAAUUUUUGAAAGAGCCAAAUUAUGCUAUUCACCCCCUCUCUAGCACAUAUUAUUGGGACUAACAAGUGGUAUCAGAGCUAGUUCCCUGUUAUUAAGGUCUAACACCCUUUGGGAGGAUCCAAAUGGCUCAACUAAAAUCAGUAGUGGCUAAGGGACAAUCAACAAACAGACCACCUCUGUUUGAUGGCUCUAAUUACCCUUAUUGAAGCACUAGGAUGUCAAUCUAUAUUAGAGCUAUAGACUAUGAAAUGUGGGACGUCAUAACUGAUGGACCCUUUAUGCCCUUAACCGUGAAUGUGGUGACAAAUGACUUGAUGCCUAAGCCAAGGUCUGAAUGGACCGAGGCUGAAACUAAGAAAGUUCAAAUAAAUUUUAAGGCCAUCAACACAUUACAUUGUGCCUUGACCCCCACUGAAUUUAACAAAGUUUCAAGCUGUACAGCAGCUAAACAAGUGUGGGAGAAACUUAAAAUAAUCCAUGAAGGGACUUCUCAAGUAAAUGAGUCCAAAAUUGCCCUCUGAACACAUAACUAUGAAAUGUUCAAAAUGGAGCCUGGUGAAGACAUCACCAGCAUGUUAGAUAGGUUUACAAACAUUACAAAUAAAUUGAGUCAGCUAGGCAAGCCUAUCCCUGAACAUGAAUUAGUAAAAAGAUUGCUUAGGAGUUUACCAAAAAAUUGAAAGCCAAAAGUGACUGCAAUCCGAGAAGCAAAAGAUCUAAAUGUUAUCACCUUAGAUGAGAUUUAUGGCUCUCUCCUAACUCAUGAGCUGGAGCUUAAAGAGGAAGAAGAAGAAGAUAGGAGGGAAACAAAGGAAAAGAAAAAGAGCAUUGCACUUAAAGCCAACAUCCUUGAGGAAGAGCUGGAAGAGUUGUCAUGUGAUGAUGAUGAAGAGUUAGCUCUGGUUGCAUGAAAAUUCAAAAAGCUUAUGGGUAGAAGAAACUGGAGACUGGCUAGAAGAGGGUUUAGAAAAGAUCAAGGUGCUUCAUGAAAAAUCAGAAACAAAAAUGACUCUUAACAAAAAGGAGGAGCUGAUCUGCUACGAAUGCAAGAAACCUGGUCACUUCAAGUCCGAGUGUCCAUUGCUGAAAGAUGAGACUCCAAAGAAAAAUAAGAAAUCCAAGAAAGCAAUGGUGGCUGUUGCAUGGUCGGAUAGUGACACAUCAAGCUCUAAAGCUGAAGAUGAAAAAUCUGAGGAAAGAGCAAACAUCUAUUUGAUGGCACAAGAGGAUGAAACAGAGGUAUCCUCAUCCCCCUGUGAUAUUUCCAUUGAUGAUUUACAGGAUGAGUAUGAUAGCCUCUGUGAUGAAUUUGAAAAACUUUUUUCAAAAUACAAAACAUUAAAGAAAAAGGCUGGAUCUAUUAAAAAUAAUUUGGAAAAGAUGAGGCAAGAGUUCAAUUUUAUUUUUGAGCAAAGAAAUAUUUUAUACAUUGAGUUAGAACACUCAAAGACAGAUUUUGAAGUUUUAAUAUUAGAGCUAGAUAAUAAGUCUGAUGUUGUGCAAAAAUUACUUGAUGAAAACACAACUCUCAAAUGUUUGAAAAAUGAAUCUUCAAAAAGAUAUGCAUACCAUAAUAAAAAUUCUGCUAAUGCAUUACCUAGAUGCUAUAAUUGUAUUUUGCAUGGUCAUUUAUCAUAUGAUUGUUUUAAGAAAAGAAAUGUGCAGAAAAUCAAAAAAAAUUGGGUUCCUAAAGGAUCCUAUAUUACAACUAACACUCAAGGACCCAUCAAAGUAUGGGUACCUAUAAAGAAAAACUGAAAUGCUAUUUUGUAGGUUGAGCUGUACUUAAAGGAAGCAUGUUUAAGAGCUCAACUCAAAAAGAAAUAGCCUUGGUAUAUGGACAGUGGCUGUUCACAUCACAUGACUGGAGAUGAAAUGAUGUUUGCUUAGCUAGACAAAAGAAAAGGAGGUACCGUAUCCUUCGGUGAUGAUUCAAAAGGUAGAAUUCAUGGGAUAGGUACGGUUGGUAAGAACUCCCAAACUCAAAUUAGUCAUGUGUUGUUAGUGAAGGGUCUAAAACAUAAUUUAUUAAGUAUGAGUCAAUUAUGUGACAAAGGGUUUAAAGUGUGUUUUGAUUCAACUAAGUGUGAAGUAAUAGACAUAGGUACAAACAAAGUUUCAUUUAUAGGAAAGAGAUUAAAAAAUAUGUAUGUUGUCUUUCUUGAAGAUCUUGAAAUUAAUAGUGAGAUAUGUCUUGUUGCAAAUGCUGAAAAUAAUAGUUGGUUAUGGCAUAGGAGAUUAGGACAUGUAAGCUUGCACACUAUGUCAAAAUUGAUUAGGAAAAACUUAGUUGUUGGGCUGUCGGAUUUAAAAUUUGAAAAUGAUAAAAUAUGUAAUGCUUGCCAACUAGGAAAACAAGUUAGAACAUCCUUCAAAACUAAGAAGAUUGUGUCAACAUCUAGACCUCUUGAAUUGUUGCAUAUUGAUCUAUUUGGUCUAAUAAGCACAACUAGUUUAGGAGGAAAAUCUUAUGGCUUUGUAAUAGUUGAUGACUAUUCUAGAUAUACUCGGGUUUAUUUUCUUGAUCAUAAAAAUGAUGCUUUAUCAGCUUUCAUAAGUCAUUGUAGGAAAGUAGAAAAUGAAAAAGGACCAGCCAUAGUUAGCAUAAAGAGUGAUCAUGGAGGAGAAUUUGAAAAUGAUGAAUUUGAGAAAUUCUGUAAUAAAAAGGGGUUAGUCACAAUUUCUCUGCACCUAGAACACCCCAGCAAAAUGGAGUUGUAGAGAGGAAAAACCAAACCUUAAAGGAAAUGGCUAGGACUAUGCUAUGUGAGAAUAACCUACCAAAAUAUUUUUGGGCUGAGGUAGUGAACACAGCAGCUUAUAUACUUAAUAGAGUCUCAAUAAGACCCAUGAUAUCUAAGACACCAUAUGAACUUUACAAGGGUAAGAAACCAAAUAUUUCUCACCUUAGGAGUUUUGGCUGCAAAUGUUUUGUAUUGAACAAUGGAAAAUAGCCCUUAGGGAAGUUUGAUGCAAAAAGUGAUGAAGCAAUAUUUUUAGAAUAUGCAUUAAACUCAAAGGCUUAUAAGGUUUUUAACAAAAGGACUUUAACCAUUGAAGAAUCAAUCCAUGUGGUUUUUGAUGAGUCAAAUGCUUUACAAAAUGAAAUCCAUGUUGAUGAUGAUGAUGUUGAAAUCUUAGAAAAACAAAUGGAAGAAAUGAGCUUAGAAAACAAUAAUAAUAAUGAAGAAAGCUCAUCUAGAAGAGAAAAUGAAACUCCACCUCUAGAAGAUUUGCAAAGAACACAAAAUCAGCAUAAUGACAUUCCAAGAAGUUGGAGAUUUGUAAAAGACCAUCCACAAGAUCAAAUAAUAGGUGAUAUUUCUCAAGGAGUUGAACUAGGAAAGUAACAAGAGAAACAUGUGAAUUUUCAGCAUUCAUAUCUCAAAUUGAGCCUAAAAACUUUGAAGAAGCUGAAAAUGAGGAAAGUUGGAUAAUGACCAUGCAAGAGAAACUUGACCAAUUCAAAAAAAAUCAUGUAUGGUCAUUAGUACCUAGACUUUCAAAUCACCCUAUUGUGGGCACAAAAUGGGUGUUUAGAAAUAAAGUAGAUGAGCAAGGAAAUGUGGUUAGAAAUAAAGCUAGGUUAGUAGCCCAAGGAUACAACCAAGAGGAAGGAAUAGACUAUGAUGAAACCUUUGAACCGGUUGCUAGAAUUGAAGCCAUAAGGUUGUUGUUAGCUUUUGCAUGCUUCAAGAAUUUCAAAUUGUACCAAAUUGAUGUAAAAAGCGCAUUUUUAAAUGGAUUCAUUCAAGAGAAAGUAUAUAAAACUGGACCCUAUAAACAAAUGUCAUGACAUACAUGCACUGAGUAGCAUGUUAUUACGCUAGGAAAGUCCUAAGAAUAGACGAAACUCGGUAUUGUACCUAACGGUACACUUGAGUUGAUUUAACCUCAAACUAGUUCAAAUAGGAAUCGUAGGAUGAAAUUUAAUAUUUGACAGUCAAGGAAUGACUAAAAAUUAUUGUUCGGAGUUCAAGGGUUCAUUUGGAGAAAAAUUAGAAAUUUGAUGUUCAGGGGCAAAAUCGUCAUUUUGCCACCUAAGAUAAUAAUUUGAUCAUGGAGUGAAAUUUUUGACCAAGAUUAACUAUUUGGAGUAUAAUUUAAUGAUAGGAAGUGAAAAAGUUUAAUUCUGGUGAUUUUUGGAGUGUAGGGGCAAAAUCGUAAUUUUGCCACCCACGGACAAAAUUUGAGAUUUUGAGAGAAUUUAGAUCAAAUUUGACAAAUUGGAGAAUGGUAUGAGUAUAAGGGAUGAAAAAUAUGUCUAUGGGCAAUUUUUCAAUUUUUGGGGCAAAAAUGUAAUUUUUGACUUUUACGGGGGUAAAAGUGUAAAUUUUAAAAAUUACUCCACCGAGACUUUGGAUAAGUCUGAGAAUUUUAUCUAAGCUAUGGAUAUGUGGGACAAGUGUAUGGUGAAAAUUUGGAAACAAAUGGAUGAAAUUUUAAAAAUGGGCCAAUGGGAAAGUGACACGUGGCAUUUUUUAAUGAAAUAAUAUUAUUUUAAUGAAAAGUCAGCCAUUUAAACCCAAAUUUUGAGUGCUGGCCGGCCAUAAGGAAGAACAAGAGAGGAAAUAGAGAGGAAAGGAAGAAAAAAAGAAAAACCAAAGAGAAACAAGAAAAUUCAAAGGGAAAUUCGCGGUUUUCGACCGUUUACGCGUCUAACGGUAAGAUUUUUCGAUUUUAGCUUGAUUUCUACCUUUCCUAUGCCUUUAUUUCCAUUUAGCAUGCUUGAGGAGAGAGAUCAAAAAGUGAUAUCAAGGGCUGGACGAAAUUCUAGGGGAGAGAAAUUGAAAUUUUUAGGUUUUGAUUUUUAGUUAAAUUGAUAGUUUUAGUUAGUUAAAUGUGUUUAGAAAUUAAAUUGGGCAAGAAAUCAUUAAAUUUUCACAAUACCCACUCUUGGCUGGAUGCUCAAUGCUGUACAAUGAUGAUGAAUUGAUUUUAUUCUAAGGAAAAUGAAGAGAAAAUGAUGAAAAACGAUUAAACGUGAUAGAAAAACAAAGUAGAAAAUUAACCGAGUUAAUGUCCCAUUUUUGGCCGAAUUUUCCAAGGAAGGGAGUGAGCUGAUUUUGUUGUUUUUAGAAGGUUAUUGGCUGAUAUUUAAUGGUUAGAAAUGUUGGAGAGAGAAUGGGACAAUUUAGAGCUAAAAUGGAGCGCGUUAGCAAUUUAUAGGGUAAAGUGCCAAAAAUAGGUUAAUUCCGCUUUUAAGCCAUUUUAGGCUAUUGCAUUUCAUACCAUGCAUUAGUAUAGGAUUUAAGUCAAUUAUAUAGUGAUUUAGCAUCAAUGUGGUGAAUUGUGUAAUUUUUGCAAUGUGUCGAGGAGGAGAGCCUUCCGGUAAAGGCAAGAAAGUCGUACCCGACGAACAGUGAUCGGGGCACCUAGGAAGCAUUUAGUUUAUACAAACUGUGAGUAAACCUAUUAUUAUUGUAAUUAUCUAGAGUUUAUUUUUAAAUGAUCUUCAUGGAUUUUAUGAAACGAAAAUGAGAUUAAAAUGGGAUUUUUGAUGUUUUGGAAAUAAAUGUGACAAAUAAAUAUAUUGUCUUGAUUAUCUGAAAUAAGAAACUUUUGAUUAUGAAAUUGAGUAUGGGACGCUGCCAAUUGUCUUGAAAAAAAUAUAUUUUCCUAUGAAUGGCUUAUGAUAUAUGAGUAUAUGUGGCUAUAUUUUAUAAUUGCAUUGGAAAUUUAUGCAAGCUGUCUUUUACUAUACAGGCUGGGUAAAUAAAUAAAAGCCACGUUAUACUGUCAAAAUUUUAUUAAAAUUGGUGGGUUUAGUCACUGCAGUAACGGGUUUUCGUGGACUGCCUAUUAGAGGGGCACGGUAAAUCCGGUUAUAUAGUUACUCUGAUUGUAGAGGCGAUGAGGGUAACUCCCGGGGUAGUGUUAGAGCUCACUUCACGUCGAACCCCCACGUGAAUGUGUAACUCGGCCAACCCCAAGGAACGGCUUGUUUUCAAAACUAACAUGUGUUUAACAUGUAAAUAUCUUAAGAACCUUGGCGGACUCGGUUAGAUGCCUCGACCAAGGUAUCCCCGAGGACUAGUUUUGGCUUGAGCCCUGUUUUUAAUAAAAGUUAUAAGCCUUAACAACUGUUUUGGUAAAUUACAAAUAUUUUAUGGUUUAAGAAAUAAAUUGAAAACCUUAUGAAAUGGUUUUUAAUUUGUUGUUUAAACUUGCCUCCAUGUUACUCGCCUUUAGAUAUUUAUGAUAAUGUCUGUUUACUCAUUGGCAUUGCAAAAUCUCACCCACCUCCUUUCCAAAUAUUUCAGGCCUGUGGUAGCUUGUAGAUACCGAUUUUGUCGAGAAUUCCAGUUGACCCCUCUAUCUCACAGAUAGUAGGUUUCUAUCGCCAACACUUGGUGUAUUUAUGGGCCACUUGUCAUUGUAAUUAUUAUUGUACAUUAUAACUUUGUAAAUUAUUGCAUGUAUGAAUUUAUUUUACUUCUAAGUUACAAAAGAUUACUUACACGUGUUUCUAUAAAUAAUGUUUUAUAUAAAAAUGCUAUAUUUUUGUCUUUGAUUUACUUGAGUCAGAAACGAUUGAAAAUUGUUUAAAACUGAUAUGUAAGCCUUGCGGGGUUCUUAUUGGUAGUUCGGGUAACGAGUAUCAAUCGGGACAUCGCGACGGUUGUCAUGGGCCCGAGGGAGGUUUUGGGUCAUGACAAAGUAUAUGUUGAACAACCACCAGGUUUUGAAGAUUUUGAAAAACUAGAUCAUGUUUUGAAACUCCACAAAGCAUUGUAUGGAUUGAAACAAGCUCCUAGAGCCUGGUUUGAGAGGCUUUCAAAAUUUCUGGUUGAAAAAGGGUAUGUUAGAGGCAGCAUUGAUACUACAUUGUUAAUUAAAAGAUAUCUAAAUGAUUUAAUUGUUGUGCAAAUAUAUGUGGAUGAUAUUGCAUUUGGUGCAAAUAAUGAGGCUUUAUGCAAGAACUUUGCAAAAGAAAUGCAAGGUGAAUUUGAGAUGGGCAUGAUGGGAGAAUUGAAGUACUUUCUUGGUAUUCAAAUUAAGCAAAGUGAGGAAGGAAUCUUCAUCAACCAAGAAAGGUACACUCAAGAUAUGCUCAAAAAGUUCGAUAUGCUAAAGCUAAAACCAAUCUCCACACCAAUGAGUCCAUCCACAAGACUUAAUCUUGAUGAAAAAGAAAAGAAUGUAGAUCAAAGGCUAUAUAGAGGUAUGAUUGGUUCACUACUUUACUUAACAGCAAGUAGACCAGAUAUUCAGUUUAGUAUGUGUUUGUGUGCUAAAUUUGAGUCACAACCUAAAGAAUCACACUUAACAGCUGUUAAGAGAAUUUUUAGAUACCUCUUAGAAACUCAAACUCUAGACAUAUGGUAUUCUAGAAAAUCAACUUUUAGCCUAGUUGGAUAUUCGGAUGCUGAUUUUGCUGGCAGCAAAGCUGAUAGGAAAAGCACUAGUGGAAUAUGACAAUUUAUUGGUAGUAUGCUAGUGUCAUGGUCUAGCAAAAAGCAAAAUUCAGUGGCUUUAUCUACAGCAGAAGCAGAGUAUGUAUCAUUAGGUAGUUGCUGUGCCCAAAUAUUGUGGAUUAAACAACAAUUAGAGGACUAUGGGUUAUCAAUGCAUAACAUACCAAUACACUGUGACAAUACAAGUGCAAUUAAUAUUUUAAAGAAUCCUGUGCAACACUCUAGAACAAAACACAUUGAGAUUAGACAUCAUUUUGUUAGAGACCAUGUAGUGAAAAAUGAUGUUAAAAUUGAAUUUGUGAAUACUUUGCAUCAACUAGUUGAUAUUUUUACUAAACCGCUGAAUGAAGAUAAAUUCUAUGAAAUUAGAAGAAAUCUAGGUAUGAUUAGUCAGCAGGAAUUGUGAGAAAACCUUUGGUUCAUGAACAUGAAAAAGAAUGCAUUUAGUAGACUAAGACGAAUCUUAGUCAACUAAGAGUAUUCUGGUAGCAUUAAAUAAUAAGACUCAGUGAAUAAAAUAAGAAAGGAAUAAAAUAAUAUAAAGAAUGUGUGUACCGGGUGAUAAGGAAAGAAGAAAUACUGCCUAAAAAGAAUAACCAAAAUUUAGAGGGAGUUUUGAAAUUUUGAGCAAAUAGAAUAGGGCAAUAUUUAAGGGGGAGGUGAAUGGUUUUCUAAGAGAAAUUAAAACUGCUGACAACUUCUUUUUCACCAUUUUCUCUCCCCUGAAACUCAAAAAUCUGAAACCGAAAUCCUUUUCUCUCCACUUUCUUGCCUUUGAAACUGACUCAUACCUAAACCAAAACCCUCAAACCCAAGUAAGAAAUUUUUAGAAUCAAAAUGGCAAAAAUCAUCUCAAAGUAGAGAAAUCACUGACAAGAAGAAGGGAAAGAGACCAGUGGAAGAAAGAUCAGAAAUAAAAGUACUGAAAAAGAAACAGAAAAUCACGUCUGCUUUAGUGAAAGAGAUAUAUGAGAAACUGAAAGAAAAGAGGCAGAAAACAGAAAAGAAGAAGGACAAGGAAUCCACCCGCAAGAAAGGUACUAGUUCUUCCUCUUCUAAGUUCAAAAAUAGGAUGCAUGAACUAAGGUUCAGAAAAAUUGAGAAUGCACCUAUAACAUGUGGCAAAUAUAUCGACUGGAAGAGUUUUAAUGAGAACUUAGAAAUUCAGACAAGUUUAUCCGACUAUUUUAAUGAACUGAAACUGAAAGGAUAUAGCACUUUUAAGAAUAGAUCUUACUGUGCAAGUCUGGUAAAGGAAUUCUAUUACAGCAUUGCUUUAGGAGAAAAAGAAUUAGAGGAUUCUGAUGACUAUGUCGAAAAUGGUUUGAAUGUGUAUUUAAAUGGGAAAGAAUUUGUAAAGCUCGAUCUUAUAAAAUAAUUGUCAUAACAUACAUGUGAUGGAUAGCAUGUUUACAUACUAGGAGAGCCUCGAAAAAUCAACAAAAGUCGGUACUGUACCUAGAGGUACAAUAAAGUUGAUCUAAGCAUCGAACUAGGUCAAAUAGGGAUUCUAAGGUGAAAUUCAAAAUUUUACAGUUCAGGAAUGACUUAAAAUGGUGAUUCGAAGUUCGAGGAUCAAUUCGGAGUCAAAUUAGAAUUUUCACUAUCCAAGGGCAAAAUGGUAAUUUUGCCACCUAAGGGAAAAANNNNNNNNNNNNNNNNNNNNNNNNNNNNNNNNNNNNNNNNNNNNNNNNNNNNNNNNNNNNNNNNNNNNNNNNNNNNNNNNNNNNNNNNNNNNNNNNNNNNNNNNNNNNNNNNNNNNNNNNNNNNNNNNNNNNNNNNNNNNNNNNNNNNNNNNNNNNNNNNNNNNNNNNNNNNNNNNNNNNNNNNNNNNNNNNNNNNNNNNNNNNNNNNNNNNNNNNNNNNNNNNNNNNNNNNNNNNNNNNNNNNNNNNNNNNNNNNNNNNNNNNNNNNNNNNNNNNNNNNNNNNNNNNNNNNNNNNNNNNNNNNNNNNNNNNNNNNNNNNNNNNNNNNNNNNNNNNNNNNNNNNNNNNNNNNNNNNNNNNNNNNNNNNNNNNNNNNNNNNNNNNNNNNNNNNNNNNNNNNNNNNNNNNNNNNNNNNNNNNNNNNNNNNNNNNNNNNNNNNNNNNNNNNNNNNNNNNNNNNNNNNNNNNNNNNNNNNNNNNNNNNNNNNNNNNNNNNNNNNNNNNNNNNNNNNNNNNNNNNNNNNNNNNNNNNNNNNNNNNNNNNNNNNNNNNNUUGUUUGAUUUUAAGUUAUGUUAGUGAUUAAGGUUAGUUUAGUAUAUUUAGAAGCAAAACAACAAGAAAAGAAUCCAUUUUCCCCAUGAAUCUUCAUUGGCCGAAUCUUCCUUGAUGUGUGUGGGUGAUGGAUUGUUAUUAUUUCAAGAGAAAUGGCUUAGAAAAUGAUGAAUAAUGGUGAGAAAAUUAAGUAGAAAAAAUCACGGUGUUAGUGCACUGUAAGGGCCGAAUUUUUCCAUGAAGAAAUGGGAGGGUUUUGAUGCUAAAAUUGGUGUUAUUUGAAUAAUGUUUGGUGAAUUAAGGUAUUAGAAAAGAAAUGGAGUAAUUUGGGAUUAAAUUGGACGCGUUAGUAAUUUAAUCAGGUGAUAGGCCGAAUUAGGUCAACAUCGCGUUUAAGCGGUUGACCGAGCAUUCCAUGCAUUCAUUUAGACUUAGAGGGCCUGAAAUAGUUUAUGACAAAUUGACACAAAUUAUUGAAUUUUUUGUCAUGUGUGAUGUAUAGGUGGUGAGCUAUUUGAUAAGGAUAAAGAGAUUACACCAAAGACAGGGACUAGGAGUAUUUCUACUCCUGAUACUGUGAGUAACCUUAUUAUCAUCUUAAUUAUCUAAAAUAGUUUUUAUCCGAUUUUGUGAUUUUAUGGAAAAUGAGUUUAAAUGGUAAAUCUUUAUGUUUUAUAAGCAAAAUAUGAUUAAAUGAAAUGAUUUUAUAAAUUGUCUUGAAAUUGAAUGAUGGCUUUGAAAAUAGAGUUAUUGGAGACCACUUGAUGUGUUGUAAUUUUAUGGUUUUAAAUUGAAUGGCUUAUGACAAUAUAUGAGCAUAAAUGGCUAAACUGAUUUUUGGUGUUAGAAUUAUUUGUACUGUGUAUUCAGCCUUGAGAGGCUAGGUUGCGAUAAAUUACCAUGUCAUGCAGAUAUAGAUUUUAUAAAUCAGGUGGUAGAUAAAAUAAUCCACAGUUCCUACAGUAGAGGUUCUGUGGACCAGCCUAAGAGAGGGGGCACAGAAUCAGAUAUACCUUACCUCGAUCGGAGAGCCGUGUGGAGGGUGUCUCUAUAGGUAAAGAUUUAAGUGCACUUCACGUGGACCACCGCGUGAGAGUGAGACUCAGCCAAUGCCAAGGCAUGGUUAGAUUUUCAAAUGUAAAAAUAUGUUCAUGUGUGUACUACACUGAAUAGCCUUGAUGCUCUCGAUCAGAUGCCUAGGCCAAGGCAUCCCCGAGAAUGAUAUUGGCAGGAGCCAAGUUUGGUGAAAUACAUAAGCCAAGUUGAUUAUUUGAGUAAAUUGAUUAUUGAUGUUAUGAAAACAUACUAGAAUGGAAUAUCUUACUUGUCUCCAUUUACUCGACUUUAGAUGAUUUAGAUGGUAUUUGUUUAUUCACUGGGAUUUUAUAAUCUCACCACCCUCAAUUCCCCACAUUUUAGGCUCAGGAUAGCCGGUAGAUAGCCGAUUGCAUCAAGGACUUCAGUUAGUCUUGCAUCGACAAAAUUGUAGGUUCACAGACUUGCACCUUAUUGGUUAGUUGGGGGCCCACGUGUCACUGUAAAAGUAAUUUUAUACUUCAGUUAUCUGCUUUAAAGUAUGUAUGAAUAUAUUUAGCUUUUACACCAUAGAAAUUAUUUAUGGAUUUCUUUAUAAAUAUUAUUUUUUUUAAGAAAAUAGAAUAUUUUAUUGAAUAUCAUUAUUUUAUUCAAACAAUUAUAAUUUUAUUUCAAAUAAUUAUUUUAGACAUCUAAAUUUAUUUUUAAUUACGAAACAUGUGUUUUUCACCCACACACCAUGUUUUUGGUGGGUUUCGAUAUUUUCGAAGAAAAAUGACGAAAAUACCCUUGUACGCCAGAAAAUAAUAUUAUAUUAUAUUGAUUUGGAAACCACUUAUGAUUUCUUGAAAUGCGAGAUUUAAUAACUGUUGCUCACCGAGAAGAUGCGAAAGCUAAUGCUAAGCCUUAUGGGAUUCCGAUCGGCAUUUCAGGUAAUAAGUGCUUAUCGGGACGUCGUGGCAGUUGUCAUGGCUUGAUGGGAGUUCCGGGUCGUGACAGAAUUUGUUGUCACUGCUGAUGAUUUAGGUAGUUUUCUAAAAGUUGAGUGUGAAGAAGGUGAGUAUGAGUUCCCAGAGAAAUACGAUCCCUCAUCAUUAUGGGAAAUCAUCAUCGGGAGGAAGGAAAAAUAUUCUUCAAAGAGAAAUUUUGGUUUGAUAAUUAAUCCCUAGAUAAGGAUUUUGCACUACUUUGUAGCAGCAAACAUUAAGGGUAGAAGUGGAAGUUUAAGUUACGUCAGCCUUCAGGAUCUUUGGCUGAUGGAACAUGCCUUCAAUGGGGUUGCUCUGAAUGUAGGCAGGUUCAUAAUUGAAAAGAUGAGAGGAGCUUGCAAACUUGAUAAAGUCAAUCUCCCUUAUGGGAAUAUCAUCAUAUCCCUUGUCCAGAAAAAGGAAGUUUGGGCUAAGAGGUAUGAAAUGGACAUGGUGAAGACCAGAGAUCAAGCCAUUUACUAUGGCAGCUUGAUCAAAAUGGGAUACAAGCUGGAUGGUGAGAAAUUCACUAAAACACCUAAGGUUUCUAUAAUACCAGUGCCAACAGAGGGAACAUCCUCACAUUUCUCAAGUGAAAUGAUCUUUAAUUUAUUAAUGAGGAUGGAUGAAAAGCUAACUAAUUAGGGCGCUAGAUUACUGAAGAUUGAAGAGAAACUUGCUAAAUUGGAAAAGGAAGUAAAAGAAAAAGAACAAAUCCCAUCAGAACCUGCUGUUGCUGAUUCCUCUGAAACACCAAGUGCUGCACUAGCACAGCAACGUGCUGGAAGUUCAGCUUUGCAAGCAGAAGGGUCUGCUUCUCAUGGUGCAAGUUAUGGUGUUCCAGCAGGAGGUCAUGAGCCAAGAGAGGAACAGCCAAGAAAAUUACCUUCACCUGAGCUAUAGAAUAGGGAUGAAUCUGAUCAAGGCACUGAAGAAACUGCUUCUGAUCGAGAAAAUACCCCCACUCAACUAGAACCUCAACCAUCUCCUCCACACUCUGAAGAAGUUUCAAUCAUAGGAUUGUUCCAGCAAAUGGUUAGGGAAGAGCAAGUUGAAAAACAAGCUGAAAAAGCAACUAUAAAGACAGAAGCUCAACGGAAUGCACCUGCACCAGUUCCAAAAAUGAAAGCCAAAUCUGGAAAAGGAAAACCAAAAGUUAUUGCAACACCACAGCUAGUGACAAAACCACCCACCAAACGAUGGAAAACCAUGGCCAUAAAGACAACAUUUCUCAAGAGAAGGAAGUCUUCUCGAUUGGCAGACAAAUCCAAGAUAGCUCCAAUCACUUCACCUCAGAAUCCAGUCAAUGUAUUCUCACCUAAACCUUCUCUUAAAAAAUCAUCACCUCUAAGAGAACCCUCUCCUUUUCCUCUGAACCCUUUCUACGACACUGAAUCCACACCCUCGACACAUCAGAAGACUAGAAGCUUUUUGCUUUGAUGUUGGUAAAAAGAGGGAGUAGAAUGGCAGAACCAAGGAAAAAGGAACCAGGAACUAGAAAAUAAUUAAAAAAAAUGUUAGGGUGGACGAACCAGGAAGGAACUCAGGGAAGAAAGAAAGCAGAAAUGAACCAAGAGCAGGAACUUAGAAAAAUAGGGGAUAUGAAGCAAAAACAGUCUAGGGGCAAUUUCGAAACAUCCUUUUGAUUAACUGCUAUUUGUGCCAUGGUGGCACUUGAACACUCAAUUUAAAUUUUGUUGUUUAUAUGGUAGUGUGAGACAUGAAUGCUGAUAUGUCUAUGAUGUUUGAUUGCUGAAAAUUGAAUGUUUACUGAUAUUUUGCUAUCCAUGAUAUUUUAACUGUUGUUAACAAAAUCUGUUGCUGCACCAUAUUUGACUGCAUGCUGAUAACUGCUGCUGUAUGCUGAUAAUUAAACAAAUUGCAUUUGUAAUAAUUAUGGAUGUUGUGUAUAGUGUGUUGACUGAUUUAUGAAGGGAAUAGACAAAAUUUGAUGACAAUAUGCUGUUGACAGACCCUGCUGAAUUUUCUAUGAAAAACUGUCAACAUUCAUUGCUAUAAAUCACCCCAAAAUUAUGCACAUAUGUAUACUCUAAAUGUACAAUGUUAUUUUCUGUAUAACUAGAAUAAAAUCUGCUGGAAUAAAGUAAGCAAAAUAUGCACACACUAAGGGAGAGCAUAUGCUUAGGGGGAGUAAUCCUCAUUUUCUGCAGAAACUAAAAUGAGUAAAAAGAUAUUAUGCGGUUAAUCAAGGAAUGUUUUGUCAUGAUCAAGAAGGGAUAGAUUGUUGGCUCCAUUAGUUUUUAAUGAUAAUGAAACAUUCCCAUACAUUUGUGUCUAAUGCCUUUACUUAAGAGUGUCGAAAAAUUAAUGUAUGAAAUUAAUAAAUCAAUCUUUCAAAAGUGUAUAUCAAAAGAAAAAGAGAGAUAAAAAUGAUAAGACAUGAUUGCCUAACAAGGAGGAAGCUCAUUACUUGAAUAAGGAAGAAUGUUGGUUGGCCAAGAUUCAAAUUGGAGAAAUGACGAGCUGAAGAUUAUUGAGAAACAGAACCAACUUAGUCGACCAAGAAAUGAGCUAGUCGACUAAAUGCUUACUGCCAAAACUGCCAGAGACAGGGAGUAGAAAAUAGAAACAACUUAGUCAACUAAGAUAUUGGUUAGUGAACUAAAAACAUUCUGUCUGAAAGUUUGAAAACUGCACUAAAAGCAGAGUAACGGCUAGAACCGACUCUCAACUGUCUCCAACGGCUAGAAAACUAUCAAACUACCAUCAGAGAUGUUUCUCCAAGUAUAAAAAGGUCUUCCAACAGUUAAAAAGUAGUUCUUGGAAGUAUUAGAGAGAUUUGAACCACAUAAGAGCUGAAAAACCAGAAAAUCUCUCUUGUACCCUGUUGCACCUUAACGCUCAUUCUUUGUAUUUGUAUUCUGCACUCAACCUUGUGCCAUUUAGAUCAACUUGUGAUCAUAGGUACGUUCUUUUACUUCUUUUCUUGUAUUCUUAGAGUGGGAAAGUCACUCUAAGGAGUUAUUCAAGCUUGGGAUAGCUUGAUUGUUAUAGGUUAUGGUUGAGCCUUGGAAAAACUACUUUGGGUUAUAGUUGAGCCCGGGAAAAACUAGUGUAAAAGGUUUUGGCUGAGCGUUGUAAAAGCCAUUGUAAAGCUUGGUGAAAGCUUGUGAAUUUCACCGGUUCCUAGUGGAUUAUUUAGAAAAUCCUUAGUUGGAUAAUCAAGGUAGUGGAUGUAGGUCUUGGACCGAACCACUCUAAAUUCAACUAUCUUGUUUACUUUGUUUUUGUUUUUUUUUCUUUCCUUCAUUUGUCUCACUUUGUCUACACUUAGAGACAAUCUUUGAAAGAGCCAAAUUGUGCUAUUCACCCCCCUCUAGCACAUAUUAUUAGGACCAACACUGUGUGAAGUAUAGCUUCACUUAUUAUAGUUGUUCUACGUGAAGUUGAGCUUCACUUAUUCUAGUUGUUUUACGUGAAGUAGUACUUCACUUAUAAUGGUUAUUCUUAGUAUUUUCUAUACAAUGUUACACAGUAAAAAUAAUUAUUUUGAAAAUAAGUAUUAACCAAAAUCGACUAUUUACAAUACCCUUAUUACUAAUUCUAAUGCUAUUGAUUUCAAAGUUGACUACUUUACCCUUAACACCAAUUCUAUUACUCAUAUUAAUCUUGUACCCAUAAGACCACCAUCUAUUAGGCAGAGUACUAGAUUUAGAAAACCUUUGAAAUACAUAGAAGCUUACUAGCAUCAUUUACCUUUUAUAAAUCUCAUACCAGUUCAGUCACUACUCACCUUAUUGUUAGUUACAUUUCUUCUAAAUAUCGUUCUUCUUCUCACAAAGCAUUGACCACUUCCCUAUCCCUUAUUUUUAAACCCCAAUCAUAUCAUCAAGUUGUCAACUAUGCUCAAUGAUAAGAAACCAUGAAAACAAAAUUGAUUGCUUUGAAGGACAAUGGCACAUGGACUGUUAUGCCUCUUCCUAAUGGUUGUCAUGCAAUAAAAUGUCAGUAGGUCUACAAGGUGGAGCUUUAUGCAAAAACGGACGCAUUGAAAGGUACAAAACAAGACUUGAUAUCAAAGGAUAUAGUCAAAGGGAAAGUUUUGACAACUGAGAGACUCUUAGCCAAGUUGCUAAGCAAACAAUAAUAAGACUUUUCCUCGCUCUAGUUUUUGUUCAUGGGUGGCAUUUGUCUCAAUUAAACAUCAACAAUGCUUCCUUAAAUGGUGAUUUGAAUGAGGUUGUGCAUAUGGAGUUGUGUCAAGGGUACACUAUUAAGGGAGAGUAUCUACAAAACUCUAAACUAAUGUGCAAACUUCACAAGUCACUAUAUGGCCUUAAAGAGGACUCUAGGCAAUGGAACUCUAAGUUCACAUAAUGUUUACUGCAGCUUAGAUUCUUUCAGUUAAAAUCUAACUUUCUCUAUUCACUAAGAAAACUAAGGAAGGUGCUUUCAUUGCAUUAUUAAUUUAUGUAGAUAAUAUAUUCAUUGCCAAUUCUAUUGAUCAAAGAGCAACUGAGGUGAAACAACAUUUGUAGACAAGGUUCAAACUUAAAAAUCUAAGGGUACCUAAGUAUUUCUUAGGUUUGGAGAUUGCAAGGUCAGAGAAAGGUGUUUGCUAAAGAGAAUACACUUUGGAUCUGCUGCAUGAAUAUGGUAUGUUGGGAGUUAAACCAGCUUUUACCCCCAUAGAUUACAACAAAAAUCUUUCAAAGCUUACUAAUGAUGAGUAGUUGAUAAAAGUCAAUAAAUACAGAUAGUUUACUAGAAAAUUACUUUACUUCACUUCAACAGGCUUGAUAUAACAUAUACAGUACAAACCUUGUCACAGUUCAUGGGUAUACUAGGCAAUUAUCAUUUUCAGGUGCCUAUAGAGUAUUAAGAUACACUACUAAAAGUAAUGUAUAUACUUCAAGGCAACAUACAGACAAGGGAUUCAAUUUUCAACUAUUUUCUUUAAAAUUGAAAGCUUAUGUUGAUAGUAUAAGGGUAGGCUGCUGUGAUAUAAAAAGAUCAGUGAUAGGUUAUGUUAUGUUUCUUGGAGAUUCACUUAUUAAUUAGAAGUCUAAGAAACAAAGUGUUGUUGCUAGAAGUUCAAAAGAAGUUGAGAAUAAGCUUAUGAUUGCAGCUUGUUGUGAGGUGAUGUGGUUGGUGUUGAAGCAAAUACUUGCAUGCAAUCUGUAGUAGUAGUUUAACACAUGUGCAAGCUCCACUUAAGUCCCUACCAACCAUUACUUCUCUCAGUUUACAUAUGUACAUGUUGUUAACAUGCUUAAUUCUUAAUGCAUUUCAACACUUGUCUUAUGCAUGUGACCAAGCGUUGUAGGUUAUUAUCCACGUAUGAACCUAUUUUAAUUAAAUAUUUUUAGCAACUAGAGAUAAAUUGGAUGAACUUUGGUUAUUUGCUUAGCAUACUUUGUUCAUUCCUGUUUUCCUUGCUUGUAAUAAAGGUUUCAUUAUGCAACCAUAUCUCGACUUCUCCCAAAACACAACAAGGUAUCAGAGCAAUAGCUUGAUCUCUUUUGGACCUUAUAAAACCUUCCCCUACUUAGAUACCUUAUAAAACUUCAUUUGCCUCAUUUCCCAAAAAUGUCAACCUCUACUCCAAACAUUACACAUCAACUCAAACAAAAGAGAAGGCUGAUGCAGAGGAAGAGAAUUUGUUCAAGGCUAUGACCAAAGCCAAAGCUCCAACUUUUGAGGAAUGAGUUGAUGUUUCACACGCAAGUAUUAAAGAGGAGUGUUGAAGUUAAUACUUGCAUGCAAUUUGCAAUAGCAGUUUAACAUGUGCGUAAGCUCAACUUAAGUCCCCAUCAACUAUUACUUUUCUCGGUUUACGUCUUUUACGUGUUGUUAUGCAUGCUUCAUUCUUAACGGAUUCUAAGACUUGUCUUAUGCAUGUGACCAAGUGUUGUAGGCUCUUGUCCACAUAUGAACCUGUUGUAAUUGGAUGAACUUUAGUUCCUUACUAAGCAUACUUUGUUCAUCCCUAUUUUCCUUGCCUAUAAUAGAGGUUGCAUCAAGCAACCAUAUCUGGACUUAUCCCAAACAAAACAGUUGGUGUUCUUGCUUAAUGAUUUUGGUGUUCAUCAUUCAACAGUUGUUGAUCUCAACUAUGACAACUAGCUUGCUUUGCAUAUAUGUAAGAAUCCAACUUUCUAAGAGAGGACAAAGCAUUUUGAGAUGGAUUGUCAUUUCCUUGGAGAGAUUUAAUUCAAAAAGGGCAUUAUGACCCUCAGAGAAGGUUUUUUAUGUUAUGUUAUUUAAUUGGUACUCCUCAAUAGUCCAAAUACGAACUCCGUACUAUAACUGCUGCACAUUAAAUUAUUCUUAUUUUUCUUCAAAAAAUGUUAACAAAUGCUUACAUUACCUGACAGUUUCAUAUUCCUUAAUAUUUCAUAAUGUUUGAAAAACAACCCAUUAUAGCAGUCAUGCUUAGUCAUUUAUUGUGACUUCUAAUACGCUAUAUACAUUCGAAAUGCCUAUUUGAUUAUGUAGAAUGUUGCAAACUUGUUUAAGUUAUUUGAACUUUUAUAUGAGUGAUCUAGUUAAUCAGUCUCAUUAAUCCAGUAAUUCUAAUUUUUAAGCUUUAGUUCUAUAUUUACUAGUUUUAAAUUGUUUAAGUUUUACCUCACUAUAUAUUUUUUAUAUAAAUCAACGCAAUACAAUAAAAUGAAUUCAUUCAUUCGAAAGUUUAUUCUUCAAAAAAUUUGAUAAUGACAAAUUGGAGUCUUAUAGUAGUAAAGUUAGGUAAAAGAUAUGGAGUGAAUGAUUGUCAGUGGGUAAAUUUAACCUAUGAUCUUUAAUUUUUUUUUUAUUUUGGUUACACUUCAAUCUCUAAUCUUUGAAUUACUCAAUAUGCAUUUGGAUUUAUAACCUUUUAAAAUUAUUCUGUUUUGGUUUUCUGUCAAAUUCUUCUUGUUCUACUCUUUUCUUUUCUUUUUUUUGGUAUUUUGCUCUAAGAUCAUAGAGGCUAUUGCUUUUUUUUAUUUAUCUAAAUUUUGGGAAAUGGGUUUUUAUGGAGAUUUGAUUAUGUUUUAUGUUCAUUUUUUGAAAUUUGUAGAGACUAAUGAAAUUUGAUUGUAUGAAUAUUUAUCUUGAAGGAAAAGUGAAAGAUUUUUGCGCAUUUUUAUAAGAAUUUAUAUUUUGUCAAUUUUGAUAAUCUUGAUAACUAAAAAUUUUCAGAUUUUUCAUAAUACUCCAAACAUCAAAAAAUUUUCAUAAUAUUAUCUAAAUAAUAAAAAAUUUGAUUGUCAAACAAAUGCUUUUCACAAAAAUAUUUGUGAAAAUUUGUGUGUAUCCACAUGACAGCAAGGUACCCACCGAAUUGAGCGUAUCAUUCUUAAAUUAAGGUGGGAGACACUUGAGAAUUGAGAUGUUAAGUUUUAUCUUUCUUGUACAUAGCAUAGUUAUCAUUCUUUUAAUUUUUUUUAUGCUGGAAGUUCUCGCAGGGUCUAGCUACCCUGUUAAAGUUUUAUUAAUAAUGAGAAUAAACGUACAUAACGGAGGGGAGCAUAAAAUCGUACCUCCUGAGUUACAAGAAUUAUAGAAAUUUUAAUACUUAUUAACGGUUCCACUUUAUGUACAUAUUGUCCUAAAUGCAAGAAUAAAAAGAAGUACCUGCUUUUACAUGAUAUUAAGAAAUAAAAAUAAAUUAUGAGUACUACUCCUUUACAUUUAUUUAAACAAGACAUAGGGUAAGUUCAAUUUAUCUAGUUUCAAAACACCACGUAAUUCACCUUGAACUUGCCUUAAUACCUAAAGAUUUUGAUGUUGAUGGCCCUAAUUUGACAAGAAGUCUGCAACCUGGUUACCUUCCCUGUAAAUAUGUGAAAUUCUAUAGGAGAUAUUUUGUAAACAUUUCCUUUUAUAUUCCAAUAAAUAUCAGAUUUUGUGGGAACCUUGUUUAUUCUCCUGAAGCAUGUUAAUGACUACCAAAGCAUCAUCCAUUUCUAUCCAGACUCCAGAAAUAUUGUAAGCUUGGCAUAAAAGUAAACCUUUUGUAAUGCCAAUAAUUUCGCCUUAAGAGAAUUAGUGGGACCAAGAUUUGCAGAAAAACCAAAAAUGAGUGUACUUGUGUAAUCUCGAAGAACUCCCUCGCAUGCUGCAUUUUGAAAAUUGUUCUUGGAACUACCAUUAAUGUUCAGCUUAAAUUCACUUGUCACUAAUUUUACCCACCUAAUAAAUUACGACAGCAAAAGCUGCAUUUUUAAGUAUUGAAAACCCCAAAGUUUGGCUAUUUGAGUAUUUCUUUUCCAUUGCCAAUGUUUCAGAAGAUUCCGCUAGUGCAGCUGUCUCAGUAAUUUCAUGAUAUGCCAUAUUAUUCUCUCAAGAUACAUACUCAGAUUCCUAUGUAUUGCAUCAUUUCCUUUUGACCAUAGAAACCAACAAAUAAAAAGAGGUAAUAAUAUACGGAUAUGACCUUGCCUAAUAUAGUCGCAUGAGUAGUACCAUAAGUAGAUUUCUUGCAUAAUAUUCUGAGGAUUAAUAAUAUAGAUUUGAAAGAAUUUUGCAAAAUAAUUCCCAACCUGUUUAGCCACUGGGUUAUCCCAAACCACAUGUAACAAUGAUUCCUCUGAAUUACAGCAAAGGCAUAUAGAGGCUAACUGGAUGUAUUUAGAUUUCAUCCAAAGCUCUAGAGAUAUCUAGUUGUUUAUCAUUCUCCAUACAAAGAAAGAUAUCGACAGCAGUAUGUUUUUGUGCCAAAUAAGCACUCCCAAGCAAAUGGUAGGUUGUCGAUGUUGGAUUAGUUCCCAUGCACUUCUAGUAGUAAAUUUACCGUUAGAUGUAGAGACCCAAUAAGCUAUAUCAUCCCUAGAUCUAUCAAAAGGAACCCUCACAAUUUCAUCAGUAAUAACAUCUGAAACUACCAUUCUCAAUUUCUCUAUAUCCCAUACAUUUCCAUCAUAAAAAGAAUUAACUUUGGACAAUGAAUGAAAAAAUGAAGGGAAUAGAUUUACCAAAGGCUGAUCUCCCAUCCAACAGUCAUGCCAAAAAAACAACUCCUCCUUACUUAUCCGCCAUCUAAUAUUCAAUUCAGUAAAGGUUCUACCGUCAACCAUUCUUUUCUAUACUUCGAAAUCAUGCAACUUACUAGGUAUAGUAUGAGGAAUUUGGCCUCUACAAUAUUUUGUUCGCAGGUGUUGUGUACAAAUACUAUUACAUGUUUGAAACUGCCACCAUAGUUUUGCUGAAAAGGCCUCAAAGACAUCCUUCAAGUUUCUGAUAUCUGGCCCACCUUCCGAGCAUGGAAAAGUAUUUUUUUUCCAACUGGUCCAAUGAAUUCAUUUACACUCUAUAAAGCCUCCCCAUAAAAAAUUGUUGAAAAGUCUCCCUAUUUUUUCAAUCACACUUAUUAAAGGCUUAAGAAUUUAGAGGAGGUAGAUCAAUAAUGAAGAAAGAACACUCCAAAGUAAAGUAAUUCAGCCACUAAAGGAGAGGAUCUUAUUUUCCCAUCCUGAAAUAUGAUCACUUAUUUUAUUAACAAGUGAAUCAAAUAAAAGUACAUUUUUUGCACCUUUGUACAGUGGAGCACCGAAAUAAGUAACAGGUAAUGUUUUGUGCAUAAAUCCAAUGGUUUGUGAAAUAAUCUAUUUCCUCGAAGCUACAAGAUUAUUAGCUAUGAUAAAAAAGCUCUUUUGACGGUUCACUUGCUGUCCUGAAAUCUGUUCAUAUUCCUGUAAAAAAUCAAGAAUCCUCUACAAAGCUGAACGACUCCCAUUAGUAAAAAUCAUCACAUCAUCGGCAAAAGCAAGGUGACUAAUAAUCAUACUACAACCAGACUAAUAAUUAAGCGAUUUAUAUUUAGCAAAAAGAUGGUUGAGACCUUGUGAUAAAUAUUUACUAGCUAAUAUAAAUAAGAGUGGCGAGAUAGAGUCCCAUUAUCUUAACCCUUUCUAACUUGAAGUAGCCAACAGACUGCCAAUUAAUUAGUGGAGAGAAUCAGCAGUUGGAAGUACACCUUCUAAUCAUAUCAAUCCAAUGACUAUUAAAACCAAAUUUAUCCAUCACCAAGUAUAAAAAAUCCCAAUGCAACCAAUCAUAUACUUUCAUCAUACCUAACUUUAGAACAACAUUACCUCUUCUUGCUUUGUAGUCCAGUUUGCCUAUCAACUCUUGGGCUAGUAAAAUAUUAUCACUAAUAAUCCUGCCACUAACAAAGCCACUCUGGUUAUCAGAAAUAAUUGCAUGAAGAAUUUUGGAUAACCUGUUAGCCAACAAAUUAGUGACUAUCUUAUUUAAGACGGUACACAAACUAAUUGGUCUAAAAUCAUACCAUUACUUGGCCUCUUUUUUUGUUGGCAAUAAGACUAAAGUUGUGGAGGUAAUUUCUUGUGGAAAAGAUGCAUCAUCGAAAAAAUCUUGUACUGCUUCAAAAAGAUCUAUUGUUAUAAUCUCCCAAUAGUGUUGAUAGAAUAGAGAUGAAAAACCAUCAGGUCCUGCUACAGUGUCUUUAUCAAUAUUAAACAUGACUUCCUUUACUUCCUACAAUGUGGGAACUGAACAAAGAAAUGUGUUAUCAGUAGUAUAAAUAAGUUGUGGAAUUAGGUAACAGUUGAACCUGGAUAAAUCACAUUGGUUAGCCUUUAAAAGAUUCUGGAAGAACUCAAUAGCUGAGGUUUGGAUAGAAAGUGGGUCUUCAAUGGUGACUUCAUCAUUGUUUUGAAUCUUGAAGAUGUGAUUUUUAACUUGUUUUUUAUUGCAUUCUCAUAUGAAAAGAAUUUGGUGUUUCUCUCCCCCUCUACAAGCCAUUUAACUCCGGAUUUCUAUUGCCAAAAAAUUUCCUCCAUGCUCAAACAAUGAUUAAGCUGUGCAUAAGCUCUAUGCAUAUCCUUUCUAUUUUCUAGUGAUGGAUCUUGCUGGAAAGUAAUCUCCUAUUCUGCUGCGUGGGCUUCUGCCAUCCGAAGGUUUUGAAAUAUGUCCCCAAACACCUCUUUGUUCCACCAUUUUAAAUUAUAUUUUAACCUUUGCUAUUUAUACCAGAAGGCUUUUAACCCCUUUGUCUGUAUAGGAAAUUUCCAUAACCUUUCAACAAAUGACAUAAAGGUAUGAUGCUUUGUCCAGGCAUAAAGAAAAUAGAAUGCCAAAGGGCCUCGUUGAGACGUCAUUGAAUAGUUAAUAAGAAGCGGGUAGUGGUCGGACCUAUCUCGAGCUAGAUGUUGAACUUUAGUGGAGGAGAAAAGCUCUGCCCAUUCCCGGUUGUACAACACCCUAUCCAGUCUUUGUAGCAUAUGGUCGUUUGUCCAAGUAAAACUAUUGCCUUCGAAACCAGCAUCCAACAACCCACAAUCCAACAAAGUGUUAGCAAAAUCCUCUAUGGAGACAUGAUGUAGGGUAGCACCAUACAAACGUUCAUAUCUACUGAAGAUGGAAUUAAAAUCUCCACCUGCUAACCAUGGGCCCUCCAUGUCUGAAGACAAAGAUCUAAGGUAGGUCCAUAGGUCCUUUCGUUCUAGUCUGGUGCACUUUGCAUAUAUAAUGGUGACAAAGAGAAGGUUAGAAAACCAAGGCAAAUUAAUUUUUACAUGCAAGCAUUGAACAUGGUCUACCAGAACUUCGCAAUAUACUUCAUGGGAAUGAAAAAGCCAUAUCUUUUGAGAGCAGUUACUGACUACUCUCUCAAAGCCAAGCCUUCUUCUAAAAAACUCCAUUCUGUCCUCUUUAGCCAUAGGUUCUAAAAUAGCCAACACCUUGAUAUUACGCAUCUAUUUCAAUUUUCUUCAUCUACGUUGUACUACCUUAUGAGCUACUCCCUUAACAUUCCAAAUAAGUGAGCUAAUCAUGGAUAUGUUUGGACAAAAAGACUUAUAAAGCUGGAAUCUUCCAAGAAUCCAUCUUUUUCCUCUAUGACAUCUUCUUCACUAGAGACAGUAUUUAAAGCUGAAAAAUGAGACAUAUAACUGUCGAAUUUCUUUCUCUUAGAAACUUGAGGAUGUACCUCCAAGCUAUGAUCACCAGACGUUGCAUGGGAGAAAUCAAACAAUUGUUUACUGUUGGCCAUUGUACUUUCCUGAUCUACCAAGUUCCCUACCUUUGCUUCAACUGCUUUUUUCACCAUCAAAUCAACGAAUGUUCUUGUUGGAUUAUUGUCUCUAAACUAGAUGUUAACUUCAUUAACAACAAUCGAUUCCAUUUGCAUCCCUUGGUUAUUUUCAUCAUUGCUUUCAACUUCUGUGUCAACAGCCACGACUUCCUGGGCCCUAAUCUCGUCAUUAUCAUCAUUACGUGGAGUCAUUACAUGCUGCCAGUUCUCAUCACCCUUAACUGUCGAUUCCUUCACCAACUCACCAUGUUUUUCUGGUUUUUUUUAAUUUCCUGACCGUAACGUUUUGGGCAUUUUCGACCUCCCAUUGAAUAUAGUCGCGGUCCCCCAUAAUUUGGAUACUACCAGGACUUUCAAUACCACCUUCGAACUAUAUCCUUCCCUUGCAUUUGUUGAAGCCAACUAUUUGCUAAGUGUUGUCGAUGUUUGUCCCACCUAUACCGUUGCUUCGUUAACCUUCAAUGCUGGACAAUCACUACUGGAAACUCUUCCCCAAUCUUUCAUCUGAUCGACACUGCCAUUUGAAUCAUUAUGUUGGUCAUUAAGAGGUUGAAAAAAUUUUUUGGUUAAUACUAAGUCACUGUUCACCUUCUCUGUUUGCCCCUAUUUGACAAUUUGCAUAUUUCCUCCUUCCUCCAUUGAUCCGAUCGUUGCAAAAGUAUUAGAAAUCCUCACUUACACGUCUUUUGAUUCCUCUAGAGUGAUUUUCACCCCCUUAGAGUUCUUCGUUCCACUUUUACCCGAUUGCCUCACCACCUGCCAUUCUUUCCCUUGUUUUGGUGGUUCUUCCAGUACAAUUGAUUUCCUUUUGUCUAUUUUGCUCAUCGGCUCCUUGUUGCUUGGGUUUUGAUCAUUCAAUACUGUAUUCAAUUCCCGAAUCUGAACCCUAGUGCCCUUAUUAGCUAGCUUGGACUGUCCAAAUGGUGGUGCAUUGUUGUUUCCUAGUUUUACCGGUUUAUUCCCCAUUACCAAACAAACUGAUUCGUUGUGACCUACAUGGCAAUAGUGACUACAAUAAUCAGGCAUCCUAAAAAACUCCACACAUUGUGAAUAUCCUCUAAUCACAGCACCAGUUUCUCUAUUUUGGACAACAAUCCACACUUGCUCUACUGGUGGCUGUCUGCAAUCGUAUUCCAAGCACACACGAGCCACACUCGACUAAAAGCCAUUGGCCAUGGCCUUAUCCACAAAUAGCGGCCUACCAACCAUUUUAGCAAUCAAUAACAAUGCCGAUAUCUCAUGCAAAUGAGCCUUUAAGUUUCGAAAUGAAAUCAAAACAGGAAUUAUAGAGGACUCUUUCUUGGCUUCAAAUUUUGAGGAUCAUUUAAUUGCAAUAAACCAAUUUUGCUGGGCCCAAAUCCGAUUAAAAUCUUGCUCAUUGGACAGUUUAAUUAAAACAUUUUUGUAGUCUAACCACUUAAUCUCAUAUGCACCCGAAAGUCCAAUUCCUUUGAACGCCAUACGGAUAUCCUGUAACUUUGGCAUCCGAGUGAGUUUCCCAACAAGAGAAUGUUGAAACGGCUUGGCUAAACUCUGGAUCCCAUCUUCAAAAAAGGUUGCGGCAAGCCGAUCUUUAUAUAUCAUGGGGUCUCGAUUGAGGGGAAUCACAGGGGGUUUUCCUCUUGUAGUGAUGGUAAAAAAAGAUUUCUUUUGAAAUCGUGGAGAGGUUGGUUGUUGGUUGGCUUGCGAGAAGCUAUGUGAGAGUGGUGACUAAAUGUUUUUUUCUGCAAUAAAGUUUGGGGAUGAUGCCAGUGGCCUUGGGAUAGAUGAGGUUAGCGGCGGGGGUUGGUUUGGUGGGUUUGACGGUCGGCUGGUUGUAGAUAAUUUAAUUUUUUAUAUUAAAAAAGAUAUUACUAGCUUGAAUUUUUAAAAAAUAUUAUCUAACAUAAUUUUUUAAAAAAUUAUUGUAAAUUUUUUUAUUUUUUUACAUGUUAUAUAAAAUUAUUUAUUUAUUAUUAAUAUUUUGAUUGUUAGUUAAGUUCAAUAAAUUAAUUUUAAAAAUUUUUAAUUUUUAUUUUUUAUUAUCUUCAACCUCCAAUAUAAAUUGACUAACUUUGCCCCUAAUGCCGAUCAAUCUGAUUAUCUGACCAAACGUGAUUCAUAAAAAUCUCCAAUACUUAACAGGUGCGAAGAAAAAGCUUGGUACUCCUUUGUUGAUUAUUCAAACUCAAAAGCAUGAAAAAACGUGUACACGUAAGUAGUCAAAGGACAAAGGAACCUUAAAUGAAAUUGUAGUAAUCAAGAAUUUUCUCAGUUAGUGGGACCAUUUAUUUGAUAGUAAAAAACAAUUUAAUUAUUAAAUUUAUUUUAAAGGAUUAAUGUAAUUAAAUUAAAUUAAAAUAAAUAAUAAUAAUAUUAAAUAGUUAUAAGAGAUUGUAAUAAUGUUGAGUGUUGGAGGGUAACAAAGGAACUAACGCUGGAGAAUGGAGAUUUAUUUGAAAUUUUUUAAGCAAGUUGGUAGGGUUACAAUGGGUUCAUUAGACUAUAAAUAAAGGAAUUAAACUUACCUGUAUAGUGUUUAUAGUAGAAUUUUUAAAUUUCAUAAACAGAUUCAAAGAGCCGUCAUGUGUCUAUGAAGAAAAAAUUAAGUAAAAUUAACAAAUUUUAAUUACUAUUUUAAUGAACUCGUGUCAAUAUAUAUAUCCAUUUGUGAAGUUUAAAAACCUCAUUAUUAAUUUAUAGACUAAGAAGUUAAUUAAUAAAAUAAUACAAUUAAAAGUUUCAAAACAAUGAAAAAUAAUAUUUCAACAUUAAUUAACCCUUCAUUAAAAUAUUAAAUUUUUGUAAUCUCUCUAGCUUUUACUACGUUUAAAGAUAAUAAUUGUAAAGUAAAAAAUAAAAUACUUUUUUUUAAAAAAAUUGAAAAAUAUACAUUCAAUUUGACAGAUGACCGAUUUGAUGCCUCUCUUUACUUUUCUCUCUUUAUUUCCACUUGAAAAAUAGCAAAAACUAAUAUGGAGCCAGAAAGACAAGUUGACUAGGUGAAGCAUAUAGAUUAUGUAAACCAGAGGAUUCAGGUGUAUGAUGAAGAUGGCUGUGUCCAGAAGCAGCUUCAAAAUCUCACCUUAUCUGCAUCUCCUUUCAUAUACAGCUCAGACUCAGAUCCCUACUGUUAAGCAGUCCUGGAAACUUCACCUUGUUUAAUUGUUCAAUUGAAGAUCAAUCUGACCAUGUUAACUACAUGGAUUCUUAUUUUGGAAGCAAUCAACUGUUGAAGUGCAGAAAGACUAUAGUUAUCUUUGAAAGGAUGAUGUCAGACACGAAAAUCAAAUUUGACGUUAAAUGGACAGAACCGCCUUGUGGUUUUUCAUGUUAACGCGCAAAGCAUGGAAAAGCUACAACUCGCAAAUAGUCAUCCCCUGAAAAGGGCAAAGGAAUCUUCAACGAAAUUGUAGUAAUCAAGAAUUUUCUCAGCUAGAGGGACCAUUUAUUGAUUGUAAAAAAUAAUUUAAUUAAAUUUAUUUGAAAGGAAUAAUUGAAUUAAAUUAAAUUAAAUUAAACUAAACAAAUACUACAUGCUUUUUUUUUUAAAUAAUAUUUUCAUUUUUUCUUAGGAUUAAUUAUGUUUAUAAAUCUAUUUUUCAAUAUUUUAAAUCUUACCUUUUUUUUCCCUUAUGAAAGACCUUAUUAUUUCUUGAUUUUAAUAAUGUUUUUGUUUUUAAUUAUCUAUUUAAGUUUAUGUUUUAAAAUUAUUUUGAGCAAAGGCAGUUUGGACAAGGGACGAUAUUUUUUUUAUCCUUAAAAGAUAAAGUAUUUUUGAAAAUAAUUUUUUUUAAUUUUAACUGUUUUUAAUCUAAAAAAAAGAGUUUUUAACAAAAUUACCUUUAAUGAAAUCUCAUCGUAUUCAAAAAGUUCAUGUGUUGAAAAAAAUACUGUUACAUACCAUUUUGAAAAAAAAUUAUUGCAAGUCGUUUUAUUUUAUUAUUACAGAAUAUCUAACAAAUAAAAUAAUUUACGUCGAAUAGUUUUUCAAUAUAUCUUCAUUUUCAUAUCAAAUUACAUUUUGAUUUCAAUAUAGUAAACAAAUAUGUAUGUGUUUGUCAAUUAAAAAUUUCAAUAACAUCAAUGUUUGUUUUCAUCGUAGUAUUUUAUAAUGAGGAAAUUGUGAGAAAUUGACCUCCUGAUAAGGUGAUUUCAGAAAUAACUACCCAUAUAAAGUUAUCUGUUUCUAGCCAAAAAGAAGCAUGAGUAUACCAAAAUGCCCUUAAAAAUAUCGUUUCAAAUUAGGGUACUCGAUAUCUCCCUCCCGUCAGAGAAAAAAUAGAAAUAAAUAAAUGCUCAGCUGUUUGAGGUCAGUCAUCUUUCUCUCUCAACUCUCCGAACUGUCUCAACUCUGCCAACUCUCUGUUGAGCACCAUCAUCAUCAACUCUCUCAGCUCUCUGAACUGUAUGAGCUCUAUCAACUCUUUGUUGAGCACCAUCGUCAUCGGGCUGUGGUCUAUCUCUCGGUAUCUGGCCAUAGUGUCGUAGAUUAACAAACCCUAUAGCAGAGAUGACAUCAAGGUAUGUUAUUGGUUUUAUUACUGUAACACUUAAAUUUCUGAAACAUUUGGUGUAAAUUAGAACAUGGAUUAGAAACAUUGCCCAGAGUUGUUACACGCCAAGCAUCUAUAACAUGUAUUAGCAUUAUUUUAGCGUGUCACGACAUUGGUUAUUGGUUAUUUUAGGGCAGUUCAUGUAAUAAGUCAAUAAUUACACUGAUUGGCGUGUCACAUGCUAUGGGUAUCUUAGGCUAGUUUGUGUAAGGAUGGACACAAUAAUUAUAGUGAUUGACGUGUCAGCGUUGGCGAGUUACCAUAGUUUACAUUAUAUGCAUGGCGUGUUACCACAUUUGACGUUAUAUGCACGGCGUGUUACCACAUUUGACGUUAUAUGCAUGGCAUGUUACCACAUUUUACGAUAUAUGCAUGACGUGUUACCACAUUUGACGUUAUAUGCAUGGCAUGUUACCAUAUUUUAAGUUAUAUGCAUGGCGUAUUACCACAUUUUACGUCAUAUGCAUGGCGUGUUACCACAUGACUGACAAAUUCUAGAACACGACAUGUCAUGUAAUGUGUUAAAUGAUUAACAAAUUAUUGUUGUUUUCAAAAUUUCAGUGGGUUCUAGUUGUGCGACUUGUGAUAAGGCACGGUGGUCAGUGGGUGGAUGGCAUUUACAAGGGUGGUGAGUCACGAAUGCAAGGGGCUAUGAGUGAUUUGUCGUUUGUGGGAUUAAUGAAGCUGGUUGAAGAUGUUGUUGGGGUAAACUCAAAAAUUGACGAGAUUGAGUUACAUGCAUUGUUCAGUACACCCGGAGAGCUAUCACGGCCAAUUAUCAAGGACGAUGAGGAUGUUGCAUUAAUUCUGCUAGAACAGAGGAAUGUUUCGGUUGUGUAUGUCAGCAUUAAGGGAUGCCAAACAAAUGUUAUGUCACAUGAAGAAGCUGAACAACAUGGUAAUCAGCUCAAUUAAAAUGAGAUAUACAAUGCUUCACAUAUACCACAACAUUCGGUCCGCAACCCAUAACAAUGGCAAAUUGGCGAAUGUACAAGAGUUUUUGUAGCCCGAUAGACACACGACAUUCACAAAAUAGUUGGCUGCACAAUUCUGGUCAGGAUGUGCAUCGAACCAAUUAGUUACUUGUGUCCAACAAAUGCAACAAUCGAGUGAAACUGUACAGGAUGUAAUGGUAUUUUCAAAUGAGAAUGCGACACUUGAGUACAACAUUGCGACGUUUGAGGGUGACACUACGACGCUUGAAGAUAAUACUGCAUCUGAUGAGGGAAAUGAGGAUUUGUUCCCUGUUGGUGAAGAUAGAUUUGAUGACAAUUCGGAUGAUGGGCCUGAUGAAUGGCAUGAUGCGAGUUCAAAAGAGGACUGGCUUUAUUACAGCGACAUUCCAAUUUGCAAUAAUGUUGAAGGCAAAACAGACCCUGUUGGAGGUGUUGAUGUAAGAGUUGUUCAGUAUGAUGACCCCAUAUACAAUAACCCCAUCGUUGAUGAAAACGGGGAUUCGUUCCCCUAGUACAUUGCUCCAUGAUAGUUAUCAGGAAAGGGGAAAUGCAGGGAUAUCUUGUACGUGGGUAAUUCUAGGUGCAGAAAAGUUAUUCUUCCAAACAAUUACAACUUAGGAGUCAACAUGUGCUGAUGAUCGCUUAUACAAAGGAAGAAUAUUUUCCUCGAAGGCUAAGUUGAAACGAGCUUUGAAUAUAUUGGCUCUAAAAUAGCAGUUUGGGAUAAGAGUAAAAAGGUCAUGUAAAGCUCGUUAUGAGAUUGGUUGCAAGGACAAGGCAUGCAAGUUCAGUGUGCGUGCAACGAAGUUACCUGAAGGAGGAAAAUAUUGGCAAGUUCAGACAUUCCACAAAGUACACACAUGUAUUAUCGAUGGUUUGCAAAGGCGAUUUGCAACCGUGAGUGCAAAGAUAAUUGGUGAACUUAUGUCACACAAACUUUAGGCUAAUGGAGUAGCAUUGAGGCCUAAGGACAUAAUCGGUGAGAUGAGGGUUCAAUGGGGAUUGGAAUGCUUGUAUGGUAAGGCCUGGCAAGCAAAGGAAUAUGUGGAGAGGCUUGUUUUUUGUCCCCCGAAGGAGUCAUUUCAACUACUACCCUCGUAUUUUUAUAUGUUGGAACAAGAAAAUCUCGGCACAAUCACUACAGUGGCUACUGAUGAGGUAGAAAGAUUCAAAUAUUGUUUCUGGGUACAUGGGGCUUCUAUUCAAGGGUUUAGGGAUGUAAUGCGUCCUACGGUUGUAAUUGAUGCGACACAUAUGAAAGGCAGGUUCAAGGGUGUUCUGUUUGUCGCUGUAUGCAAAGAUGAGAACGAAUGCAUAUAUUCAGUUACGUUUGGCAUCGGCCAUGUUGAAGACAAAGACUAGUGGACGUGGUUUCUUAGCAAGCUGCGUGAUGCGGUUGGUUGUCCUGAAAACAAUAUGUUCAUUUCUGAUCAGCAUCUCGGCAUUAAGAAAGCAAUCCAAAAUGCAUACCUAGAAGUGCACCACGAUUUAUGCGGGUACCACUUGAAGAAAAACUUUAAAAACAAGUUCAAGCGCGACGACAUUUCUAUGAUUUUCACCCUUGCUCAAGAUUGCUAUAAGGUUUUCGAUUUCAACAAACAUAUGAACCAGCUCAAGCAGAUUAACGUGGAAGCCCACAGUGACCUUAUGAGAAUAGGCCCUGAGAGAUGGGCAUGUGCCUAUUCACCGGUAAGGCGAUACCAAAUGAUGACAUCCAACAUUGCAGAAUGUGUUAACUCAUGCUUUAAGCAUGCAAGAAAAAUGCCAAUCACUGUUUUAAUCGAGUUCAUCAGAGACAUGUUCUAGCAUUGGUUCCAUGAUCGGUACGAAGAGGCCCUCAAGGUGACCACGCCCCUCAGCCCUUGGGUUACUAGGCAGUUGAGCAAACGAUUCAAUGAUGCACAUCGCUUUGUGGUUAAACCUAUCAAUUGAGUGGAGUUCGAAGUUAAAUAUGGGAAGAUGGACAUACUUGUAAACCUAUCCACGAAGACAUGUUCAUGUUGUGAGUUUCAAACAGAUUUACUGCCAUGCAGCCAUGCCAUUGCAGCAAUAAGGUCAGAAUAUCUUUAUUUCUUAUUUGAACCCUAAUUGACAUAGUAUUUACAUUGAGUUCAUUGUAUUUUUCAGUAAAUGCAAACGUGAAGCCAUUGAAGUUUGCGCUAACUACUACAAGACAACCAUUUUGGUGAAGGGUUAUGCAGGGUCCAUUCGCCCGGUAGGGCAUCCCAGCGAGUGGGACAUCCCCCCUCUUAUGGAUGAAGACAGCUUGUCGGCCUAACUAAAUGUGUAUAUGGAUGUGUAGCAUAGUUUUCUCUUGUAGAUGAGUCUUUAUUUUUUUUAUUAAUUUUUUAAAUAUAUUAUUUGAUUAUUCAUUUCAUUUUGUCCGUAGUUUUGAACACUGAAUAGACUUACGAAGUCCCUAUACUGCUACCCCCUUUCUCACAUUUUAUUACAACUUGUAUUAAACAAUUAAUGAUUUAAUUUAAUUCCUUUCUAUUUCAUUUGAUUUAACCUUUUAUGUUCUUACAAUCAAAUCUCUUAAGAGAUAUAAAAUUAAUUCAUCUAACUUUAGUAGCUUUCUAAAUCCUUAUAUUCAAUUUGUUUUUGUAAUUUUUUAAUUACAACGUUUAUUUUAUCUAAUUAAUACCUCCAUAUAAAACUUUAAGCCAAUCACUUAACAAAAUAAUAAUAAUAAUAAUAUUGUACCAAGGAGUUUACUUUGAAGGAUGCAAGUCUAGAAAGAGAAAAUUUUGGACUAAUUAAAAACAUAUGAUAUGAAAUUUAAGAUUAAAACACAUGACUUGACCAAACAAAUUUAAAAAAUUUAUGGAUCAUCCAAUCAAAUUUCAUCUAUGAAUCAUCAUAAUUAAUUUUUAUUAAAUUAAAACAUUUAAAAAUAAAAUUAAAAUAUAAGGACGAAAAUUCUUGAAAAAUAUAUUAUUCUAAGCUGACACACGAGUGCAUGCAGAUUUCUAUGGUGACACGCUGACUUCUUGCAUUAUUGUGGGGUGACAUGGCAUGCCUCAUCUUGUGGCGACACGCUGAGUGGAAGCAGAUAGUUGGUGUGACAUGUUGAGUGCAUACAGAUUUUUGUGAUGACACAUUGACUUCUUGCAGUAUUGUGGGGUGACAUGGCACGCCCCAUCUUGUGGUGACACGUUGAGUGGAAGCAGAUGGUUGGCGUGACACGCUGAGUGCAUGAAGAUUUCUGUGGUGACAUGCUGACUUCUUGCUGUAUUGUGGGGUGACACGGCAUGCCCCAAUUGUGGUGACACGCUGAGUGGAAACAGAUACUUGGCGUGACACAUUGAGUGCAUGCAAAUUUCUGUGGUGAUACGUUGAUUUCUUGUUUUAUUGUGGGGUGACACGACAUGCCCCAAUUGUGGUGACAAGUUGAGUGGAAGCAGAUACUUGACGUGACACGCUAAGUUCAUGUAGAUUUCUGUGGUGACACACUGACUUCUUGCUGUAUUGUGGGGUGACACGGCAUGCCCCAAUUGUGGUGACACGCUGAGUGGAAGCAGAUACUUGGUGUGACACGCUGACUUGUUCCAAUUUUCAGGGGUGACAUGCCAUGCCCCAAUUGUGUGACACGCCACGUGGUUGCAGUAUUAAUUUAAAGGUAAUGUGUUUGAAUUGAGAAAGAAAAAGUAAUGUAUAAAAUGUACGAAUAUUAAAAUUAAUCAAAUUAAUUGUAUAUACAAAAAAUGUACAGACAAGGGCCGAUAUGUUCAGGGUUCGUUCUCACAACUGUUAGACAAAAUUUCUAGAGUGUAUUGGCGACGCAUAUUUGCAAUCAUAUUCUGCUUAACUUUGAUCAAUUUCAAUUGCAAAAUAUCGUCAAUGUACCCUAUCAUGAAUAUACCGCAGCUGACACUAUCAUCCUACUGAUGGACUUUAGCCUUUGGCAAAUGAAUUUUCAAUGGCAUCAGCGUCAAAUCCUAUGUCUUCCAGUGUGUUUUGUUGAAAUAACUGGCUUGGUGGCAAAUGAUUCGCAUAAUUGUCGUAAGGGGUGUCAUUGGAGCCGCUCGCAUUUCGUUAUCUUAGCAUUCAAAGUUCUUGCGGAGUCCACCACCUUGAUUGUCCACCUCACCAAGUCGAUCUUCGCUACCACCCAAUGCCCACCCACAUUGCAAGCCGCGAGGAUGAAAUUGACAUCUUCCCAUUGUUUCCCAUAUGUCGGCUUCUCACCCUUCACGUAUGCCCGCAACUCAUCUGGAAUUCCCAUAGUCGACCGGGCAUCUUCAGUUGGGAAUGAGGUGUGUAGCAUAUGGAUGGUGUCUUGUGAAGCAUGUAUACAUUAGCUUAUACUUAAUGCAAUAAAAAAUUUAGUAUUUUCAGAAUUGAAAAAAUUUCAAAUAAACUUAUGAAGAAUAUCGUGUCAACCACGCAUACAUGGGUAGUGUACAGCUUCGACUUUAGCUUUGUCAUCCGCUUACAAAGUACGCUGAGGCAUGCGUCUAUAUGUUCACUACUCAUUUCUUCUUUGGGAUCCUCUAAAGUUAUGAAAAAGUCAGCCUCUUGAUUCCCUAAGAUCCUGACGUUACGCUUGCAUAUGUGACAUAAUGAGUUUGAAAAGCCUUGGUGGAUUAAUAUUUUAUUAAAUAACAAUAUUUACAAUGCUAUUUAUGAGCUUACCUCGCACACUCGUCUUUCUUGAAAGCUUCAUACGCUUCAACCAUUGUGCUCUUUACAUCCCAACGGCUCACUUAGGGGUCGAUGUAUGGGCUUGCCCUGUAUUUGCUAGCCAUUUUCACCCAUGCCCGCUUAGUUGGGUCUGAAAUUUCUACUGCACGAUGAUGGACAUUAGAUGACUGUAGUGACAGCAACCGUGAGCCGCUGGCUUCAGGAGUGCUCUGAGGAAGAUGGUCCCCUCCUACUACUACCUCCACUAAUGCAUCGGCCUGAGGAAGAUCCUUUCCUUCAGCCACGACUGAGUGAAUGUCCCCCUCCCCUCCCGCAGAUGCAUCUAUAACCGGAUCGACCUCAGGAACAAGGUCUUCCUCAGCACCAGAAACGUCAUCGUGAAUUUGCACACCAGGAUCAUCAUGGUGCCCAUCAUCAGCAUCAUCGUGGUCCUCACCAGCACCAUGAGAUGAAAGACCGCCCUACAGAACGAGACAAAUGGGAAAAUCUGUUAUCUCAUAUAAAACCGCAAACCAUAAACCGAGAACAAAAAAUAGAACUACACUUACUAAACAUAAACGACCAAUAUAUGAGCAAAGAUAGAAUAACGUACCUGUGAUUUUAGGCAAUCUAGAAUCUGAGCAACGACAUGGUCCUCAAACGUUUGCAUCACCAGAGUCAACGACUGAAUUGAAGCCUUCAAGUUCGACAUGUCUUUUUUAUACCGGUGCAUGACCCAUCGCAGCUAACGUUUUGUGACUACUUCGUCAUUGACUCUUGUCAAAUGGGUCAACUGCAAUAACAUAUAUUACUGUGUUUUUCAAUAAUCAUAUAUGGAAGUGUUGAACAUUACCCGUUAGAACUUUAAUAUCCUUACCGUGGCUCGUUACCAUUUUGCGGUUGAGUAGGUCCGCUUAGUGGUUGAGGAGCUGUGGUCGCCUCCCUCAACUGCAAUAACAAAAAUUAAUGUGUUACUCAAUAAACAUAUGUGCAAAUGUUCAACAUAAACUGUUAAAACCGAUCUUACAGACGGGUCGUUAGCACUGUGCGUCUAAAGAGGACCUCUCAAUGGUUGAGAAGCUGUCGUCGCAUGGUCCAACUGCAAACACAGAAGUGUUAUUCAAUAAUCACAUAUGGAAUUGUUGAACACAAACCGUUAUAACCGUUCUUACCGGUUCCUCAUUAGCAUCAUGAGUCUGAAGAGGACCUAUCGGUGGUUGUGGAGUUGUCAUCGCAUGGUCUAACUGCAAACACAGAUAUGUUAUUCGAUUAUCACAUAUGGAAUUGUUUAACACAAACCUUUAGAACUGUCCUUACCGGCUCUUCACUACCAUUGCCAUGGUUGUCACCUUCCUCUAUAAACUUGGGGAUCGACAAUAGUGACGGUGCACCUCCGCUUCAUGGAACCAGUGGCUCUUUUGUGCUUCAAGUUUCUCCUCUUUUCCCUAACACCUAAGCCCUAGUCCACUCGAUCCUCCAUGUGCCCUACUGGCACAUAUUGGUGGCCCUCAAAUAAUGGGACAUCAAUGUCUACAAAAUAAUCCCGGCUGGCCUCAUCUGGGGUGGGCUCCAAGGUCUCCAUUACCCACAACUGUAAAAUAGGGAUUGUGAUUAAAUUUUUGGGAAAAUUAUUAUACAAAUUUACAGCAGAAAUUAAUAGUUGUUCACUCACCUGCUGAGAUGACUCCAACAUCUCAAAUGCCUUGUAGAAAUAUUUGGCUUCUGGUUGCAUUGCCAUCUGCACAUGCAUGGGUAGACGUCCUUCGGAGUAGAGAGGGCAACUAUCUUUCGCAAGGCCAGAAUUGCCUCCAUUGCCCAGAACUGCAAGUCAAAUGUAACCAUUAUCAGAUCGUAAAUGAUAAACGAUUGUAACCAUAAAUUAUUAUGUCAAAAGGAAAAUGAAAAAUGUUACGUGACAGUACCUGUAUCAGCCACAUGAAUCCAAAAAUGUUGUACCGCAAACGAUCGUUCUGCACAUUCGAUGAAGGCACUUCAAACCCCUUCAAAAGGUAGUCCAAGGUCAGCCUCCAAACAUAGUGACCCAAUGGGAAGACAUUCCAAGCGUCGAUGUCCUCCACCAACGACAAGAGCCAAGGCGUCACCGGUCUACGGUAGUCUUGACCAAAUAAAAUGUUAUUCGUGAUCAAGAUGAGUGCCAUCUUGGUUGUGUCUCUCGGUCGCUCAAAGUUGCCUCCACGGAACGUAUCAAGGAAGGCCUACAACUUAACGCUUAGCUGCCCGUUCCAGUAUCGUGCAUGAAUUCUAUCCGUAACAACCUCGUACGGUCUCGUGAACACAUUCAGCACUCGACCAAACUUCAGUCCGGUGAUAAGGCAGAACUUCUGCUUUGAUAUGCGCACCUCGCUUUUCCUAAUGGCAAACGAUAGCUCAUGCUCCAUUGAAUCUGUCACAGUGAUUCGACAGAUCAUGAUGUUAUGCAAAAGACUAGCAGAGAAGUAGCUUUGCAGAUAUACGUCCAGCAGCAUUCCAAAGCAUGUACGCUUCACUACAUCGUACUCCUCUUUCUCUUUGAGGGUCUUGUUGAUGUAAUGCAGUUACGACCACUUACAGUGGGUGUUAAUAGCGACAUUGAAUGCCUACUUCUCCCUCGGCACAAUAAGCAAACUAUCAAGAUCCUCAUAUUGUCUAGAUUGCAUUUGCAAAACAUGGCACACAUGCACGAGUGAGUUAACCCAUAAUGUGGUAACACGCCAUGCAUAUAACGUAAAAUGUGGUAACACGCCAUGCAUAUAAUGUAAAAUGUUGUAACACGCCAUGCAUAUAAAGUAAAAUGUAGUAACACGCCAUGCAUAUAACGUAAAAUGUUGUAGCACGCCAUGCAUAUAACGUAAAAUGUGGUAACACGUCAUGCAUAUAACGUAAAAUGUUGUAACACGCCAUGCAUAUAACGUAAAAUGUUGUAACACGCCAUGCAGAUAACAUAAAAUGUGGUAACACGCCAUGCAUAUAACGUAAAAUGUUGUAACACGCCAUGCAUAUCAAGUCAAAUGUUGUAACACGCCAACGCUGACAUGCCAGCAGCAUAUGUUAUGCAAGAGACCAACGGAGAAGUAGCUUUGCAGAUAUACGUCCAACAGCAUUCCGAAGCAUGUACGCUUCAUUACAUCAUACUCCCCUUUCUCUUGGAGGGUCUUGUUGAUGUAAUACAGUUGCGACCACUUACAGUGGGUGUUAAUAGCGACAUUGAACGCCCACUUCUCCCUUGGCACAAUAAGCAAACUGUCAAGAUCCUCAUACUAUUUGGACUGCAUCUGUAAAACAUGGCACGCAUGCACGAGUGAGUUAACCCAUAAUGUGGUAACACGCCAUGCAUAUAACGUAAAAUGUGGUAACAUGCUAUGCAUAUAAUGUAAAAUGUUGUAACUCGCCAUGCAUAUAACGUAAAAUGUGGUAACACGCCAUGCAUAUAACAUAAAAUGUUGUAACAAGCCAUGCAUAUAACGUAAAAUGUGGUAACACGCCAUGCAUAUAACGUAAAAUGUUGUAACACGCCAUGUAUAUAACGUAAAAUGUUGUAACACGCCAUGCAUAUCAAGUCAAAUGUUGUAACACGCCAACCCUGACACGCCAAUCACUAAAAUUCCUGUGUCCUUACACAAACUGGCCUAAAAUACCUGUGGCAUGUGACAUGUCAAUCAGUGUAAUUAUUGACCCGUUACACGAACUGCCCUAAAAUAACUAAUGUCGUGACACGCUAAAACCCCAAAAAGCAGUUUACCCACUACAUGCCAUAUCUAUUGUAUUUCAAAACUUUCGUACGACCUUAAAAUCGAGAAAAAAAUAGUUUAAACAUAACAAUUGAAAAAGAUUGACAAAACACGAACAUAUCACACAAACCUAGCAAAAAAUCAACGAACAGAAGAAAGUUUUAAAAGUUUUAUUUUCAGAUUGACUGACCUCUUCAUUGAUAACCGACAUUGUUGCUGUGGUGGUGUCAAGCUUGUAAAGAAGAAAGUCGAGCACUCUGCUAUAUUUGGGAAUGAGAAAGAACACAGAUGUUUGCUAUUUCUAGAAAAUAUUUAAUUAAAAUGAAAUGGCCUCACAAUUUCCUUUAUAAAUAUUCAUUUAUUGAAUUAAUUCAGUUGAAGUCCAAUCGGUUUCCUUGUUAUUUACCUGUUUUUUUUUUUCCUUUUUCAAACCAUGUGUGCCACACAUCAAUUGCCAUGCCGUGUCACACACUCUAAACCCUACCGUGUCACGGAUCUCCAUGGAGUCUAACAAACUCUAAACACUGGCAUGUCACAGAUUGCCUCCAUGGCAAGUCACAAACUCUGAACGCUGACGUGUCACAGAUUCCCUCCAUGGCGUGUCACUAACUCUGAACCCUGGAAUGUCACAGAUUCCCUCCAUGGCGUGUCACCAACUCUGAACUCUGGCGUGUCACAGAUUCCCCCCAUGGCUUAUUGCGAACUCUAAACGCUGGCGUAUCACAGAUUCCUUCCAUGGCGUGUCACCAACUUUAAACGCUGGAGUCUCACAGAUUCCCCCCAUGGCGUGUCAUAAACUCUGAACGCUAAUGUGUCACAGAUUCCCUCCAUGGCGUGUCACCAACUCUGAACUCUGGCAUGUCACAGAUUUCCUCCAUGGCGUGUCACCAACUCUGAACUCUGGCGUGUCACAAACUCUAAAUCCUGCCGUGUCACAGCCCUGUCACACAUUCCCACCAUGUCGUGUCACACAUUCUCAACAUGCCGUUUCACAAACUCUAAACCCUGCCCUGCCACACCCAUCUCACAUAUGGCCUACUGUAACACGACCAUUUCGUGCUUUGGAUUCACAUCUUUCUUCUUUCGAUUCACCACUGUAUUAGGGAUUUCUGGUUUCACAUCAUUCUCCAAGCUUUCGAUUCAUCACGACCAGUUCCUCGUUCGAUUUAAUAUCAUUCUUUUCCUAUUAUCUGAAUGCCAUGUCUAAAAUCUCUGAAAAAUCAUCUCAUACAACAUUAUUUUGUUUUGCACAAGCUUCGCGAAAAAAAGGAUGUUUUGCACAAAAUUAGAUGUUCGCAAUUUCUUUACAUAUUUAUUUUCUCAUUUUUCGUCUGUUUGAGAGAGCGCUUCAACGAAGAUGGCUCAUUAAAGGCAUUUUUGUCUCAAAAUCUAUUCUUGUGACUAAAAACAAUUAAAAUUAUCUAAAAACUUAUUUACAAAAACACGUUAUUUUUAAGGGCUAAAAAAAAAUUUUCCUCUUUUCUAAUUUAUGUCAUCAAAAAUAGCAAAAAACUAAAGUAUAGCGUAGAAAAGAUGUGUUGACUUGGUAGUUGGNGCGUGUCACAAACUCUAAAUCCUGCCGUGUCACAGCCCUGUCACACAUUCCCACCAUGUCAUGUCACACAUUCCUAACAUGCCGUUUCACAAACUCUAAACCCUGCCCUGCCACACCCAUCUCACAUAUGGCCUACUGUAACACGACCAUUUCGUGCUUUGGAUUCACAUCUUUCUCGUUUCGAUUCACCACUGUAUUAGGGAUUUCUGGUUUCACAUCAUUCUCCAAGCUUUCGAUUCAUCACGACCAGUUCCUCGUUCGAUUUAAUAUCAUUCUUUUCCUAUUAUCUGAAUGCCAUGUCUAAAAUCUCUGAAAAAUCAUCUCAUACAACAUUAUUUUGUUUUGCACAAGCUUCGCGAAAAAAAGGAUGUUUUGCACAAAAUUAGAUGUUCGCAAUUUCUUUACAUAUUUAUUUUCUCAUUUUUCGUCUGUUUGAGAGAGCGCUUCAACGAAGAUGGCUCAUUAAAGGCAUUUUUAUCCCAAAAUCUAUUCUCGUGGCUAAAAACAGUUAAAAAUAUCCUGACGGUUAUUUACAAAAACACGUUAUUUUUAAGGGCUAAAAAAAAAUUUUCCUCUUUUCUAAUUUAUGUCAUCAAAAAUAGCAAAAAACUAAAGUAUAGCGUAGAAAAGAUGUGUUGACUUGGUAGUUGGAGUCUUCUCCACUCUGCUUCAAUUUUUGGUUUUAAAAGCAUUGCCUCUGCCUCAGGCGAUAAGUAAAAGGCGAGUUCUCGUACAACUGCCCAGACUAGAUGCAAAUGGUAAUUAUUCUCUGUCACUUCCUCUUGGUAUUGAGUGCUUCAGCAGUUGGUCUUGGUCCAGUCUCGCCAGAUCAAGAUGCCUGCGAGCCAAAACACUGCAAACCCGGCCAGCCAUCCGUCCGGUACCCCUUCCGGUUGAAAGGCCGCCAACCGGACCACUGUGGCUCAUCUGGGUUUGACCUGUCCUGCAACAACAAGAACCAGACGGUGCUGGAGCUGCCCCGUUCGGUCAAGUUAUUGGUGAAGCAUAUAGAUUAUGUAAACCAGAGGAUUCAGGUGUAUGAUGAAGAUGGUUGUGUCCAAAAGCAGCUUCAAAAUCUUACCUUAUCCGCAUCUCCUUUCACGUUCCGCUCAGACACAGAUCCCUACUAUGACAGCAAACCGGGAAACUUCACCUUGUUCAAUUGUUCAAUUGAAGAUCAAUCGAAGGAUUAUGAUAAUGACUGGAGCAUUUCCUGCUU
rnacentral:lncRNA from 1 species